rnacentral:lncRNA from 1 species
UAACUGAGAUCCAACUUCUCCAAUGCCUUAAGCUUUGCUAAUGAUGGUACAGAACUCAGCUUUGCACACCAUCCCAGCAACAAUGCAGUGAGUCUCGUCAGAUGACAAAUAGAAUCCGGCAACUUCUCUAUAUCUGUGUCGGAAAGAUCAAGAACCUUGAGUCCGAUGAGAUGCUGGAAAAAAGAAUCCUCCACCAAAUUCAAUUUGUAGUUUCUGCAUAACAAUAAUGUUGAGAGACGGGGGCACAUUGGUGAAAAGCCUGUUGGAAUAUUCUCGAUUCUAUUUUCCAUGAGUGAAACUCUUAACAGAUCCUCUCUCCACAAUUUUACACCGGGUAAUUCUGUUAGCUGUGCACCUGCUUGAACCAUAGCCCCCCCACUUUCGUUCAAUAUUUUCCAAGCCAUAUCCCAAAUCAAAUCAUGCAUCUUGACAUAUCUGUAAUCUUCAUCGUCCCUGGAACCUUCUAAUAAGCUGGCAUCUUCAAGUUGAUCAAGCAUGGUAUGGCCCCUAUCAAAUCGUGCAUCCCUACUCCCCAUUUCUUUGACUAUACCCUCGUCAAUCAAAUACUCUAUCAAGUCCUCUCUCCAGAAGAUCUUGCCUUUUGGAAAUAGUGUGAUAUGUAAGAAGCACUCUUGAAGUGCUGAAUCGUUCAACUGAGCAUAGCUAAAUUUCAAUACUCGAAAUACAUUGGCUUCCAUCUCACCUGGUCCAACUUCUAAUCUUCUCAGUUUUAGCAAUGCAUCUCUCCAACGAUAUUUACCAUCCACUCCCUUCAUGCUUCGAGCCAUUGUCAUGAUUCCAAGGGGCAAACCAGCACACUCCUUCACAAUAGACUCUGCGAUCUCAGGAUAAAGUGUACCACCACGCCCUAAUCUGUCUAUGAACAGAUCCCAAGCCUCACCCUCAAAAAGAGGCUCCACUUUGAUUAUCCUUUGGCAAUCCAUUUUUCGACAUAUCUCCAGUGAUCUCGUUGUGAGAAUCAACUUCCACCCGUCUGUUCUAAGAGGUAUUCCCACUUGAUCAGGAAGAAAAUGACCCCACAAAUUAUCAAGAAUUAAAAAACCUUUUUUUUUCACAUUCAACUCUGUCAACAGCUCCCCAGUUCUCACCAUCGCAUCAUUUUCAUCCAAAGGUUUUAAAUCCAAAACCUCAGCAAUGCGACCCUGCAAUGCAUGAAUGCUAAAAUCUUGUGACAAAGUAAUCCAACGAACAGGAUGAAACAUGCCUAGUUUCUCGUGAAGCUGAUUAUAGAUAUGUGUAGCCAAAGCUGUCUUUCCCACCCCCCCCAUCCCAUAAAUGCCAAUGCAUGAGACCUCAUCAUUCAACAACCAGGACCAGACAUCAUUCAUGUUUCUUUCCAUAGCUUGGCCCACUAGCUUUGUUGUCGGCAAUACCUAUCUUCCAGUCCUACGUUUCUUAUGUACAGGCCUUUUAGAAGAGGGCCGUCUCUCAACAACAGAUUGCAUCAAUUCCGGACUCAUGGUCAGUCUACCAGUUCUUAACUCAAAAUCCAUCAUUGAUGAGGAUGAGAUGUUAUUCAAGUUCAUUUCAAAUGACUGAUGUGCUUGCUCUGUUCUUUGUCUAGUCUCGGGUUUAUCUGGCAUAAGAACGACAGGAGCUCGAGGUUCCUUGACAAGCUCAGUCUCCCCCCCAAUCAGAAAACCCUUCCGUCCUCGUUCAUCCGAAAGAGGUUGUUCUUCUUGUUCCAUUUCUAAGCCCCGCAAAGCAGUUGAAAAAAUUGAUAAAGAAGAAGCUAAGUUUAAGAUAAAAAGAAAAAUUGAUUACAGGUGUUUCACUGUCUAAACCAAAGUCAAGUUAAACCACUCCAAAGAUCAAAGUGUUCUUUUCUUUUUACUUUCCCAAUAAUUCUACAACUGGUCAUAUCAGUAAUUUAAUAACCAGUAUGUUUCUUUUUGCUUAGAAGAAUCAAAGUACAUGAGUUGGAAAAGAAAUGGUAUGAAAUUAGAGCUAAAAUUAAUCAAACUUAAUUACCUGAACAGCAGAUGCAGCAAGAUGUUAUCCAAUUAUUUGAUUAAAUCAGAAGAAAGAAGAUGGACGGGGAAGAGUAAGUGUGUUGGAGACGCGUGAUAGAGCUUCGGCUUGUGUGGCUGUGGAUAAGGAUAGAUUCAGACAGUCAGAGAAGCAGAUGACAGUGAAAAAAAGUAAAAUGGAUUUCUGUCGUUCAUGGAUGUCAUAUGGACAUGUUGUUCUUCCAGGAAGCGGAUCCGGCGAGGGGUGCUCUUGACGUAGCGGAAGCUUAUUAAAUAAAAAGGAGCACCGUCCCUUUGUAGGAAAUUGCUCGAAUCCACGAGCAGGAAAUAGUUUUCUCGAAUCCACGAGUAAGAGAUUGUAGUUCUGAAUGAAAUUCUUAUUUCAAUGAAAAUUUGAAGUGCCAGUAACGAGGAUUGGUAGCUUGUAUUUAUAGCUGCCAAUCCUAAUUCUAAUCAGAACAUACUUGCGGAGAUAAUUAAUAAAACAUAUAAUAUUCCUACUUAAAAACAUAAACUAGAGUUCUAACUUGGAAACAAUAAUAUCAGUAGCAGUGUGCAAUAAGGAAAAACGCAGCAGUGGCAGAGUGUGCUUCUAACUCUGAAGCUUGAAUCGUGAUGUGUUUAUCCUUGUUGGCCUAGGAUUUGAUUUGGUCUAGACUUCCUUCAUUAUACGGUCCUACAUCAGUCUCCCCUUCUUGAACAAAACGCGUCCUCGCGUUGAUUAGGUGAGAAGAACAUUCAUCAGGGGGAUGAUAUUCAAACAAGGCAGCAACGUUGAAGGUGGGAGAAAUGGUCAUUUCUGCAGGGAGGUCCACAACAUAUGCGUUGUCAUUAAUCUGCUGUAGGAUUUGAAAAGGACCAUGCUUUUUAUGGUUCAGCUUGUUAUACGUUCCUGCUGGUAGUCGCCCCUUUCGUAGAUAUAUCAUCACAAGAUCACCAACCUGAAAGACUUUGGCUCGUCGUUUGCGAUCUGCGGCUGUUUUGUAUCUGACAUUAGCUUCCUCUAGAUUCGCACGUACUUCUUCCUGAAUUGUUUUAAUCCGGUCAGCCAUAUGCUCUGCUGCGAUGCUCAUUCCUGGAAUCUUAGGCAGUGGUGCUAGGUCCAGUGCAUGAUGUGGUGGCUGACAGUAGACAAUUUGGAAUGGAGUUUUCCCCGUGGACCUGUUAAGCAUGCUGUUAUAGGCAAAUUUCAGCUGUGCCAGUGUAAGAUCCCAUUGUUUUGGUCUCUCUCCUGAUAGGCAGCGAAUCAAGUUUCCAAGAGUGCGGUUGACCACUUCUGUUUGCCCAUCGGUUUGAGGGUGGCUAGUGCUGCUGAAUUGCAAUGACGUAUCAAAUCGUCUCCAUAAUGUCCGCCAAAAAUGGCUUUAAAAAUUUCGUGUCUCGAUCCGAAGUGAUGGAUUUAGGAACCCCAUGUAGACGAACCACUUCUUUAAAGAACAAGAUUUGCGAUGUGCACGGCAUCUGAUGUCUUUUUGCAUGCAGAUGAAGUAUGCCAUUUUAGAGUACCUGUCCACUACGACAAAAACAGAAUCAAAUCCACGCUGAGUUCGUGGAAGUCCCAGAAUGAAAUCCAUAGAUAAGUCUUCCCAAGGGGCUGCUGGGAUGGGUAACGGCAUGUAGAGGCCUGUGUUCUGCGUGUGUCCUUUGGCUGCUUGGCACGUGGGGCAACGUUUGACAUGGUUACCAAUAUCCCGUUUCAGCUGGGGCCAAUAAUACCUCUCUUCUGCCAUGGCCACUGUCUUGUCCCGACCAAGAUGGCCUCCCAAACCGCCACCAUGUAGCUCUCGGGUUAUCUGUUCCCGUAAGGAGCUCCUGGGGAUACAUAACUGAUUGCCCCGAAAUAAAUAUCCUUCUUGAAUAUGCAUGCCAUCCUGUGAGAGUCCCUGGAUGCAUUUGGUCCAGAUAUGGCCAAAGUCGUCAUCCUCUGCAUACAAAUCCUUGAGGCAGUCGAAACCCAUGACUUCAGUCCGUAUGGUGACAAGCAAUAACGCCCUUCGACUUAGAGCGUCCGCAACUUUAUUUAACUGUCCAGCUUUAUGUUUCAGGGAGAAGGUGAACCUUUGGAUGAAGGAUAUCCAACGUGCAUGCAUUCGGUUCACACUGUUCUGGUUAUUGAUAAAUUGUAAGGCGUGGUGAUCACUGAAGAGGAUAAACUCCCUUUGCACUAAGUAGUGCUCCCAAACCUUUAAAGCACGAAACACAGCAUAAAGUUCAAGUUCGUAGGUGGACCAUUUCUUGCGAGAUUCACUUAGUUUCUCGCUGUAGAAAGCAACAGGCCGUCCUUCCUGAGAUAAUACAGCACCAACACCGACGAUUGAUGCAUCACACUCCACUUCAAAUAAUUUUUCAAAAUCUGGCAAUGCGAGAACUGGAGCGGAAGACAACCUUUCUUUAAUUAGUAUAAAGCUUUGUUCUGCUUCAGUUCCCCAAUAGAAUUUCCCUUUCUUCAUGCAUUCAGUGAUCGGCGCGACGAUUCGACUAAAAUUUCUGACAAACCGUCGAUAGAAUGUUGCUAAGCCAUGGAAGCUACGCACCUCACUGACAUUCUUUGGAGUAGGCCAUUCUCGGAUGGCUUUUAUUUUGCUUUCGUCGACUUUAAUCCCGUCAGCACUCACAACAAAUCCCAAAAAUAGCAAACUACUGGUCAUGAAGUCGCACUUUGUCAAAUUAACAUACAACUUGUUCUGUUGUAAUACUGUUAGCACUUCCCUCAAGUGCUCAAAAUGAUCAGACUUGCUUUGGCUAUAAAUUAAUAUAUCGUCGAAGUACACUACAACAAAGCGGCCGGUGAAGGGUUUAAGUACCUGAUUCAUUAGCGCAUGAAGGUACUCGGUGCGUUGGACAGUCCAAAGGGCAUUACUAGCCAUUCAUAUAAGCCCUCUCUCGUCUUGAAAGCAGUUUUCCAUUCAUCCCCGGGUCUAAUUCGAAUAUGAUGAUACCCACUCCGUAAAUCAAUUUUUGAAAAAUUUUCGAUCCUGACAGCAUGUCUAGCAUAUCCUCUAGGCGAGGGAUUGGAAACCGAUACUUAAUUGUGAUUUUUUUAGCUCGGCUGUCUAUGCACAUGCGCCAACUACCAUCUUUUUUAAGGCUGGUACCGCGCAAGGACUCAUGCUUUCCUGAACUAGUCCCUUUCUGAUAAGUUCUUCUACCUGCUCUUGUAGGAUUUGACUCUCUUUCGGACUCAUCCGAUAAUGGGGUCGAUUUGGCAGACUAGCUCCUGGAGUUAAAUCAAUUUGGUGUUGAAUAUCUCGCAUGGGGGUAUCCCAUCUGGUAGUUCUGAUGGUAUGAUUUCCUGAAACUCUGCUAGUAAAGGUUUUAGCUCCUGUGGAAUGUUGUGACUUUCGGUACCGAUUCCUCCCCCAAUUACUACUGCAAACAGCUCUCCUUGUUUUCUUGGCUUCCUCUAUAAAGUUUUCCCCAUCAACUAGGAGGACUGACUUCCCUUUAGCUUUUGGUUUGACUAAAGAAAAUUCUUCCUUUAUUGGACCCAACACAACUUUCUGCCCUUUAUUCAUGAAGAUAUACACGUUAUCGCGCCCCUUGUAUAUAGCAUCUACAUCAAACUGCCACGGUCUGCCUAGAAUUAUAUGACAGGCGUCCAUCUCAACUACGUCACAAGUAAUGUUGUCUAGGUAAUUUUGCCCAAUAGAAAAUUGAAUAUGGCAAAUUUCUGUGACCUUUGCUUCUGCACCCUGUCUGAUCCAGCCGAUCUUAUAUGGUGAUGGAUGCUUCUCCGUCGUUAACCCCAGCUUUGUUAUCAUGCUCCUUGAGAUUAUAUUUUCGCUGCUGCCGCUAUCUAUAAUGACAUCACAUACUUUUUUGUUCACGGUGCACCUGGUUCGAAAUAUGUUGUGUCGCUGUGAUUGUCCACCUGUUUUGGUGCAAGUAGCAAUUUUCGAACCACUAGGGAACGUGAUAAUAAUUCUCCCUCAUCUCCCCCUGUGACUUCGUCCUCUUCAUAGGUGUAUGCUAAUUCAUCUCCUCCUCCUUCUGCUGUCAACUCUGGUUCUAUUAAGUGCACUGUGCUCCGUUUGGGACAUUGAUUGGAGCGAUGUCCUGGCUGCCCACAUCUAUAGCAUUUAUCUGUCGAUGGGCGAGCAUAUGGGUUUCUAGGUGCUUCUAUCAUUCCUCCAGUCUUUGAGGGUGCCCAUUACUGUGUGGUCCUUUGGAAGUAUUGGUCAGUGGUGGUUGAAAAGCUGGGAGCUUUCCUUUGUCUACUGCAACCCGAUUAAGAUCAAAAGAGUUUCUCGUUCCAGCUAUCGACUUUGCCCUUUCCAGUUGUGCUUCUGCCUUUGUAGCCAGGUUGAUGGCUUCAGUUACAGAAUAUAUAGUUUGCAUGGAGACCCGAUCUUGUAUCGCCAAACGUAGACCACUCACAAACCUGCUGACUUGUUGUGCGUCAGUUUCUGAUAGAUUAUUACGUGAUGAUAAUCUAUGGAAUUCUUCAACAUAUGUUUGCACUGUUCUGCUUCCUUGUCUGCAAUCCUGAUAUUGUUGGAACAGGAUUUGUUCAUAAUCUGGUGGUAAAUACCUUGCUCGUAGAAGCCGUCUCAUCUUUGCCCAUGUUUGUACCAUUCCUUUUCUUUGUCGCGCCCGUGUGAGUUGCAGUUGCUCCCACCAAGCAGAGGCCCCUCCCAUCAAUCUGUAAGCAACCAAUUUUACCUUCUUAUCUUCAGGGAUUUCCAUGUAGUCGAAAAAUCUUUCAACCACGGCCAGCCAAUCAAGAAACCCCUCUAUUUGCAACUGACCAUUGAAACUGGGUAAAUCCAUUUUCAUACGGAAGGUUUGUGGUUCUCUUCCUCCCAUAUUGCGUUGUCCCUGGCGAUUGUGUCGAAACAUGUGUUCGACAUAUUCCUCAUCAUCACUCAGUUCUUCCUCGUAAGCUAACUGCCUACGUGGAGGUGGAUGGCGUUCACGAGCAGGAGCAAUCCUUUCUCUGUAAUUUUCGCCUUCAUGCUGCAGGUUAUUUCCUGUUGUUAGCCUAGCAAGGGUUGCUUGUAUGGCUUGUAACGCCUGCUGGGUCUCACGCGGGAAGUUCCUGAAUUCUGUUUGUGUGAUCAUGCUCUCUUCAUGUUUGCCGUCAUCAAAGUUUUCGUUUUCACUCCGUGUGUUUGCCAUCUGAACAAGUUAACACCUGCUCUGAUACCAACUGAAGUAGCGGAAGCUUAUUAAAUAAAAAGGAGCACCGUCCCUUUGUAGGAAAUUGCUCGAAUCCACGAGCAGGAAAUAGUUUUCUCGAAUCCACGAGUAAGAGAUUGUAGUUCUGAAUGAAAUUCUUAUUUCAAUGAAAAUUUGAAGUGCCAGUAACGAGGAUUGGUAGCUUGUAUUUAUAGCUGCCAAUCCUAAUUCUAAUCAGAACAUACUUGCAGAGAUAAUUAAUAAAACAUAUAAUAUUCCUACUUAAAAACAUAAACUAGAGUUCUAACUUGGAAACAAUAAUAUCAGUAGCAGAGGGGCUCUUAAAUAAUGGAAUCCGUGUGCAAUAAGGAAAAACGCAGCAGUGGCAGAGUGUGCUUCUAACUCUGAAGCUUGAAUCGUGAUGUGUUUAUCCUUGUUGGCCUAGGAUUUGAUUUGGUCUAGACUUCCUUCAUUAUACGGUCCUACAUCAGUCUCCCCUUCUUGAACAAAACGCGUCCUCGCGUUGAUUAGGUGAGAAGAACAUUCAUCAGGGGAUGAUAUUCAAACAAGGCAGCAACGUUGAAGGGGAGAAAUGGUCAUUUCUGCAGGGAGGUCCACAACAUAUGCGUUGUCAUUAAUCUGCUGUAGGAUUUGAAAAGGACCAUGCUUUUUAUGGUUCAGCUUGUUAUACGUUCCUGCUGGUAGUCGCCCCUUUCGUAGAUAUAUCAUCACAAGAUCACCAACCUGAAAGACUUUGGCUCGUCGUUGCGAUCUGCGGCUGUUUUGUAUCUGACAUUAGCUUCCUCUAGAUUCGCACGUACUUCUUCCUGAAUUGUUUUAAUCCGGUCAGCCAUAUGCUCUGCUGCGAUGCUCAUUCCUGGAAUCUUAGGCAGUGGUGCUAGGUCCAGUGCAUGAUGUGGUGGCUGACAGUAGACAAUUUGGAAUGGAGUUUUCCCCGUGGACCUGUUAAGCAUGCUGUUAUAGGCAAAUUCAGCCUGUGCCAGUGUAAGAUCCCAUUGUUUUGGUCUCUCUCCUGAUAGGCAGCGAAUCAAGUUUCCAAGAGUGCGGUUGACCACUUCUGUUUGCCCAUCGGUUUGAGGGUGGCUAGUGCUGCUGAAUUGCAAUGACGUAUCAAAUCGUCUCCAUAAUGUCCGCCAAAAAUGGCUUAAAAAUUUCGUGUCUCGAUCCGAAGUGAUGGAUUUAGGAACCCCAUGUAGACGAACCACUUCUUUAAAGAACAAAUUUGCGAUGUGCACGGCAUCUGAUGUCUUUUUGCAUGCGAUGAAGUAUGCCAUUUUAGAGUACCUGUCCACUACGACAAAAACAGAAUCAAAUCCACGCUGAGUUCGUGGAAGUCCCAGAAUGAAAUCCAUAGAUAAGUCUUCCCAAGGGGCUGCUGGGAUGGGUAACGGCAUGUAGAGGCCUGUGUUCUGCGUGUGUCCUUUGGCUGCUUGGCACGUGGGGCAACAUUUGACAUGGUUACCAAUAUCCCGUUUCAGCUGGGGCCAAUAAUACCUCUCUUCUGCCAUGGCCACUGUCUUGUCCCGACCAAGAUGGCCUCCCAAACCGCCACCAUGUAGCUCUCGGGUUAUCUGUUCCCGUAAGGAGCUCCUGGGGAUACAUAACUGAUUGCCCCGAAAUAAAUAUCCUUCUUGAAUAUGCAUGCCAUCCUGUGAGAGUCCCUGGAUGCAUUUGGUCCAGAUAUGGCCAAAGUCGUCAUCCUCUGCAUACAAAUCCUUGAGGCAGUCGAAACCCAUGACUUCAGUCCGUAUGGUGACAAGCAAUAACGCCCUUCGACUUAGAGCGUCCGCAACUUUAUUUAACUGUCCAGCUUUAUGUUUCAGGGAGAAGGUGAACCUUUGGAUGAAGGAUAUCCAACGUGCAUGCAUUCGGUUCACACUGUUCUGGUUAUUGAUAAAUUGUAAGGCGUGGUGAUCACUGAAGAGGAUAAACUCCCUUUGCACUAAGUAGUGCUCCCAAACCUUUAAAGCACGAAACACAGCAUAAAGUUCAAGUUCGUAGGUGGACCAUUUCUUGCGAGAUUCACUUAGUUUCUCGCUGUAGAAAGCAACAGGCCGUCCUUCCUGAGAUAAUACAGCACCAACACCGACGAUUGAUGCAUCACACUCCACUUCAAAUAAUUUUUCAAAAUCUGGCAAUGCGAGAACUGGAGCGGAAGACAACCUUUCAAUUAGUAUAAAGCUUUGUUCUGCUUCAGUUCCCCAAUAGAAUUUCCCUUUCUUCAUGCAUUCAGUGAUCGGCGCGACGAUUCGACUAAAAUUUCUGACAAACCGUCGAUAGAAUGUUGCUAAGCCAUGGAAGCUACGCACCUCACUGACAUUCUUUGGAGUAGGCCAUUCUCGGAUGGCUUUUAUUUUGCUUUCGUCGACUUUAAUCCCGUCAGCACUCACAACAAAUCCCAAAAAUAGCAAACUACUGGUCAUGAAGUCGCACUUUGUCAAAUUAACAUACAACUUGUUCUGUUGUAAUACUGUUAGCACUUCCCUCAAGUGCUCAAAAUGAUCAGACUUGCUUUGGCUAUAAAUUAAUAUAUCGUCGAAGUACACUACAACAAAGCGGCCGGUGAAGGGUUUAAGUACCUGAUUCAUUAGACGCAUGAAGGUACUCGGUGCGUUGGACAGUCCAAAGGGCAUUACUAGCCAUUCAUAUAAGCCCUCUCUCGUCUUGAAAGCAGUUUUCCAUUCAUCCCCGGGUCUAAUUCGAAUAUGAUGAUACCCACUCCGUAAAUCAAUUUUUGAAAAAUUUUUCGAUCCUGACAGCAUGUCUAGCAUAUCCUCUAGGCGAGGGAUUGGAAACCGAUACUUAAUUGUGAUUUUGUUAAUAGCUCGGCUGUCUAUGCACAUGCGCCAACUACCAUCUUUCUUUGGUACUAGCAAGGCUGGUACCGCGCAAGGACUCAUGCUUUCCUGAACUAGUCCCUUUCUGAUAAGUUCUUCUACCUGCUCUUGUAGGAUUUGACUCUCUUUCGGACUCAUCCGAUAAUGGGGUCGAUUUGGCAGACUAGCUCCUGGAGUUAAAUCAAUUUGGUGUUGAAUAUCUCGCAUGGGGGGUAUCCCAUCUGGUAGUUCUGAUGGUAUGAUUUCCUGAAACUCUGCUAGUAAAGGUUUUAGCUCCUGUGGAAUGUUGUGACUUUCGGUACCGAUUCCUCCCCCAAUUACUACUGCAAACAGCUCUCUUGUUUUCUUGGCUUCCUCUAUAAAGUUUUCCCCAUCAACUAGGAGGACUGACUUCCCUUUAGCUUUUGGUUUGACUAAAGAAAAUUCUUCCUUUAUUGGACCCAACACAACUUUCUGCCCUUUAUUCAUGAAGAUAUACACGUUAUCGCGCCCCUUGUAUAUAGCAUCUACAUCAAACUGCCACGGUCUGCCUAGAAUUAUAUGACAGGCGUCCAUCUCAACUACGUCACAAGUAAUGUUGUCUAGGUAAUUUUGCCCAAUAGAAAAUUGAAUAUGGCAAAUUUCUGUGACCUUUGCUUCUGCACCCUGUCUGAUCCAGCCGAUCUUAUAUGGUGAUGGAUGCUUCUCCGUCGUUAACCCCAGCUUUGUUAUCAUGCUCCUUGAGAUUAUAUUUUCGCUGCUGCCGCUAUCUAUAAUGACAUCACAUACUUUUUUGUUCACGGUGCACCUGGUUCGAAAUAUGUUGUGUCGCUGUGAUUGUUCCACCUGUUUUGGUGCAAGUAGCAAUUUUCGAACCACUAGGGAACGUGAUAAUAAUUCUCCCUCAUCUCCCCCUGUGACUUCGUCCUCUUCAUAGGUGUAUGCUAAUUCAUCUCCUCCUCCUUCUGCUGUCAACUCUGGUUCUAUUAAGUGCACUGUGCUCCGUUUGGGACAUUGAUUGGAGCGAUGUCCUGGCUGCCCACAUCUAUAGCAUUUAUCUGUCGAUGGGCGAGCAUAUGGGUUUCUAGGUGCUUCUAUCAUUCCUCCAGUCUUUGAGGGUGCCCCAUUACUGUGUGGUCCUUUGGAAGUAUUGGUCAGUGGUGGUUGAAAAGCUGGGAGCUUUCCUUUGUCUACUGCAACCCGAUUAAGAUCAAAAGAGUUUCUCGUUCCAGCUAUCGACUUUGCCCUUUCCAGUUGUGCUUCUGCCUUUGUAGCCAGGUUGAUGGCUUCAGUUACAGAAUAUAUAGUUUGCAUGGAGACCCGAUCUUGUAUCGCCAAACGUAGACCACUCACAAACCUGCUGACUUGUUGUGCGUCAGUUUCUGAUAGAUUAUUACGUGAUGAUAAUCUAUGGAAUUCUUCAACAUAUGUUUGCACUGUUCUGCUUCCUUGUCUGCAAUCCUGAUAUUGUUGGAACAGGAUUUGUUCAUAAUCUGGUGGUAAAUACCUUGCUCGUAGAAGCCGUCUCAUCUUUGCCCAUGUUUGUACCAUUCCUUUUCUUUGUCGCGCCCGUGUGAGUUGCAGUUGCUCCCACCAAGCAGAGGCCCCUCCCAUCAAUCUGUAAGCAACCAAUUUUACCUUCUUAUCUUCAGGGAUUUCCAUGUAGUCGAAAAAUCUUUCAACCACGGCCAGCCAAUCAAGAAACCCCUCUAUUUGCAACUGACCAUUGAAACUGGGUAAAUCCAUUUUCAUACGGAAGGUUUGUGGUUCUCUUCCUCCCAUAUUGCGUUGUCCCUGGCGAUUGUGUCGAAACAUGUGUUCGACAUAUUCCCUCAUCAUCACUCAGUUCUUCCUCGUAAGCUAACUGCCUACGUGGAGGUGGAUGGCGUUCACGAGCAGGAGCAAUCCUUUCUCUGUAAUUUUCGCCUUCAUGCUGCAGGUUAUUUCCUGUUGUUAGCCUAGCAAGGGUUGCUUGUAUGGCUUGUAACGCCUGCUGGGUCUCACGCGGGAAGUUCCUGAAUUCUGUUUGUGUGAUCAUGCUCUCUUCAUGUUUGCCGUCAUCAAAGUUUUCGUUUUCACUCCGUGUGUUUGCCAUCUGAACAAGUUAACACCUGCUCUGAUACCAACUGAAGUAGCGGAAGCUUAUUAAAUAAAAAGGAGCACCGUCCCUUUGUAGGAAAUUGCUCGAAUCCACGAGCAGGAAAUAGUUUUCUCGAAUCCACGAGUAAGAGAUUGUAGUUCUGAAUGAAAUUCUUAUUUCAAUGAAAAUUUGAAGUGCCAGUAACGAGGAUUGGUAGCUUGUAUUUAUAGCUGCCAAUCCUAAUUCUAAUCAGAACAUACUUGCAGAGAUAAUUAAUAAAACAUAUAAUAUUCCUACUUAAAAACAUAAACUAGAGUUCUAACUUGGAAACAAUAAUAUCAGUAGCAGAGGGGCUCUUAAAUAAUGGAAUCCGUGUGCAAUAAGGAAAAACGCAGCAGUGGCAGAGUGUGCUUCUAACUCUGAAGCUUGAAUCGUGAUGUGUUUAUCCUUGUUGGCCUAGGAUUUGAUUUGGUCUAGACUUCCUUCAUUAUACGGUCCUACAUCAGUCUCCCCUUCUUGAACAAAACGCGUCCUCGCGUUGAUUAGGUGAGAAGAACAUUCAUCAGGGGGAUGAUAUUCAAACAAGUCAGCAACGUUGAAGGUGGGAGAAAUGGUCAUUUCUGCAGGGAGGUCCACAACAUAUGCGUUGUCAUUAAUCUUCUGUAGGAUUUGAAAAGGACCAUGCUUUUUAUGGUUCAGCUUGUUAUACGUUCCUGCUGGUAGUCGCCCCUUUCGUAGAUAUAUCAUCACAAGAUCACCAACCUGAAAGACUUUGGCUCGUCGUUUGCGAUCUGCGGCUGUUUUGUAUCUGACAUUAGCUUCCUCUAGAUUCGCACGUACUUCUUCCUGAAUUGUUUUAAUCCGGUCAGCCAUAUGCUCUGCUGCGAUGCUCAUUCCUGGAAUCUUAGGCAGUGGUGCUAGGUCCAGUGCAUGAUGUGGUGGCUGACAGUAGACAAUUUGGAAUGGAGUUUUCCCCGUGGACCUGUUAAGCAUGCUGUUAUAGGCAAAUUCAGCCUGUGCCAGUGUAAGAUCCCAUUGUUUUGGUCUCUCUCCUGAUAGGCAGCGAAUCAAGUUUCCAAGAGUGCGGUUGACCACUUCUGUUUGCCCAUCGGUUUGAGGGUGGCUAGUGCUGCUGAAUUGCAAUGACGUAUCAAAUCGUCUCCAUAAUGUCCGCCAAAAUGGCUUAAAAAUUUCGUGUCUCGAUCCGAAGUGAUGGAUUUAGGAACCCCAUGUAGACGAACCACUUCUUUAAAGAACAGAUUUGCGAUGUGCACGGCAUCUGAUGUCUUUUUGCAUGCGAUGAAGUGUGCCAUUUUAGAGUACCUGUCCACUACGACAAAAACAGAAUCAAAUCCACGCUGAGUUCGUGGAAGUCCCAGAAUGAAAUCCAUAGAUAAGUCUUCCCAAGGGGCUGCUGGGAUGGGUAACGGCAUGUAGAGGCCUGUGUUCUGCGUGUGUCCUUUGGCUGCUUGGCACGUGGGGCAACGUUUGACAUGGUUACCAAUAUCCCGUUUCAGCUGGGGCCAAUAAUACCUCUCUUCUGCCAUGGCCACUGUCUUGUCCCGACCAAGAUGGCCUCCCAAACCGCCACCAUGUAGCUCUCGGGUUAUCUGUUCCCGUAAGGAGCUCCUGGGGAUACAUAACUGAUUGCCCCGAAAUAAAUAUCCUUCUUGAAUAUGCAUGCCAUCCUGUGAGAGUCCCUGGAUGCAUUUGGUCCAGAUAUGGCCAAAGUCGUCAUCCUCUGCAUACAAAUCCUUGAGGCAGUCGAAACCCAUGACUUCAGUCCGUAUGGUGACAAGCAAUAACGCCCUUCGACUUAGAGCGUCCGCAACUUUAUUUAACUGUCCAGCUUUAUGUUUCAGGGAGAAGGUGAACCUUUGGAUGAAGGAUAUCCAACGUGCAUGCAUUCGGUUCACACUGUUCUGGUUAUUGAUAAAUUGUAAGGCGUGGUGAUCACUGAAGAGGAUAAACUCCCUUUGCACUAAGUAGUGCUCCCAAACCUUUAAAGCACGAAACACAGCAUAAAGUUCAAGUUCGUAGGUGGACCAUUUCUUGCGAGAUUCACUUAGUUUCUCGCUGUAGAAAGCAACAGGCCGUCCUUCCUGAGAUAAUACAGCACCAACACCGACGAUUGAUGCAUCACACUCCACUUCAAAUAAUUUUUCAAAAUCUGGCAAUGCGAGAACUGGAGCGGAAGACAACCUUUCUUUAAUUAGUAUAAAGCUUUGUUCUGCUUCAGUUCCCCAAUAGAAUUUCCCUUUCUUCAUGCAUUCAGUGAUCGGCGCGACGACGACUAAAAUUUCUGACAAACCGUCGAUAGAAUGUUGCUAAGCCAUGGAAGCUACGCACCUCACUGACAUUCUUUGGAGUAGGCCAUUCUCGGAUGGCUUUUAUUUUGCUUUCGUCGACUUUAAUCCCGUCAGCACUCACAACAAAUCCCAAAAAUAGCAAACUACUGGUCAUGAAGUCGCACUUUGUCAAAUUAACAUACAACUUGUUCUGUUGUAAUACUGUUAGCACUUCCCUCAAGUGCUCAAAAUGAUCAGACUUGCUUUGGCUAUAAAUUAAUAUAUCGUCGAAGUACACUACAACAAAGCGGCCGGUGAAGGGUUUAAGUACCUGAUUCAUUAGGCGCAUGAAGGUACUCGGUGCGUUGGACAGUCCAAAGGGCAUUACUAGCCAUUCAUAUAAGCCCUCUCUCGUCUUGAAAGCAGUUUUCCAUUCAUCCCCGGGUCUAAUUCGAAUCUGAUGAUACCCACUCCGUAAAUCAAUUUUUGAAAAAAUUUUCGAUCCUGACAGCAUGUCUAGCAUAUCCUCUAGGCGAGGGAUUGGAAACCGAUACUUAAUUGUGAUUUUGUUAAUAGCUCGGCUGUCUAUGCACAUGCGCCAACUACCAUCUUUCUUUGGUACUAGCAAGGCUGGUACCGCGCAAGGACUCAUGCUUUCCUGAACUAGUCCCUUUCUGAUAAGUUCUUCUACCUGCUCUUGUAGGAUUUGACUCUCUUUCGGACUCAUCCGAUAAUGGGGUCGAUUUGGCAGACUAGCUCCUGGAGUUAAAUCAAUUUGGUGUUGAAUAUCUCGCAUGGGGGGUAUCCCAUCUGGUAGUUCUGAUGGUAUGAUUUCCUGAAACUCUGCUAGUAAAGGUUUUAGCUCCUGUGGAAUGUUGUGACUUUCGGUACCGAUUCCUCCCCCAAUUACUACUGCAAACAGCUCUCCUGUUUUCUUGGCUUCCUCUAUAAAGUUUUCCCCAUCAACUAGGAGGACUGACUUCCCUUUAGCUUUUGGUUUGACUAAAGAAAAUUCUUCCUUUAUUGGACCCAACACAACUUUCUGCCCUUUAUUCAUGAAGAUAUACACGUUAUCGCGCCCCUUGUAUAUAGCAUCUACAUCAAACUGCCACGGUCUGCCUAGAAUUAUAUGACAGGCGUCCAUCUCAACUACGUCACAAGUAAUGUUGUCUAGGUAAUUUUGCCCAAUAGAAAAUUGAAUAUGGCAAAUUUCUGUGACCUUUGCUUCUGCACCCUGUCUGAUCCAGCCGAUCUUAUAUGGUGAUGGAUGCUUCUCCGUCUUUAACCCCAGCUUUGUUAUCAUGCUCCUUGAGAUUAUAUUUUCGCUGCUGCCGCUAUCUAUAAUGACAUCACAUACUUUUUUGUUCACGGUGCACCUGGUUCGAAAUAUGUUGUGUCGCUGUGAUUGUUCCACCUGUUUUGGUGCAAGUAGCAGUUUUCGAACCACUAGGGAACGUGAUAAUAAUUCUCCCUCAUCUCCCCCUGUGACUUCGUCCUCUUCAUAGGUGUAUGCUAAUUCAUCUCCUCCUCCUUCUGCUGUCAACUCUGGUUCUAUUAAGUGCACUGUGCUCCGUUUGGGACAUUGAUUGGAGCGAUGUCCUGGCUGCCCACAUCUAUAGCAUUUAUCUGUCGAUGGGCGAGCAUAUGGGUUUCUAGGUGCUUCUAUCAUUCCUCCAGUCUUUGAGGGUGCCCCAUUACUGUGUGGUCCUUUGGAAGUAUUGGUGAGUGGUGGUUGAAAAGCUGGGAGCUUUCCUUUGUCUACUGCAACCCGAUUAAGAUCAAAAGAGUUUCUCGUUCCAGCUAUCGACUUUGCCCUUUCCAGUUGUGCUUCUGCCUUUGUAGCCAGGUUGAUGGCUUCAGUUACAGAAUAUAUAGUUUGCAUGGAGACCCGAUCUUGUAUCGCCAAACGUAGACCACUCACAAACCUGCUGACUUGUUGUGCGUCAGUUUCUGAUAGAUUAUUACGUGAUGAUAAUCUAUGGAAUUCUUCAACAUAUGUUUGCACUGUUCUGCUUCCUUGUCUGCAAUCCUGAUAUUGUUGGAACAGGAUUUGUUCAUAAUCUGGUGGUAAAUACCUUGCUCGUAGAAGCCGUCUCAUCUUUGCCCAUGUUUGUACCAUUCCUUUUCUUUGUCGCGCCCGUGUGAGUUGCAGUUGCUCCCACCAAGCAGAGGCCCCUCCCAUCAAUCUGUAAGCAACCAAUUUUACCUUCUUAUCUUCAGGGAUUUCCAUGUAGUCGAAAAAUCUUUCAACCACGGCCAGCCAAUCAAGAAACCCCUCUAUUUGCAACUGACCAUUGAAACUGGGUAAAUCCAUUUUCAUACGGAAGGUUUGUGGUUCUCUUCCUCCCAUAUUGCGUUGUCCCUGGCGAUUGUGUCGAAACAUGUGUUCGACAUAUUCCUCAUCAUCACUCAGUUCUUCCUCGUAAGCUAACUGCCUACGUGGAGGUGGAUGGCGUUCACGAGCAGGAGCAAUCCUUUCUCUGCAAUUUUCGCCUUCAUGCUGCAGGUUAUUUCCUGUUGUUAGCCUAGCAAGGGUUGCUUGUAUGGCUUGUAACGCCUGCUGGGUCUCACGCUGGAAGUUCCUGAAUUCUGUUUGUGUGAUCAUGCUCUCUUCAUGUUUGCCGUCAUCAAAGUUUUCGUUUUCACUCCGUGUGUUUGCCAUCUGAACAAGUUAACACCUGCUCUGAUACCAACUGACGUAGCGGAAGCUUAUUAAAUAAAAAGGAGCACCGUCCCUUUGUAGGAAAUUGCUCGAAUCCACGAGCAGGAAAUAGUUUUCUCGAAUCCACGAGUAAGAGAUUGUAGUUCUGAAUGAAAUUCUUAUUUCAAUGAAAAUUUGAAGUGCCAGUAACGAGGAUUGGUAGCUUGUAUUUAUAGCUGCCAAUCCUAAUUCUAAUCAGAACAUACUUGCAGAGAUAAUUAAUAAAACAUAUAAUAUUCCUACUUAAAAACAUAAACUAGAGUUCUAACUUGGAAACAAUAAUAUCAGUAGCAGAGGGGCUCUUAAAUAAUGGAAUCCGUGUGCAAUAAGGAAAAACGCAGCAGUGGCAGAGUGUGCUUCUAACUCUGAAGCUUGAAUCGUGAUGUGUUUAUCCUUGUUGGCCUAGGAUUUGAUUUGGUCUAGACUUCCUUCAUUAUAUGGUCCUACAUCAGCUCUAGUGAAGGCGUGGGGGUAGGCGGUGGCUGAUGAUAGCCACCUUUGCAAACGAUGAGAAAGAGCACGAUCCACCACAAAACAGCAGAAGACAAAGCAGUAGGCCGAGAGAAGAAAAGGGAGCAGAGUUGACCGAGAGAGAAGUAGAGCUGACCUAGAGAGCGGUAUCUUCACAAAUGGAGAGGUUUGUGUUUUCUGUAGCUGGUAGAAAAAAGAUACAGAGGAUGAUAGGCAACUGAGAUGGAGAGUACCUGUUUGUUUGCUGGUUUUAAAAAAAGAAGUUAUUUUCUAGAAAAUAAAUUAUUUAUUUAUAUAUAUAUAUAUAUAUAUAUAUAUAUAUAUAUAUUCAAGAAAAAUUAUUUAUAAAAUAUUUUUCAAUACUAGGUUAUAUCAUAAAAAUAGUAAAAAAUAGUUUAUUUAUUUAUAUUUUAAUUAUUUUUUAAGUUUAUUAAAAAAAUAAAAAUUACUAAUAAAAAAAUAGAAAAUAAAUCUGAUAAAUAAAAAAUUAAAAAAAAUUAAAAAAAUAAUUUCAUUAAUUAUUUUAAAUAAGAUAAAUAUCAAUUAAAUUAAUAAAAAUCAAAUCUAAUAAAUUUAAAAUUUCAAUUAAAAGAUAACAAUCAAAAGAGAUAAACUAAAUUUAAUAUAAAAAUCAAAUUUUAAAUGAUAAAAUUAAAAAAAUCAAAAUAAAAUAUAUAAAAGCUUAAAUAUUAAGGAUUAAAUUUGAUAUAUUAAUAAAUAAAAGAUAAAAUUUAGUCAACUUUUUAUAUAUUAAUCAAAAAUAAAAAUUAAAACUAAAAAACUAAUAAUUUAAUUAUUUCAGACAAAAAUUAUUUUAAAAAAUACUAUAUAUUUGAAUUCCAUGCACUUUUUUCAUUUUAGGUUUUAUUUCAAUCAUACCUCAACAAUAUUUAUUUACAAAGCAUACAAUUAAUUUAGUUAGUUUAAUAUAUUUUAUUAUUUUAAUUUAUUGAUAUCAAAAAUAAAUUUUAAAAAAUAAAAAUUUUAAAAAUUAAUUAUUGCCUCUAUGUGAAACACCAUUAAUUUUCUCUUCUUUCCAUUGCAUCAUUGGCUUCUACGCCUGCAAAUCUAGGUACCUUUUUUAUAUAUAAAAAAAAUUCGUUACUUUUUGCUAAAAACAACCAAGUUAGUGACAGUUUAUGCAUACUUGACAUGUCUUGCAGAGGAAACAGAAGCACCCUACUUUGCAUUCAGCUGGUUAAACGACAACAACACGUUCCAAACAGAAGAUGCUUCAACUAAACUGACCUAAGAGAGCUUAGACAAACAUCUCGAUAGACUUUGUUGAAGGCUUCAAAUGGUAAAUCUCGAUAGACCUAAGCAAUUUUUAUUCACAAAGAUAAAAUCUGGAAAGAACUAUUUAAGAUAUUAGGGGUGAAAUUGCUUUUAAGUUUAGCUUAUCACCCAUGAACUGAUAGACAAUCAGAAAAAGGUUAGCUAGUGCAUGCACAAACCUUAAAUGGUACAAUUCAAGUUGCCAUUCUGCUAUUAAAAUAUCAAACACCUAAAAUGAUGAUUCGGGGGAUAACUAAUGUGGUUGUUGUGGAUGAAAUGAUACAACAGAGAGUUGAAAUGAAUCGAUUACUUGGAUCUCAGAAAUGGCAAGGAACAAGAUGAAAUGGAUGUGUUUUUUUUUUUUUUUUUUCAGCACCUCGAUUUUGCUUACUGUAGCUCCUGUUGUUGCCCCUUUUUUUUUUUUUUUUUAAUAUAGCAGGUUUUUUCAAACUUGGAUGCAAUUUUUAAUUUUUGCUUUUCCCAGGAUCGAAUUAGGUUGCUCGCUAUCUUGCACGCCCUUUCUUUUCCUAUGCUUGUUUUCCUGCAGAUUGGUUGUUUUGCAGCAACGGUAUUUGACUCUUUUUUUUUGUUCGUCUUUAAAAAAAUAUUUUUUAUAUAUUUUUUAAAAGUUAUUUUUAAUAUUAAUAUAUUAAAAAAUUUCUUGUUAUUAUUAAUUAUGGUGUCUUAUCAUAUCAUUGGGGAGAGGUGAGUUUCCUCUUAGGUGACAUGUGGGAAAAAAGUAACCAUGGACGAGAAAUAAGGUGCCUUGCUCUACAUAUAGAGAAUGAAUUUGGCGUGCGUUAGUGGGUGGUUUGUGACAUUGUUAAAACUUCAUAUGUUUAGAGGUUGGUAUUGGGUCGAGACCCAAUUAAUGAAUUGUUAUUGACUUAAUCUCUAUGUGCUUCAUGGCGGGAUUUUAGUUCAGAAGCUUUUUGUUAACUCAGAGUUGUCAUGUUCAAUAUAUAAGCUUUUAUAUUGCUCAGGCACUUCAAAUGAAGAUGGAAGUGCGGAGGAAACUUCAUGGAUAUAUUGCAGGUAUGAAGACAUUUACAGCUGAGAAUUGAAGCUCGAGGGGAACUACAUGCAGUCAGUGUUGAAGAAAGCGCAAGAAAGACUGCCUAAACACUUCAAAAGACAGGAGGCUCAAGCUUAAAGGAUGCUAGAUGUUAUCUAAUUGAUUUUUAGUAGAGAUUUUCAGGAUUGAUUCGCUUAAUGGAAGAACUUGAUUGCACUGUCCUGCUUAUUAUGGCCAUUUUGAUUACCUUCAAGCUACUCUUUCUGCUGCCAUCAAUCCAACCUGUUACUGUUUCUUGGUAACUAUAUCUUCAUUCUAAGAUUGAUUUCGCUUUCCCUUCUCUUCUGUUUUUUUAUCAGAGUUAUCUCUGCAAAGACAAUGAACUUCGGGUGAGCCCCACAGGUUACAGCCAAGUAAACAACGAGAAUGCAUGCUCCCGCCAGCCUGCAAAAUCUAGCACAAAGCAAUCGUUUGGGUCAUAGUCUAAGGCCUUAGCCCACAGCCAAUCUCGAAAUGGAAUGAUUCUUUUAUUUGUUUUUUGUUUUUUGCAUUUAGGACUCUCAUUUCUUCGUAUGUUUACUUCGUUUAAUUUUUUAAUCAAAGCUAAAGCUCGGUUGACUUGAUCAAGAUGAUCGGAUUCACAGUCUAAAAGCCCUCAUCAACAUAAAUUAUCAUUUUAAAUUUGUUUUUUUUUUAAUAUUUAAUUUUUUAUAAGAUUUUUUAUAUAUGUAGCCUUGCAUAAUUUUUUUUUAAUUAUUAUUCAAUAAAUUUUAUGUGUGUUAGUUUCUAUUAUAAAUAUUAUGUUUUUUUAUUACAAAUUUAUUUUGAUAAAGAGGUUCAUUAAACAUAAUUAGGUAAAUUAUCCGUGUUGCGAUAUUAGAUAUCCUGAUUUUAUUUUUUGCUUGGUUUUUCAAUUUUAUUUUUGUUUAUUGUUGAUGAAUCUUUUUUUCAUUGCUUUACACAAAUUGGUUAUUGAUUUGUUUAAUUAGAUGCGUGCAUAAGCUUUUCAAUUAACAUCUAAGAGUUUUUUUUAGUGUAAAAAAACAUGUUGAAUAAUUUGUAAUUCAUUUUUUUUAUUAUGUUUUGAUGUUUAAGAUUUGAUGCUUAUUUUAUGAUUUUUUUUUUAUUUUUCCCUUGAAUCUUUUAUAAAGUUUUAUUGUUUUUAGUUUCACCCUUCAAUUCAAGUUUAUGUGUAUUUUUUUUUUCUUUGUUCUUUUGAUUUUUGUCAUUUUGUUAAUGUUUUUAUUUUUUCAUUUUAACUCUCAAAUUUAAAAUUUAUUGUUGCCGUUUGAUUUAUUUUUUAUUGCAAUUUUAACACUCAUUAUUUUUAUUGUAUUUUCUUGAUUUUGUGUUUUUUCUGUGAUUUUAACCCUCAUGCUUUUUUCAUGUAUAGUGCUUUCGAUUUAUAACCUGGGUCACGGUUUAAAAACAACAAUAAUUGAUUUUUUUAUCUUUUUUUUUUUAUUUUCUUUCUACGCAAUUAUCUUAUUCUCAUUUAUUUUUUUACUUAGUUAAUAAAUAAGAUCAUUGAGAUAUUUUAAGAAUAUUAUGAAGAUAUAGUUCUAUAAUAUUGGCAAAUGUUCAUCUUUUAUAUUGAAUCGUUGUUUUUUUUUCUGUUUUAUUUGUUAUCGAUAUUUUAUUUUUUAAUGAUAUUAUUAAAUUAACCGAGUCAAUUGAACUCAUUAGAGCCAAUUAUCUGUAUAUUAUAUAUUUUUAAAAUAUUUUUAUGCUAAAAAAAACCUUAGCAUAUCAUAGCCACCUAUUAAAAAAAACUAAAACAGAUCAGAGAAUCACUGUAGAUUGUGUCUAAAAUCACUGUGGAUUGCACUGUUUGCUUUUAAAAUUCAUUCUUGCGGUAAGUCUUAGCCAGUUGUGUUUCACUGUUUUUUCAUUUAUUUUGUUGGGCAUGUGGCAGGAUCCCUACCACAUAUCUUUAUGUUUUUUUUUAGCAGGUUACAGGUACAACUUUUCAUCUCUUUGUUUUUUCUGAUACAAACGCAAAGAACACCUCCCAAACAAAUCAAAUAACACAUUCACAAUUCCAGAUCUAUCUCUUCUCUGAUCUGUUUUAGUUUUUUUUUAAUUAAAAAAAAAUGCUAAAACGGCUUAAGGAAACAUUGUGCCCACUAUGUGUAAUUACUGUGGGCUGGAGCUUAGUGUUUUCAAAGCUAAGUUGGAAUUCAUGGAGGGAAGAUCGUCUUGGUUUCACUCCAAGAUCUCAAUUUGCAUUUCAGUUCUCAUCAGGAGGUCUGGGCGGAGCUUGCGUUUCGUUCACUCAAAAAGAAUGGAAUCUGGAUCCGUAAGUGAUUUUCUUCCUUACUUUAUAGAGCUUUGUCUGAUAGGGAAUUUUAGCUCCUCCUUUUUCUUGCUGCUUGGGUCCUCACGGACAGAUUUUAUAAUUGCAUAAUAUAGAUCCCAAAAGGAAAGAUCAGGAAAUGAAGAGUGAACAACGGCUUGUGAUAGCUUAGGCUAAAAGGGAAAGGGACUUUAUUCUGCAGAGACGUCGCCGCCACCAGAAAAUAUGGCUUGAUUUUAGGAGUCCUUUCUUCUGGGUUGUAUGUGUUCUCAGUAUGCUACAUUAAAUGCAACGCCCACUUGGUUGGAUUUGAUUGAGAGAGCAGGUGAGUUUAUUUGUGAUUAGUAAUUUGGUCAGAUUAUCAAAAAAAACUAAAAGAGAUCAGGAAAACAUUGUGGAUUCACUGUGGAUUCAAACAGUGUUUCUCACAACGAGUUUGUUCAAUUUCACGAGAAGUUUUGUUUAAUUUCUUUAAUUAUUUUUAUGUGUUGUUCACUGGCGGUUUCUUGGAUUUUGGUGGUUUCUUGGAUUCGAUAGGUGCGGUUUGUGGGGGAUGGGACAUUUAUCGGGGCUGGGAUGGUUAGGUGAGGUUUGCGGGGGAUGAGAUUGAUGUUGGGAUUGGGACUACAAAAUGGCAUAGGAAUCUGGAAUCAAUCAAGAACCAGCCGAGAACUUGCCUAAAAAAAGAACAAAAACGUGGGCACCAACCCAAAAAAUCUGGCGUGAUUUUGGGAGCCAUUUCUUCUAGAUUGUAUGGGUUCUCAUUAUGUGCAUUAAAUGCGAUGUCCACUUGAUUAGAUUUAGUUUUGUAUUACUAAAAAAGCUGGUAGGUUUCUUUGUGUUUGGUUGGGGAUUUUACUUUAAUUUUUGUUGUUGAGCACUUUGUGUACUGUUGUAGCUCUGGAGAUUACUGGUUACCAGGCUUGCCUAAAUCAAGCUGCAUUUCAGUUGAGUUUCAAUCUAUCAGAUCAAUUUGUCAUCUUUUGUCUUCUUUAUUUUUUUCCUAUCCCUGUCACCCUACCCUCUAAAAAAAAAGUCAUGAAGGCUAAAGUUAAAGAAUCGAUUCUCUCUCUCUCUUAAAAUUGAUUUGCUCAAUCUCACUUCCUUUUCAUUCUCACGAACAUGGCUUCUUUGCCAUGAAAUAUUCUUCUUUCCUUCCUCCCCAUAAGCAUCCAUUCACUUUGUCUCUGUGUUUAAACAAAAAAAAACAAACACUCACACAACAGGUUUCUCUCUCUCUCUCUGCCUCUCUCUCUUCCAUUCACGAAAAAAAAUUGAUCUCUUUGUUAUUUUUUGUUAUUUAUAUUCAAUUAUUGUAAACUCCUUCCUACAUGAAGAAUUUUUCAUGAUUUUAAUUGAAUUCCCAUAUGAGCUUGCAUAUUUAUUUAUUAUUAUGUAGAAGUUCUAGAAUGGGUUGUUUACCGCCAUCGUGAAGUUUGCUCAACAUGCAUGGCUCGACUUUGUUUCAUCUGUGAUGAUUGUCGUCGUUGUAUCUGCAAGACCAAGUCAUCUGUCGUUUUUGUCAUCAAGGUUAGGCCUGCCUUUUCAAAUUCCAUCUUUUAUGACUGUUAAUUCAUUUGAAUUUGAUGAUGGGCGUGAUUAAUUGAUAAUCAAUGAAUCAAAUUUGUUAGUUAGGUUAUGCUAUUUUCUUUAUCUUUGAAUAAGCAAGUGCAUAAUUUGUUGACAUCUCUAUAUUGCUUACCAUUGAUCUUGAUUAUUUCCAUGUAUAUUUAACAAUCUAAGCUUAAAUUGGUUAUUCCAUCUACGGUCCCUAACUUGGUUUUUAUGAGUAACAGUUUGCCCAGUCAGACCCAGUAAUCAGAUUGAAGAUUUUUGCAGCAUAGCUACUGGGUUGGGGUGAAGAAAUGAAAGUAGUGGUUGGAAAGUUAUAUUAUAUGGAGUUGUGUAAACACAUGUAUCGUGAUCAACAAUUAUUUAUGAUUUUGUCCAUAUAACUUCAUGAAUUCGGUUGACAACAAUAUUGACUUUAUUUUGUGGUCUUAAAACUUGGUGUCAAAAGUAAAGAAUGAACUAUAUGUAUAACGUGUGUGGUCUAUUACAUUACUAUCAAUCUGUUAUAGCUCAAGCUCAUUGUAGGAAAGUUAUUGUCUUGGACUAUUAAUUGUGCCUUUCUUUGAUGUUAUAUGCCUAAAUGUAAUGACAGAGAAGUCUUUUGUUAAUUUUGUUUUUCUUUCUAAUACCGAUGACAUUUUUUAUAAUGUAGAUUAUUAGGGCAUCAUCUCGGAUGGCAGGUUUGUGGGCAUAACCGCUAAGCAUUGACCUUCAUGUUAUGUUGAGAGGUGUGAUUAUUCAAGUGAUCCAAAUGAAAGCUAAUCCAUAUGCAUGUCAAAGAGACUUAUGACUUUUUUUUUUCUAACUAUCCAUAAGAUAUCUUUCUUGGCUUUACUUCUGCCUUCAGGAAACUACUGCUUGAAUUGGGAUGCAAGGAGGUUAUUUUCUAGCUUUAUAUCCCAAUGAACAAAACCCAUGUUAUGGCAAUAUUUGAUAACUGAAAUCGCUUGAGGGAUCUAUUGCUGCUACCGGCUGUUAGCUGAAGAAGAGUGUGAGAGGGAAAGAUUGGAUUUUUAUGGGAUGUUGAGGGUUUUAUGCGUGCGUGCGUGUGAAAGAAAGAGAGAGAUCUUUGUUGAUUGAGAAGAGAAGGAUCUAAUGUUUUUUCAAAAUUUUCUUGCAGAGAUCUUUAGACCAACAAUAUAGUUGUAGGGAUCUGCACAAGUUGAUCAGAAAGAAAACUUUGUAAGUGGUGUACAUCUUUCUAUGUAACUAGCAAUUUAUUACACGGUUAAUCAAGUUUUUUCUUUCAUUCAGCAAUGAGAAUGUGAUCAAUUAAUUCUUGGACUUUACAAGAUUUUAAUGGCUUCCUACUUUUGCCUUUUUUUUUGUUUCACCAUUAAACAAAUAGUUUACAUGAUAUACUAUAGCUUUGGAUAGGGACUGGCAGAACUUGGUGGUUGGUUAGGUUGCAGUCCUAACACAAAAUCAUUGAGUGUUUACAACACCAUCAACAAUUAACGCUGGACCACAUAGAAGAUGUGGUCAUUGAUGGAAAAUAGGUUGUAAAAAAGAGUUUGGCAAGUGCAGUGUUAUGUAUUAUAUCUUUUUGUUAAAUCAAAGGUGGUGAGUGCAUUGUUGUAGGGGUGGCUUCCAAGGUUCUUAUAGUUGGUCUUCCUAUAUAAUCAACACUAUCACAAUCAUUUACAGUGGACUUCCAACAUGUUACAAUGGUCUCGUAUGUUGAAGCCAUGUAGGAAACAAGUCUACAUGCUCCCAUCAACCUGUAAUUUCUAACACAACACAACUAUUGAACUUUUUGGUCCAGAAAUUUGAAGAGGACAUGUAGGUAACAUGUAUGAAUGCUCCUAUUAGGUUGUGAUUUCUAACACAUAACAACCAUUGAGCGUUUUGGAUUAGAAUUUCAAUGAAGAUCCUAAUCAUUCAUAAGAAUAUAUAUUUAUCACUUUGGGCUAUACUGCUUGAAAAUAGAAAACAAGCUAGGUGGUUUAUUUUUGGUUUGCCCUUUUUAAUUCAAAGAUUUCUUUCAUUCUUUUCAUGUUUCAUUACUAUUGAUACUGGAUUAGCCUUAUCCUUCACUCCAUUUAUUUUUGCUCAUCUCAUUAAUGUCCAUGAAUAACAUCACCUUCUUUUUAUAGGAAAACUGAAGCUCUAGAAAGGCUGCAUCACCGCUUUAGAAAUUUUUUUGUUGAUACAGUUGUGGCCUUCACAAACUUUUUCAUGGCUGCUAUGUAUAUUUAUUAAGAAACAUGAAACUCCAUACCAUGCUAGACUAACGUGCUUAAUUGAACAAGACAAUUCAAAUAUGUAAUUGCUUUGAAGGGUUUGAAACAACUCAUACGGCUGCUUUAUUGUUUUGCAUUACAGCCUUGCACAUGUUCAAAAAAAAUAAUGCAUUUUGCUUUUAUUGUGUUUAUAUAAACAUAGAACUAAUAUCUCAACCCGCGGCGAAGCGCGGGCAACAAAUCUAGUCUAGUACUAUCUAUAAACAUAUCAUCUUAUCCCAUCUCAUGUCACAUACUCAUUAAAAGCUUGACACGUGUAUGAUACACUGUGGUGCAAUCUGUGGUACAAUGACAAAGAUAUUUUAUAUCGAUUGAGAGGUUAAGGAGCCAGUCAAUAUUUUAUAUUUCAGUCUUUUGUGGCAUUAAUAAUAAUGAUAGAAACAUUGGUCCACACUCUUAGUUUCUUUCAUGGCAAAUACUUUUCCCUCAGGUCGAUGAUGAAGAGUAUAUGUAGGGUUCUUGAUUAUUCCUUCUUGUCGAGAAGCUUGUAGCAAUCUAUCACGGUGUCCUUGUCAAGAAAGAUCUGCCUAGGAAUAUAAACAUAUAGCUUGAAAAUGGAGAGCUAGAAUGAAAGUUAAUUAAUUAGGAUGAAAACAAAUUUGAAAAGGAAUUUAAUGAGAUUAAUUUAUUAAGAAUGUUUUAUUUCUAUAAAAGUUUAAUCUAUCCGCAUGCAUGCUAAGCAUAUAUUCAAACUAGCAAUUGAUAUAAAAUCAAAGUUCUAACAUACAUGCUAAUAAUAAAAUUAACUAUACUUAAAUCAAAACAAAAAAUUAUACUUGUUGAAGGACUUUAAAAUAAUAAGUUUUUUAUCGUUGUCAAGGAUAAAUUCAUUGCCCUUAAAGUUUUAUUGAUUGUUACUUGUGUAAUUAAGAUGUUUGUAAUAUGUUUUUCAAGAUUCUAAUGGCACUUUUAAACAUUUGAAUAAAAAAAUAUUAAACUCAAAUAUCUCACAAUAAAAUGAAACAUAUGCUCUAGAUUUGAGAGGAAAACUAAAGCUUAAAAUUAAAAGAAAACACUAAAAUAUUUGGAGGUAUUUUUAUCCUUUAACACAGAUCUUUUUAUUGUAUUUUCUUGAUUUUGGAUUUUUUGUGUUGUUUUUCUGUGAUUUUAACCCUCAUGUUUUUUUCAUGUAUAAUGAUUUCAAUUUUAUAACCUGGAUCACGGUUUAAAAAGUUAAUAGUAAUUGAUUAUUUUAUCUUAUUUUUUUGUAUUUUUCUUUCUACGCAAUUAUCUUAUUCUCAUUUUUUUUUUACUUUGUUAACAAAUAAGAUCAUUGAGAUGUUUUGAGAAUAUUAUGAAGAUAUAGUUCUAUAAUAUUGGCAAAUGUUCAUAAUUUCCAUUGAAUCGUUGGUUUUUUUUUUCCUGUUUCAUUUGUUGUCGAUAUUUUAUUUUCUAAUGAUAUUAUUAUAUUAACCGAGUCAAUUGAACUCAUUAGAGCUAAUUAUUUGUAUAUUAUAUAUUUUAAUUUUUUAAAAUAUUUAUUUUUUUUCAAUAUUUUUAUGCUAAAAAAAAAACCUUAGCAUAUCAUAGCCACCUAUAUAGUACUAUCUACAAACAUAUCAUCUUAUCCCAUCCCAUGUCACAUACUCAUUAAAAGCUUGACACAUGUAAGAUACUCUCUGAUGCAACCUGUGGUACAUCGACAAAGAUAUUUUAUUGGGUAAGAUGUUGGCCUUCGCUUGCUGGGCCUAACAACACCUGGCAUGAUUUCUUUUUUAUUAUUUUUAAAAUUUUUAGUUUUUCUUUUUAAAUAAAUAAUUAUUUGUGUGUAUUUUAUGAAUUAAAUUUUGGGUUUAUGUUUUAAUUAUAUUGUAAUUAUUUUUAAAUAAUAUUUGAUGUAUUUAAUUUUUAAAGAAAUAGAUAUGAUUCAUGUUAUUAUUUAAAUUAACCAAGUCAAUUGAAUUCAUUAGAGCCAAUUAUCUAUAUAUUAUACAUUUUUUAAGUAUUUAUUUUUUUCAAUAUUUUUUAUGCUAAAACAAAUAAACCUUAGCGUUAUAGCGAAUCGCAGCUAGUAUUACCUGUUAACUACAUAUCAUCUGAUCCCAUCCCAUGUCACACACUCAUUUAAAGCUUGACACGUGUAUGAUACUCUAUGGUGCAACCUGUGGUACAACGACAAAGAUAUUUUAUACCGAUUGAGAGGUUAAGGAGCCGGUCAAUAUUUUAUAUUUCAGUGUUUUGUGGCAUUAAUAAUAAUGAUAGAAACAUUGGUCCACAAUCUUAGUUUCUUUCAUGGCAAAGACUUUUCCCUCAGGUCGAUGAUGAAGAAUAUUUGUAGUGUUCUUGGUUAUUCCUUCUUGUCGAGAAGCUUGUGCCUUGUAGCAAUCUAUCACGGUGUGCUUGUCAAGAAAGAUGUCCAUAUUAAAGGGUAGAAGUGGUAAACAAAAGAGAUGACAGAAGGAGGAUGAAAGCACAUGAUCUCUCUAGGAAUUCUAUGUACAAUUAAUGCUCGAUAAUCAACUUCUUUUCGCGGUUAAAAGAUUAAAGAAUUAAUUUUUAUUAUUAAUAAUUUUUUACUCUUUAAAUAGAGAAUGGCUUUAGAUUAAAUUUUUAUUUAUUUAUACUUUAUUUAAAUUAUAUUAAAGAAAACAAAUUUCCAGCGCAAAGCAUAACAACACACCUUUUCAUUUAUUUUUUCUUAUUUUGUUUCUUUAAUUUAGUUUUUAAUUAUAUCUUCUUCUUUUUUUAAAUCUGUUAGUUUAACUAUUUUUAAAUAGUAAUUAAUCUUUUGGAUGGGUUUUUAAAUUUCAUAAUAUCUCAAAGGGAUUAUUGUAAUUUAUUUUAAUUUUUUUAUUAAUUUUUUUCAUAGCUAGAUAAGUUAUAUUUGCAUUAUAUGUUUUUAAUGAUGAAAAUAAAAUGUACUUAAUAACCAUAAUAAACCUUCAAGAUACAUAAAAAGAAACUCAUCUAUAAAAAAUGACUACCAAGUUUAUGUGUACUGUCAAGUCCAAGUCUAUUGAUGCAAGACCCAUAUAUUUAUAUUAAAUAAAUAAAUAAAAUAACACACCAGUUAUAUUGAUUUCCUUCGCAAUUGAAGUAGGUUAGGCUGGACUGCCUAAAUAUGAUGAAUAAAGGGCUGGAUUUGCAAAAUUAUUUACACAUUUUAAUUUGUUGAUUUGAUACUUCUCAAUCUGUGAAUUUACACUGCAUUAGUAAUUAAGAACUUAGAAGGUGAAUUGACAGAAAAGAAGAAGAAGAAGAAGAACCUAAUAUGUUAUUACUGAAAAGAGUAAAUUUCUGAACCUAACUCACAACAAUUUCCUUCAUUAUUGCUCACUAAAUGUUAUUACUGAAAAGAGUAAAUUUCUGAUCACUCUAUUUCUGAGAUGGCUGCCAACUCUUGGUGAAGACGUCUCGCUGGCAUGCGGCCUGCGCUGCUUCUCUUAGGGACAGAGGAGCUAAAAGGAUCAGGAGGCUUUGUUAAGUUUUCUCCUUCCCCUUCAAGCAUCUGGACAACAGUUUUCAUGGAAGGACGCUCUGCUGGGUUCCACUGAAUGCACCAUAGCCCCACAAUUGCUAGUUUCUUCGCAAUUUUAGCAUCUUCUUCUCCAUCGAUAUGAAACCGCAGGUCUUCUUCCUUUUCUAAGAGAUUAUAAAUCCAUUCCGGGAAGUAUAUCUGGUCGCCAUUUUCUGCUGUAUCAUCGACGUUUUUCCUUCCUCCAACCAUUUCCAACACUAACAUCCCAAAGCUGUAAACAUCUGAUUUAUAGGAAACACUCCCGAAGUUCCUCGAGAACACUUCCGGGGCAAUGUAGCCAACAGUCCCCCUAGCAGUCGUCAUGGAAAUAGCACUUUUAUCCUUGGAACACAGCUUUGCCAUCCCAAAAUCGGCGAUUUUGGGAUUGAAUUCGUUGUCAAGCAGGAUAUUCUGUGGUUUGAUAUCAAAAUGGAGGAUUCUUUGAUCACACCCCUGGUGAAGAUAUUCAAUCCCCUUGGCUAUGCCUAGAGCAACACGAUUCAACCUUUCCCAGCCAAGGAAAUGGUUCCUUGAGUCUGCUGAGGUUAUGAACUUCUGUAAUGAACCAUUUGGCAAGUACUCAUAAACCAGAGCUCGUCUGAAUCCAUCAGCACAGAAACCGAUCAAGCGAACAACAUUGACAUGGUGGAUCCUUGCCAUUGUUCCCACUUCAUUGAUGAAUUCCUCCCCUUUUCCUAUGGAAUUAUUGAGGAGCUUCACAGCUACAGCAAUUUCAUUGGUUAGCUUUCCUUUGAACACGGUUCCAUAAGCUCCUUGGCCCAAUUCAUCACCGAAUUGAUUUGUGAUCCUCUUGAGAUCAGCGUAGGAGUACCUAGUGGGAUUCAGUGAUCUGUAAUCAUCCAAAAACAUUUCAACCCUGCUUGAUAUUCUCUUUGUGUUUUAUCGUUGCUAUAGGCGCGGUAGAGUGCAGUAAUCACUAUAGCAAAAAGGAAGAAUCCUAAAAUCACACCUGCAUAUCAACAUUCUGAGUCAGGAAAUCUCUGUUUUUUGGGACGUAAGUAUUGAACCAAGUGUAAAAUUGAGAUGGAGAUUUGAGCAGACUACUAACCAGUAAUCAGUAGCUUUCGCCGCACAUCUGUAAGGGAUUGAAUACUUAUUAGCUUCUCCCUUUUGCAGGCAAUGGUAAAAUCAUGAAAGCAACAAAAACGAAAAGAGUUUCUUUAGUGUUUUGUUAUUUACAUAUUCAAAUGCCAAUUAUUAAUUUGAAAAAAGGAAGAAAGAUAGAAAAGCAUACCUUUAGUGUGCUGAAGGUAGCAUUCAGUUACAGAAGAUCCACAAGCUGGAUUGGACCAAGACAUAGUAAGAACAGAAUUUUCUUCCUGCAUCAUACUAUAUGGAAUUCCAUAAAUGUUGUACAUCUUGGUACAAGAUAACAAAUCAGAGUAACUGAUGGGAACACUUGAGUCAACGGCAUAAACUUCAUGCUUAAAAGUACUCAGACAUGGGAUUUUAUACAGAGACCUUUUCUCACUAGAAAGUGAACAAUUGAACAAGGUCCGAUUAUACAGCCAAUCGUUCAUAAUUUGGAAGGGAGAAGCCCCUAAACUGAAGUUUAAACGUUGCCUUGGAAAGCAACCUUGAGGAUACCUUGCAUAAAUAAGUUGAUGUCUAUAGUCAAUUCUUUCGAUGUGGAGACUCAAUCCAGUUGGCAGCUUAAGCACUGUGCUGUUGUCCUCUGAGCAGGAUAGAUCAUACCCAGGAUAGCCACAGUGGUCUGGUUGUUUGUCCUUGAUCCGGAAAGGAAAUCGGAUGUCAGGGCCGGGGUUUCCACAUGAUCCUGUGCAGUUCAAGCUUGCUCCAUGGCCUGCAAGGAAGACAAUGAAAAAGAAGAAGAAACACGUAACCAUUUCUGAUGAAUAAUUCAUCAUCUCCACACUCCUCCUAAGACUUUAUCUGCAUGUGCUGAUAUAGUUUAGGCCUUUCAGAAAACUCAUGUAGUCCUUAGAUGGGCGAGUACUGUAGUACACGCGUCCUUGCAUGAGAAUUUAUUUACUCCAUCGAUCUAGUGUGAUGCUCCUCCCUUUGACAUUCCUCCAAUCACAAACAUGUGGGAUCCCUAGCAAGAAUCUCUCUGUUGACAUAGCAUUCACAACUAAUAUGAAUAGGCACAUGGUAACAUGUUGAAUUUGGAAAUCUAGAACUGGCAGAAAAACUAGAUUCUAUGAAAUGAAUUUUAAUUAAAUGGUCGCCCUCUUAAUGCUUAUGCCAGAAGGGACUAGUAGUCAUGAUGGAUGCGAAAUUCUCAACAUGCAUAUUUGAAUGCAUUAUAUUUAAAUUGUGUUAUUAAUUCUUUUCUUCAUAAAAAGCUACAUACCAUUAACAAGAGAAAAGGAAACAGAAAUCUAAAUUUGUUUGCUGGGUCUAUGCUCUAAUUAGGUUUGGUUAUGUGUGCUUCUAUUCAUUUCUCUAAAUUCUAUAUAUGCAUUGGCCAGGAAAAAAAAUAUCACACUGCAUAAAUUUAUUUUAGAAAAUAACAUAUAUAUUUGAAUUUGUUAGGACAACUUGACUAGUGCAACAAGACAAAAAAAGAAGAAAAGAAAAAGAAAAAGAAAGAUAGCUGGGCCAGAUAAAAGGAAAAGGAACUAAAAAACGCAACUUCGUUACACCAAAAAGAAUGCUAGAAAAAUACUUUCUCAUCGUCAAUGUGAAAAAAGGAGGAAUCCAAACGCAUAUGCAAGUUCCAAAUCGGCUAUUAUGAAAAAUUACAUUAUUUAUGUACCCAAAAUCCAAAUCAAUUAUAACAACAGCUAAAACUACAUAAUAUUUUACUUUACAAGUUCACAGUGAAACACUGAGCUGUCUUUUUCUUUUCUUUUUUUGCUUAUUUGCUUUUUUAGUUGUUUUUUUUCCUUUUUUCUUUGUUUUUUAAAGUUGUUUCUUUUCUUUGUUUUAUUUUUAAUGAAUGUUUUUUUAAUUUUUUUUUUGUUAAUGUUAAAUUUUUUUCUAUUUAGUUAUCAAAUUUUUAUGAUACAGGUUUCGAGUUUAAUGGGUUAACCCAUAUUUUUUUUCUGGUUUUUCUUUAAUUAAUUUUUUUGAGUGCAGCCCACAGUGAAACGCUUAGCUAUCUUUUUUUUUCUGCUUUGUUUUUUUAAGCUGUAUUUUUUUUUUGUUUUUUUUUUUUUAAGCUGUUUUGUUUUCUUUGUUUUUUUUAAUGAAUUUUUUUUGUUUAUUUUUUUUUGUUAAUGUUAAAUUGUUUUCUAUUUAAUUAUCAAACUUUCAUUACAUGGGUUCCGGGUGUGACGAGUUAACCUGAAUUUUUUUUUUCUUUUUAAUUAAUUUUUUCGUUUAAUUUAGUUUGUUAAUGUUAAAUUUUUUUUAUUUAGUUAUCAAACUUUCAUGACACGGAUUCCGGGUUUGACGGGUUAACCCAUCUAAUUCUGAGUUAACCCGUAAUUUUUUUUUUCUAUUCAGUUAUCAAACUUUCAUAACACGAAUUCCAGAUUUGACGGGUUAACCCAAUUAAUUUAGAUUUUUUUUCUUUUUCUUCAUUAGUUUUUUUUCUAUUUAAUUAAUAUUAAAAGAAUGAAGUAAAUGAAUAAAUUGAGUGAUUAUUACCAAUGAGAAUUAUUGAUAAUUUAUAUGAAAUUACUAGAAUUAUGUGAAAGACCGCUUUAACUUUUUUAACCUGGUUGCUCUGUCUCAACCGAUUCAAUUAAUUUCUAGAAAUCAGUUUACUUUUAGCAUUUUCACUAUCUGUCCCUUACAACCGAAGGAAGCAUAUCUUAGAAUAUCUCAUGGAUUUGGACUGGAUUGGGUGUUUUGGUUUUUGAUGAGAUGCUCCAAGAAAAAUAUCAGGCUCGCUGGAUGUCGUUGUUUGUGGUAUUGACAGUUGAUGACUUUUUUUUUUUUAUUACUUUUCAAAGUUAAUGAUUCUGACAUUUCGAAGGAGGUGGGAAAUUAUCUUCGUCUGUGAAGUAGUGUUGAAUGGUGGAUCAAUAACUCACUGUCUGCUUUGCUACUAUUCCUAUCCGAUGACUCUGACAUUUCAAAGGACGACCAGGUAGGGGUGUUCUCCUUCACCUUUCAUUGCAUUAUCGGUAGCUUCCACUCCGAAAUUCAAUAGUUUUUGUUGGAGUAAAAAGAACAGGAAAAAAGAAGAACAGUUUGUGCAAAAAUUGCGUAUACACUGUGUAUCACUUCAGCCUUCCCCAUGUUUAAUUAGAGGAAUGAACGUCCUUUUUGCUUGCUACAUAGCUUUUCUUUUACAGCUAUUAGUCUUCCAAACUUGCCAUUCUAGCAACAUCACUGCUCAUUGUGCUCCUUCUUCAUGCGGCAACAUCCAAAACAUAAGCUACCCUUUCAGACUAGACACUGAUCCACAAAGCUGCGGAAACAAUAAUUAUACUCUGAUUUGCGAGAACAAUAUUUCUACAGUAUUAAAUUUGUAUUCAGGUAAAUACUACGUGCAGGCAAUCAACUACGGUAACUUCACAAUCCGAGUGGUAGAUGCUGGUGUACAAGAUAAUUGCUGCUCCAUCCCUCGUUAUUCUUUGGCACCUGAUAACUUCAGUGACGGAGAUCCGUACACAUGGUAUAACUACAAGCAGGUGCCGCGUGGAAUUUCCGUGUACUCUUGGCGGUACAAUUUACAUUCUACGCUAUCACUGCCUAUGAUUUUCAUGAGCUGUGAAAAUACGGUGAAUUUUCCUCUUUAUGUGGACACGGCUCCCUACGGAUCAGUAAAUUAUUCCAACUCUUCUCUUGUGACUCGUUCGAAUUAUGUGACUCUUGAGGUCAUGAGUGCCUCGGAUUUGAUGGAACUGUGCAGCAUAGAGAAAAUAUUUUUGCUUCCAAAGAAGAGCUACACAUACAAGUCCUUUGAAGAAAUACACAGUGACCUGGCAUAUGGGUUUGAGCUUUCAUGGUACAACAUAAACUGUGGAAAAUGCAGAAGAGGUUGCUACGUCAGCUGGUCAGACAAUCGUCGAUGCUUUGGUAUGUAACACUUGAUGAUUAAGUUGCAUCACUUUGAUUCAUAAGACCAUAUAUAACUUGUGAUUUGAGGUGGUUUCAUAUAUUUUCUCUGGCUUACUUUUCAAUUUUCAUUUUUUUCUGCGCAUUAGCACAAUAUUGCACUGUCCCCAGAUCGAUGUUCAUGUACAAAUUCUGUGCAUCCAUUACCUGUGAAUUCUACUAUAGUGGACUGAUCAUAAGAUUCAUUCAUGUUCAUAUUGUAAAAUAUUCUGACUAUAAUAUGGACAGAUUCAUUGGUCUUUUGCAAUUUCAGGAUUGACACAGUAAACCGUUUGGUUCAUCUUAACUUGACCAUGGAUACACAUUAAUUAGUUCAAGUCACAUUAUUAAAUUGUGUGCGCUCUUAUCUAUUUUUUUUUUCGCAUUUACUGUUACGUAUACCAUUAGAACUCUUUUUUAACCUAAAUUCUCGACAGAUUUUGGUGAAAGCAAUUGGCAACUUAUACUCUACAAUGUGACAGGUGCGAAUUCUAUUUCUACAUCUCACCAUGUUUGUGUAUUCUUACGUGUUUCUUUAAUUAAACUGUUAGAAAUAUUUGAAGAAGAAGAGUAAAAAUAGGAAUAUGAGAAAUAUGGUGAAAAACAAAUCUCAUAGUAAACUCCGCUAAGAGAGGAAGUCCUACUAGACUUGGACUUAGACUUGCAAUAUUUUUAAUAUAUAUUUAUAUUAGUUUAGGAUAAUUCAAGAGAUUUAAAAGAUAAAUAUAUAUUUAAGUAGUUACAUGUAUAUAUUUAGGAGACAUCUAGGAAAACUAAAACUAAAAGACACUUUAAAUGUAGACUUGAAAAUUAAUUCUAACAUAAACAACAUGUUUGUGAAAUAAGGAUUGUUGUUUCUUGAAUAGUAAUUGUAAUUUUGUUCACCAUUUUCUGCAGCUUUCCUCCUCUAUAUAUACGUUUCAAUUGGUAAGAGAUUCCUUCAUUUCUUUAGUUUCGCAACAUAUUUCUAGUGGAGACAACAAAUAAGAUCACAAAACUUGAUUGUUUUCUGGAAAUUUCCUACACAGCACUACUUCAUGUGCUAAAAGUUGUUUGUGGGACUCCAUGUGUGAUUAUAUUUUUGAUCUACAAAUGGCAAAGGAGACAUUUAUCAGUAUACGAUACAGUUGAACAAUUCCUACAAAGUCAGAAUAACCUGAUGCCAGUAAGGUAUUCCUACUCAGAUAUCAGGAAGAUUACUAGAGGUUUCAAGGACAAAUUGGGUGAAGGAGGCUUUGGUACAGUUUACAAAGGAAAGCUUCGCAGUGGGUGUUUUGCAGCAGUAAAAUUGUUGGGAAAAUCAAAAGCUAAUGGACAGGAUUUCAUAAAUGAAGUUGCUACCAUAGGAAGGAUUCACCAUACUAAUGUGGCGCAGCUAAUCGGUUUUUGCGCCGAAGGAUCAAAGCGUGCUCUUGUAUAUGAUUUCAUGGCUAAUGGAUCUCUUGAUAGACACUUGUUUUCUCGAGAAGGAUCAAUCUCUUUAAGCUGGCAAAAACUGCAUCAUAUUUCCCUUGGAGUGGCUCUUGGUAUCGACUAUCUUCAUUUAGGCUGUGACAUGCAAAUACUUCAUUUUGAUAUCAAGCCUCACAACAUUCUUCUCGAUGAAAAUUUCACUCCAAAAGUCUCUGACUUCGGGCUCGCUAGGUUGUACCCAAACGAAUGGCAGCAUCACAUCUCUUACUGCAGCAAGGGGCACCAUAGGAUACAUGGCUCCUGAAUUGUUCUACAAAAACAUUGGACGUGUCUCCUAUAAAGCUGAUGUUUAUAGCUUCGGAAUGCUGCUAUUGGAAAUGGCAGGCAAAAGGAAAAAUGUAAACGCGUUGGCAGAAAAUUCAAGUCAAAUCUACUGGCCAUAUUGGGUUCAUGACCAAGUAUCUGAUGGAAAGGCCAUAGAAAUCGGAGACGAUGCCACGGAGGAAGAACGUAAGAUCGUCAAGAAGAUGAUUAUGGUUGGAUUGUGGUGUAUACAAAUGAAACCCAUGGAUCGGCCUACAAUGAGGAAUGUUGUGGAGAUGCUGGAAGGAGAUUUGGAAAACUUGCAAUUGCCUCCUAAGCCUGUCUUCAAUCUAGAUGUGACGCCACCAAACAUUGAAGGAGAGUCAUCAUCGUUGCCAGGUGAUUCUACCGAAUCAACCAGUUUGGUUGAAAAUGCAUACUAAGUUAUAUGAUGUGGAAUGCUAUGCUUACAUGCAGGGAAAAUGAAUAAUGGUGCUUUCGGACUUGGUUAUGAUAAUUUGCAAUACUUGCUUUUAUCUGAUUUGUGUUUAGCUAAUUUAGAGUUCAAGCUGCGGCUUGUUUCUUCGGUGUGGUCUAUAUAAUCAUCAUACAAAGAUGUUCUGUAUUGUGUUUAACUAUCAGAUUUCCACUCUGUUUGGCAAUCAUAGCAGUUGGCGAGGAUGGAACAUCCUCCAUGAUAACUGUUCCAUGUUCUACAUAUUAAUUAUCCUAUAUUUUUCUCCAACAGAAUAAUAUUUUGGCUACAAAUUAACAAGAGACUAUCACAGGGAUUAUAUAAACAAGUUGAUGCAUGAAAAGACGAGUCUCUAUUUAUAGGUAGCCACUACAAGUAGCUUCGGAGACCACAAAUACAAGUCAAGUCUCUCUAGUAAUCCUUCCACUAUAAGUAGCUUCGGAGAUAGAAAAUAGCGAUUUAUUUGCUAUCAUAGGGAUGAUUCUGAACAGAGGGGCUUAAUUUCAUUUUCUUCCACCAACAAUGCCUUCUUGUCAAUGUUCAGCCCCAUGAUAAUCGAUCUAGCGUCACCAUUUGCACAUUACCAUAUCUUGCAUAAGCCACGAGGAACCAAUCACAACAAAACAGGAUUGAAAACCAUGACCAUAACGGGUGCUGUGAAAUGAAUAUUGAAACAGAUGGGUGAAUUUGAUGCAGAAAAGUAGAGAGGAGACAAUGAAGCUUGCUUACCGGUCAUGGCAUUUCACCAGGGAGCUCUGCUUCUUCAAAAAUGCUCAACUGUGUUCAACAACCUUUCAGGAUCUGCUUCAAUUUUCUUAAGAGAAUGGGAAACAGUGAACGGGAUCCUCGUUAGCUGCGGGCAAUCACCGACUGUAAUUUCCUCAAGAGAAUAGAAGACUUCCAGAAUAAAUGCUAUUCAAAUUAUGACAUUUGUUCUACGAGAUAUUCCCACUUUCUCAGGAUGAAAAUCAUCCCACAAAUCAUCAAGAAUGAUAACAUGGUUUUGAAUCGCACUCAAUGCUGUCCUUAGCUCCCCAGCUCUACUCGUCACAUCUUUUCCUUUCGGAAGACAUAAACCAAAAGCUUCCUCAAUGAGAUCCUGCAAUGCGUGAAUGCUAAAUUCUUGUGACAUAGCAAUCCAACAAACAUGAAAAAAAAUGUCUGGUUUAUCUUGAACCUGGUUAUGGAUAUGUGCAGCCAAAGUUGUCUUUCCCACUCCUCCCAUCCCGUAAAUGCCAAUGCAUGAGACCUCACCACUCAACAACCAAGACCAGACAUCCUUCAUGUUUCUUUCAAUAGCUUGACCCACUAGCUUCGUUGUCGGGAAUACAUAUCUUUUAGUCCUGCGUCGCUUAUGUACAGGCCUUUUAGAAUAGCUUACCGUGUAAAUUCUCAAGUCAUGUUCUCUAUAUAAAUUCUUAACAAAACAUCCCUCGUUGAUGAGGAUGAGAUGUUAUUCGAGAUCAUUUCAAAUGCCUGACAUGUUUUCUCUGUUCUCUGUCUGGUCUCGGGUUCAUCUGGCAUAAGUACAACAUGAGCUCUAGGUUCCUCAACAAUCUCAGUCUCCCCAUCCUAGGCCCCCAUCAAAAAGAGGAGGUUCUUCUUGUUCCAUUUCUAAACACCGCACAGGAGUUGAAGCUGCAUUAAUUGCCUCGUUAUUGCUUGAACUUGGCACGCUCCUAUCUACAGGCCUGUUAGAAGAGCUUCCUCUCUCAGCAACAGACUGCAUCAAUUCCCAAGUCAUGUUCUUUAUACCACUGCUCGACUCAGCAUCCUUCAUCAAGGAAGACGAGAUGCUAUUCAUAUCCAUUUCAAAUGCUUAACCUGCUGGCUCUGUUCCCAAUCCAGUCUCAGGUGCAUCAGGCAUAAGCAUGCUAGGAACCAUGGUCUCCUCAUCAGUAAGCACAAUCUCUCCCCCAAUCAUCCUAUCCAUCCACGCCAAUCCAUCAUCCAAAAGAGGCUGUCCUUCUUUACUGUGGACAGCACGCCAACAUUACAAAUGAAGAGAAAGAUCACAUCCACAGAUGGAGAGAAAGCAAUAGGCCAAGAAAAGAGUAGAGUUGACCUUGAGAGCAGUAUGUUCACAGACGGAGACGGUGGAGAAUGAGACUAACAAAAAACCUUUAAGUUGGCGUGCUGUCCACAUUAUAUAUGUAUGGUAUUCAUUAUCGGUUCUUUUAAUUAUACUCAAAUCCUACUCAAACGAUAACUGUCAUGUAGGGAUUUGAUCUUCUACUUAGAUGGUCUAACAGAUUUUUUAUUAAUAAGUAGGACAAGCCUAAACUUAAUCGAAGAUUUGAUUAUUUGCUAGGUCGAUAUCUUAAAACUGAGAUAUCUAGAAAUUCGAUCGUUGAAUUAAAUUUAAAUUUUUUUUUAAGUGAUUAAAAAGACAGUUUUCCUAUAAAAAGCAAUUGUGUAUCUUUUUACAUGAUUUGGAGUCUGGAUGCCCUUGUUUUGGCCAAUUUUGUUAUUUUUCCUAGGGUGUUUCAAAUUUCUUGUAUUAUUAUAGGUUUUGUUUUAUUUUUUUUUUAAUUUUUGGACUUUGAGUUGUCUCUUAGUGAGUUAGAUUAAAAAGGUAAUUCUUCUAGGCACUUAGACUUGGUAGUGUAUCAAGUCUAGGAUAGCGUUUGUUUAACACACAUGUUAAACCCAAUACGUUUAAAUUUAACAGUCAAUUAAACUCAAUGUAAUAUAAAUAAGUAGUGUAGGCCUGAUACACAUGCGAAACCUAAGACCACGUACAAAAUAAUAACUAUCAUCUCUUAACAUGUCUAUGAAAAUGACCAACCUCCCUUUGGCUCUCUAAACAACUGGAAAACACAUUAUCAGCACUGGCGUUGUAGACUGUCGUCUGCCUAGGAUAAAUAUGAAAUGUUUAAGUUGAUGCUGGAAAUCUGAAAUGUUAAUUUCUAUCACCCUCCCGAUCACUCACAUAAAUAGCAUGACGUCAUACCUUUACUAUGAGGUAAAGGUUCCAAUACCAAAAUACAAAACAAUCCCUGGAAAUCAUAAAAUCCUAAUUUCAUCCCCGGAAUAAUAGCAAAUGACUAGAAAUCAUGGAACAUGCUCAACUGUGUUCAACAAACUUUCAGGAUCUACUUCAAUUUUCUUAAGAGAACGGGAAAUAGUGAUCGGGAUCCUCGUUAGCUGCGGGCAAUCACCCACAGUAAUUUCUUCGAGAGAAUCGCAUAGAAGUCUUCCAGAAUAAAUGCUUUUCAAAUUUGGUAAUUUCUUCAAUACCAAAACCCUCAAUUCAUCAAAUCUACGAAUAGGAGAGGAACUUCCCAUUAUCUCCUGCAUGUUGUAACAAUCUUCGACUACAAUCACUUCCAAUCGGAGUGUAGACAACAACCAAUGAGGGAGCAGCACCUUCAUCCUAUGACAUUUAUGUAUCACCAUCUCUCUGAGUUUCAAAAAGGCACCAAUAGCACCUCGCUUUGAAUGUACUUCAAAAACGGUUUCUAAGAUUAUCAAACCAUCAAGGUGUAGAAUCUGAGGCCCUCCAAUUACAACUGAUGGAAAUAAGCUUCUCAUGUUUUGACAACUCACAAAUACUACUUUUGUAAUGAGGCACGGGAACAGAAAAGUUGCAUUGUCAAUCAUGAGGUCAUAAAACCAAGCCUCUUUAAUUAACCCUGACUCUGAUCUUGCAUAAUUUAGAUCCUCGAGUGAAGAGAAACAAGGUCGUCCUACAGUAACCUUGCAUGCAAUUAGUGAACAUCUCUGUCCGCGACGGAAAACUCUGAAAUCGUGUAGAUCACGGAAGUUGCAUUCCAAAGUUUCCAAAUGAUAUAAUGUGGAAACUUCAUCUCCUCUAACUGAGAGAACAACUUCAGAUUUCUGAUGAAGCUUGAGGAACUGUAAUUUUGAGAGUUGGGGUAAAAUACCCGACCGUAAAACACGCACCCCACUUCCAUCAAGAUUAAGAUACCUUAGAUCCUCCAGCCGUUCCAUUCCCUCGGGCAAAUCUUCAAGUCCAGUGUAACUGAGAUCCAACUUCUCCAAUGCCUUAAGCUUUGCUAAUGAUGGUACAUAACUCAGCUUUGCACACCAUCCCAGCAACAAUGCAGUUAGACUCGUCAGAUGACAAAUAGAAUCCGGCAACUUCUCUAUAUCUGUGUCGGAAAGAUCAAGAACCUUGAGUCCGAUGAGGUGCUGGAAAAAAGAUUCCUCAACCAAAUCCAAUUUGUAGUUUCUGCAUAACAAUAAUGUUGAGAGACGGGGGCACAUUGGUGAAAAGUCUGUUGGAAUAUUCUCGAUUCUAUUUUCCAUGAGUGAAGCUCUUAACAGUUCCUCUCUCCACAAUCUUACAUCGGGUAAUUCUGUUAGUUGUGCACCUGCUUGAACCAUAGCCCCCCCACUUUCGUUCAAUAUUUUCCAAGCCAUAUCCCAAAUCAAAUCAUGCAUCUUGACAUAUCUGUAAUCUUCAUCGUCCCUGGAACCUUCUAAUAAGCUGGCAUCUUCAAGUUGAUCAAGCAUGGUAUGGCCCCUAUCAAAUCGUGCAUGCCUUCGCCCCAUUUCUUUGACUAUACCCUCGUCAAUCAAAUACUCUAUCAAGUCCUCUCUCAAGAUGAUCUUGCCUUUUGGAAAUAGUGUGAUAUGUAAGAAGAACUCUUGAAGUGCUGAAUCGUUCAACUGAGCAUAGCUAAAUUUCAAUACUCGAAAUACAUUGGCUUCCAUCUCACCUGGUCCAACUUCUAAUCUUCUCAGUUUUAGCAAUGCAUCUCUCCAACGAUAUUCACCAUCCACUCCCUUCAUGCUUCGAGCCAUUGUCAUGAUUCCAAGGGGCAAACAAGCACACUCCUUCACAAUAGACUCUGCGAUCUCAGGAUAAAGUGUACCACCACGCCCUAAUCUGUAUAUGAACAAAUCCCAAGCCUCGCCCUCAGAAAGAGACUCCACUUUGAUUAUCCUUUGGCAAUCCAUUUUUCGACAUAUCUCCGAUGAUCUUGUUGUGAGAAGCAACUUCCACCCGUCUGUUCUAAGAGGUAUUCCCACUUCGUCAGGAAGAAAAUGACCCCACAAAUUAUCAAGAAUUAAAACACCUUUUAUCACACUCAAUGCUGUCCAUAGCUCCCUGGCUCUAAUCAUCACAUCUUUUUCAUUCUGAAGACAUAAACCAAAAGCAUUGGCAAUGAGAUCCUGCAGUGCGUGAACGCUAAAUUCUCGAGAGUCAGUAAUCCAAUAGACAGGGAAAAAUGUCAGGUUUCUCUUGAAGUUGAUCAAGGAUAUGCGUAGCCAAAGUUGUCUUUCCGACCCCCCCCAUCCCGUAAAUGCCAAUGCAUGAGACCUCAUCAUUCAACAACCAAGAGCAGACAUCCUCCUUAUUUCUUUUAAACGCUUGGCCCACCAUCUUCGUUGUCAGAUCAUAUCUUGUAGUCCUAGGACGCUUAUGUACAGGCCUUUUAGAAGAGCUUCCUCUCACAACAAAAGACUGUUCUUUGUCUAGUCUCGGGUUCAUCUGGCAUAAGAACGACAGGAGCUCUAGGUUCCUCGACAAGCUCAGUCUCCCCCCCAAUCAGAAAACCCUUCCGUCCUCGUUCAUCCGAAAGAGGUUGUUCUUCUUGUUCCAUUUCUAAGCCCCGCAAAGCAGUUGACGCUGCAUUAAUUCCCUCGUUAUUGCUUGAACUUGGCACACUCUUAUCUACAGGCAUUUUAGAACAGCUUCCUCUCUCAGUAACAGCCUGCAUCAACUCCCGACUCUCUAUACCACUGCUUAACUCAACAUCCCUCGUCAAUGAAGAUGUGAUGUUAUUCAUAUCCGUUUCAAAUGCUUGAACUGCUGGCUCUAUUCCCAAUCCAGUCUCAGGUGCAUGCUAGGAACCAUGGUCUCCUCAGGAAGCACAAUCUCUUCCCAAUUCAAGCUAUCCAUCCAUGAAAAAUCAUCCAAAAGAGACUGUCCUUGUUGUUGCAUUUCUAAAUCUUGCGCAGGAUCUGAAUCUGCAGUAACUAUUAUAUUAUUGCUUGAACUUGGCAUGCUCCCACGCAUUCUGUCAGGAAGCUUAUCAAACGCUGCUCGUUGAACAUCUGGAGUUACUUUUUCACAAAUUUUAACACCACCACCUCCAACUCUUUCCAGAUGAUAUUUCAUCCUUGUAGUGGAAGUACUUCCAGCCAAUGUCUUCUCACAAAAAAUGCACUUCAAUAAACCACCAUCCACUUUCUCAAAAUAACUCUGAAAUGGAUCACUUCCUCCAGCCAUUUUUUCUUCUGUGUCCCUACAUACAGACAUAACAAAGAACUUUCAGAAUAUUGAAUUAAAAUGGAACUUAAACUAAUUGAAAAAAAGAAGAAGCUAAGUUUAAGAUAAAAAGAAAAUUGAUUACAGGUGUUUCACUGUCUAAACCAAAGUCAAGUUAAACCACUCCAAAGAUCAAAGUGUUCUUUUCUUUUUACUUUCCCAAUAAUUCUACAACUGGUCAUAUCAGUAAUUUAAUAACCAGUAUGUUUCUUUUUGCUUAGAAGAAUCAAACUACAUGAGUUGGAAAAGAAAUGGUAUGAAAAAAGAGCUAAAAUUAAUCAAACUUAAUUACCUGAACAGCAGAAGCAGCAAGAUGUUAUCCAAUGGUCUGAUUAAAUCAGAAAAAAAGAAGAUGGACGGGGAAGAGUAAGUGUGUUGGAGACGAGUGAUAGAGCUUCGGCUUGCGUGGUUGUGGAUAAGGAUAGAUUCAGACAGUCAGAGAAGCAGAUGACAGUGAAAAAAAGUUAAAUUGACUUCUGUCGUUCAUGGAUGUCAUAUGGACAUGUUGUUGGUCUUCCAGGAAGCGGAUCCGGCGAGGGGUGCUCUAGUGAAGGCGUGGGGGUAGGCGGUGGCUGAUGAUAGUCUCCUCGUGUGGUGGACAGCACGCCAGCUUUGCAAACGAUGAGAAAGAGCACGAUCCACCACAAAACCGCAGAAGAGAAAGCAGCAGGCCGAGAGAAGAAAAGGGAGCAGGAGCAGAGUUGACCGAGAGAGAAGUAGAGCUUGUUAGAGCAUCUAUUAAAUAGCCGAAUGGAAAAAACGGGUUUUUAAAUAGUAUAAAUAUAACUUUUUUAAUUAUAUGUAUUUCAAUAAUAAAAAAUUAAUUAUGUUUUAAUAUAUUUUAUGUUAAAUUAAUUUUAAUAUAAUUAUAUAACUAAUUUAGAUAUUUUAUAUAUAAUAUAAUUAUGAUGUUAUUAAUUAUAUAAUUAAUAUGAGUAGUUUAUAAAAGUAAUAUAAAAUUAAUGAAGUAAUAUGAAAGUUAAAAGAUAUAAUUUAAAAUUGAAUUUAAAAUUUAUUUAUAUGAAUAUCUUUAAUUUUAAGUUUUAUAUGUUAUUGUUAAAUAUUUAAUUUCUUAAAAAGUAAAUUCAAAUUCAAACUUUGAAAAAAUGAUCGCCAACAUUUUAAAUUUUAAAAUUUUAAAUUUUGAAAAAAUUACCGCCAACAUUCUAAGAUUUUACAAUUUGAAAAAAUAAUCCAUCUAUAAAUAUUCUCAUAUACCUUAACAUUUUUUCUCGUCAUUUUCUUCUCUCUAAUCUUUGUUAUAUUUCAUUAAAAUUCAUCAUGAAUCAUUCUAAUUUUAAUUUUUAUGAUGCUUUUGAUUUUGAUGAUGACACUCUUGUGUUUGUUUUUCAAGUUGCUACUGUUGUGGUUGCUGAAGAAGAAUCGAAUAAUCAAGGGUGGAGAACAGGGUAUCGUGCCUCUAUUUCUGGUCACAAUAUUGUCAAUCGUAAUAGAAAGGAAGGUGAGUUAAGGUUAUAUAAUGAUAAUUUUGCAGAAAAUCCUAAAUUCACUGAAAGUCAAUUUCGAAGAAGAUUUAGGAUGAGUCGUCGUCUUUUUCUUCGGAUCGCAAAUGCAGUGGAAGCUUACAAUCCAUAUUUCAAACAAAGAACAAAUGCUCUUGGUGUUCUUGGUUUAUCUUGCCUUCAAAAGGUAACUGCAGCUCAUAAAAUACUUGCAUAUGGUAUUCCUGUAGAUCUUAUUGAUGAAUAUCUUCGAAUUGGAGAAACCACUGAAAUAGAAAGUCUUAGAGCUUUCGUCAAAGCAAUCGUAGAAGUUUUUGGUGAUUGGUAUCUAAGGACACCAAACAAGGUCGAUAUUUGUCGAUUAUUAUCAAUUGGAGAGCAACGUGGAUUUCUAGGGAUGUUAGGGAGCAUUGAUUAUAUGCAUUGGAAAUGGAAGAAAUGCCCAAUUGCAUGGCCUAGGAUGUAUACUGGUCAUUGUCGUGAACCAACUAUAAUUCUAGAGGCGAUGGCUUCACAAGAUCUUUGGAUAUGACAUGCCUUUUUUGGAAUCCCUGGAUCAUUAAAUGAUAUUAAUGUUCUUGAUCGGUCACCUAUCUUUGCUGCACUUGCUGAAGGUUGUACUGCUCAUGUCAAUUAUACAAUUAAUGGGCAUGAAUAUACAAUGGGAUACUAUUUAGCACAUGAGAUUUAUCAUAAUUGGUCAACCUUUGUUAAGACAAUCUCAAGACCAUUAGGAGCAAAGAGAAAAUAUUUUACAAGCAAGCAAGAGUCUGCAAGAAAAGAUGUGGAGCGGGCAUUUGAGGUGCUCCAAUCUCGUUUUGCAAUUGUACGUGGACCUGUUCGAUACUGGGAUGAAGAAACACUUGCAUAUAUUAUGAAAGCUUGCAUAAUAAUGCAUAAUAUGAUUAUUGAGGAUGAAGGAGCAAUGAACCUUGGAUUUGACCAUGAACAUGAAGUCAAUUCCUUUAUAUCAAUGUCAUAUGGUGAAAUACCAGAACUACAUGAUUUUUUUCAAACUCAUAAUCGAAUUAGGGAUAGAGCAACUAGCUCUCAACUACAAGAAGAUUUGAUUGAACAUUUAUGGGAACAAUAUGGCAACGAGUAGAAUCUUUAAAUUUGAACUUCUUAUGUUAUCAUAAUUUUCAAGUUUUUUAUGUUUUUUUUUCAUUAUGGUUGUUAUCUUUUAAGUUAAUUAAUCCUACUUAUUAUUGUUAAGUGUUAGAGAAACUUCAAAAAAGUAUUAUGAAUUAAUAUCAAUUUCAUAACAAUAUAUUUAAAAUAACCAGGAAUUUUCUACAUAUUUAAUUAAAAAUACAUUACAUUACAAUAAAUCAAUCAAAGUUAAUUAAAAAUUAAAACCCCUCUUUUGUAUAAUUUCUAACUUUUUAUUUUGAAAAUACGCUGCAGAAAUUAGAUCCAAAUUAGAAAUAUUCAUUUUCAUAAUUUGUUCUUCUUUCUCAAUCCUGUCCAAUUCUUGUUUCUCUUGACUUUGUUGAAUCAUCAUAGCUUGUUACUCUAACAUAAUUUUCCUGUCUUGUUUCUUCUGAUCCUCAAUUUCAACUAGAGUAUCCCUAAAUUGUUUCCUUGUCUACGUUUAAGUCGUUUCUUUGCAACCUUCUGACCGAUUGGUCUAUCUUGAUAAAUCAAUGGUUCACUAUCUUCUCCUAAACUAACAGAAUCAGGGGUAGAUGGAGUUGAUGAAGCCGGACUUGCAUUGACAUGACUUUUUUGUUUCUUGUUUGACCUUUGAUGUUGACUUGCACGCUCAAAUUGCCAUUUGGGCUCUUUUCUUAAGAUAACCCAAUAAUGUUCUAGUUGAAAUUGUUUGUCAAUGCAAGAAACAUACAUUUGCCAAGCAUCAUUAAUCUGGUAAAUAAAUUAAUUAAUUAAAUAAUGUUAAAAUAUGUGUUAAACAAUUUAACAUAGAAAUGAAUAUUAAAAUUACCCUUGAUUCUUCGGUCAUUCCAUUUUGCUGACGAUUUUUAAUUUGAGUAACAAAUCCAAUAAAUUUACCGACUUCUCUAUUUAUUUCUUGCCAUCUACUUGAGAUGCUUAUUUGGGAACGAUUAUUCAAGUUUCCUCCAUUCUCUACAAAGUAAGUAUGUACUCGAGCCCAGACUGUUUUAUUUGUUGUUCAACUCCUGUAAUUGGAUCCUUGCUUGUAUUUAGCCAUGUAGGGACAAGUAAACAAUCUUUCUCUGGUGAGAAAUUUUUACUUCUUUGUGAUUUUUUUAUCGAAUGGAUAUUUAAAUUCGAGUCUGUUAAGUCAUCAAUUAAUUGAUUAGAAUCACUUGGUUGAGAGAGAAUAUCUUCUGACUCACUCAUAAGAAAGUUGGUAAAAGAGCUUAGAAAAUUUGAAUCUAUCUACAUUAAAAAAAAAAUCUCAAGUUAAAACCUUAUAAGAGAGUGUAAAAGAAGCUCACAUUCAAUGUCUAGCAAUUUUGUAGUUUGCAUACAUGUGAAUUAAUAAUAAGCAUUGCCUCCUACAUAUUCUGAUAUAACAAUUUGACUAUUUUUUUGGAACUAAAAGAGAAUUGAUAUACUGGUUUAAUUAUAUUUUCAACAAGACAAAAUAUAAUUGACCUCAAAUUAAAACAGACAAUCAAAAAUAAAUUUUAAAUAUAUCACUCUAUCUUUUUAUCAAUAUCAACUACCAUUAUUAAUUCCUCUCAAUUUUAUCAAAGAUAUCAACAUAAAUAAAAAUUGUCUUUCUUAACCCAUAUUAAAAACAUAAAAUAAUAAAGAAAUAAAAAUCAUCACAAAUAUUAAAUUAACAACAAAAGAUCUAAAAAAUCAAGAGAUAUAAAAGAGAAUAAAAAAAAGCUUUUAAACAAGCAUACCUUUUAAUUUCAGCUAAUUAACACAACUGAUAUUAUUAAUUAACCGGAGAAUAAUUGAUUCUUGUUUUUUUAAAUUUGAGAGAAGGGUGAGGCACAAUACAAAAUUUUAAAAUCUACAAGUUCUUUCCUCCUAUAUUUAAAGAAAAACAAAAAGAGUUGUUGGCCAACGGCCAAGGUUGUCAAAAACGCUUUUUUGACACGACACGGAACAUUCAAUUUAAACUCGACUCGUAAACUCGAAUCGUAAAAUCGGAAGUAAAAAUUUUUAACUAAAAAUCGUAAAAUCGGAAUUAAAAUAUUUUAACUAAAAUCGUAAAAUCGCAAGUAAAAUAUUUUAAACAAUACAAAUAUCCAAACAUAUUAAAAUACAUAAUUCAAAUAAAAGUAAAAUAAACAAUACAAAUAUCCAAACAUCUUAAAAUACAUAAUUCAAAUAAAAAUUCAUACAUGUCCAUAGUAUUUAAAAAGAUUCCAAAGCCAACAACUCCAUGUAUCAAGAUCAAGCUAAAAAUGGCAAUGGAAUGGGUGCACGUUUGCAUGAUUUGGCAGAACAAAUGAAUAAGGAAGCUAAAGGAGACCAAUUGCGUUACUUAAAAAGAUUGUUCAUCACAUUUAACUGAUUGAUAUACUGGCAAAAAAAGCUUAAUGAAAUGCCUCAAUCACUAAAACAAAAACUAGUGUAGUAAUCAUCAACUCAUAGCAUCUAGGUUAUAUCUUGGACAUUAUUCUGACAAGGAAAUAUGAUAAAACAAGUGCAAUGCCAAAGCAUGCAAAUGGUCACACACUCACAGUCUCACACUCUCUAUUCCGAAAAAAAAAAAAAAACAGAAUACACUCAAUACAGUGCAAACCAAAUAUCACUAAAUCAAAGCCUUGCAGGAUGAUAACAUUUGAGAGAUGCAGUCCGCUUUAAAUUGCUAUCCAGUAAUACACAAAAAGCCUAGAUAAAUUAAAUGCAAAAGACAUUCCAAAUAGGUGCAUCAAUUGCCCUAAAGUUUGCAGUUUUUGGAUUUACAGAAUACCUGCAAUCCUGAAAAUUGGAAUGCUUCCUUGCUUCGCUGGAUCGUUGUCUAUGCAGAUUGCAGAAUUAUAGAAUCUGCAACACCAAAGCAAGCAAGAUCAAACAGAGCAUAGGUGAACAUUAAAAGAAAUCUGGCUUUGCUUGUAAUUAAAAUCGCCAGUCAAAGUGCCAAGCUCCAUUUCCUUCCCUUUGAAUGGGAUUUUCUUAUCAAAUCUUUUUUUCUUUUUAAUGGAUUCCAACGUCAUUAAAUGCUUCAUUGAAGUGAAAAAAUGACUAGGGGAAAAAUGCAGAAAUCUACCAUUUACUUCAGCCCAUUUGCACUUAUGGUGACUGUGAUUUCCUCCGUUGGCUUUUAUCCUUUUUCCAUAAGUAAAGUUGCCUAUACAAGUCCUUAAACUGUUUAAUUUGUUGCAAUUGAUUACCAAUCCUUUAAUGUUUGAAAAUUGGUCUAAUUAUGUUAUUUUAGCCUAGAAAAUAGAAUUGGUUGAUGGUAAAUAGCCUGGCAGUGCAGGUAAAAGUUAGCAUAAAUGCUUAUCCAAAGCUCAGUAAACCAUUGUUAGAAUACCCAGAAGCAAACCACUAAUUUUUAGAAUACCCAGAAGAUAAACAAUGAAUUUCACAGCAUACCCAUAUCAUUUUUUUUUAUCUCUAAUCACCACCAUUAGACAGAAAAAAACAAAGCUUGGGAUUGAGAAUCAAUUCUUACCUUCAUCUCACCAAGAACGCUCUGGAUCGGGGGGGAAUGAUUUCUUGAUUUGCUGGGGAAAGGGGAAAGGGAAAAGGGAAAAGGGAAAGGGAGUCAGGAGGGAGACUGGGAGCAGGGAGAGUGUGAGACAGAAAGGGAAUGAUUUCUUGAUUUCUUGAAGUCACUGGUAGGGUGAGGGUGGUCGCCUGGUCGGGUGGGAAUUGGGAAAGAAAAGAGAUUGUGAAUUUGUGAGACAGGGACAAAGUCAAAAUUUUUGCAUUUCUAAUUGCAUUCGGUCAGGUGACAUUUUGGUUAAGUCGUGAAAACGUAACGUUUUUAACGUUUUUGCGAGUUAUUACGGUUUUAUGCGAUUUUGAUGAUUUUCGAUUUUUGUCUUCGUCUUUACACGUUUUAUGGGUUUUAACUCGUAAAAUCGUAUGAUUUUACGAGUUAAAACGCAUUUUUAACAACCAUACCAACGGCUAUAAAAAUAGCCCUUGGCCAACAAUUAUUUGUUUUUGUCAUUUCUACAGGGAAAUAUAGAAAUGGCUAGCCAGUGAACAAAUAGCUAAAAUAGCUAUUUGUUUGGGUGCUGCGUUAGAGUGAAGAAAUGAAAAGGUAAAAGCUAAAAAUACACUUUUUAAUAUUUGACUCAUGCGUUGGAGAUGCUCUUAAAGCAAUUCAAUUAAUAUAAAAUAAAUAAAAACUUGUAUACAAAGGUUAGAAUUUAUUUAUUCAUUUAUUUAUUUUAAAAGUAUAUAUUUUAAUCUAAAUAUAAAGUAAUUAUAUAUAGACUAAAUUAAAAAUAUUUUUUAUUUUUAAUAAAAAAACAAGAUAAAUAUAUAUCUUUUAACAGGCUCUCAAACUCGCGAUGUGACAUCUACAAGUAUUGAGAGUUUAUCAAUUAGAAAACGAAAAUGAGAAAUGGAUUGCAACUUGGUAAAGAAAUCUGUAAUUUGCAAUGAAAAAAAACAAAAGGCAAAAUAAUGGUAUCAUGCUUGAGAUGAUAGCGAGUAAAAUAACAAUUGAUCUCAAUAUAUUUAGUUCAUUCAUGAAAAAUUAAAUUGUAAAUAAUAUAAAUUGAACUCUAAUUGUUAAAAUUCAUAGAAAUAGAAUAAGAAAAUUUUUAUUGAACUCCUAUUAAAAAAAAAUUCACUAAUACAAAUAUCUUUUUUUAUUAUUAUUAUUAUUCUUUUUCUUCUUCUUCUUUUUUUGCUAGAAUGUGAUUAUCAAAUCAUUUGCUCUCUCCUAAAACUUUUGUGAUAACUUUCCUUUCUUUUUUCAAAAUCCCAAGAUUGAAAUAUGAAAAAAAAAAAAAAUAAAGUUUGAUAAUGAAACAUCAAUCUCUAAAACAAUAGGAAUCAAAUAACAAAAAAAUUGAAAUUUUAAAGAUUAAAUUAAAAUUUUUCAUGUCAAAAUCUGAAUGGUGUAUUUCUUUUUUUUCUUCGUUAAAUCUGGUUUUUGUUUCUUUUAAUUUUUGAUUUGGAACCACAAUUAAAUUUCAAAUUUAAAAAAUCAGAAUCAAACUCAAAUUUAAAUAUCCUUAAAACCAAGCAUGCAAGAGAUAAUGUAAAUCAAAAGAAAUACAAACAAAUGAUACCAUGAUAAUAUAAUUCUAAAGGAUAAAAUUAUAAAAAUAAAAAGUUUAAUAAUCAAAAUUAAAAAUAUAUUAUUCUUAUAAACAGAUGAAUCCACAAUAAAAUAAGUAAAAUAAGUAUGCGUAAAUCAUAUUUGUGCUACAAUUAAAGACCCAUAUGUUUUAGUCAAUGACUAGUAGCGGACCCAUACUAUAUCAUAAGGUUAGAUUUUCUUUUUGUGUAAAAAUUAAUGUUGAGGUGUUGCAAAUAUAUUUUUAAGCAUGAAGAAGAAUUCUCAUUUUAGGUUAUAGACUUGACCAUGUCAAAUAGGAUAGUUUAUUUUAAUUAGAUGAUAGAAAAAAUAGAGUAAUGGAAAUAGAUGUACAAAAUUAAAGAAAAAGUCAUGAUAAUAUAGGGAAAAACUUUAGAGGAUGAAGUUGCAAGAAUUAAAAGUCCAAUAACUAAAAUUAAAAAAAUGAUCUGCUCAUAUGUACAAUCAAAUCCACGACGAAAGCAUGAACAUUGUUUGGUGCCAUAGUAAGAGAUCCUAUGUUCAAGCUAUUUCUGUAAUAAUCUCUAACUGUAAUUUGAGUUCGUCAUCCAAUUGUAAGCUACACGUCGUCUGUGAUUGUCAGUUUUCUAUUCAGACAUUCUGUGAAUAGUCAGUCAAAGUGAAAUACAAGAAAACAAAUCCCUCUCUCCUCUCCCCGCUCUGUAAACUCUCCUUUUAGGUAGCCAUGACUGCGGCCACCAAGAAACACCUACCCUCCUCCGCUAAGCCACCCAAGAACCACCACUCUACCCCCAACACCACCACCACAACAACCCCACAACCUAACAUCACUCAAAACCCUAACCCAACCACCAAUCCAUCACCACUAUCUCCCACCCUCAAAGACCAGGUUUUGUCACGCGCCACCCACAUCACGCACCAAGAACUCCUCAAAAGAAGGUCUUACAAGCUAAAACAGCUCUCAAAAUGCUUCAAAGAUCAUUACUGGGCAUUAAUGGAAGAACUCAAGAUUCAGUACAGAGAGACUUUUUUUGUCUUAUUUUUUUAUAUUAAUUUUUUCUCCUUUCAUAUAAUUAUUUUAUUUUCUUUUAAUUUUUACUUUAUUAACAAAUAAAAUGAGAUAUUUUAAAAAUAUUUUAAAAAAUUAGUUUUAUAAUAUUGACAAACAUUUAUUUUUUGCUUUGAAUUAUUUUUUUUUCUUGCUUUAUUUGUUAUAAUAUCAUUAAAUUAAUUAAUUUCAUUAAAUUUAUUAAAGCAAAUUACCUAUAUAUUAUUUUUAAUAUUUUUAUACUAAAAAUAAUUGGUUCAUGUGAAGCGACCCGCCUAACUAUUCUUAUCUGUAAACAUAUCAUGUUAUCACAAACUUAUUUAAAGCUUGACGCAUUGGUCAAUUAUUUUAUAUUUCAGUGUUUUGUGACAUUAACAAUGAAGUUAUUGAUUGAAGCAUUGGUCCACACUCUUAAAUGGCGAAGACUUCCCCCAUGCGCACUCAGGUCAAUGAUGAACAAUUGUAGGUUUUUUGAUCGCCAAACCUUACUUUUGAAGAUGUCAUUGAAAGUGCCGCCCCAUCUUUUAUUUUUUUUGUUUUUUUUAUGGCGUGGGUGGCGCGAUAAUUUAGUAUUUUUAUUUUUAUGUUUUAAAAAUAUUUUUUAAAAAAUUUAAAAACUAAUAUAUUUUUAAAUUAUUUUGAUGCGUGAAUAUUAAAAAUAAUUUAAAAAAUAUAUAUAAUUAAUAUAUAUAUUUUAAUACAAAAAAUUAUUUAAAAAAUAAUCACACGGUACUAAAUAAUCUCUUGAAAUUGUUGGAGUGUCGGGACUGUUCUCAUAUGUUUUUAUAUUUUUUUUUAUUUCAGUUUUUAUUCUAUUAAUUUUAUAAUUUUUUAUUUGAUACUUUUAUUUAAAAUUUUAAUCGCUUUCAAUAAAGCUUGUCGGUGGUAAAACACACUCCGAAGCAAUCUGUGGUUCAACGACAAAAAUAUGAGCUUUCUUUUCUGUUCGUUUCUGUGGUCCACCACCUUUAAUUUCUUUCAUGGCAAGAGUUUUGCCCCCAUGCGCAAUUAGGUCAAUGACGAAGAAUUGUAGGGUUCUUGCUUAUUUCUUCUGGUCCAGAAGCCUGUGCCGUGUAACAAUCUAUGGGUAGAAAUUAAUGGCAAAGGGAAGAGAUGAAAGAAGAAGGUCCAUCAAAAUCCUUCUAUCCUCCCUGCAACUCCUUCAGAAUUCUAGGACUUGUUUAUUUUUGUAUUUUUAAAAUAUUUAAAAAAAAUUAAUUUUUUUUAUUUGUUUAAAAUUAAAACACGUCAAUUACAAGAUAUUAAAUAAUCAAAGAAAACAUCCAAGUUUAACAUCAUAAAAUAAUAAUAAAUUAGUUCAUUGUAUAGAGAACAGUAAAUUUAUCUUAAUAAAAAAUUAAAUGAAAUCAAUCGUAUGAAAGUGAAAUAAAACAAUAAGUGAUGCCUAAUCCUUUGAUCUCCCACCAACAAUCUUUUAGCAAUAUUUUGUUGAAAAAGUGUACCUCUAAUCUUACAGUUUUGUUCUUAGUUUUAUUGUCUUCAUUUGUAUUCUAUCAUAUGAGUUUCCAGACUUGUAGGUAAACAUAAAUGCAUCUAGCAACAAUUUCUCUAAGUUUUUUUAUUGAAUCUAUGAAAAGAAUUUCAAGAAGUUAAUUACGAAUUUAUAUAAACUCUUGUACUAAAACAAUCAAAUUAUAUUAUGAAAUUAAUUUUGUUAUUAAUACUUCAUUGAAUUCAGAAUUUGUGAUCCAAAUGGUUAAUUUGACCAUGGUCUUGGAGAGUUUUUUUAUUUUUUUUUAUCUGAAAGAUAUUCAUCUUCAAAUUUUAUUAGAAAAAAAUAUCACAAAUAAAAAGUAAAUUUUAAAUUUUUACAAAAAUAUUUUUAAAACAUAUAAAUAUACACAGACAGUUAGUAUUGUCAUUGACAUGGUCUUGAUGAUGACUUACCAAAAUAAUUUUCAAUUGUCGAUGCUCCAUAGAGUGUUUAAGGCACAAGCCACUCUCUCCCAGUGAAGCAAUGAUUUUUAGUCCAAGUUAUCAUGUGCGUGCUUGAAAGUUUUUUUGUCCCGUAAUUGCAGCAAAAUUUGAAUUUUGCACCUAAAACGAUCGUUAGCAAAAACAAUCUGUAAUUUUUCUUGCAAAGAUCUGUAAGGUAAUUAUAAGAUUAUCAGCACUGGAUAAAUAGAAAAAUCUUGGAUUUAGAACUAGAAAAAUCUUCUAAAUGAAUAAUAGAAAAGAAAAGAAAAGAGAAGAGAAGAAAGAAAGCUAAGCUUUACAACUGGAAAAAACAUUAUCAGCACUGGAUAAAUAUGAAAUGUUUAAGUUAAGUUGAUGCUGAAAUUCUGAAACGUUUAUUUCUAUCACCCUCCCGAUCACUCCUUAGUCCUUACAUAAAUAGCAUGACGUCAUACCUUUACUAUGAGGUAAAGGUUCCAAAACCAGAAUACAAAACAAUCCCUAGAAAUCAUAAAAUCCUAAUUUCAUCCCUUACUAAGGGGAAAUAGCGAUCGGGAUCCUCGUUAGCUGCGGGCAAUCACGCACAGUAAUUUCUUCGAGAGAAUCGCAAAGAAGUCUUCCAGAAUAAAUGCUAUUCAAAUUUGGUAAUUUCUUCAAUACCAAAACCCUCAAUUUAUCAAAUCUACGAAAAGGAGAGGAAUGCUCAUCACUUCCCAUUAUCUCCUGCAUGUUGUAACAUUCUUCGACUACAAUCACUUCCAAUCGGAGUGUAGACAACAACCAAGGAGGGAGCAGCACCUUCAUCCUAUGACAUUUAUGUAUCACGAUCUCUCUGAGAUUCCAGAAGACUAGCUCUGAAGGUGCUUCAAAAAGGGUUUCUAAGAUUAUCAAACCAUCAAGGUGUAGAAUCUCAAGCCCUUCAAUUUCAUCUGAUGGACAUAAGCUUCUCAUGUUUUGACAUCUCACAAAAACUACUUUUGUAAUGAAGAGCGGGAUCAGACGAUUUGCAUUGUCAAGCUUGAGGUCAUAAAACCAAGCCUCUUUAAUUAACCCUGACUUCGAUCUUGUAUAAUUUAGAUCUUCAAGUGAAGAGAAACAAGGUCGUCCUACAGUAACCUUGCAUGCAAUUUGUGAAAAUCUCCGUCCACGACAGAAAUAUACGAAAUCGUCUAGAUCACGGAAGUUGCAUUCCAAAGUUUCCAAAUCAUAUAAUCUGGAAACUUCGUCUCCACUAACUAAGAGAACAACUCCAAAUCCCUGAAGAAGCUUGAGGAACUGUAAUUUUGAGAGUUGGGGUAAAAUACCCGGCCGUAAAAAACGCACCACACUUUGAUCAAGAUUAAGAUACCUGAGAUCCUUCAGCCCUUCCAUUCCCUCGGGCAAAUCUUCAAGUCCAGUGUAACUGAGAUCCAACUUCUCCAAUGCCUCAAGCUUUGCUAAUGAUGGUACAUAACUCAGCUUUGCACACCAUCCCAGCAACAAUGCAGUGAGUCUCGUCAGAUGAGAAAUAGAAUCCGGCAACUUCUCUAUAUCUGUGUCGGAAAGAUCAAGAACCUUGAGUCCGAUGAGGUGCUGGAAAAAAGAAUCCUCGACCAAAUCCAAUUUGUAGUUUCUGCAUAACAAUAAUGUUGAGAGACGGGGGCACAUUGGUGAAAAGCCUGUUGGAAUAUUCUUGAUUCUAUUUUCCAUGAGUGAAACUCUUAACAGUUCCUUUCUCCACAAUCUUACAUCGGGUAAUUCUGUUAGGUGUGCACCUGCUUGAACCAUAGCCUCCCCACUUUCGUUCAAUAUUGUCCAAGCCAUAUCCCAAAUCAAAUCAUGCAUCUUGACAUAUCUGUAAUUUUCAUCGUCCCUGGAACCUUCUAAUAAGCUGGCAUCUUCAAGUUGAUCAAGCAUGGUAUGGCCCCUAUCAAAUUGUGCAUACCUACUCCCCAUUUCUUUGACUAUACCCUCGUCAAUCAAAUACUCUAUCAAGUCCUCUCUCCAGAUGAUCUUGCCUUUUGGAAAUAGUGUGAUAUGUAAGAAGCACUCUUGAAGUGCUGAAUCGUUCAACUGAGCAUAGCUAAAUUUCAAUACUCGAAAUACAUUGGCUUCCAUCUCACCUGGUCCAACUUCUAAUCUUCUCAGUUUUAGCAAUGCAUCUCUCCAACGAUAUUCAAAAGCAUUGGCUCCCUUCAUGCUUCGAGCCAUUGUCAUGAUUCCAAGGGGCAAACCAGCACACUCCUUCACAAUAGACUGUGCGAUCUCAGGAUAAAGUGUACCACCACGCCCUAAUCUGUCUAUGAACAGAUCCCAAGCCUCACCCUCAGAAAGAGGCUCCACUUUGAUUGUCCUUUGGCAAUCCAUUUUUCGACAUAUCUCCAGUGAUCUCGUUGUGAGAAUCAACUUCCACCCGUCUGUUCUAAGAGGUAUUCCCACUUCGUCAGGAAGAAAAUCACCCCACAAAUUAUCAAGAAUUAAAACACCUUUUAUCACACUCAAUGCUGUCCAUAGCUCCCUGGCUCUAAUCAUCACAUCUUUUCCAUUCUGAAGACAUAAACCAAAAGCAUUGGCAAUGAGAUCCUGCAAUGCGUGAACGCUAAAUUCUCGAGAGUCAGUAAUCCAAUAGACACAGGGAAAAAUGUCAGGUUUCUCUUGAAGGUGAUCAAGGAUAUGUGUAGCCAAAGUUGUCUUUCCGACUCCCCCCAUCCCGUAAAUGCCAAUGCAUGAGACCUCAUCAUUCAACAACCAAGAGCAGACAUCCUUCAUAUUUCUUUUAAACGCUUGGCCCACUAUAUUCGUUGUCAGAUCAUAUCUUGUAGUCCUAGGACGCUUAUGUACAGGCCUUUUAGAAGAGCUUCCUCUCACAACAAAAGACUCUGUUCUUUGUCUAGUCUCGGGUUCAUCUGGCAUAAGAACGACAGGAGCUCUAGGUUCCUCGACAAGCUCAGUCUCCCCCCCAAUCAGAAAACCCUUACGUCCUCGUUCAUCCGAAAGUGGUUGUUCUUCUUGCUCCAUUUCUAAGCCCCGCAAAGCAGUUGAAGCUGCAUCAAUUCCCUCGUUAUUGCUUGAACUUGGCACACUCUUAUCUGCAGGCAUUUUAGAACAGCUUCCUCUCUCAGUAACAGCCUGCAUCCAUUCCUGAAGAGUGAUGUUAUUCGUAUCCGUUUCAAAUGCUUGAACUGCUGGCUCUAUUCCCAAUCCAGUCUCAGGUGCAUCGGGCAUAAGCAUGCUAGGAACCAUGGUCUCCUCAGACAGGAAAAACUCUCCCCCAGUUAUCCCAUCCAUCCAUGAAACAUCAUCCGAACUUGGCAUGCUCCCACGCAUUCUGUCAGGAAGCUUAUCAAACGCUGCUCGUUGAGCAUCUGGAGUUACUUUUUCACAAAUUUUAACACCACGACCUCGAACUUUUGCCAGAUGAUAAUUCAUCCUUGUAGUGGAAGUACUUCCAGCCAAUGUCUUCUCGCAAAACAUGCACUUCAAUAAACCACCAUCUUUCUCAAAACAACUCUGAAAUGGAUCACUUCCUCCAGCCAUUUUUUCUUCUGUGUCCCUACAUACAAACAUAACAAAGAACUUUCAGAAUAUUGAAUUAAAAUGGAACUUAAACUAAUUGAAAAAAAGAAGAAGCUAAGUUUAACAUAAAAAGAAAAAUUGAUUACAGGUGUUUCACUGUCUAAACCAAAGUCAAGUUAAACCACUCCAAAGAUCAAAGUGCUCUUUUAUUUUUACUUUCCCAAUAAUUCUACAACUGGUCAUAUCAGUAAUUUAAUAACCAGUAUGUUUCUUUUUGCUUAGAAGAAUCAAACUACAUGAGUUGGAAAAGAAAUGGUAUGAAAAAAGAGCUAAAAUUAAUCAAACUUAAUUACCUGAACAGCAGAAGCAGCAAGAUGUUAUCCAAUGGUCUGAUUAAAUCAGAAAAAAGAAGAUGGACGGGGAAGAGUAAGUGUGUUGGAGACGAGUGAUAGAGCUUCGGCUUGUGUGGUUGUGGAUAAGGAUAGAUUCAGACAGUCAGAGAAGCAGAUGACAGUGAAAAAAAGUUAAAUGGACUUCUGUCGUUCAUGGAUGUCAUAUGGACAUGUUGUUGGUCUUCCAGGAAGCGGAUCCGGCGAGGGGUGCUCUAGUGAAGGCGUGGGGGUAGGCGGUGGCUGAUGAUAGUCUCCUCGUGUGGUGGACAGCACGCCAGCUUUGCAAACGAUGAGAAAGAGCACGAUCCACCACAAAACAGCAGAAGAGAAAGCAGCAGGCCGAGAGAAGAAAAGGGAGCAGGAGCAGAGUUGACCGAGAGACAGGUAGAGCUUGUUAGAGAUGGAGAAAAUAACUUCUUAAAUAGUGUAAAUAUAAUUUUUUUUAAUUAUAUAUAUUUUAAUGGUAUAAAAAUAUUUAGAAAAGUUAAUUAUAUUUUAAUAUAUUUUAUGUUAAAUUAAUUUUAAUAUAAUUAUAUAACUAGUUUAGAUAUUUUAUAUAUAAUAUAAUUAUGAUGUUAUUAAUUAUAUAAUUAAUAUGAGUAAUUUAUAAAAGUAAUAUAAAAUUAAUGAAGUAAUAUGAAAGUUAAAAGAUAUAAUUUAAAAUUAAAUUUAAAAUUUAUUUAUAUGAAUAUUUUUAAUUUUAAGUUUUAUAUGUAAUUGUUAAAUAUUUAAUUUUUUUAAAAGUAAAUUCAAAUUUAAACUUUGAAAAAAUGACUGCCAACAUUUUAAAUUUUGAAAAAAUUACCGCCAACAUUCUAAGAUUUUACAAUUUAAAAAAAUAAUCCAUCUAUAAAUAUUCUCAUAUGCCUUAACAUUUUUUUUCUCGUCAUUUUCUUCUCUCCAAUCUUUGUUAUAUUUCAUUAAAAUUCAUCAUGAAUCAUUCUAAUUUUAAUUUUUAUGAUGCUUUUGAUUUUAAUAAUGACACUCCUAUGUUUGCUUUUCAAGUUGCUACUGUCGUGGUUGCUGAAGAAGAAUCGAAUAAUCAAGGGCGAAGAACAGGAUAUCGUGGCUCUAUUCAUGCUCACAAUAUUGUCAAUCGUAAUAGAAAGGAAGACAAGUUAAAGUUAUAUAAUGAUUAUUUUGUAGAAAAUCCUAAAUUCACUGAAAGUCAAUUUCGAAGAAGAUUUAGGAUGAGUCGUCGUCUUUUUCUUCGGAUCGCAAAUGUAGUAGAAGCUCAUAAUCCAUAUUUCAAACAAAGGACAUAUGCUCUUGGUGUUCUUGGUUUAUCUUGCCUUCAAAAGAUAACUGCAGCUCACAGAAUACUUGCAUAUAGUAUUCCUGCAGAUCUUACUAAUGAAUAUCUUUGAAUUGGAGAAAUCACUGCGAUAGAAAGUCUUAGAGCUUUCGUCAAAGCAAUCAUAAAAGUUUUUGGUGAUUGGUAUCUAAGGGCACCAAACAAGACCGAUAUUUGUCGAUUAUUAUCAAUUGGAGAGCAGCGUUGAUUUCCAGGGAUGUUAGGGAGCAUUGACUGUAUGCAUUGAAAAUGGAAGAAAUGCCCAAUUGCAUGGCAUGAGAUGUAUACUGGUCAUUAUCGUGAACCAACUAUAAUUCUAGAGGCGGUGGCUUCACAACAUCUUUGGAUAUGGUAUGUCUUUUUUGGAAUGCCUGGAUCAUUAAAUGAUAUUAAUAUUCUUGAUUGGUCAUCUAUCUUUGUUGCACUUGCUGAAGGUCGUACUGCUCCUAUCAAUUAUACAAUUAAUGGGAAUGAAUAUACAAUGGGAUACUAUUUAGCAGAUGAGAUUUAUCUUAAUUGGUCAACCUUUGUUAAGACAAUCCUAAGACCAUUAGGAGCAAAAAAAACAAAUAUUUUGCAAACAAGCAAGAGUCUGCAAGAAAAGAUGUGGAGCGGGCAUUUGGAGUGCUUCAAUCUCGUUUUGCAAUUGUACGUGGACCUGUUCGAUACUGGGAUGAAGAAACGCUUGCAUAUAUUAUGAAACCUUGCAUAAUAAUGCAUAAUAUGAUUAUUGAGGAUGAAGGAGCAAUGAACCUUGGAUUUGACCAUGAACAUGAAGUCAAUUCCUUUAUAUCAGUGUCACAUGGUGAAAUACCAGAACUACAUGAUUUUCAUCAAACUCAUAAUCGAAUUAGGGAUAGAGCAACUAGCUCUCAACUAUAAGAAGAUUUGAUUGAACAUUUGUGGAAACAAUAUGGCAACGAGUAGAAUCUUUAGAUCUGAACUUCUUAUGUUAUCAUAAUUUUCAAGUUUUUUAUGUUUUUUUUUUCAUUAUGGUUGUUAUUUUUUAAGUUAAUUAAUCCUACUUAUUAUUGUUAAGUGUUAGAGGAACUUCAAAAAAAUAUUAUGAAUUAAUAUCAAUUUCAUAACAAUAUAUUUAAAAUAACCAAGAAUUUUCUACAUAUUUAAUUAAAAAUACAUUACAUUACAAUAAAUCAAUCAAAGUUAAUUAAAAAUUAAAACCCCUCUUUUGCAUAAUUUCUAACUUUCUAUUUUGAAAUAUACAUUUUCAUAAUUUGUUCUUCUUUCUCAAUCCUGUCAAAUUCUUGUUUCUCUUGACUUUAUUGAAUCAUCAUGGCUUGUUGCUCUUACAUAAUUUUCCUGUCUUGUUUCUUCUAAUCCUCAAUUUCAACUAGAGUAUCCCUAAAUUGUUGUAAGAGAUUCGUUACAGUUACCUCCCCAACUUUAUCUUUUCCUUGUUUACUUGUACAUCGUUCAUUUGCAGCCUUCUGACCGAUUGGUCUAUCUUGAUAAAUCAAUGGCUCACUAUCUUCUUCUAAACUAACAGAAUCAAUGGUAGAUGGAGUUGAUGAAGUCGGACUUGUAUUGGCAUGACUUUUUUGUUUCUUAUUUGACCUUUGAUGUUGACUUGCACGCUCAAAUUGUUAUUUGGGUUCUUUUCUUAAGAUAACCCAACAAUGUUCUAGUUGAAAUCGUUUGCCAACGCAAGAAUCAUACAUUUGUCGAGCAUCAUUAAUCUGGUAAAAAAAUAAAUAAAUUAAAUAAUAUUAAAAUAUGUGUUAAACAAUUUAACAUAGAAAUGAAUAUUAAAAUUACCCUUGAUUCUUCAGUCUUUCCACUUUGUUGACGAUUUUCAAUUUGAGUAACAAAUCCAACAAAUUUACCGACUUCUCUAUUUAUUUCUUGCCAUCUACUUGAGAUGCUUAUUUAGGAACGAUUAUUCAAGUUUCCUCCAUUCUCUACAAAGUAAGCAUACACACGAGCCCAUAACUGUUUUGUUUGUUGUUCAACUCCUGUAAUUGGAUCCUUGCUUGUAUUUAGUCAUGCAGGGACAAGUAAACAAUAUUUCUCUGGUGAGAAAUUUUUACUUCUUUGUGAUUUUUUUGCUGAAUGGACAUAUAAAUUCAAGUAUGUUAAGUCAUCAAUUAAUUGAUUAGAAUCACUUGGUUGAGAGAGAAUAUCUUCUGACUCACUCAUAAGAAAGUUGGUAAAAGAGCUUGGAAAAUUUGAAUCCAUCUACAUUAAAAAAAAAAAAAAAACUCAAGUUAAAACCUUAUAAGAGGGUGUAAAAAAAGCUCACAUUCAAUGUCUAAUAAUUUUAUAGUUUCCAUAUAUGUGAAUUAAUAAUAAGCAUAGCCUUGUAAUUGUUCUAACAUAACAAUUUGACCAUUUUUUGAAACUAAAAGAGAUUUGAUAUACUGGUUUAAUUGUAUUUUCAACAAGACAAAAUAUAAUUGACCUCAAAUUAAAACAGAUAAUAAAAAAUAAAUUUUAAAUAUGUCACUCUAUCUUUUUAUCAAUAUCAACUACCAUUAUUAAUUCCUCUCAAUUUUAUCAAAGAUAACAACAUAAAUAAAAAUUGUCUUCCUUAACCCAUAUUAAAAACAUAAAAUAAUAAAGAAAUAAAAAUAAUCACAAAUAUUAAAUUAACAACAAAAGGUCUAAAACAUCAAGAGAUAUAAAAGAGAAAAUAGAAAAAGCUUUUAAACAAGCAUACCUUUUAAUUUCAACUAAUUAACACAACCAAUGUUAUUAAUUAACUGGAGAAUAAUUGAUUUUUAUUUUUCUAAAUUUGAGAGAAGGGUGAGGCACAAUACAAAAUUUUAAAAUCUACAAGUUCUUUCCUCCUGCAUUUAAAGAAAAUUCCUCUUGCAUUUAAAGAAAAAAAAAAAGAGCUAUUGGCCAAUGGCUAUAAAAAUAGCUGUUGGCCAACAAUUAUUUGUUUUUGCCAUUUCUACAGGGAAAUAUAGAAAUGACUUGCCAGUGAACAAAUAGCUAAAAUAGCUAUUUGUUUGGGUGCUGGGUUGGAGUGAAGAAAUGAAAAAGUAAAAGCUAAAAGUACACUUUUUAACAUUUGGCUUUUUAUUUGGCUCAUACGUUGGAGAUGCUGUUAAAACAAUUCAAUUAAUAUAAAAUAAAUAAAAACUUCUAUAAGAAGGUUAUAAUUUUUUUAAUUAAUUUAUUUUAAAAGUAUAUAUUUUAAUCUAAAUAUAAAGUAAUUAUAUAUAGACUAAAUUAAAAAUAUUUUUUAUUUUUAAUAAAAAAAAAACAAGAUAAAUAUAUAUCUUUUAACAUGCUCUCAAACUUGCAAUGUGAUAACUACAAGUAUUGAGAGUUUAUCAAUUAGAAAACAAAAGUGAGAAAUGGAUUGCAACUUGGUAAAGAAAUCUGUAAUUUGCAAUGAAAAAAAAACAAAAGGUAAAAUAAUGAUGUCAUGCUUGAGAUAAUAGCGAGUAAAAUAACAAUCGAUCUCAAUAUAUUUAGUUUGUUCAUGAAAAAUUGAAUUGUGAAUAAUAUAAAUAAAACUCUAAUUGUUAAAAUUCAAAGAAAUAGAAUAAGAAAAUUUUUAUUGAACUCCUAUUAAAAAAAUAAAUUCAAUAAUAAAAAUAUCUUUUAUUUUUAUUAUUAUUAUUAUUAUUAUUAUUAUUAUUAUUAUUCUUUUUCUUCUUCUUCUUCUUUUGCUGGAAUGUGAUUAUCAAGUCAUUAGCUCUCUCCUAAAACUUCUGUGAUAACUUUCCUUUUUUUUUUUCAAUAUCCCAAGAUUGAAAUAUGAAAAAAAUAAAUGAAACAUCAAUCUCUAAAACAAUAGCAAUCAAAAAUAUUAAAACUUUAAAGAUUAAAUUAAAAUUUUCCACGUCAAAAUCUGAAUGGUGUAUUUAUUUUUGUUCUUUGUUAAAUUUGGUUUUUGUUUCUUUUAAUUUUUUAUUUUGAACCACAAUUAAAUUUUAAAUUUAAAAAAUCAGAACCAGACUCAAAUUUAAAUUUUCUUAAAACCAAGCAUGCAGAAGAUAAUGUAAAUCAAAAGAAAUACAAACAAAUGAUACCAUGAUAAUAUAACUCUAAAGGAUAAAAUUAUAAAAAUAAAAAGUUUAAUAAUCAAAAUUAAAAAUACAUUGUUCUUAUAAACAGAUGAAUCCACAAUAAAAUGAGUAAAAUGAGUGUACGUAAAUCAUGUUUGUGCUACAAUUAAAGAUUCAUAUGUUUUAGUCAAUGACUAGUUGUGGACCCAUACUAUGUCAUAAGGUUAGAUUUUCUUUUUAUAUAAAAAUUAGUGUUGAGGUGUUGCAAAUAUAUUUUUAAGCAUGAAGAAGAAUUCUCAUUUUAGGUUAUAGACUUGACCAUGUCAAAUAGGAUAGUUUAUUUUAAUUAGAUGAUAGAAAAAAUAGAGUAAUGGAAAUAGAUGUACAAAAUUAAAGAAAAAGUCGUGAUAAUAUAGGGAAAAACUUUAGAGGAUGAAGUUGCAAGAAUUAAAAGUCCAAUGACUAAAAUUAAAAAAAUGAACUGCUCAUAUGUACAAUCAAAUCCACGACGAAAGCAUGAACAUUGUUUGGUGCCAUAGUAAAAGAUCCUUAUGUUCAAGCUAUUUCUGUAAUAAUCUCUAACUGUAAUUUGAGUUCCGUCAUCCAAUUGUAAGCUACACGUCGUCUGUGAUUGUCGGUUUUCUAUUCAGACAUCCUGUGAAUAGUCAGUCAAAGUGAAAUACAAGAAAACAAAUCCCUCUCUCCUCUCCCCGCUCUGUGAACUCUCCUUUUAGGUAGCCAUGACUGCGGCCACCAAGAAACACCUACCCUCCACACUUGAGGGUCCAGCUGCUGUGGUCAACCGUGUGACUUGUUCCGCCCCCAUCCCGGGUUCGACCCUCUAUGUGUACGCCUGUCACCCCCGCGGUGCCUUACAUGUUCACUGGGCUUGCAGGAUGCCCAGUGGGCCCGGGGACUAGUUGUGGUGCGCGCAAACUGGCCCGGACACCCCGGUUAUCAAAAAAAAAAAAAAAAAAGAAACACCUACCCUCCUCCGCUAAGCCACCCAAGAACCACCACUCUACCCCCAACACCACCACCACAACAACCCCACAACCUAACAUAACUCAAAACCCUAACCCAACCACCAAUCCAUCACCACUAUCUCCCACCCUCAAAGACCAGGUUUUGUCACGCGCCACCCAUAUCACGGACCAAGAACUCCUCAAAAGAAGGUCUUACAAGCUAAAACAACUCUCAAAAUGCUUCAAAGAUCAUUACUGGGCAUUAAUGGAAGAACUCAAGAUUCAGUACCGAGAAAAAAUUAACCGAAAAAACCGAACCGAUAGAAAAAACCGAAUAAACCGAUUAAAAAAACCACCCGGUCCGGUUCGGUUCCGGUUUAAGAAGGCUUAAACCGAUUAAACCGGACCGAACCGAACUAGUUUAAUUAAAUCUAAAAAAAUAUAUAAAAAAACAUCCUAAACUUAAUAAUUAAUACCCCCUCCCCCAAAACCUUUCCAGCUACCCCUCCCCUUUUCCCGGCUUUCUCUUCCCCCCACAAAAUAAAACCCAGCACUCUCAAUCCCCACCCACACAACCUUUCCCUCUAAACAUUUCUAAAACGUGUGAUUGGAAUGUCCAUCACAAGUGUAGAAGGAUAUUUGGGUCCCAUAUCCAGGACCGUGAUGAUUGUUAUUACCAAAGCUCUAAUUUUUUUCACUUAAAUAAGAGGACAAGACAGGACAUGACAGGACACGAGGAUAUAACGGUUUUAUCUUAUUUAAUUGAUUUCGGUUUUUCUGGUUUUUAAAGCUAAAAAACCGACCCGAACCGAACAAAACCGGUUCGGUUUGAACCGGUUCUCGGUUCGGUUCGGGUUAUAUUAACAAGGAAUAGAAUUUUCUGGUUCGGUUAAAUUUUCAUGUUAAAACCGGACCGAACCGGACCGUGAACACCCCUAAUCAUAGGAAUAUAAACAUAUACCUUCACUCUUUUUUAGAAGCUAAAAGGUUUAAAAUUAAUUUUUAAAAGUAUCAAUAUUAAAUUACCAUAAAUCAAGAAUAUAAUUCUAGAAAAAUCAAGGAUUAUUUUUAUAUAUAUUAACUUUUCAUUCACCUAUAAUUUGUUUAAAUCAUUUUAAUGAAAACAAGUUUCCAACACCAACACAUAACAACACACCUUUUUUAUUUAAUUUUUUUUAUUUGUUUUUUCAAUUUAGUUUUCAAUUGAUGCCCUCUCUUUUUAUAUAUAAUUGAUUAGUCUAUCUACUUUUUAAAUACUAAUUAAUUUUCUAAAUGAUUUUUUAAAAUUUUAUAAUGCCUCAAAGGGAUUAUUAUAAUUUGUUUUAAAUCUUUUAUCUAUUAAAUUCUUUAUCUCGAUAAGUUAUAUUUUCAUGAUAUAUUUAUAUUAAUGAAAAUCAAAUAUAUUUAGUAUCCAUUAUAAACUUUCAAGAUAAAUAAAUAAAUACUAGAAAAAAAUUAAUCAAGCCUGCAAUGUAACAUUAAUCACCAAUCGAAUUAUAAUCUAUACUAAAAGGCAUUAGUUUUUGAAAUUACUAUGCACUCUUUCACAAUACAUUAUGGAUUGGAGCAAAGAUUUUAUAUAUAUAUUUUCACUUUGGUCUUUGAACUUUUAUUUUGAGUGAUUUGAUAUUUUUUAGCCCAAAUUAGCCCCCAAUUGCACAUUGUUUUAGAAGAGAGGGUUGAAUUGAAAGAUAGGGAAUUGAAGUGAAAAUAUCGGGUAACAUAGGGGGUGGGUUGAAAAUUUUGCUAACACAUUCAUUUUAAGCCCCUAUCGUUUUUAAAUAUUAGGUGACCAACCCCUUGAAUCUUAAGAAAAUAUAUUUUUGUACCUAACUUCAUUUUUCUCUUUUUAGUUCUUUUUUUGUUGGGAGGAGAGGGAUGGAGUCGCCAAAUUCUAGCCUAUAGAGAGAAAAUGACUAUUUGAAAAGAUUACGGCCACCAAAAUGGCUGAUUUUUAUAUCAAAAAGUUUCAUAUGAUGAAGGGGUUUAGGUGUUUUUUUUUAUUAUUAUUUACCUAAAAAACACCUGAAAAAGAUCUGAGCUUUGGUAGAAUUUUUGUUUCAGUUAGAUUUUAGGUUUUGGGGCGGUUUAUUGGGUUUUUGGUGACCAUGGAUUGACUUAAUAACGUCUCUAGGGUUUUUUUCUAGGUAUCUUGGGGUAAAAAAUAGAUUGAAAAUUAAUUUUUGAGUAAAAAAAUAAAGGACCUUAUUUUUCCGGCCACCAUAAUGGCCGAAUUCUAGGUUGCGCAAAUGAUACAUCAUUGUUUUAUAUACUCAAGGCAUUAGAAUUGUUUUUAAAAUAAAGGCUUGCGCAUUAGCUGUUGCUGUAUUAGGUCAGAUAUUGGGCAUGGCUUGAUUCUUUUUUUAUUUUAUUUUUUAUUUUUAGUUUUGUGUGUAUUUUAUCAAAUAAAUUUUGGGUUUAUAUUUUAAUUAGAUUGUGAUUAAUUUUAAAUGAUAUUGAGUGUGUUUAAUUUUUAAAGAGGUAUGUAUGAUUCAUCUGUGAUUUUUUCUUAAUUUUAUAUAUAUUAAAUUUGUUUUUUUAAUAAGAAUUUUUAUAUGUGCAGUCUUACAUUGUUUAUAUAUAUAUAUAUAUAUAAUUAUUAUUCAAAACUUUUUAUGUAUGUGUCAGUUUCUAUUAUAAUUUUAGUUUGAUAGAGGGGUUCAUUAAACAUAAUGAUGUAAAUUACCCAUAUUGCAAUUUUAAUACUCAUUAUUUUUAUUGUAGUUUCUUGAUUUUUGAUUUUUGUGUUGUUUUUCUUGUGAUUUUAACCCUCAUAUUUUUUUUUUCUAUGUAUAGUACUUUCGUUCCUAUAACCUAGGUUAUUGUUUAAAAAGUUAACAGUAAUUGAUUUUUUUUGUUUUAUUUUUUUAUAUUCAUUUUUUUCUUUUUAUAUAAUUAUUCUAUUCUCUUUUAAUUUUUAUUCCAUUAACAAAUAAGAUCAUUGAGAUGUUUUGAAAAUAUUAUGAAUAUAUAGUUUUAUAAUAUUGACAAACAUUCAUCUUUUGCAUUGAAUCAUUGUUUUUUUUUUCUCGCUUUAUUUGUUUGUCAAUAUCAUUAAAUUAACUAAUUUUAUUAAAUUUAUUAAAGCAAAUUACAUUUGGAGUUAUGAGAAAUGGAACUCAAAGAUUUCUCGAAACAGAAGACCAUUGGUCCAUCACUUCUAAGAUAUGUAACUCUCAAUUCUUUCCAAACAUCGAAAGUUGUCGUGAAAUAAAGAAGAAUCAUCAGAAAGAUUCUAAACAGCGGUGUUGAGUGAAUCAUUGUGUGCUGUAAAAGUUUUUUUUUUUUAAGAUCAGACAUUUUGAAGUUUUGAAAAAAUCAAGAAGAUGAUGAAAAAGAAUGUUGAAACCACAAAUAUCUGAUUUAUGAGAAAUGAAGCUAUGAUACCAAGAAAAUUGUUGCGCAAGAAAUGAGAAACGCAGAGGAAAGAAAAGAAAAGUGGAUUCUUGAGAGAAGGAAAGUGUGUUCUGCUCUUCUAGAGAAUUAUAUGCAGAAACUUAGUUUACUCUUCUUUUAUUUCUCUUCUUCUUGUAUUGUCUAUACCAGGGGAUACGAAUGUAUAUAUAUAUAUACGCAUUUGCUAACUCUUAAUUUGUAGCAAAUUCACAGUCUAAAGCCUUCAUCAAACUAAAUUAUCAUAUUUAUAAAGGCCAAAAUCAUGGCCAGUUUUUGUGCACAUGAUCUGUAUAGGAAUUCCAUGUACAAUGCUUGAUAGUCAUAAGAAUAUAAAAUAUCCUUUGCGAGCCAUAUAGCUUGAUAGCCAGCCGGUAGAUCCACGGUUUGCCCUUUCUUGCAAAUGUUUUCAGCAUGCAACUAUUAGGUACUCAACCAUUCAUUUAGAAUUGAUAGUCUAAUGAUUGAUUUUUAAAAUAUUUUUAAUUUGAAAAGAUAUUAAAAUAAUAUAUUUUUUAUUUUUAAAAAUUAUUUUUGACAUCAGCUUAUUACAACGAUUUGAAACCAUUAAAAAAAUUAUUUUGAAGCAAAUAAAAAAUAAAACAAUUAAUUUGAAACAAAUUAAAAUUAUUUUUUUAUUAAUAAAUUAUAUUUUCAUGAUAAAUUUAUAAUAAUAAAAGUCAACUGUGAUAAACUGGCAAGAUAAAUAAAUAAUUGUUUUUUAAAAAAAUUGGUUCGGCCUGCUGCAGUGAUAUCAUCAUAUCCCAUGUCACAUUCUCAUUUAAAGCAACGACAAAAGUUUGAGCUCUUUGUUUUGAUCUGUUCAUUGGUUCUCGAGCCAGACAACAAGGCAUCUCUUUCGUUUGAUAUUUUAUACUGAAAGAGCCGGUCAAUUAUUUUAUAUUUCCUUAGUUUCUUUCAGAGCAAGGCGCCCUCAGGUCAAUGAUGAAGAAUAUUUGUAGGGUUCUUGAUUAUUUCUUCUUGUCGAGAAGCUUGUAGCAAUCUAUCACGGUGUGCUUGUCAAGAAAGAUGUACGUAUUAUAGGGUAGAAGUGGUAAAGAAAAGAGAUGAUAGGAGGAGGAUGAAAGCACAUGAUCUCUCUAGGAAUUCUAUGUACAAUUAAUGCUCGAUAAUCAACUUCUUUUCACGGUUAAAAGAUUAAAGAAUUAAUUUUUAUUAUUAAUAAUUUUUUACUCUUUAUAUAGAGAAUGACUUUAGAUUAAUUUUUUAUUUAUUUAUAAUUUGUUUAAAUUAUAUUAAAGAAAACAAAUUUCCAACGCAAAGCAUAAUAACACACCUUUUCAUUUAUUUUUUCUUACUUUGUUUCUUUAAUUUAGUUUUCAAUUAUAUCUUUUUCUUAAUCUGUUAGUUUAACUAUUUUUAAAUAGUAAAUAAUCUUUUGAAUGAUUUUUUAAAUUUCAUAAUAUCUCAAAUGGAUUAUUGUAAUUUAUUUUAAUUUUUUUUUAUAGCUAGAUAAGUUACAUUUGCAUUAUAUGUUUUUAAUGAUGAAAAUAAAAUGGACUUAGUAACCAUGAUAAACCUUCAAGAUACAUAAAAAAAAAAUCAUCUAUAAAAAAUGAUUACCAAGUUCAUGUAUAUUAUCAAGUUCAAGUAUAUUGGAUCUAGCAUACAUACACAACCUAUAUAUUUAUAAUAAAUAAAUAAAAUAACUUAAUAGUCUUCGCAAUUGAAGUAGGUAGGCUGAAUUGCCUAAAUAUGAUGAAUAAAGGGUUGAAUUUGCAAAAUGAUAUACACAUUUUAAUUUGUUGAUUUGAUACAUCUCAAUCUGUGAAUUGACACUGCAUUAGUAAUUAAGAACUUAGAAGGUGAAUCGACAGAAAAGAAGAAUAAGAACAAGAAGAAGGAGCAUUAGUACUAUUUCCUAUAUUCGAUGGUCCUCGAACCUAAUAUGUUAUUACUGAAAAGAUAAAUUUCUGAACCUAACUCACAACAAUUUCCUUCAUUAUUGCUCAUUAUUAUGUUAUUACUGAAAAGAGUAAAUUUCUGAUCACUCUAUUUCUGAGAUGGCUGCCAACUCUUGGUGAAGACGUCUCGCUGGCAUGCGGCCUGCGCUGGUUCUCUUAGGGACAGAGGAGCUAAAAGGAUCAGGAGGCUGUGUUAAGUUUUCUCCUUCAAGCAUUUGGACAACAGUUUUCAUGGAAGGACGCUCUGCUGGGUUCCACUGGAUGCACCAUAGCCCCACAAUUGCUAGUUUCUUCGCAAUUCUAGCAUCUUCUUCUCCAUCGAUAUGAAACCGCAGGUCUUCUUCCUUUUCUAAGAGAUUUCCGGGAAGUAUAUCUGGUCGCCAUUUUCUGCUGUAGCAUCGACGUUCUUCCUUCCUCCAACCAUUUCCAACACUAACAUCCCAAAGCUGUAAACAUCUGAUUUAUAGGAAACAUUCCCGAAGUUCCUCGAGAACACUUCCGGGGCAAUGUAGCCAACAGUCCCCCUAGCAGUCGUCAUGGAAAUGGCACUUUUAUCCUUGGAACACAAACUUAGCCAUCCCAAAAUCGGCGAUUUUGGGAUUGAAUUCGUUGUCAAGCAGGAUAUUCUGUGGUUUGAUAUCAAAAUGGAGGAUUCUUUGAUCACACCCCUGGUGAAGAUAUUCAAUCCCCUUGGCUAUGCCUAAAGCAACACGAUUCAACCUUUCCCAGCCAAGGAAAUGGUUCCUUGAGUCUGCUGAGGAUAUGAACUUCUGUAAAGAAUCAUUUGGCAAGUACUCAUAAACUAGAGCUCGUCUAAAUCCAUCAGCACAGAAACCGAUCAAGCGAACAACAUUGACAUGGUGGAUUCUUGCCAUUGUUCCCACUUCAUUGAUGAAUUCCUCCCCUUUUCCUAUGGAAUUAUUGAGGAGCUUCACAGCUACAGCAAUUUCAUUGGUUAGCUUUCCUUUGAACGCGGUUCCAUAAGCUCCUUGGCCCAAUUCAUCCCUGAAUUGAUUUGUGAUCCUCUUGAGAUCAGCGUAGGAGUAUCUAGUGGGAUUCAGUGAUCUGUAAUCAUCCAAAAAACAUUUCAACCCUGGCUUGAUAUUCUCUUUGUGUUUUAUCGUUGCUAUAGGCGCGGUAGAGUGCAGUAAUCAGUAUGCAAAAAGGAAGAAUCCUAAAAAUCACACCUGCAUAUCAACAUUCUGAGUCAGGCAACUCGUUUUUUUUUCUUUUUUGGGAAAUAAUGUAAAGUUGAGAUGGAGAUUUGAGCAGACUACAAACCAGCAAUCUGUAGCUUUCCGCCGCACAUCUGUAAAGGAUUGAUACUUUAAUAAUUAGCUUCUGCUCCUUUUCCAAUUGGUAAUUGCGAUAAAAUCAUGAAAGCAACAAAAACGAAAAGAGUUUCUAGUGUUUUGUUAUUUACAUAUUCAAAUGCCAAUUAUUAAUUUGAAAAAAGGAAGAAAGAUAGAAAAGCAUACCUUUAGUGUAGCAUUCAUCUUCAGAAGAUCCACAAGUUGGAUUGGACCAAGACAUAGUAAGAACAUAAUUUUCUUCAAGCAACAUACUAUAUGAAAUUCCAUAAAUGUUGUACAUCUUGGUACAAGAUAACAAAUCAGAGUAACUGAUGGGAAUACGUGAGUCAACGGCAUAAACUUCAUGCUUAAAAGUACUCAGACAUGGGAUUUUAUCCAUGUACCUUUUCUGAUCACUAGAAAGUGAACAAUUGAACAAGGUCCAAUCAUUCAGCCAAUCGUUCAUAAUUUGGAAGUGAGAAGCCCCUAAACUGAACUUUAAACGUUGCCUUGGAAAGCAACCUUGAGGAUCCCUUGCAUAAAUAAUUCGAUGUCUAUAGUCAAUUCUUUCGAUGAGGAGACUCCAUCCAGUUGGCAGAUUAAGCACUGUGCCGUUGUCCUCUGAGCAGGAUAGAUCAAACCCAGGAUAUCCACAGUGGUCUGGUUGUUUUUCCUUGAUCCGGAAAGGAAAUCGGAUGUCAGGGCCACGGUUUCCACAUGAUCCUGUGUAAUUCAAGCUUGCUCCAUGGUCUGCAAGGAAGACAAUGAAAAAGAAGAACAAACACGUAACCAUUUCUGAUGAAUACUUCAUCAUCUCCACACUCCUCUUAAGACUUUAUCUGCAUGUUCUGAUAUAGUUUUGGCCGUUCAGAAAACUCAUGUAGUCCUUAGAUCGGUGAGUCCUUUACACUGUAGUACACGCAUCCUUGCAUCCCUCCCUUCGACAUUAAAAAAAAUAUUCAAAAAGACUGUCUGGUUCAGGUAAUUUUGGUCGGUUUUUAUGAUUAAUUUGCUCAUCCCUAAUGAUAGUAAUAGUCUCUCUAUCUACAUAAUGUGAAUUUUAAUUACAUGGUCGCACCCUUAACGCUUAACGCUUAUGCCAGAAGGGACGGGUGCGAGAUUCUCAACAAGAAAUAAUUAACGCUUAACGAUUAACGCUUUGACAAGUUCUUUAACCUUUCAAUCAGUUGGGAAGGGAGGAAAAGUCUUGCUUUGACAAGUUCUUCAACCUCUCAAUCAGUUGGGAAGGGAGGAAAGGAAAGUAAACGGCUCUCUGUUGUUGUCUUGCUACAUAGCUUUUCUUUUUCAGAUAUCAGUAUUUAAAUACUGAUUUAAGUUCUUUUUCAAACACGCUAUCAGUAUUUAAGUACUGAUUUAAGUUCCUCUUCAAACACGCUAUCAGUUAUUUAAGUACAGUUGGACUUCCAAACUUGAAUAUUUUUGUCAUUAGACUAGAGGUUACAAUUGAAUUGUCACUAUCUUUAUCUUGGAAUAUCUCGUGGAUUUGGUCUUUGAUGAGAUGCUCCAACAAUAAUAUCAAGCUCGCUGGAUUUCGUUGUUUGUUGUAUUGUCACUUCAGCCUUCCCCAUGUUUAGAGGAAUGAACGUCCUUUUUGCUUGCUACAUAGCUUUUCUUUUACAGCUAUCAGUCUUCCAAAAUACGUGCAGAUGUUUUACAGAUGAAACCUUUUCCCUUUUUCAUCAGUAGAGCAAGCAUAUGCACAUGUUAGACAAGAGGCUAUACGACAGCAAGUCUUGACCAAUCACAAUACUGAUGGGAUACCAGGGGCUGUCUUGGCCUCUAAAGGUCUCAUGCUAAUCAAUCCUACUCUCAAUAAAACAACCAAGACCCGAACCACCAAAGAUGGAAGAAAAUGUUCCAAUUGUGGCAACCAUAAACACACACGUGAAAACUGUUUCCAGUUACAUGGAUACCCAGAUUGGUGGCAUGAUCUACAGGGCCGUAAACGUCGUGAUGGAGCUGGUACUACUGGGAGUCCAGGCAAAGCUGCGAUUGUUGCUGCUACUGAGCGUAACCUUUCUCUCAUACAGCCAGUUUCAACAUCUAUUGAGGCCCCUCCCCACUUAAACUCGAGUAAUUCUGGUCUUGCCUUACUUACCAGCCACAGUGAUGCGGCGUGUAAUACAUGGCUCCUCGACUUAGGGGUCAUUGGCCAUAUGACAUUUGAUGCCUCAGAUUUCUCUCAUACAUCCUCCCCACGUCGAACCAGCAUCGCCAAUGCAAAUGGUGGUAUUUCACCAGCCACUAGAGCAGGCUCUGUGACUUUAUCUUCAUCUCUGCAUUUAGCCAACACUUUACUUGUUCCAGCAUUAUCACAUAAACUGAUGUAUGUAGGCCAACUUACUACAGACUUGAGGUGUGUUGUGCUGAUGUAUUCAAACUUCUGUCUUAUUCAGGACAUUCUCACCAAGGAGAUAAUUGGGCGUGGUACUAAGAGGGGGGAACUUUAUUAUGUGGACGACAUCAAUAUCGGCCAGGCACAUCACAUGCACCAUCUGCAUACUGCUAAAGAGAGACAGAUCUGGUUAUGGCAUCGUCGCCUAGGACACCCAUCUUUCCAUUACUUGCAGCAUGUUCUUCCGGAUUUAUUUAUGAGUACUCAGAUUUCUGAUUUGAAGUGUGACACUUAUAUUUUGGCUAAAAGCCACCGUGCUACUUACCCAUUAAGCAUGAAUAAGAGUGACACUCCAUGUGCUUUAAUACACUCGGAUGUGUGGGGACCCUCACCGGUUACAAAUAUGUCCGGCAUUCGUUGGUUUGUUAUUUUUGUGGAUGAUUGUACACGUAUGACUUGGCUCUACUUAAUGAAACAGAAAGAUGAGGUUCUCAAUAUCUUCGAAACAUUCCAUGCGAUGGUUUGUACCUAGUAUGGAGCCACUAUUAAGGUUCUCCGCUCCGACAAUGGUGGUGAAUAUGUAAAUAAGCACCUUAAGACUUAUUUCAAUCAUCAUGGUCUCAUUCAUGAAACUUCAUGCCCACGAACACCCCAACAGAACGAUGUUGUAGAGAGAGAAAAAUAAACACAUUCUUGAGACUGCACGUGCUCUGCUUCUUGGCGCUUAUAUGCCUCAACGAUUCUGGACUGAUGCAGUAUCCACUGCUGUUCAUCUUCUCAACCGAAUGCCUUCUAAGGUGUUAUCAUUUCAGACUCCACUUCAAUCCCUUUCUACUCAUGUGCCACUGCCAAAUGCAUUAAUGCUCCCUCCUCGGGUCUUUGGAUGCGUAGCAUAUGUAUACCUUCACAAGAACCAGCGCUCUAAACUUGAUCCAUGUGCACGUCGGUGUCUAUUUCUGGGCUAUGGUAUACAUCAGAAAGGGUAUCAGUGCUAUGACCCUACUGCAUGCAGACUCUAUGUGACUAUGGAUGUUCAAUUCUUAGAAGCUGACAUGUUAUAUUCCCCUUCGGCAUCUACUUCUCCUCUUUAGAGGGAGACACAUAAUAAAGAUGAAGAGGUGAAUUGGUUCCAACAAGAGAAGCUCAAUGAGUAUUGAUUAGUACUUAAAAGUGCAUAUUUAUCAAGGUUUUAUAUCAUCAUUUUGCACUUAAAGUAUCAAUAACUCCUUAACUAAAGCAUGUUUUAUAAUAACAAGUCUAAUACUAUAAAAUGCCCUAAUAUAUGGUAAAUGUUCAUCUUAAAUGCAGGCCUAUCACAUAAAUCAAAGGAUUGAUUGAUGAAUUCAACUACUGAAAUUUGUGAAGAUAAAGAGAGGGUGAAACUUAGAAAAGAGAUGUUGGUGCAGUCCAAACUGGAACACUGUUCGGUAAUUGGGUCAUAUCUCGAGUUCUAGAUGUCCAAAUGACCUCAAUUUUUACACAGAUUCAGUAAGACAUAGGCCUACAACUUUCAUGUUUUCAUCAAGAUCUAAGAAGGCCGUUUUCAAGUCCAAAUUAUAGCAACAACGGAGAAGUCCGAAUCUGUCCUGCAGCCCGAACACUGUUCAGUGUUUGGCCCAUAUCUGGAGUUCUAGAAGUCCAAAUGACCUCCAUUUUUUUUCUGGAAAGCUGAGUCAAUUUCCUACAACUUUCAUGUUUUCUAGUGGACCCAGUUCGGAUGGUAGCAUUUUUGUUUUAUUCAGACAAGAAGAUAAGGAUUUUCACCAAGUCAAAAGUUGGCCACCCACUCAACAAUUAGUCAUCAAAUCAAUAAUUCCGAAUUUUGGCCUAUAAAAGGAGGCAUUUGCCAUGCAUUUGGGGUUGGUUGUUCAGAUCAAGUUCAUGCUCUUUAUUUCUCUCUUUAUAUUUUUUUUGUAAUUCUUAAGUUUUGCUUUCAUUAAUAUCUUGUUUAUGCUUUUCAUUUCCUUUCCUUUCCUUAGUUAACUUGUAUCUUAUUUAUGUUCUUGUUUUGUUUAUUUAUGUUUCUCUUCUUCAUUAUGUUUAGCUAAGUUUAUUAUGUCAAGGUGAAAAGGUUACACUAAUGGUGUAAGAACAAGUAUGGUGUAAACUCAACAUGGACCUUAAUGUUUAAUAUUAACAUGUCUUAUCUUUUUAUCUUACUAAUUCUUAAUACCUUGCUUGUUAAAUGGUUAAUCUAGAUUUGUGUUGUAUAAUACUUGGUACAACAAAUGCUUGGCACUCUCAUAGCCCAACCGUAUGGUAUUACCUACACCUGGGCUAUGAAAGGAACUUGAUUUGUUGUUAACAUCAGUUAACAUCAUGAAUUCCUGACAAUAUUUAAAAGUUUGGUGUUAUGUAAAUAAGAUAAUUAAUAUGAUCAUGUUAAUAAUUUAUAAUGAGCUAUUAAUGAAAAUCAUCCGAUUGGAACCUCCUCGUGUGUGGUUUCCAAAUUGAGUAAUAAGAGUUUAUACUAUACUUGUUUGAAAUACCAUUGGUGGAUCCUCUAACCUUGACAUUUGUUUUUUAUUGUUUAAUCCUUACAUUAAUCUUCCAUCUCAAAGUUCUCAUUAAUUUCUUCCUCCUCUUCUUUUUAUUAUUAUUACUACUACUACUACUACUACUACUACUACUACUACUACUACUAUUAGUAUUAUUAUUAUUAUUACUAUUAAUAUUAUUACUAUUAUUACUAUUAUUAUUAUUAUUUACAUUUUGUUUAUAUUAUAUAAUAUAUAUCUUUGAUCUUUUCAUAAACUCAGUAUAUAGGCUGGAAACCUGUGACCCGAUCUUUUAGAUCAUUCUCGGUAUAACAAUGCACGUACUGAGUAUUAUUAUUAUUAUUAUUAUUUGUUGUUGUUGGUGUUGUGUUGUUUGUUGUUGUUGUAUUGUUAUUUAUAAUUUAUACAAUUAACCUCUCUGUGGUUCGACCCUAGUCUUGCUGAUUAUUUAUUAUUUCGACACUCCUGCACUUGGAAGAAGACAUCAAUCUUUUGGUCGUGUCAAGUAUAAUUGGAUUAGUCAAGAGAACCUACCACAUAAUGUUGAGCUGCUUCACGAGAGGCCAAAUGAUGACCUUGGUGUUGUCCACUGUGACAAUGAUAUACACUCUAAUGGGCAGAUUGAUACCCAUCCUAGCAUGGAACAUAUAUUGUAUGAGACAUAACCUGCACCCCCCCUCUCUAAAGUGCCAGCCGAAUCAUCUCCUGAGAAUACUCCUAAAGUAAGUACUCCUACAACACCUCUGGAUAUCAAUAAUAUAGAUGUCUCUAUGGGAUAUAUCUUACCUCACAAGUACAAUCGGGGCAAGCCACCUAACAGAUACUCUCCAGAGAUUGAAGACCAAAGGUCAAGGUAUCCAAUUGCCAACUAUGUAUCCACCAAGGGUCUUUCUAAACCCCUUCAGAAAUUUACACAGGACCUUUCCAUAUGUCGGAUUCCUACCAAUGUUAAUUAGGCAUUGACAGAUCUGAAAUGGAGCCAAGCGAUAAAUGAGGAAAUGGAGGCAUUACUAAAGAAUAAUACAUGGACUCUUGUCCCAUUACCUGAAGGAAAACGAACAGUAGGUUGUAGAUGGGUGUUCUCUGUUAAACACAAAGCAUAUGGAUUUGUUGACCGAUAUAAAGCAAGAUUAGUGGCAAAGGGAUACACACAAACAUAUGGUGUGGACUAUCAGGAAACUUUCUCACCUGUUGCCAAGCUGAAUACAGUCAGAGUACUACUAUCACUUGCUGCAAAUCUUGACUGGCCUUUACAUCAACUUGAUGUGAAGAAUGCUUUCCUCCAUGGCGAACUCAAAGAGGAGGUGUAUAUGGAGGUUCCUCCAGGUUAUACAACACCUUCCAAGACUGAAAUGGUGUGCAAAUUGCAACGAGCUUUAUACGGACUAAAGCAGUCACCACGAGCAUGGUUCAGAAGAUUCAGUUUAGCAACGAAGAAAUAUGGCUCCCAACAAAGUAACUCUGACCACACUUUGUUCCUCAAGCACAAGCUGGGAAAGGUAACUGCAUUGAUAGUCUAUGUAGAUGACAUAAUUAUAACAGGAGAUGAUGUAGAAGAAAUGUCUCAGCUUCAAAAAAAGUUAGCAACUGAAUUUGAGAUGAAAAAUCUAGGGGGACUAAAGUAUUUUUUAGGAAUUGAAGUUGCCAGGUCUAAGCAAGGUAUAUUCCUCUAUCAAUGAAAGUACAUAUUAGACUUGCUAACAGAAGUAGGAAUGCUGGAAUGCAGACCUGCAGACACACCCAUUGUUCAGAACCACAGACUUGGAGAAUACCUUGACCAAGUACCAACAAAUAAAGGGAGAUAUCAAAGGUUAGUUGGUAAACUCAUUUACCUCUCUCACACUCGGCCAAAUAUUGCAUAUGUGGUAAGUGUUGUGAGCCAAUUCAUGCACAAUCCAAGCAAAAGUCACAUGGAGGCAGUGACUCGGAUUCUCCAGUACCUGAAGUCAUCUCCAGGCAAGGGGCUUAUGUUCUCAAAACAUGAUAAUCAAUUGAAGGUUGAUGGAUAUAUGGAUGCAGAUUGGGCAGGUAAUAUCACUGAUAGAAAAUCAACCUCAGGGUAUUUUACAUUUGUAGAAGGAAAUCUUGUAACCUGGAGAAGUAAGAAGCAAAAAGUGGUAGCAUUGUCAAGUGCUGAAGCUGAGUUUAGAGGAAUGUCUAAAGGUCUCUGUGAACUCCUUUGGCUGAGAAAGCUACUUGCAGAGAUCGGAUUUGCCCCCGCUUCUAAAAUGGACCUCUUCUGCGAUAAUAAGGCAGCUAUUUCCAUUUCCCACAACCCUGUCUAACAUGACCGUACUAAACAUGUGGAGGUAGACCGUCACUUCAUCAAAGAGAAUCUUGAAGCAAAGAUAAUCCGAUUUCCAUUUGUGAAAUCCAAAGAUCAGUUAGCAGAUAUUCUAACAAAAGCAGUGUCUAACAAGGACUUCUACAACUCACUUGGCAAGUUGUGCAUGCGAGACAUCUAUGCACCAACUUGAGGGGAAGUAUUGGCGUGAGCUGUAAUUGCAACUAAUUAGGAAAUUUGUUAGGCAUUCAAAAUAUGUGAAAAUCCCGUUAAUAAGGGAGAUAAAGAUAGCCUAGGAUUGUACUGAUCUUUCUUUCCUUUUAUUCUCUUUUUUGAUGUACAUAUAAAGAAACAGUAUACAGAAUAAAGACUACAACUUUGAUUGUGAAUAAUUGUCAUCCUGUGCAGUUCAAGCUUGCUCCAUGGCCUGCAAGGAAGACAAUGAAAAAGAAGAACAAACACGUAACCAUUUCUGAUGAAUACUUCAUCAUCUCCACACUCCUCUUAAGACUUUAUCUGCAUGUUCUGAUAUAGUUUUGGCCGUUCAGAAAACUCAUGUAGUCCUUAGAUGGGUGAGUCCUUUACACUGUAGUACACGCAUCCUUGCAUCCUCCCUUUGACAUAAAAAAAAUAUUCAAAAAGACUGUCUGGUUCAGGUAAUUUUGGUCGGUUUUUAUGAUUAAUUUGCUCAUCCCUAAUGAUAGUAAUAGUCUCUCUAUCUACAUAAUGUGAAUUUUAAUUACAUGGUGGCACCCUUAACGCUUAACGCUUAUGCCAGAAGGGACGGGUGCGAGAUUCUCAACAAGAAAUAAUUAACGCUUAGCGAUUAACGCUUUGACAAGUUCUUCAACCUUUCAAUCAGUUGGGAAGGGAGGAAAAGUCUUGCUUUGACAAGUUCUUUAACCUCUCAAUCAGUUGGGAAGGGAGGAAAGGAAAGUAAACGGCUCUCUAUUGUUGUCUUGCUACAUAGCUUUUCUUUUUCAGAUAUCAGUAUUUAAAUACUGAUUUAAGUUCUUUUUCAAACACGCUAUCAGUAUUUAAGUACUGAUUUAAGUUCCUCUUCAAACACGCUAUCAGUUAUUUAAGUACAGUUGGACUUCCAAACUUGAAUAUUUUUGUCAUUAGACUAGAGGUUACAAUUGAAUUGUCACUAUCUUUAUCUUGGAAUAUCUCGUGGAUUUGGUCUUUGAUGAGAUGCUCCAACAAUAAUAUCAAGCUCGCUGGAUUUCGUUUUUUGUGGUAUUGUCACUUCAGCCUUCCCCAUGUUUAGAGGAAUGAACGUCCUUUUUGCUUGCUACAUAGCUUUUCUUUUACAGCUAUUAGUCUUCCAAACUUGCCAUUCUAGCAACUUCACUGCUCAUCAUUGUGCUCCUUCUUCAUGCGGCAAUAUCCAAAACAUUAGCUUCCCUUUCAGACUAAACACUGAUCCACAAAUCUGCGGAAACUAUAAUUAUACUCUGAUUUGCGAGAACAAUAUUUCUACAGUAUUAUAUUUGUAUUCAGGUAAAUACUACGUGCAGGCAAUCGACUACGGUAACUUCACAAUCCGAGUGGUAGAUGCUGGUGUACAAGAUAAUUGCUGCUCCAUCCUGUUGGCAUGAGUUGUCCUCUACGAGAUUAAAGGAGAUUAAAGGAGGAAGAUCAAUAGUAUAGUCAUUAAUUGGAAGCUGACGUUAUUUACGUUAUGGAUUCAUUAGCUAAUUAAGCCCAUUCAUGUAUAGCCAUAAUUGAAAGUUCACGUUAUUUACGUUAUGUAACAAUCUGCUAUAUAUAUCCUCUCAUUCAUGUAAAUAAAGAUUGAAAAAAACAGAACAAUUUCUCUCCAUUUUUUCCUCCAUUCUGUCAUGGUAUCAGAGCAUACCGAUCCUUCUUAAUAUCCCACAGAUUCUUCUUGUCUCCUUCUAUGGCUGAGAUGAACCCCAAAAUGAGGAAUCUCUAUCUUCCCAAACUGAGGAAUCUCUAUCUUCCUCCAUCCUAGCCGAAUAACCACGAGAAUGACUGAAGUUUUGAGUAAAGCUUCAGCCCCAACCAAACUUCUGAUGGCGCUACUGCACCAAUCGGCAUCAAGUUGGACGGUACCAACUAUGCACUUUGGUCCCAGGUGGUCGAAAUGUAUAUCUCGGGCAAGGAUAAACUGGAUAUAUAAAUGGCGACUUAUCUCAACCUCCUCAAACAGAUUCUACUUUUCGACGAUGGCGUAUUGACAACGCAAUUGUUAAAGGGUGGCUGAUAAAUUCCAUGCAUCCUUCUCUUGUCAGUAAUUUCAUCCGCUUCCCUACAGCUAAAUUGGUGUGGGAUGCAAUUGCUACUACAUACUUUGAUGGCAGUGACACCUCCCAGGUGUAUGACCUCCGGCGACGUGUGACACGUCUUAAACAAGCUGGUGGUUCACUGGAAAAGUUCUAUAACGAACUGCAAGGCCUCUGGCGUGAAAUCGAUUUUCAUCGUCCAAACCCGAUGGAAUGCCCAACAGAUAUUCAACAGUACAAUUCUCUUAUCCAAGAAGAUCGAGUAUAUGUAUUCUUGGAUGGUCUUGAUGACCAUUUAGAUCAUAUCAGGUGUGAUGUUUUGCAGAUAAAGCCAUUCCCAACAGUGGAACAAGCCUAUGCACACGUUAGGAGAGAAGCUCUUCGUCAAGCAGUAAUGAUCACAGGCGUUGAUGAUUUACCUGGAGCAGGACUGGCAUCCAAGAGUCUCAAACACAGCUCACAUUCUCUGUCUUUCCAUGGUGGCAAAUCUGUUUCCAACUCUAAAUCCCGAGCCACCUCUGAUGGCACUAAAUGCUCUCACUGUGGGGGGACAAAACAUACUCAAGAGACCUGUUUCAAACUUCAUGGGUAUCCCGAUUGGUGGCAUGAGCUCCAGGCUCGGAAGCGCCGUGAUGGAAAUGGUGGCAACGUAGGACAGGCUGCAGUGGCUACAGCAGAACCGCAUCUAUCCCUUAUUCCAGCUGCUAAGAUUAAUGGUGGUACCACUGGACAAGCUGCAGUGGCUGCAGCAGACCCACACUCAGGUAAUGCUCUACUUGGUUCUAAUCAGGAAGCUGAUUGCAAUGACUGGAUACUUGAUUCUGGAGCAACAGACCACAUGACUUUUGAUGCCAGUGAUUUCUCCCAGCAGUCCCCUCCAAGGCGAACUAGCAUUGCAAAUGCUAAUGGAGACAUUUCUUCGGUAACAGGGGCUGGGACAGUAAUGAUAUCACCAGCCCUAUCAUUGUCACAUACAUUACUUGUGCCUUCUUUAUCUCACAAGCUAUUGUCCGUGAGUCAGAUUACUAAAGCCUUGAAUUGUGUUGUGCUCAUUUACCCUAUGUUUUGUCUUAUUCAGGAUAUUCUCACCAAGGAGAUCAUUGGGCGUGGUACUGAAAGGGGGGGCUUUAUUAUAUGGAAGAUAUCAGUAUUGGACGAGCACAUCACAUGCAUCAUUCAAGCGACCUCAAAACUAAACAAAUUUUGCUCUGGCAUCGUCGGUUAGGCCACCCGUCAUUUGGGUAUCUGCAACAUGUGUUUCCUGAUUUAUUUUCGGGUUUGUCGAAUUUGGAUAUUAAAUGUGAGACAUGCAUUUUAACUAAAAGUCAUCGAGUUACUUAUCCAUUGAGUAUGAAUAAGAGUGAUAUCCCGUUUGCCUUGAUUCACUCUGACGUAUGGGGUCCUUCCCCAAAAUCUACUCUGUCUGGUUUUCGCUGGUUUGUGAUAUUUGUUGAUGACUGUACUCGGAUGACUUGGAUUUAUCUGUUGAAACAUAAAAAUGAGGUUUUUCAUGUAUUUAAAUCAUUUCAUAUAAUGAUUCAGACUCAGUUCGCAGCUAAGCUCCAAACUCUUCGAUCAGAUAAUGGUGGCGAGUAUAUGAAUCAACAGUUUCGUAAUUAUUUCCACCAUUAUGGGCUAAUUCAUGAGACCUCAUGCCCCCAGACUCCGCAACAAAAUGGUGUUGCAGAACGCAAGAAUCGCCACAUUCUUGAAACUGCUCGAGCUCUGUUACUUGGAGCUCAUGUACCUAACCACUACUGGGGUGAUGCUAUUACCACGGCUGUCCAUCUCAUUAAUCGCAUGCCUUCAAAAGUUCUUGGGUUUAAAACUCCGCUACAGGCCUUGUCAACCUAUGUGUCAUUACCCACAAUAUUGAUGCUUCCGCCACGGAUCUUUGGUUGCGUUGCGUAUGUUCACCUCCACAAGAAUCAACGCACGAAACUUGAUCCUUGUGCCAUUCGUUGCCUUUUUUUGGGAUAUGCUACACACCAAAAGGGGUACCGAUGCUACGACCCAGUUACUAGGCACUUAUAUGUGACUAUGGAUGUCUCGUUCCUUGAAUCUGACACUUUCUACUCUCCUGCUGCAUCCAAUUCUUCUCUUCAGGGGAGACACAAGUAGAAGAAAUGAAUUGGUUGACAUUUGACUGGUUCAAAGACACUGAUACAACACUGAAUACGACUCAACCUAUCAUCAAUCAGGAAUCUAAUCCAGAGUUGACAUCUUCGGAAGUUGAAGUAACAUCUCCAGAAACAGUAAUAGUACCCCCCACUCUUCAGUAUCCAGUGACCCAUCUCCUAGAAUAUCAUUGAGGUAAGCUCUCCUAUCCCACCUCACAUUCCUGAUGAUAUGGAUACCUGUGUUGGUUAUGAGUUACCUUUCAGGAAAAUCGAGGAAAACCACCAAACAGAUAUUCCCCAGAACUAGAGGAUCAAAGAUCAAGAUAUCCAAUUGCCAAUUAUGUUUCGACAAAGAAACUGUCUGAACCUCUCAAGAACUUUGUGAAUGAACUCUCCUCACAUCAUAUUCCCACGAGUGUUGACGAAGCUUUGGAUGACUCCAGGUGGAUCCAAGCUAUGAAGGAGGAAAUGGAAGCUUUACUAAAAAAUAAAACAUGGACUCUUGUUUCCCUACCAGAAGGUCAAAAAACAGUGGGAUGCAAGUGGGUAUUCUCCAUCAAGUACAAAGCCGAUGGAUCAGUUGAAAGGUACAAAGCAAGGCUAGUGGCAAAGGGCUAUACGCAAACCUAUGGCAUAAUUAUCAAGAAACAUUCUCACCCGUGGCAAAGUUGAGUACUGUUAGAGUUCUACUAUCUCUCGCAGCAAAUCUUGAUUGGCCAUUACACCAGUUUGAUGUUAAAAACGCGUUUUUACAUGGAGAUCUUGAAGAAGAAAUUUACAUGGAUGUCCCUCCAGGAUAUAUGGCAAACUCUGAGGCUAAGAUCGUGUGCAAACUACAAAGAACUUUAUACGGCCUGAAGCAGUCUCCUAGAGCAUGGUUUGGGCGCUUCAACUCAGCAAUGAGGAAAUAUGGCUUCCAACAAAGCAACUCGGAUCAUACUUUAUUCUUAAAACAUUACCGAGGUAAGGUAACAGCUUUGAUAAUUUAUGUAGAUGAUAUGAUCAUUACAGGAGAUGACUCAGAGGAAAUAGCAAGACUUCAAGAACAAUUGGCCACAGAAUUUGAGAUGAAAAAUCUAGGAGGACUCAAAUAUUUUCUGGGAAUUGAAGUUGCUAGGUCAAAGCACGGCAUAUUCCUUUCCCAACAAAAAUAUAUCCUAGAUUUAUUAUCAGAGGUAGGAUUAUUGGAUUGUAAGCCUGCAGAUACACCGAUAAUUCAAAAUCACAGACUAGGAGAAUACCCAGACCAAGUGCCAACAGAUAAAGGAAGGUAUCAGAGAAUAGUAGGAAAACUAAUUUAUCUCUCUCAUACACGGCCGGACAUCGCUUAUGCAGUAAGUGUGGUAAGCCAAUUCAUGCACUGUCCGAGUGAAGAUCAUAUGAAUGCAGUGAUUCGGAUUCUCAGAUACCUAAAAUUCUCUCCUGGAAAAGGACUUAUGUUUACAAGAAACAAUCACUUACGAGUGGAAGGUUACACAGAUGCUGACUGGGCAGGAAAUAUGUCUGAUAGAAAAUCGACUUCAGGUUAUUUCACGUUUGUUGGAGGAAACCUAGUUACUUGGAGAAGUAAGAAGCAAAAGGUGGUAGCAUUAUCAAGUGCUGAAGCUGAGUUUCGUGGGAUGGCUAAAGGCCUUUGUGAACUUCUCUGGCUUCGAAGACUAUUAACUGAAAUUGGCCUCACUCCUAAAGGAGAAAUGAAUCUAUUUUGUGACAACAAAGCUGCAAUUGAUAUCUCUCACAAUCCAGUCCAGCAUGAUCGGACCAAACAUGUGGAAGUAGACCGACACUUCAUCAAACACAAUCUUGAGGCCAAGAUAAUUCGAUUUCCGUUUGUUAAAUCCGAAGAUCAGUUGGCAGAUAUACUUACAAAAGCUGUAUGUAGCAGAAGCUUCUACAACUCACUUGACAAGUUGGGCAUCCGAGAUAUAUAUGCACCAACUUGAGGGGGAGUGUUGGCAUGAGUUGUCCUCUACGAGAUUAAAAGAUUAAAGGAGGAAGAUCAACAGUAUAGUCAUUAAUUGGAAGCUGACGUUAUUUACGUUAUGGAUUCAUUAGCUAAUUAAGCCCAUUCAUGUAUAGCCAUAAUUGAAAGUUCACGUUAUUUACGUUAUGUAACAAUCUGCUAUAUAUAUCCUCUCAUUCAUGUAAAUAAAGGAUUGAAAAAACAGAACAAAUUUCUCUCCAUUUUUCCUCCAUUCUGUCACAUCCCUCGUUAUUCUUUGGCACCUGAUGACUUCAGUGACGGAGAUCCAUACACAUGGUAUAACUACAAGGAGGUGCCGCGGCCGGGAGUGAGUGAAAGUUUCGUGUACUACUGGGGCCACUGGUUCUUACCUCCACUAUCACUGCCUAUGGUUUUCAUGAGCUGUGAAAAUAUGGUGAAUUCUCCUCUUUAUGUGGACACGGCUCCCUACGGCCUUAACUACGGAUCAGUAAAUUAUUCCAACUCUUCUCUUGUGACUCAUUCGAAUUAUGUGACUCUUGGGGGCAUGACUGCCUCGGAUUUGAUGGAACUGUGCAGCAUAGAGAAAAUAUUUUUGCUUCCAAAGAAGAACUACACAGACAAGUCCUUCGAAGAAAUACACAGUGACCUGGCAUAUGGGUUUGAGCUUUCAUGGUACAACAUCUACUGUGGAAAAUGCAGAAGUGGUUGCUACCUCGACAGGGCAGACCGUCGUCGAUGCAUUAGCAGCUGUAUGUAACACUUGAUGAUUAAGUUGCUUCAGAUUUGAUUCAUAAGACUAUAAAUAACUUGACCAUGGAUAUACAUUAAUUAGUUGUGUGCGCUCUUUUCUAUUUUCUUUCGCAUUUACUCGUUUCUUAACCUAAAGCUUCAACAGAUUAUGAUCAAAGCUAUUGGCAAAUUAUACUCUACAUAAUGACGACAGGUGCGAAUUCUUUUUCUACGUCUCACCAUGUUCGUGUUUUCUUACGUGUUUCUUUAAACUGUUAAAAAUAUUUGAACUACAAGACUUGGACUUCGACUUACAAUAUUCUUAAUAUAUAUUUAUAUUAGUUUAGGAUAAUUCAAGAGACUUAAAAGAUAAAUACAUAUUUAAUAGUUACAUACAUAUAUUUAGGAGACAUCUAGCAGAAUUAAAAAACACUUUGAAUAUAAACUUCAAAAUUAAUUCCAACAUAAACGACGACAUAUUUGUGAAAUAAGGAUUGUUGUUUCUUGAAUAGUAAUUGUAAUUUUGUUCACCAUUUUCUGCAGGUUCCCUCAUCUAUUUAUUUGGUAAGGGAUUCCAUCAUUUCUUUAGUUUCGCAACAAAUUUCUAGUGAAGACAACAAAUAAGAUCACAAAACUUGAUUGUUUUCUGGAAAUUUCCUACACAGUACUACAUAAUGGGCUAAAAGUUGUUUGUGGGACUCCAUGUGUGAUUAUAUUUUUGAUCUAUAAAUGGAGAAGGAGACAUUUAUCAGUAUACGAUACAGUCGAACAAUUCCUACAGAGUCAGAAUAACCUGAUGCCAGUAAGGUAUUCCUACUCAGAUAUCAAGAAGAUUACUAGAGGUUUCAAGGACAAAUUGGGUGAAGGAGGCUUUGGUACAGUUUACAAAGGAAAGCUUCGCAGUGGCGUUUUGCAGCAGUAAAAUUGUUGGGAAAAUCGAAAGCUAAUGGACAGGAUUUCAUAAAUGAAGUUGCUACAAUAGGAAGGAUUCACCAUACUAAUGUGGUGCAGCUAAUUGGUUUUUGCGCUGAAGGAUCAAAGCGAGCUCUUGUAUAUGAUUUCAUGCCUAAUGGAUCUCUUGAUAGACAUUUGUUUUCUCGAGAAGGAUCAAUCUCUUUAAGCUGGUAAAAACUGCAUCAGAUUUCCCUUGGAGUGGCUCGUGGUAUCGACUAUCUUCAUUUAGGUUGUGACAUGCAAAUACUUCAUUUUGAUAUCAAACCUCACAACAUUCUUCUUGACGAAAAUUUAACUCCAAAAGUCUCUGACUUCGGGCUAGCUAGGUUGUACCCAACGAAUGGCAGCAUCACAUCUCUUACUGCAGCAAGGGGCACCAUAGGUUACAUGGCUCCUGAAUUGUUCUACAAAAACAUUGGACGUGUCUCCUAUAAAGCUGAUGUUUAUAGCUUUGGAAUGCUGCUAUUGGAAAUGGCAGGCAAAAGGAAAAAUGUAAACGCGUUGGCAGAAAAUUCAAGUCAAAUCUACUGGCCAUAUUGGGUUCAUGACCAAGUAUCUGAUGGAAAGGCCAUAGAAAUCGGAGACGAUGCCACGGAGGAAGAACGUAAGAUCGUCAAGAAGAUGAUUAUGGUUGGAUUGUGGUGUAUACAAAUGAAACCUAUGGAGCGGCCUACAAUGAAGAAUGUUGUGGAGAUGCUUGAAGGAGAUUUGGAAAACUUGCAAUUGCCUCCUAAGCCUGUCUUCAAUCUAGAUGUGACGCCACCAAACAUUGAAGGAGAGUCAUCAUCGUUGUCAGGUGAUUCUACCGAAGCAACCAGUUUGGUUGAAAAUGCAUACUGAGUGAUAUGAUGUGGAAUGCUCUGCUUACAUGCAGGGAAAAUGAUAGAAUAAUGGUGCUUUCGGACUUGGUUAUGAUGAUUUGGUCUGCAAACAUUAUGAUAAUUUGAAGUCCUUCCUUUUAUCUGAUUUGUGUUUAGCUAAUUUAGAGUUCAAGCUGCGGUUUGUUUCUUCGGUGUGGUCUAUAUAAUAAUCAUACAAAGAUGUUAUGUAUUGUGUUUAACAAUCAGAUUACUGUUACAGAAGUAUGAAGUAUGAAGUAUUAUCCUUAUUCUAUUAUCUAGGCUGACUAGCAGCCCUUUCCCCUGAUCGAGGCUGACUAGCAGCCCAUACCUAUACUAAUAUGAUUUAACUCAAGACUUUUUAAAUUCUCUAGAUUGUCAUCAAUUAGGGUUGUUGAUGGUGGUUGAUUGUUGAACUGCUGAGAAAAAAAAACUAUGAGAGGCUAGGGUAAAUGCUGUAUGUGGCAAGUGGCUAGUGUUGAGAGAGACAAAGAACAUUUAUCUUUACACUAACACUCAUCUCUCCGGAACACAAAAGGGACUUGCCUCUUUAUUUGGAGGACUCUAAAGAACAUUGAGAGAACCCUUAUUUUUACACUACACACAACGUGCAAAACACCUCUUUCAUCUUCUUCAUCUUUUUACCUACUUAUUUAUUUAGAAAUCAAACUAAAAAAACUAACUUGAGCAUUAAUAGAGGAUUUCCAAAAUGAAAUAGUUGGGGACUAGAUAAUUGCCUUGCAUUAUAUUUGAUCAAUUUUUCUAACAUAAAAAAUUAUUUAGACAUUGCUAAUGUUUUUUUUUAAUGGCACUUUAAACUUUGUGAGGUUGACUUGAGAUGACCUGAUCUACUUGACAGGUCUAAAAACAAUCUAGACGGUUAAUAAAAAUAUAAUUUAACUUAAAAUAAAUAUUCAAGAUGAUUUAUUAAGACAUCGACAUAUUAGAUCGAUUUUGAUCAAUUUAAGUUAACUUGUUUAUCUGGUCAUGAAAUCACAAUAAUUUCAUAGAAAGAAAAUCAAAACAAAUUAUGAAGUGUAAGUUCCAACAAACUCAAUGUUAAUUAAUGAAAUUAAAAAAUAAAAUUAAUUAAAAAAAGAAUAAAAAAUUGAAAAAUUCAUCCUCUCAAAAAAAGGAUGAAUUUCAAACAGAUCAAACAGAAUGCGUUUUCUGUCAAGAAGUAUAAAACAUAAUGAAAUUUUAUCUCUACAGUAAUAGAACUUGAUGCAAGAGGAAGGAAAUGACAGGAGUAAAGAAAGAUGGGAGAGCGAAAUGAAGUCUCUUAGCCCCUAUUUAUAUAGGAAGCCAAUGGGUGUGAAAUUAAUUUGAAUUAAUUCGUAACAAUUCAUUGUAUUUGCAGAAUUAAUGAAUUUGAAAAGAUUUAAUGAAACUGAUCAAACAUUAAAGAAAUAAUUUAAUAGAUAUAAUAAAAAUAGUUGUAUCAAUUUUUUAUUCGUCCAUGAUUGAUUUUAAACAUGUUAACAUUCAAGAUAUACAAAGAUGUAAAUAAAUUGAUAGAUCACUAAAUUAAUUAGUACAAGUAGAUUUUGGUUUUAGACAUUUUAUAAUAAAAUAAUAUCAAAUUUAUUUGGCUAAUUAAUUAAUUUAAUGUUUUAAACUAAUCCACUGUUCAUAUAUGUCAUAACCCAAUUUUUUAUUUUUAUUUUUUUUAUUUUUAUCUUUAUAAAUUAAAAAAAAUAAAGUGGAAAAAUUGGAAUGAAUGAAGAAAAAUUAAGGUUUAGAUCAAGACAAUACAAAUGAGAAGUUUUUGAGGAUCAAUCAGGGAGGAAUUGUAAAUUUGAGGUUUAUUUUUGCUUGAAAUUGGAAGAAUCAAUGAAUUUGAGGAUUUAAUUAAGCUUAAAAUUAGUUUAAUUAACAAAAUCAUGAGCUUAAUUGAAGAAAUAUUAAAAAUAGCUGAUUUAGGUCUAAAUUGCAAGAAAUAAAGUUCAAGGACCGUUGUGCAAAAGGCACCGCAAUGCAGGGGUCUACUUAAAAUUUAGCCCAGGGGUCCGUUUAAAACAUGUUAAAACCUCGAGGACUAAAUUGAAAAAGGCCGCCCCAAUCUAGAAACGGCGCUGUUUUUCAAUUCCAUUCAUCGUCUUCUUCCUCUGGAAGCAGAGGAGACCCCCUGCAAAGGAAAAUAUCAAUCGCCGCACACAUGCCAAAUUCAAGACCGCAUUGUCUACCCACGGAACCCAUGGGAUUUGGUUGGUCUCCCUCACCCUCAUAACUCUCCCCUGACGCGAGGAUAAGCACCACCAAUAAUCCAGCAACGGCAGGACUGUUGGUGUUUCCAUUCUACCCAAACACGGAGCCAAUUCACUCUACACAAGAUGACGAUCACAGGGAAUAUAAGGAUAAGAAUCCCUCUCAAGGUCUGACUCUAUAAAAGUGGGAGAGAAGGAAGAACAGGGGAUCGAAAAAGAGAGACGAUACAGAGAUAAAAACCAAAAAAUAAAAUAAAAAGAAUAGAGAGCAGAAGGGAGGAGAGGACUAGGUCUUGAGAAAGCAAAAACAUAAAAGACAAAAAAGAGAAGCCGAGGAAAAGAAAGGGCGUCCGAGGAGUGCUUCAUCCAGCACCUGCAUUUUGCCGCUCAAGGUCGCUGCAAAAACAGGCAAGUCACUUUCAAUUCUCCCCCUCUCUGCAAUUUAAUUACUCUGCUUUUGUAGUAAGCGUGCGCGAACAAUUCAAUAAAAAUUACAAUAGUUGAUUUAGAUUUUUUUUUAAUUUUUUUUUAAUUAAAUUUUUUAAUAUUGAUUUAAUUGAAAAUUAAAUUUUAUGAUUUGUUUUGUUUACUUUUUAUUAAGUUAUCUUUAUCUUAUGACCCGAGAAUUAACUAUAAAUUAAAAGAGGAUGGGAUUUUACUCAUAGUUUUAAGACCCGGCCCGGUCGUCGGCCCGGUCCAAGCCCCGGAUUCCGGGUUUUGACCGGGUCAUUGGGUCUUGACCGGGUCGCCGGGUCAAAAAAAAAAUUUAAUUUUUUUUAAAAAAAAUCAAAACGACGUCGUUUUAGCAAAAAAAACAAAAAAAUAAAAGUCAACGGGUUUGUGCCCGGGUCUUGCCGGGUCAACAAGGUCCCGGGUCGCCCGGGUCUGGCCGGGCCAAUUCCCAAGCGGGUUUUGACCUUCACCAGGACCGGUCCCAUGCCUGGGUCGACCGGGUCCCGGGUCAACCCGUCGGGCCAGUCCGGGUUUUAAAACUAUGGUUUUACUGUACCCCUCCUUACAAAACACUAUUUAUUGGAAUAAUGUUUUGCUUUGCUCUUUUCUUUUUUUUUCCUUUCUUUGAUUGUUUUUUUCAAUCAAUUUUUCUUGUUUAAUUUUUCUUUUAAUAUUAGAUUUUUUUUCUAUUUAGUUAUCACACUCUAAUGACAUGGAUCUCAGGUUUGAUGGGUUAAUCUGGUUUGGCCGGUUAAUUUGGUUUGGCGGGUUAACUUGGUUGGCUUAUAUUUUUUUCUUUUUCUAUUUUAUUUUAAUUUCAUCAUUUCAUAUUGAUUUGAUUGAGAUUUAAAUUUCAUGAAUUGUUUUGUUUACUUCUUAUUAGGUUAUCAUGGUCUUAUAACUCGACAAUAGUGUUAACAAGUUAAUCUGAGUUGACUCGAGGUGUUUUUUGUGUUUUUUAUUUAAUUGAUUUUUUUAAUUUUAUCAUUUAAUAUUAGGUCAAUGGGGAAUUGAGUUUCAUAAUCUGUUUUGAUUUGCUUUCUUAUGAGAAUAUCUUGGUCUCACGAUCAAGAUAACGAGUGUUGAUAUUUUAACCCUAGUUAAAACAAGUUAUUUUUUCUUUUUAUUUUUUUUCCAAGAUGUUAUAUUGGUCUCAUGACCUGGGUCACAUGUCUUUCAACAUUAGACUUGCUUUUUAUUGGGUUGUUCCUGUCUUAUGACCCGAGUCGCAAAUUUGACGGGUUAACCUAAUUGAUUCAUUUUCUCUCUCUCUCUCUUUUAAUUGAUUUUUUUUUCAAUUUCAUCAAUUAAUAUUAUGUUUGAUUGAUAAUUGGACUUCAUGAUUUGUUUCGGUUUAUUUUUUAUUAGGUUAUCUUGGUCUUAUGACCUAAGAAUAAUGCUUAAUAGUUAACUCGAGUUGACUUGGUUUAUUUUUUAUGUUAUUUUUUUAAUUAAUAUUUUUAAAAUUUUCAUUGUUUAAUAUUAGUUUAAUGCGGGUGAUUUAGAAUCGAGCCUUAUAAGUUAUUUUGAUUUUCUCUCUAUGGGGUUAUCCUAGUCUCAAGACCAAAGUCACAGAUUUGACAAGUUAACCUAAGUUAAAUUCAAUUAUUAUUUUUUUAUUUUUUUCUAUAAGGUUAUCUUGGUCCAUUGAACCGAUUUAUGAGUUUGAUGGAUUGACUCAGGUUGUUUUUUAUAAUAUUUUUUAAUUGAUUUUUUAAAUCUCAUCCUUUAUAUAUGAAGUUUGAAUGGAUUGAUUCAGAUUGGGGAUUGAAAUUCAUUUUUUGUUUCGAAUUGUUUUUCAUGGGGUUAUCUUGGUCUUAUGAUCUGGGUUGCAAGUUUGAUUUGUAAACUCAUGUUAUUUUUUAGUUCUUUUUUUAAUUGAUUUUUUUUUUCAAUUUCAUCCUUUAUUAUUGGGUUGAUUGAAAAUUAGGCUUCAUAACUUAUUUUAAUUUGCUUUCUAUAGGCUUAUCAUAGUUUCAUUAUAAACCGGGUCAUGAAUUUGACAUGUUAACCCGAGUUGUCUCAGGUCAAUCCAAUAUGUUGUUGUUUUAAUAUUAGAAAAAAAUAUUAUCUUGAAAUUUUAUUUCGUCAAAUAUUGUUUUCAUGAGUUGUAUGAGUUGUUUUUUGACCAAUAAAAUCAAUCGGGUUAUAUUAGAAAAACCCCACACAAUUUAAUUUUUUUUCAGAAAAAAAUAUUAACAACAGUUGAAUAUUUGUCUUUAUAUUCAAGAAAAAAAUGAUUUUACCCACAGGUUAAAGUUUAUUACUAGUUAUUUUGGGAGGCUCGAAAUUUUGCUAGAUGUGCAGACUAUUUCCUUAAUAUUAAUGAUUGAUCACAAAGAUAACUUAUGUCCAGUCAUGAGCUGCUAAAAUUUGAACUGCCAUGGUUUAUAAUUAUUUUUUUGGAGAUGUGAAAGUAUGAAUCCUGACCAGUUGCAGUGACAAACUACUGUUUGUUGGGAGAAAUGGCAAAUUAGUGCUAGCCAUAUUUACUUGAAUAAUUCUUGAACUUUUCUUGGGCCAUCUAACAUUUUAUUUAUGAUAGAUUUUCUAAAAUUUAUUUAUGCUGCCUUCUGUCUUAAGGAAUUUGACAAGAAAUGAUCGGUAGAAAUUUAUAAAAAUUUUACAUUUUACUUUUUAAAUUUUGAUUUUUGAUUUAAAUAGAUAUUAUUAAACUUGACUGGAUACAUCAACUAGGAAUCUAGUCGUUUUCUUCUAAAACUUGACUUAAAUUAGGUUAAAUAAGAGAUUUUGUAACUCGUGAUCCUAUCAUUUUGAUUAAAAUUUAAUUUGAUUAUUAAAGUUGCUUUUCUUAAAGCAAUGACAUUUUAUUUAAAAAAAAAAAAAUUUAAAUAGUGAACUAAUAUUAUUAUGAAUUCACCGAGUAAACUUUAGUUUAAACUUGAAAAUCUUGAAACAAUUAACUUGAAACUUUGGAUUGAGCCUUUUGAGACCGUGAUCUUGGAUUGGUGGAGUGAUGGGCUUGCCCACAAGUCUUGUGGGUUGAUGGAUAACUUUCAUAAACUUGCAUGUAAAACAAGUUAUUUUUAUCAGAAUUCAGGGUCCUUUUAUUCUUAUGUUAGUAAACAUAGAAAGAGUAAUUUAUAAGAAAGAAAAGAAAAUGAAAAAUAUAGAGAGUUUGUAAAUCGGUGAAGCUGAUGAAUAAACUUGGAUUAUCUAAAUAUUUAAUUAAUAAUUCAAGAUAUUUAUAUACCUCACUUACAUAAUUUCACCUGUGAAGUGUGAUGUAGUAAGAAAGAGUAUCUAAAAAUUCAAGUUGUUUGUUAUUGAAUUUUGUCAUGUUAUUAAUGAAAAAAUUACUCGUUUUAUGGUGCUCUCUAAGUAGGAGAGUUUAUUAAAUUCAUUAGAGCUAAUUACCUGUAUAUUAUAUAUAUUUUUUAUUUUUUAAAAAAAUAUUUAUCUCUACUUAAUAAUUUUUAUUCUAAAAAAACAUAUAUGACAAGUCACCUAACCUAACUAGUCUUAACUAUCAACAUAUCAUCUUAUCCCAUCUCAUGUCACGUAUCAUCUUAUCCUUCACUCUGAUGCAACCUGUGAUCAAUAAUUUAAUAUUUCAGUGCUUUGUGACAUCAACAAUGUCAUGUUACUGAUUGAAACAUUGGUCCACCACCUUUAAUUUCUUUCAUGGCAAGACUUUCCCCCCUAUGCGCAUUUAAAGUAGGUCAGACUACUAUAUGUUAAAUAAUAUUUAUGUAAUUUUAUUUAUUAAAGGUAGAAUAAUUUUUUUAAUUUAAUUAUAAUUUUUUUAGUUUAAUUAAUAUAUAUUUUAUUUAUAUUUAGAUUAGAAUUAUGCACUCAUAAUAUACAGAUUAUUUAAAAUUUUAAUUUUAUUUUUAUAUUUGAUCUUAAUUAUUUCCACUGAAUUGCCUAAAUAUGAUGAAUAAAGGGUUGGAUUUGCAAAAUUAUUUACACAUUUUAAUUUGUUGAUCGCCAUUUUCUACUGUAUCAUCGACGUUCUUCCUUCCUCCAACCAUUUCCAGCACUAACAUACCAAAGCUGUAAACAUGUGAUUUACAGGAAACAUUCCCGAAGUUCCUCGAAAACACUUUUAUCCUUGGAACACGUUUAUUUUUAUAUUGAAUCAUUACUUUUUUCCCGUUUUAUUUAUUGUAAAAAUAAAAAUAUAGUUCCAUAAUAUUUAUAAUUAUUCUAUUCUCAUUGAAUCAUGGUAAAAAUAAUUGGCCCGUGGCGCGACAUCCUAAGUAGUCUUAUCUAUAAACAUAUCAUGUUAUGCCACGUACUCAUUUAAAGCUUGACACAUUGGUCAAUUAUUUUAUACUGAUUGGGACGUUUAAGAGCCGGUCAAUUAUUUUAUAUUUCAGUGUUUUGUGACAUUAACAAUGAAGUUACUGAUUGAAAUAUUAUUUGUAAUUUGUUUUUAUGAUUUAAAAAUAUUUUUAAAAUUUUAAAAUUUAUUUUUUUUACUUCAAAUUAAUAUAUAUUUUAAUAUUUUUAAAUUAUUUUAAUGCACUAAUAUUAAAAAUAAUUUUUAAAAACUAAAAAAAUAUAUAUUAUUUUACUAUAUUUUUAAAUAAAAUAUUUUAAAAAAUAAUUAUAAUCAAACUUUCAAAUAAACUCAUAUAGUUGCUUUCAUGACAAAGACAUUUCACCGUGCCGCACUCAAGUUAAUGAUGAAGAAUUGUAGGGUUCUUGGUAAUUACGCGUCAAUGAGUUGUUUGUGUCCCCAACAUUGGAGGUGCCAUCAUAUUUUAUUUCUUUUUCUUUUUUAAAGAUGUGAGCACGAUAACAUGUGAUUAUUGAAUUGUCGCUGCUGUUUCCUUAUUAUUUUUGAUAUUUUAUUUUUAUUUUUAUUUUUAUUUUUAUAUUUUAUAUCAAGAUUUUAUUUAUUUUCAGUUUUAUUUUUUAAUUAUAAUUUUUUAUAUUUUUUAUUUCAGUUUUUAUUCUAUUAAUUUUAAUUUUUUAUUUGAUACUUUUAUUUAAAAUUUUAAUCGCUUUCAAUAAAGUUUGUCGGUGGUCAGACACACCGACGCAACCUGUGGUUCAACGACAAAAAUAUAUGGUCUUUCUUUUCUGUUUUUUUCCGUGAUCCGCUACCUUUAAUUUCUUUCAUAGCUGAUCUUUCCCCCAUGCUUACUCAGGUCCAUAAAGUUUGGCUUUUCCCUUUUUCGUAAAAAUACAUAUUUCAUCUUAGAAAAAGAUAAAAAAAAAAUAAUAAAGCAUGCAUUUGAGGUAUUUUUUUUUUCUUUUACACUGAUCAUUUUGUAAUUAUCAUGAUAAUGAGGGAUAUUUAUGUAUUUUUACAUUGAAAUUUUAGUUUUUUAAUUAAAAAAAUUGAUGGCAUGUAUACAUGAUGCACCAAUGAGUUGGUGGGGUCUAUACCAUUUGAAUGACGUGUGUGAUAUUUUUUUGUAGCCGAACUUGACGUUCCAACGUCUCUUUAAAAGUGACAUCAAGUUCUACUUUUUAUAGUGUGGCACGUGAUGAUAUAUGGUUGUCGGAUUGUCCUUUUAUUUUUUGUAUUUUAAUUUUAGUUUUAAUUUUUUAAUUUUGUUCUUAUUCUUUAUAUAAUGAUUUUAUUUAUUUUUAAUUUAAUAUUUUAAUUAUAAUUUGUUAUAUGUUUUUUUUUAUUUCAUUUCAAUCUUUUAUUUUUUUUAUUAAAAUAUUUUUUGAUUUCAAUAAAAAUUUUAAGUGGUAAGACACUCCGCAGCAACCUGUGCUUCAACGAUAAAAAAAUAUGAGUUCUUUUUUUCUUUUGUCAUUGGUUCUCGAGCCACAAAACAAAGAAUCUUUUUCCUUAUGGAAGCAUUGGUCCACCACUCUUAAAUUAUUUCACAGCAAGACUUUUCCCGCAUGCACCCUCAGGUCAAAGAUGAAGAAUAUUUGUAGGGUUCUUGGUUAUUCCUUCUUGUCGAGAAGCUUGUGCCUUGUAGCAAUCUUUCACGGUAUUACAAGGAUGAAAGAAGAAGGAUUAAUGCCAACCUAUUCAUCUCGUUGUUGAUCAACAAGGAAGGAACUUGAUAGAAAUAGACCCUUGAUAUUACUAUCCUAUCCAUCAAAAUCCUUCUAUCCUCCCUGCAAUUCCUUCCAAAUUAUGAGUUACAUUGAUUUUCUUCGCAAUUGAAGUAAGUUAGACAGGAUUGCCUAAAUAUGAUGAAUUAAUAAAUGGUUGGAUUUGCAAAAUUAUUUACACAGUUUAAUUUGUUGUUUUGAUACAUCUCAAACAUAUUAGACCGAUAAGUUUACACAUAAUCCAUGAACGUAUCUCACAGGUCACAACAAUUUCCUUCGUUAUUGCUCACUAAUAUUUAUUACUGAAAAGAGUAACUUAACAGUGGUCUCUAGGGUCUUUUCUAGAUGUUUUGGGGCAGUUUAUUGGGGUUUUUUGUGGCCAUAAAUUAACUUUAAGUGAUGCCUAAUCCUUUGAUCUCCCACCAACAAUCUUUUAGCAAUAUUUUGUUGAAAACGUGUACCUCUGAUCUUACAGUUUUGUUCUUAGUUUUAUUGUCUUUAUUUGUAUUCUAUCAUUUGAGUUUUCAGACUAGUAGGUAAACAUAAAUGCUUCUAGCAACAAUUUCUCUAAGUUUUUUUUUUUAUUGAAUCUAUGAAGAGAAUUUCAAGAAUUUAAUUACAAAUUUAUAUAAACUCUUGUAUUAAAACAAUCAAAUUAUAUAAAAUUAAUUUUGUUAUUAAUACUGUGUUGAACUCAGAAUUUGUGAUCUAAAUGGUUAAUUUGACCAUGGUUUUGAAGAGUUUUUUUACCUUUUUUGAUCCAUAAAAUCCAUAUAUCCAUAAAAUCUUCUAAAUGAAUAAAAAAAGAAAAGAAAAGAAAAGAGAAGAGAAGAGAGGAGAAGAAAGAAAGCUAAGCCUUACAACUGGAAGAGACAUUAUCUGCACUGGCGUUGUAGACUGUCGAAAUUCUGAAAUGUUAAUUUCUAUGUAGGAGGUAAAUAGCAUAAAUAAAUAGCAUGACAUCAUACCUUUACUAGGAGGUAAAGGUUCCAAUACCACAAAUAAACAACAAAAGUAUAAACAAAAAGUAAAUUUAAAAUUUUUUAAAAUAUUUUUGAACCAGAAAUACAGACAGUUAGUAUUGCAUUGACAUGGUCUAGAUGAUGACUUGCCAAAAUAAUUUUCAAUUGUCGAUGCUCCAUAGAGUGUUUAAGGCACAAGCCACUCUCUCCCAGUGAAGCAAUGAUUUUUAGUCCAAGUUAUCAUGUGCGUGCUUGAAGUUUUUUUGUCCCGUAAUUGCAGCAAAAUUUGAAUUUUGCACCUAAAACGAUCGAUAGCAAAAACAAUCUGUAAUUUUUCUUGCAAAGAUCUGUAAAGUAAUUAUAAGAUCUGGACUUGGAUUUAGAACUAGAAAAAUCUUCUAAAUGAAUAAUAGAAAAGAAAAGAGAAGAGAAGAGAAGAGAAGAAAGAAAGCUAAGCUUUACAACUGGAAAAAACAUUAUCAGCACUGGAUAAAUAUGAAAUGUUUAAGUUAAGUUGAUGCUGAAAUUCUGAAAUGUUUAUUUCUAUCACUCCUUACAUAAAUUGCGUGACGUCAUACCUUACUAUGAGGUAAAGGUUCCAAUACCAAAAUACAAAACAAUCCCUAGAAAUCAUAAAAUCCUAAUUUCAUCCCCGGAAUAAUAGCAAAGACUAGAAAUCAUGGAACAUGCUCAACUGUGUUCAACAAACUUUCAGGAUCUACUUCAAUUUUCUUAAGAGAACGGGAAAUAGUGAUCGGGAUCCUCGUUAGCUGCGGGCAAUCACCCACAGUAAUUUCUUCGAGAGAAUCGCAAAGAAGUCUUCCAGAAUAAAUGCUAUUCAAAUUUGGUAAUUUCUUCAAUACCAAAACCCUCAAUUUAUCAAAUCUACGAAAAGGAGAGGAAUGCUCAUCACUUCCCAUUAUCUCCUGCAUGUUGUAACAAUCUUCGACUACAAUCACUUCCAAUCGGGCAGUGAGACAACAACCAAGGAGGGAGCAGCACCUUCAUCCUAUGACAUUUAUGUAUCACCAUCUCUCUGAGAUUGAAAAAGACUACUUCUGAAGGGCUUCAAAAAGGUUUCUAAGAUUAUCAAACCAUCAAGGUGUAGAAUCUCAAGCCUCCUCCAAAUACAUAUGAUGGACAUAAGCUUCUCAUGUUUUGACAACUCACAAAAACUACUUUUGUAAUGAAGCACGGGGGCAGAGAUUGCAUUGUCAAUCAUGAGGUCAUAAAACCAAGCCUCUUUAAUUAACCCUGACUUCGAUCUUGUAUAAUUUAGAUCUUCGAGUGAAGAGAAACAAGGUCGUCCUACAGUAACCUUGCAUGCAAUUAGUGAAAAUCUCCGUCCACGACGGAAAUAUCCGAAAUCAUCUAGAUCACGGAAGUUGCAUUCCAAAGUUUCCAAAUCAUAUAAUCUGGAAACUUCAUCUCCUCUAACUGAGAGAACAACUUCAGAUUUCUGAUGAAGCUUGAGGAACUGUAAUUUUGAGAGUUGGGGUAAAAUACCCGACCGUAAAACACGCACCCCACUUCCAUCAAGAUUAAGAUACCUGAGAUCCUUCAGCCUUUCCAUUCCCUCGGGCAAAUCUUCAAGUCCAGUGUAACUGAGAUCCAACUUCUCCAAUGCCUUAAGCUUUGCUAAUGAUGGUACAUAACUCAGCUUUGCACACCAUCCCAGCAACAAUGCAGUGAGUCUCGUCAGAUGAGAAAUAGAAUCCGGCAACUUCUCUAUAUCUGUGUCGGAAAGAUCAAGAACCUUGAGUCCGAUGAGGUGCUGGAAAAAAGAAUCCUCACCAAAUUCAAUUUGUAGUUUCUGCAUAACAAUAAUGUUGAGAGACGGGGGCACAUUGGUGAAAAGCCUGUUGGAAUAUUCUCGAUUCUAUUUUCCAUGAGUGAAACUCUUAACAGAUCCUCUCUCCACAAUCUUACACCGGGUAAUUCUGUUAGCUGUGCACCUGCUUGAACCAUAGCCCCCCACUUUCGUUCAAUAUUUUCCAAGCCAUAUCCCAAAUCAAAUCAUGCAUCUUGACAUAUCUGUAAUCUUCAUCGUCCCUGGAACCUUCUAAUAAGCUGGCAUCUUCAAGUUGAUCAAGCAUGGUAUGGCCCCUAUCAAAUCGUGCAUGCCUUCCCCAUUUCUUUGACUAUACCCUCGUCAAUCAAAUACUCUAUCAAGUCCUCUCUCAAGAUGAUCUUGCCUUUUGGAAAUAGUGUGAUAUGUAAGAAGCACUCUUGAAGUGCUGAAUCGUUCAACUGGCAUAGCUAAAUUCAACUCGAAAUACAUUGGCUUCCAUCUCACCUGGUCCAACUUCUAAUCUUCUCAGUUUUAGCAAUGCAUCUCUCCAACGAUAUUCACAUCCACUCCCUUCAUGCUUCGAGCCAUUGUCAUGAUUCCAAGGGCAAACCAGCACACUCCUUCACAAUAGACUCUGCGAUCUCAGGAUAGGUGCACCACCACGCCCUAAUCUGUCUUGAACAGAUCCCAAGCCUCACCCUCAGAAAGAGGCUCCACUUUGAUUAUCCUUUGGCAAUCCAUUUUUCGACAUAUCUCCGUGAUCUCGUUGUGAGAAUCAACUUCCACCCGUCUGUUCUAAGAGGUAUUCCCACUUCAUCAGGAAGAAAAUGACCCCACAAAUUAUCAAGAAUUAAAAAACCUUUUUUUUUCACAUUCAACUCUGUCAACAGCUCCCCAGUUCUCACCAUCGCAUCAUUUUCAUCCAAAGGUUUUAAAUCCAAAACCUCAGCAAUGCGACCCUGCAAUGCAUGAAUGCUAAAAUCUUGUGACAUAGUAAUCCACCGAACAGGAUGAAACAUGCCUAGUUUAUCGUGAAGCUGAUUAUAGAUGUGUGUAGCCAAAGCUGUCUUUCCCACCCCCCCCAUCCCACAGAUGCCAAUGCAUGAGACCUCAUCAUUCAACAACCCAGACCAGACAGCAUUCAUGUUUCUUUCCAUAGCUUGGCCCACUAGCUUUGUUGUCGGCAAUACAUAUCUUUCAGUCCUACGUUUCUUAUGCACAGGCCUUUUAGAAGAGGGUUGUCUCUCAACAACAGACUGCAUCAAUUCCGGACUCGUGGUCAGUCUACCAAUUCUUAACUCAAAAUCCCUCAUUGAUGAGGAUGAGAUGUUAUUCAAGUUCAUUUCAAAUGACUGAUGUGCUUGCUCUGUUCUUUGUACUCUAGUCUCGGGUUCAUCUGGCAUAAGAACGAUAGGAGCUCUAGGUUCCUCGACAAGCUCAGUCUCCCCCCCAAUCAGAAGACCCUUCCGUUCUCGUUCAUCCGAAAGAGGUUGUUCUUCUUGUUCCAUUUCUAAGCCCCGCAAAGCAGUUGAAGCUGCAUUAAUUCCCUCGUUAUUGCUUGAACUUGGCACACUCUUAUCUACAGGCAUUUUAGAACAGCUUCCUCUCUCAGUAACAGCCUGCAUCCAUUCCCGACUCUCUAUACUAUGAAGAGUGAUGUUAUUCGUAUCCGUUUCAAAUGCUUGAACUGCUGGCUCUAUUCCCAAUCCAGUCACAGGUGCAUCGGGCAUAAGCAUGCUAGGAACCAUGGUCUCCUCAGGAAGCACAAUAUUCUCUUCCCAAAACUCAAAAUCCCUCAUUGAUGAGGAUGAGAUGUUAUUCAUCUGGUGUGCUUGCUCUGUUCGUUGUCUAGUCUCGGGUUCAUCUGGCAUAAGAACGACAGGAGCUCUAUGAAGAGUGAUGUUAUUCGUAUCCGUUUCAAAUGCUUGAACUGCUGGCUCUAUUCCCAAUCCAGUCACAGGUGCAUCGGGCAUAAGCAUGCUAGGAACCAUGGUCUCCUCAGACAGGAAAAACUCUCCCCCAGUUAUCCCAUCCAUCCAUGACAGUCCAUCAUCCAAAAGAGAUUGUCCUUGUUGUUGCAUUUCUAAAUCUUGCGCAGGAUCUGAAUCUGCACUUGGCAUGCUCCCACGCAUUCUGCCAGGAAGCUUAUCAAACGCUGCUCGUUGAACAUCUGGAGUUACUUUUUCACAAAUUUUAACACCACCACCUCCAACUCUUGCCAGAUGAUAUUUCAUCCUUGUAGUGGAAGUACUUCCAGCCAAUGUCUUCUCACAAAAAAUGCACUUCAAUAAACCACCAUCCACUUUCUCAAAAUAACUCUGAAAUGGAUCACUUCCUCCAGCCAUUUUUUCUUCUGUGUCCCUACAUACAGACAUAACAAAGAACUUUCAGAAUAUUGAAUUAAAAUGGAACUUAAACUAAUUGAAAAAAAGAAGAAGCUAAGUUUAAGAUAAAAAGAAAAAUUGAUUACAGGUGUUUCACUGUCUAAACCAAAGUCAAGUUAAACCACUCCAAAGAUCAAAGUGUUCUUUUCUUUUUACUUUCCCAAUAAUUCUACAACUGGUCAUAUCAGUAAUUUAAUAACCAGUAUGUUUCUUUAGCUUAGAAGAAUCAAAGUACAUGAGUUGGAAAAGAAAUGGUAUGAAAUUAGAGCUAAAAUUAAUCAAACUUAAUUACCUGAACAGCAGAUGCAGCAAGAUGUUAUCCAAUUAUUUGAUUAAAUCAGAAGAAAGAAGAUGGACGGGGGAGAGUAAGUGUGUUGGAGACGCCGGACGCGUGAUAGAGCUUCGGCUUGUGUGGUUGUGGAUAAGGAUAGAUUCAGACAGUCAGAGAAGCAGAUGACAGUGAAAAAAAGUAAAAUGGAUUUCUGUCGUUCAUGGAUGUCAUAUGGACAUGUUGUUGGUCUUCCAGGAAGCGGAUCCGGCGAGGGGUGCUCUAGUGAAGGCGUGGGGGUAGGCGGUUGCUGAUGAUAGUCUCCUCGUGUGAUGGACAGCACGCCAACUUUGCAAACGAUGAGAAAGAGCACGAUCCACCACAAAACAGCAGAAGAGAAAGCAGUAGGCCGAGGGAAGAAAAGGGAGCAGAGUCGACCAAGAGAGAAGUAGAGAGCGGUAUCUUCACAAAUGGAGAGGUUUGUGUUUUCUGUAGGUGGUAGAAAAAAGAGACAGAGGAUGAGAGACAACAGAGAGGGAGGCUACCUGUUUGUUUGCUGGUUUUUAAAAAAAGAGUUAAUUUCCAGAAAUAACAAUGAAGUUACUGAUUCAAACAUUGGUCCACCACCCUCAGGUCAAUGAUGAAGAAUUGUAGGGUUCUUGGUUAUUUCUUCUGGUCGAGGAGAAGUCUGUAACAACCUAUCACGGUAUGAAAGAUGCACGUAUUAUAAGUCUCAGAUGGUACAAUUCAAGUUGCCAUUUUGAUAUUAAAAUAACACAUUUCCAGGCCUUAUAUUUAAUAUUUUUAUGCUAAAAAAAAAAAAGCUUAGCGUAUCACAGCCACCUAAUUAGUAUUACCUAUAAACAUAUCAUCUGAUCCCAUCCCAUACAAUUGCACCUGCGGAGUGUGAGGUAGUAAAACAGAGUAUCUAAAAAUUGAAGUAGUUGGUUGUUGAGUCUUGUCAUGUUAUUGAUGAAGAAGUUACUCGUUUCAUGGUGCUCACUAAGUGGGUGAGUUUAUUAAAUUUCUUAGAGCCAAUUACCUGUGUUUUAUAUAUUUUUUAUUUUUUAAAAUAUUUAUCUUCUUUUAAUAUUUUUAUUUUAAGAAAACAUGUAUCACAAGUCACCUAACCUAACCAGUCUUAACUAUGAACAUAUGAUCUUACUAGAGAAUAAUAUAAAUCAUAUACUAGGAUCUCAUCUAAUAAUCUAAAUUAUUGGGUUGAGAUUGUUUUUUAACAUGGUAUCAGAGCUUUGAUGACCAAGUGAUCAUAAGUUCAAAUCUCAUCAUCCCCAUUUAUUUUGAUAAAAAUUAUGCAUAAGAUAAAAUAAACUUGUGCAAGUUUCAAGCCCAAAAAACUUUCACAUGAAAAAAUAUAUUAAAAAAUAAUAUAAAUUAUAUAUUAAAAUUUCAUCUAAUAAUUUAAAUUAUUAAAUUAAAAUAAUUUUUCAAGAUAUGUUAUCCAUCUCAUGUCACAUAUCAUCUCCUUCACUCUGAUGCAACCUGUGAUCAAUUAUUUUAUAUUUCAGUGCUUUGUGACAUCAACAAUGUCAUGUUACUGAUUGAAACAUUGGUCCACCACCUUUAAUUUCUUUCAUGGCAAGACUUUCCCCCCAAUGCGCAAGCAGGUCAAUGAUGACAGAAGGAGGAUGAAAACACAUGAUCUCUCUAGGAAUUCUAUGUACAAUUAAUGCUCGAUAAUCAACUUCUUUUCACGGUUAAAAGAUUAAAGAAUUAAUUUUUAUUAUUAAUAAUUUUUUCUCUUUAAAUAGAGAAUGGCUUUAGAUUAAGUUUUUAUUUAUUCAUAAUUUAUUUAAAUUAUAUUAAAGAAAACAAAUUUCCAGCGCAAAGCACAACAACACACCUUUUCAUUUAUUUUUUCUUAUUUUGUUUCUUUAAUUUAGUUUUCAAUUAUAUCUCUUUUUUUUAAAUAUGUUAGUUUAACUAUUUUUAAAUAGUAAUUAAUCUUUUGGAUGGGUUUUUAAAUUUCAUAAUAUCUCAAAGGGAUUAUUGUAAUUUAUUUAUUAAUUUUUUUUAUAACUAGAUAAGUUAUAUUUGCAUUAUAUGUUUUUAAUGAUGAAAAUAAAAUGUACUUAAUAACCAUAAUAAACCUUCAAGUCUUAAAAUGUACUUAACGACCCUCGAAUCAAUAACGAUAAAUUAUACGCUUCUUAGUUAUUUCUUGUUGAUAAUUUCGCAUCCAUCACAACUUCUAGUCUCUUCUGCAUAGGAUAAUUUAGGGAAUUAGUACACAAAAUUAAAAUAAAUGGUGCAAUGACACAAAAGCAAAAUGGUUUGGUGAAAUAACACUUUCAUUUUGUCGUCCUUUAGAAAUACAACAUUUACUAAAUGUUGUUAUUCCAAAGCACUAUAAGAUUAUUGUGAUGCUUUAGAAUAGUGAUAUUUAGUAGAUGUCGCAUUUCUGAACCGCAAAAAGAUAGUUGUCAUGCUCAACAAAUUGACUUGUUCAUAAUGGUUAGUGAAACUAGUCGAAAAGUUCCGAAAAUAACAAGAAAAAUCACAAAACUAUCAAAAUUAGGGGGCCUCGGUGAUAUUUUUUAUGUCUAAAGAUAUAAUGUUCAUAUGGCACAGUAAGGUUACCCUGGGUAAAAUAGCCUUCAAAAAAUCUUAUAAAAAUUUGAACGCGAUCCAAUAGUGAAAUCAAAAGUUAUGAUCCUUUUGAGAUGUUAUUUUGAUCUGGCAUGACCAUACCUCCUCUUGGGCCUAAACAUGUCUCAUUAGUCCAUAAAUACAUCUGUUAGGCCAUCCAAGUAAUGUUUUUAAGGAAAAUUCUCAUUUAGUUAUGGCAGACCCACACCUGACUACUUAGAAUCACAUGUUAUCGCAAGUCCGAUUAAAAUAACUUUUUUGAGAUUUCUUAGUCUACAAGUUGGACAAAGAUGUAUAUUUUGACUCAUAAAACAUAUUUGAAAUAAAAAAAUUAAUUAAAUUAUGGUUUUGUAUGAAACGAUUGACCAGUUAAUACAUCUAGAUUAAACAGGUCGACUAGAAGAUUUAAGUUUCAUAUUGUCGUGCCUCUGAAGUGCGACAUUAACUAAAUAUUGUUAUUCUAAAGCAGGACAACUAUCUUGUCAUGCGUUUUAAUAUCGACAUUUAGUAAAAUAUCAUAUUUUUGAAGCGCGACAAGUUAAAAGUAAGUUAUUUCAUCAAAAUUUUCUCAAACGGUGUUAUUCCUCUAAAUUUUUAAGUUUACUUUGCUAAUUUGACAAAAAAACAUUCCUUUGCCAUAAGCUUUAAGAGUGAGACCAUGUAAUUAAAAUUCACUUAAUAGAUUCUAGUUUUCUACUAAUUCUAUGCAAUCCAAACAGUUGAAUUUUUGAAUUUUUAAAUAUUUUUUAUUAUAAAAUUUAAAAACAGUUCAGUUUGAUUUUAAUUUUAAAAUUUUUUAAAAAAAUCAAUCCAAACCAAAUUAUAUCAAAUUGAAUCAAAACAAACCAAAUAAAUUUUUUUUAUAAAAAACUAAAGGUAUGUAUAAACUAAAAACUCCAUACAAUUUAAUUUUUUUCAGAAAAAAAUAUUAACAACAGUUGAAUAUUUGUCUUUAUAUUCAAGAAAAAAAUGAUUUUACCCACAGGUUAAAGUUUAUUACUAGUUAUUUUGGGAGGCUCGAAAAUUUUGCUAGAUGUGCAGACUAUUUCCUUAAUAUUAAUGAUUGAUCACAAAGAUAACUUAUGUCCAGUCAUGAGCUGCUAAAAUUUGAACUGCCAUGGUUUAUAAUUAUUUUUUUGGAGAUGUGAAAGUAUGAAUCCUGACCAGUUGCAGUGACAAACUACUGUUUGUUGGGAGAAAUGGCAAAUUAGUGCUAGACAUAUUUACUUGAAUAAUUCUUGAACUUUUCUUGGGCCAUCUGACAUUUUAAUUUAUGAUAGAUUUUCUAAAAUUUAUUUAUGCGGCCUUCUAUCUUAAAGAAUUUGACAAGAAAUGAUCGGUAGAAAUUUAUAAAAAUUUUACUUUUUAAAUUUUGAUUUUUGGUUUAAAUAGAUGUUAUUAAACCUGGUUGGAUACAUCAACUAGGAAUCUAGUCGUUCUCAUCUAAAACUUGGCUUAAACUAGGUUAAAUAAGAGAUUUUGUAACUCGUGAUCAUAUCAUUUUGGUUAAAAUUUAAUUUGAUUAUUAAAGUUGUUUUUCUUAAAGCAAUGACAUUUUAUUUUCUUUUUAAAAUUUUUUAAAUAGUAAACUAAUAUUAUUAUGAAUUCACCGAGUAAACUUUAGUUUAAACUUGAAAAUCUUGAAACAAUUAACUUGAAACUUUGGAUUGAGCCUUUUGAGACCGUGAUCUUGGAUUGGUGGAGUGAUGGGCUUGCCCACAAGUCUUGUGGGUUGAUGGAUAACUUUCAUAAACUUGCAUGUAAAACAAGUUAUUUUUAUCAGAAUUCAGGGUCCUUUUAUUCUUAUGUUAGUAAACAUAGAAAGAGUAAUUUAUAAGAAAGAAAAGAAAAUGAAAAAUAUAGAGAGUUUGUAAAUCGGUGAAGCUGAUGAAUAAACUUGGAUUAUCUAAAUAUUUAAUUAAUAAUUCAAGAUAUUUAUAUACCUCACUUACAUAAUUUCACCUGUGAAGUGUGAUGUAGUAAGAAAGAGUAUCUAAAAAUUCAAGUUGUUUGUUAUUGAAUUUUGUCAUGUUAUUAAUGAAAAAAUUACUCGUUUUAUGGUGCUCUCUAAGUAGGAGAGUUUAUUAAAUUCAUUAGAGCUAAUUACCUGUAUAUUAUAUAUAUUUUUUAUUUUUUAAAAAAAUAUUUAUCUCUACUUAAUAAUUUUUAUUCUAAAAAAACAUAUAUGACAAGUCACCUAACCUAACUAGUCUUAACUAUCAACAUAUCAUCUUAUCCCAUCUCAUGUCACGUAUCAUCUUAUCCUUCACUCUGAUGCAACCUGUGAUCAAUAAUUUAAUAUUUCAGUGCUUUGUGACAUCAACAAUGUCAUGUUACUGAUUGAAACAUUGGUCCACCACCUUUAAUUUCUUUCAUGGCAAGACUUUCCCCCCUAUGCGCAUUUAAAGUAGGUCAGACUACUAUAUGUUAAAUAAUAUUUAUGUAAUUUUAUUUAUUAAAGGUAGAAUAAUUUUUUUAAUUUAAUUAUAAUUUUUUUAGUUUAAUUAAUAUAUUUUAUUUAUAUUUAGAUUAGAAUUAUGCACUCAUAAUAUACAGAUUAUUUAAAAUUUUAAUUUUAUUUUUAUAUUUGAUCUUAAUUAUUUCCACUGAAUUGCCUAAAUAUGAUGAAUAAAGGGUUGGAUUUGCAAAAUUAUUUACACAUUUUAAUUUGUUGAUCGCCAUUUUCUACUGUAUCAUCGACGUUCUUCCUUCCUCCAACCAUUUCCAGCACUAACAUACCAAAGCUGUAAACAUGUGAUUUACAGGAAACAUUCCCGAAGUUCCUCGAAAACACUUUUAUCCUUGGAACACGUUUAUUUUUAUAUUGAAUCAUUACUUUUUUCCCGUUUUAUUUAUUGUAAAAAUAAAAAUAUAGUUCCAUAAUAUUUAUAAUUAUUCUAUUCUCAUUGAAUCAUGGUAAAAAUAAUUGGCCCGUGGCGCGACAUCCUAAGUAGUCUUAUCUAUAAACAUAUCAUGUUAUGCCACGUACUCAUUUAAAGCUUGACACAUUGGUCAAUUAUUUUAUACUGAUUGGGACGUUUAAGAGCCGGUCAAUUAUUUUAUAUUUCAGUGUUUUGUGACAUUAACAAUGAAGUUACUGAUUGAAAUAUUAUUUGUAAUUUGUUUUUAUGAUUUAAAAAUAUUUUUAAAAUUUUAAAAUUUAUUUUUUUUACUUCAAAUUAAUAUAUAUUUUAAUAUUUUUAAAUUAUUUUAAUGCACUAAUAUUAAAAAUAAUUUUUAAAAACUAAAAAAAUAUAUAUUAUUUUACUAUAUUUUUAAAUAAAAUAUUUUAAAAAAUAAUUAUAAUCAAACUUUCAAAUAAACUCAUAUAGUUGCUUUCAUGACAAAGACAUUUCACCGUGCGCACUCAAGUUAAUGAUGAAGAAUUGUAGGGUUCUUGGUAAUUACGCGUCAAUGAGUUGUUUGUGUCCCCAACAUUGGAGGUGCCAUCAUAUUUUAUUUCUUUUUCUUUUUUAAAGAUGUGAGCACGAUAACAUGUGAUUAUUGAAUUGUCGCUGCUGUUUCCUUAUUAUUUUUGAUAUUUUAUUUUUAUUUUUUAUUUUUAUUUUUAUAUUUUAUAUCAAGAUUUUAUUUAUUUUCAGUUUUAUUUUUUAAUUAUAAUUUUUUAUAUUUUUUUAUUUCAGUUUUUAUUCUAUUAAUUUUUAAUUUUUUUAUUUGAUACUUUUAUUUAAAAUUUUAAUCGCUUUCAAUAAAGUUUGUCGGUGGUCAGACACACCGACGCAACCUGUGGUUCAACGACAAAAAUAUAUGGUCUUUCUUUUCUGUUUUUUUCCGUGAUCCGCUACCUUUAAUUUCUUUCAUAGCUGAUCUUUCCCCCAUGCUUACUCAGGUCCAUAAAGUUUGGCUUUUCCCUUUUUCGUAAAAAUACAUAUUUCAUCUUAGAAAAAGAUAAAAAAAAAUUAAUAAUAAAGCAUGCAUUUGAGGUAUUUUUUUUUUCUUUUACACUGAUCAUUUUGUAAUUAUCAUGAUAAUGAGGGAUAUUUAUGUAUUUUUACAUUGAAAUUUUAGUUUUUUAAUUAAAAAAAUUGAUGGCAUGUAUACAUCAUGCACCAAUGAGUUGGUGGGGUCUAUACCAUUUGAAUGACGUGUGUGAUAUUUUUUUGUAGCCGAACUUGACGUUCCAACGUCUCUUUAAAAGUGACAUCAAGUUCUACUUUUUAUAGUGUGGCACGUGAUGAUAUAUGGUUGUCGGAUUGUCCUUUUAUUUUUUGUAUUUUAAUUUUAGUUUUAAUUUUUUAAUUUUGUUCUUAUUCUUUAUAUAAUGAUUUUAUUUAUUUUUAAUUUAAUAUUUUAAUUAUAAUUUGUUAUAUGUUUUUUUUUAUUUCAUUUCAAUCUUUUAUUUUUUUUAUUAAAAUAUUUUUUGAUUUCAAUAAAAAUUUUAAGUGGUAAGACACUCCGCAGCAACCUGUGCUUCAACGAUAAAAAAAUAUGAGUUCUUUUUUUCUUUUGUCAUUGGUUCUCGAGCCACAAAACAAAGAAUCUUUUUCCUUAUGGAAGCAUUGGUCCACCACUCUUAAAUUAUUUCACAGCAAGACUUUUCCCGCAUGCACCCUCAGGUCAAAGAUGAAGAAUAUUUGUAGGGUUCUUGGUUAUUCCUUCUUGUCGAGAAGCUUGUGCCUUGUAGCAAUCUUUCACGGUAUUACAAGGAUGAAAGAAGAAGGAUUAAUGCCAACCUAUUCAUCUCGUUGUUGAUCAACAAGGAAGGAACUUGAUAGAAAUAGACCCUUGAUAUUACUAUCCUAUCCAUCAAAAUCCUUCUAUCCUCCCUGCAAUUCCUUCCAAAUUAUGAGUUACAUUGAUUUUCUUCGCAAUUGAAGUAAGUUAGACAGGAUUGCCUAAAUAUGAUGAAUUAAUAAAUGGUUGGAUUUGCAAAAUUAUUUACACAGUUUAAUUUGUUGUUUUGAUACAUCUCAAACAUAUUAGACCGAUAAGUUUACACAUAAUCCAUGAACGUAUCUCACAGGUCACAACAAUUUCCUUCGUUAUUGCUCACUAAUAUUUAUUACUGAAAAGAGUAACUUAACAGUGGUCUCUAGGGUCUUUUCUAGAUGUUUUGGGGCAGUUUAUUGGGGUUUUUUGUGGCCAUAAAUUAACUUUAAGUGAUGCCUAAUCCUUUGAUCUCCCACCAACAAUCUUUUAGCAAUAUUUUGUUGAAAACGUGUACCUCUGAUCUUACAGUUUUGUUCUUAGUUUUAUUGUCUUUAUUUGUAUUCUAUCAUUUGAGUUUUCAGACUAGUAGGUAAACAUAAAUGCUUCUAGCAACAAUUUCUCUAAGUUUUUUUUUUUAUUGAAUCUAUGAAGAGAAUUUCAAGAAUUUAAUUACAAAUUUAUAUAAACUCUUGUAUUAAAACAAUCAAAUUAUAUUAUAAAAUUAAUUUUGUUAUUAAUACUGUGUUGAACUCAGAAUUUGUGAUCUAAAUGGUUAAUUUGACCAUGGUUUUGAAGAGUUUUUUUACCUUUUUUGAUCCAUAAAAUCCAUAUAUCCAUAAAAUCUUCUAAAUGAAUAAUAAAAAAGAAAAGAAAAGAAAAGAGAAGAGAAGAGAGGAGAAGAAAGAAAGCUAAGCCUUACAACUGGAAGAGACAUUAUCUGCACUGGCGUUGUAGACUGUCGAAAUUCUGAAAUGUUAAUUUCUAUGUAGGAGGUAAAUAGCAUAAAUAAAUAGCAUGACAUCAUACCUUUACUAGGAGGUAAAGGUUCCAAUACCACAAAUAAACAACAAAAGUAUAAACAAAAAGUAAAUUUAAAAUUUUUUAAAAUAUUUUUGAACCAGAAAUACAGACAGUUAGUAUUGCAUUGACAUGGUCUAGAUGAUGACUUGCCAAAAUAAUUUUCAAUUGUCGAUGCUCCAUAGAGUGUUUAAGGCACAAGCCACUCUCUCCCAGUGAAGCAAUGAUUUUUAGUCCAAGUUAUCAUGUGCGUGCUUGAAAGUUUUUUUGUCCCGUAAUUGCAGCAAAAUUUGAAUUUUGCACCUAAAACGAUCGAUAGCAAAAACAAUCUGUAAUUUUUCUUGCAAAGAUCUGUAAAGUAAUUAUAAGAUCUGGACUUGGAUUUAGAACUAGAAAAAUCUUCUAAAUGAAUAAUAGAAAAGAAAAGAGAAGAGAAGAAAGCUAAGCUUCACAACUGGAAAAAACAUUAUCAGCACUGGAUAAAUAUGAAAUGUUUAAGUUAAGUUGAUGCUGAAAUUCUGAAAUGUUUAUUUCUAUCACUCCUUACAUAAAUUGCGUGACGUCAUACCUCUACUAUGAGGUAAAGGUUCCAAUACCAAAAUACAAAACAAUCCCUAGAAAUCAUAAAAUCCUAAUUUCAUCCCCGGAAUAAUAGCAAAUGACUAGAAAUCAUGGAACAUGCUCAACUGUGUUCAACAAACUUUCAGGAUCUACUUCAAUUUUCUUAAUAGAACGGGAAAUAGUGAUCGGGAUCCUCGUUAGCUGCGGGCAAUCACCCACAGUAAUUUCUUCGAGAGAAUCGCAAAGAAGUCUUCCAGAAUAAAUGCUAUUCAAAUUUGGUAAUUUCUUCAAUACCAAAACCCUCAAUUUAUCAAAUGUACGAAAAGGAGAGGAAUGCUCAUCACUUCCCAUUAUCUCCUGCAUGUUGUAACAAUCUUCGACUACAAUCACUUCCAAUCGGCGCAACAACCAUGAUUUUGAAGUUUCAUUAUGUAUCAACCAAGGAGGGAGCAGCACCUUCAUCCCAUGACAUUUAUGUAUCACCAUCUCUCUGAGAUUGAAAAAGACUCGCUCUGAAGGUGCUUCAAAAACGGUUUCUAAGAUUAUCAAACCAUCAAGGUGUAGAAUCUCAAGCCCAUGCCCUCCAAAUACAUAUGAUGGACAUAAGCUUCUCAUGUUUUGACAACUCACAAAAACUACUUUUGUAAUGAAGCACGGGGGCAGAGAAGUUGCAUUGUCAAUCAUGAGGUCAUAAAACCAAGCCUCUUUAAUUAACCCAAACUUCGAUCUUGUAUAAUUUAGAUCUUCGAGUGAAGAGAAACAAGGUCGUCCUACAGUAACCUUGUAUGCACUUAGUGAAAAUCGCCGUCCACCACAGAAAUAUCUGAAAUCAUCUAGAUCACGGAAGUUGCAUUCCAAAGUUUCCAAAUCAUAUAAUGUGGAAACUUCAUCUCCUCUAACUGAGAGAACAACUUCGGAUUUCUGAUGAAGCUUGAGGAACUGUAAUUUUGAGAGUUGGGGUAAAAUACCCGACCGUAAAACACGCACCCCACUUCCAUCAAGAUUAAGAUACCUGAGAUCCUCCAGCCUUUCCAUUCCCUCGGGCAAAUCUUCAAGUCCAGUGUAACUGAGAUCCAACUUCUCCAAUGCCUUAAGCUUUGCUAAUGAUGGUACAUAACUCAGCUUUGCACACCAUCCCAGCAACAAUGCAGUGAGUCUCGUUAGAUGAGAAAUAGAAUCCGGCAACUUCUCUAUAUCUGUGUCGGAAAGAUCAAGAACCUUGAGUCCGAUGAGGUGCUGGAAAAAAUAAUCCUCGACCAAAUUCAAUUUGUAGUUUCUGCACAACAAUAAUGUUGAGAGACGGGGGCACGUUGGUGAAAAGCCUGUUGGAAUAUUCUCGAUUCUAUUUUCCAUGAGUGAAACUCUUAACAGAUCCUCUCUCCACAAUCUUACACCGGGUAAUUCUGUUAGCUGUGCACCUGCUUGAACCAUAGCCCCCCCACUUUCGUUCAAUAUUUUCGAAGCCAUAUCCCAAAUCAAAUCAUGCAUCUUGACAUAUCUGCAAUCUUCAUCGUCCCUGGAACCUUCUAACAAGCUGGCAUCUUCAAGCUGAUCAAGCAUGGUAUGGCCCUAUCAAAUCGUACAUGCCUUCGCAUUCCUUUGACUAUACCUCGUCAAAUCAUACUCUAUCAAGUCCUCUCUCAAGAUGAUCUUGCCUUUUGGAAAUAGUGUGAUAUGUAAGAAGCACUUUUGCAGUGCUGAAUAGGUCAACUGGGGAUAGCUAAAUUCCAACACUGGAAAUACUUUGGCUUCCAUCUCACCUGGUCCAUCUUCUAAUCUUCUCAGUUUUAGCAAUGCAUCUCUCCAAACAUAUUCAACAUACACUCCCUUCAUGCAUCGAGCCAUUGUCACGAUUCCAAGAGGCAAACCAGCACACUCCUUCACAAUAGACUCUGCGAUCUCAGGAUAGGGUGCACCACCAGGCCCUAAUCUGUAUUUGAACAGAUCCCAAGCCUCACCCUCAGAAAGAGGCUCCACUUUGAUUAUCCUUUGGCAAUCCAUUUUUCGACAUAUCUCCGGUGAUCUCGUUGUGAGAAUCAACUUCCACCCGUCUGUUCUAAGAGGUAUUCCCACUUCAUCAGGAAGAAAAUGAUCCCACAAAUUAUCAAGAAUUAAAAAACCUUUUUUUUUCACAUUCAACUCUGUCAACAGCUCCCCAGUUCUCUUUGGUGUGGUCUAUAUAAUCAUCAUACAAAGAUGUUCUGUAUUGUGUUUAACUAUCAGAUUUCCACUCUCUUUGGAAAUCAUAGCAGUUAGCGAGGAUGGUACAUCCUCCAUGAUAACUGUAACAUGUUCUACAUAUUAAUUAUCGUAUUUGUCACCAGCAAGAGUAAUAUUUUGGCUGCAAAUUAACAAGAGACUAUCAUAGGGAUUAUAUAAACAAGUUGAUGCAUGAAAAGACGAGUCUCUAUUUAUAGGUAGCCACUACAGGUAGCUUCGGAGACCACUAAUACAAGGUAAGUCUUGUUAGUAAUUCCACAACCUCUACAUUAGAAAUAAAUAAUCUGUAAAUAUUUACUUUCCUAUUGUAAUGACUACCUCAUAUGAAGAUAACUUACAAUGUAGUAAUUGAUUCCUAAUAGAAAGGAAAGUCUGGAAUCCUACCUGUGUAAGAAAUUCUGCUUGUAUAAGAAAUUCAACUUGUAGAAAUACAUGCAGAGAUCAAUAAUAAUAUAGUUCCAGCAGAUUCAAUCCUCUUUGUCUUUUAAAUUUUUUAUGGUAUCAGAGCUUGACAAAAAAUCCUGAUCCACUAUCACAUCCUAAAACUCUUCCAUUGAUGUUUCAAAGGCAAAUCUCUCAAGCCCUUACUUUAAUUUUAGUAAAAAAAAAAAAAUUUAAAUUUAGGCAAAACACCGUUUGAAACGCAAUGCCAAACGGUGGUGUCUUAGUGACAGUUUAUGCAUGCCUUGACAUGUCUUGCAGAGGAAACAGAAGCACCCUACUUUGCAUUCAGCUGGUUAAACGACAACAACACGUUCCAAACAGAAGAUGCUUCAACUAAACUGACCUAAGAGAGCUUAGACAAACAUCUCGAUAGACUUUGUUGAAGGCUUCAAAUGGUAAAUCUCGAUAGACCUAAGCAAUUUUUAUUCACAAAGAUAAAAUCUGGAAAGAACUAUUUAAGAUAUUAGGGGUGAAAUUGCUUUUGAGUUUAGCUUAUCACCCACAAACUGUUAGACAAUCAAAAAACAGGUUAGGUUUUUUUUUUUUUUUUUUUUUUUUUUGUGUUUCAGCACCUCGAUUUUGCUUACUGUAGCUCCUGUUGUUGCCCCUUUUUUUAUUUUAAUAUAGCUGGUUUUUUCAAACUUGGAUGCAAUUUUUAAUUUUUGCUUUUCCCAGGAUCGAAUUAGGUUGCUCGCUAUCUUGCACGCCCUUUCUUUUCCUAUGCUUGUUUUCCUGCAGAUUGGUUGUUUUGUAGCAACGGUAUUUCACCUCUUUUUGUUCGUCUCAACAAAAAGAAAAUAUAUAUUAAAAAAAUAUUUUUUAUAUAUUUUUUAAAAAUUAUUUUUAAUAUCGAUAUAUUAAAAAUUUGAUUGUUAUUAUUAAUUAUGAUGUCUUAUCACAUCAUUGGGGAGAGGUGAGUUUCCUUUUAGGUGACAUGUGGGAAAAAAAGUAACCAUGGACGAGAAAUGAGGUGCCUUGCUCUACAUAUAGAGAAUGAAUUUGGCGUGCGUUAGUGGGUGGUUUGUGACAUUGUUAAAACUUCAUAUGUUUAGAGGUUGGUAUUAGGUCAAGACCCAAAAAACAUGGUGGAAAACCCAUUUGGGCUUUGUCUGCAGGCAUUCAAGGUAGCAGGGGAAUCCAAUUAAUGAAUUGUUAUUGACUUAAUCUCUAUGUUCUUCAUGGCGGGAUUUUAGUUCAGAAGCUUUUUGUUAACUCAGAGUUGUCAUGUUCAAUAUAGAAGCGUUUGAACUGCUCAGGCACUUCAAAUGAAGAUGAAAGUGCGGAGGAAACUUCAUGGAUAGAUUGCAGGUAUGAAGACAUUUACAGCUGAGAAUUGAAGCUCGAGGGGAACUACUUGCAGUCAGUGUUGAAGAAAGCGCAAGAAACACUGCCUAAACACUUCAAAAGACAGGAGGCUCAAGCUUAAAGGAUGCUAGAUGUUAUCUAAUUGAUUUUUACUAGAGAUUUUCAGAUUGAUUCGCUUAAUGGAAGAACUUGCUUGCACUGUCCUGCUUAUUAUGGCCAUUUUGAUUACCUUCAAGCUACUCUUUCUGCUGCCAUCAAUCCAACCUGUUACUGUUUCUUGUUAACUAUAUCUUCAUUCUAAUUGAUUUCGCUUUCUCUUCUCUUCUGUUUUUUUUAUCAGAGUUAUCUCUGCAUGGACAAUGAACUUCGGGUGAGCCCAACAGGUUACAGCCAAGUAAACAACGAGAAUGCAUGCUCCCGCCAGCCUGCAAAAUCUAGCACAAAGCAAUCGUUUGGGUCAUAGUCUCCUUAGCCCACAGCCAAUCUCGAAAAGGAAUGAUUCUUUUAUUUAUUUUUUGUUUUUUGCAUUUAGGACUCUCAUUUCUUCGUAUGUUUACUUUGUUUAAUUUUUUAAUCAAAGCUAAAGCUCGAUUGACUUGAUCAUGAUGAUCGGAUUCACAGUCUAAAAGCCCUCAUCAACAUAAAUUAUCAUUUUAAAUUUGUUUUUUUUUAAUAUUUAUUUUUGUAUCAGAUUUUUUAUAUCUGUAGCCUUGCAUAAUUUUUUUUUUAAUUAUUAUUCAAUAAAUUUUAUGUGUGUUAGUUUCUAUUAUAAAUAUUAUGUUUUUUUUAUUACAAAUUUAUUUUGAUAAAGAGGUUCAUUAAACAUAAUUAGGUAAAUUAUCCGUGUUGCGAUAUUAGAUAUCCUGAUCUUUAUUUUUUGCUUGGUUUUCUCAAUUUUAUUUUUGUUUAUUGUUGAUGAAUCUUUUUUUCAUUGCUUUACACAAUUGGUUAUUGAUUUAUUUAAUUAGAUGCGUGCAUAAGCUUUUCAAUUAACAUCUAAGAGUUUUUUUUAGUGUAAAAAAACAUGUUGAAUAAUUUUGUAUAUUCAUUUUUUUAUAUUAUGUUUUGAUGUUUAAGAUUUGAUGCUUAUUCUUAUGAAUUUUUUUUUUAAUAUUUUUUCCCUUGAAUCUUUUAUAAAAGUUUUAUUGUUUUUAGUUUCACCCUUCAAUUCAAGUCUAUAGUGUAUUUUUUUUUAUAUGUCUUUGUUCUUUUGAUUUUUGUCAUUUUGUUAAUGUUUUUAUUUUUUUCAAUUCAACUCUCAAAUUUAAAAUUUAUUGUUGCCGUUUGAUUUAUUUUUUAUUGCAAUUUUAACACUCAUUAUUUUUAUUGUAUUUUCUUGAUUUUGAAUUUUUUCUGUGAUUUUAACCCUCACACUUUUUUCAUGUAUAGUGCUUUCGAUUUUAUAACCUGGGUCACGGUUUAAAAAGUCAACAAUAAUUGAUUUUUUUAUCUUUUUUUUUUAUUUCUCUUUCUACGCAAUUAUCUUAUUUUCAUUAGUUUUUUUUACUUUAUUAACAAAUAAGAUCAUUGAUAUAUUUUAAGAAUAUUAUGAAGAUAUAGUUCCGUAAUAUUGGCAAACUCAUCUUUUACAUUGAAUCGUUGUUUUUUUUUUUUUCCGUUUUAUUUGUUGUCGAUAUUUUAUUUUCUAAUGAUAUUAUUAAAUUAACCAAGUCAAUUGAACUCAUUAGAGCCAAUUACCUUAAGGCUUUAUUGUUCUUCACUUGUGCAACUAGGAUGUUUAUAAUAUGUUUUUUAAGAUUCUAAUAGCACCACCAUAAUUUAGAUGCACUUCUAAAUAAAGUACUCAAAUAUAAAAAAAUAUAGAGUUGUUAACUAAUGUUUUAAAUAAAGUAAAAAUACAUGUUUGACCUUAGAAAAUACAAAAACAUAUGGUAUGCAUCUGAGGAUUUUUUUUUUUCCUUUCACACAUCUUUUUUGUAAUUAUCAAGGUCAUGGGGGACAUUUAGGUAUUUUUAUAUUGAAAUUUUAAUUUUCUUUUAAAGAAAGUUGUUGGCAUGUGCUCAUUACGGGCUAAUGAGUUGUUGGCAUCUGUGUCAUUUGGAUGGUGUGUGUGGCACCUCCUGGUGGUCAAACCUGACUUUCCGACAUGUUUUUGGAGGUGCCACCAUGUCCUUCUUUAUGGUGUGGCGCGUGAUGGCAUAUGGUUGCCAACUCUUGGUGAAGACGUCUCGCUGGCAUGCGGCCUGCGCUGCUUCUCUUAGGGACAGAGGAGCUAAAAGGAUCAGGAGGCUUUGUUAAGUUUUCUCCUUCCCCUUCAAGCAUUUGGACAACAGUUUUCAUGGAAGGACGCUCUGCUGGGUUCCACUGAAUGCACCAUAGCCCCACAAUUGCUAGUUUCUUCGCAAUUUUAGCAUCUUCUUCUCCAUCGAUAUGAAACCGCAGGUCUUCUUCCUUUUCUAAGAGAUUAUAAAUCCAUUCCGGGAAGUAUAUCUGGUCGCCAUUUUCUGCUGUAUCAUCGACGUUCUUCCUUCCUCCAACCAUUUCCAACACUAACAUCCCAAAGCUGUAAACAUCUGAUUUAUAGGAAACAUUCCCGAAGUUCCUUGAGAACACUUCUGGGGCAAUGUAGCCAACAGUCCCCCUAGCAGUCGUCAUGGAAAUAGCACUUUUAUCCUUGGAACACAGCUUUGCCAUCCCAAAAUCGGCGAUUUUGGGAUUGAAUUCGUUGUCAAGCAGGAUAUUCUGUGGUUUGAUAUCAAAAUGGAGGAUUCUUUGAUCACACCCCUGGUGAAGAUAUUCAAUCCCCUUGGCUAUGCCUAGAGCAACACGAUUCAACCUUUCCCAGCCAAGGAAAUGGUUCCUUGAGUCUGCUGAGGUUAUGAACUUCUGUAAUGAACCAUUUGGCAAGUACUCAUAAACCAGAGCUCGUCUAAAUCCAUCAGCACAGAAACCGAUCAAGCGAACAACAUUGACAUGGUGGAUCCUUGCCAUUGUUCCCACUUCAUUGAUGAAUUCCUCCCCUUUUCCUAUGGAAUUAUUGAGGAGCUUCACAGCUACAGCAAUUUCAUUGGUUAGCUUUCCUUUGAACACGGUUCCAUAAGCUCCUUGGCCCAAUUCAUCACCGAAUUGAUUUGUGAUCCUCUUGAGGUCAGCGUAGGAGUACCUAGUGGGAUUCAGUGAUCUGUAAUCAUCCAAAAACAUAUCAACUCUCGCUUGAUAUUCUCUUUGUGUUUUAUCGUUGCUAUAGGCGCGGUAGAGUGCAGUAAUCACUAUAGCAAAAAGGAAGAAUCCUAAAAUCACACCUGCAUAUCAACAUUCUGAGUCAGGAAAUUCUGUUUUUUGGGACGUGAUGUAUUGAACCAAGUGUAAAAUUGAGAUGGAGAUUUGAGCUGACUACUAACCAGUAAUCAGUAGCUUUCGCCGCACAUCUGUAAGGGAUUGAAUACUUAUUAGCUUCUCCCUUUGAUGCAAAUGGUAAAAUCAUGAAAGCAACAAAAACGGAAAGAGUUUCUUUAUUAAUUUGAAAAACCCUUAUUGUUUUUUAUUUACGUAUUCAAAUGCCAAUUAUUAAUUUGAAAAAAGGAAGAAAGAUAGAAAAGCAUACCUUUAGUGUGCGGAAGAAUGCUGUAGCAUUCAGCUUCAGAAGAUCCACAAGUUGGAUUGGACCAAGACAUAGUAAGAACAUAAUUUUCUUCAAGCAAGAUACUAUAUGAAAUUCCAUAAAUGUUGUACAUCUUGGUACAAGAUAACAAAUCAGAGUAACUGAUGGGAAUACUUGAGUAAACGGCAUAAACUUCAUGCUUAAAAGUACUCAGACAUGGGAUUUUAUCCAUGUACGAAGGAGGCCUUUUCUCACUAGAAAGAGAACAAUUGAACAAGGUCCAACCAUACGGCAAAUCCUUCUGAAUUUGGAAGUGAGAAGCCCCUAAACUGAAGUUUAAACGUUGCCUUGGAAAGCAACCUUGAGGAUACCUUGCAUAAAUGAGUUGAUGUCCAUAGUCAAUUCCUUCGAUGUGGAGACUCAAUCCAGUUGGCAGAUUAAGCACUGUGCUGUUGUCCUCUGAGCAGGAUAGAUCAAACCCAGGAUAGCCACAGUCUGGUUGUUUGUCCUUGAUUCGGAAAGGAAAUCGGAUGUCAGGGCCACGGUUUCCACAUGAUCCUGUGCAGUUCAAGCUUGCUACAUGGCCUGCAAGGAAGACAAUGAAAAAGAAGAACAAACACGUAACCAUUUCUGAUGAAUAAUUCAUCAUCUCCACACUCCUCCUACGAUUUUAUCUGCAUGUGCUGAUAUAGUUUUGGCCUUUCAGAAAACUCAUGGAGUCCUUAGACGGGCGAUUCCUUUACAGAAUUUAUUUACUCCAUCGAUCUAGUGUGAUGCUCGUCCCUUUGACAUUCCUCCACUCACAAACAUGUGGGAUCCAAUUAUUCCGUUUUAUUUAGGGGUGAGCAUAAUUUCAAACGGUUUGGUUUGGAUAAAAAAAUAUAUAUAACAGAAGUUUUUUUAAAAAAAUAUUUAGUUCAAACGGUUUGGUUUGGAUAAAAAAAAUAUAUAACAGAACUAAUUUUUGUUAAUUGUUUUUUGAAUUGAAUCAAAUAAAAGAACCAAAUUAAUUGGUAUUUGUUUUUUUUUGUUUGAGUUAAUGGACCUUUAGUUGAGCAAUUUUGACAAGUUUCAGGGGCACUUGUUUACACCGCCUCAUUAUAUUUUAUAAAAAAAUAUAUUUUUUAAAAUUAAGUUUUUGUGUUUCUGAAUUGUUUUAAUAUGUUAAUAUUACAAAUAAAUUUUUAAAAAUAAAAAAAUUAUUUUGAUAUAUUUCUAAGUAAAAAAAACUUUAAAAAACAAUCACUACCACAAUGUCAAACACUACUUAAUUUAAUGAGUUUUGAGCUUAUAACAUACCUUUAGUUUCUAAUAAGUUUUUUUUAUUUGGUUUGGAUUAAUUUUUUAAAAAAGAUUUAAAAUUGAAACUCAAUUGAAACGUUUUUAAUUUUUCUAACAAAAAAAAAUUAAAAAUUCAAAAAAUUGUUUGGUUAAUUUUUGGUCAAUUUCUAUGAUUAAUGUUCUCAUCCCUAAUAAUAAUAAUCUCUCUAUUUACAUAGUAUUCACAUUGUAUAUGGUAAUAUGUUUAAUUUGGAAACCUAGAAUUAGCCAAAAAAAACUAGAUUCUAUCGUAUGAAUUUUAAUUACAUGAUCGCACUUAUGCCAAAAGACUGUUUUUUUUUUUUUUGUCAAAUUAGCAGAGUAAAUAUAAAAAUUCAAGGGAAUAACACCGUUUGAGAAAGAUUUAACAAAAUAAUUUACUUUCAACUUGUCACGCUUCAAAAGCAUGAUAUUUACUAAAUGUCGUUAUUCCAACACAUGGCAAGUAGUUGUCCUUUAGAAUAGCAACAUUUAGUAAAUGUUGUUAUUCUGAAGCAUGACAAUAUGAAACUCCAAUUUACAGGCUGACUGGUUUGAUUCAGUUAUAUUAAUCGGUUUAUUGUUUCACAUAAAACGAUAAUUUUAUAAUUUUGUUUCUUCCAAAUAUGUUUUAUGAGUUAAAAUAUAUAUCUCUAUCCAAUUUGUAGACUAAAAAAUCUCAAAACGUUAUUGUAAUUGGGCUUAUGAUAAUGAGUGAUUCUAGGUAGUCAGAUGUAAGUUUGACAUAACUAAAUAAGAAUCUACUCCAAACAAAUUACAUGGAUGAUUGUAUUUAUGGACUAGUAAGAUAUAUCUAGACCCAAGAGGAGGUCUAGUCAUGCAACAUUUAAUAAAUGUUGUGUUUUUAAAGCGCAAUAAGGUGAAGUGUGCUAUUUCAUAAAUUGUUUUUGCUUUUGUGUCAUUUCAUCAUUUAUUUUAAUUUGUGUGCUAAUUUCCUAAUUUAUCCUAUGCCAAAAAGGACUUGGAGUUGUGAUGGAUGCAAAAUUCUCAACAAAAAAUAACUAAGAAGCAUAUAAUUCAUCGUCAUUGACACGGGGUGGUUGAGGGGAAAAGUCUUGCUAUGUGAAACUUCGAGUGACGGACCAAUGUUUCCAUCAAUGACUUAAGUGUCUGAGAAGGAAACGAAAAUAAUGGGGCUUCGACAAGUCCUUUAACCUCUCAAGCAGUAUUUAAGUCCUGUUUGUCUACAUGGCCAACUCGCUAUCAGUCGAGAAGGGAGGAAAGUAAAGUAAAGGGCUCUUUCCUGUUGUCUUGCUCGAGAUACCGUGAACGAAACGGUCCAUAUUUUUGUCAUUAGACUAGAGGAGGUUACACGAGAUUGUAGCUCUCCUACGCGAAACUUCACAUGAGGACCCAUUCAUUUAUUUUAUGUUAUUGGGACAAUUGUAUAUUUACAAGACGCGGCACUAGAGUUGACUUGGUUAAAAGUCUGAGUUAAUAUAAUUUUUUAAAAAAUUAUAUUAUAUUUUUAUAUUUUUUAGAUUUGAUUUAUAUUAUUUUGAUUAUUUUUUAUUUUAUCUGAGAUAAUUUAUGAAAUUAUAUUUUUUUUUCAAUUUCAUUCUCAUUCAAAUUUUUAAUUUGUAAGAUUUGUUCCUCGUUAUUUUAAUAAACUUGAGAAAAAUAAAAUAUUAAUAAGUUAAUUUCUAGCUCAUUUUCCAUGACAUAACAAAAUACUAGAAAGUAUUUUCCAAUUUAUUUUUCAUUACACUACCAAACAUCAAAAAAUAAUUCACUUUCCCGGAAUUCGCUUUCCAAAAAAAACUACUUUCCAGCAAACAAACGAAGCCUAAAUGAAUACAAUAUUAAGAUUAAGAGUCAUAUUGUCUUAAAACAUCUAAUGUAUUCUAUAUUUUAUAUUAUAAACUUAUCUUAUCAUUUUGAAAAUGAUUUAGCCAUACUAACAUCUAUACAUAUAUAUAAUACCUCCAUUACAUCCUACACAUUUUUUUAUUUUUACACCACAAAGGUUUUCAAAGAAAAUAAAGACAUAUAAAUGUUACAUUUUAAAAUGAUAAUUCAUAAACAAAAAAUCCUACAUCUAACGAUCUGCAUCAUCUCGUGGUGUAUGUAUUUCAACAAUAACCACAUUAAUUAAUUUACUCAAUAUCUUAGUCAUAUAUUAAUUAUUUUACUCUUAACUUUUAAAAUUUAAUACUUCUAACUUCAAUCAAUAAUUUACAUAAUCUUUUCAAAAUUUAAAUAUCCAGCUAACUCAUCUCGAUUACCAAUAAUUCUAACACUUUCAUAUAAUUACCCACAAAUUUGGUUAUUCUUCCUCGGUUACCAGUAAAUCAAUAAUUCCAUCUAAAUUACCCAUCAUCUAGUUAACUACUUUUGUUUGCCAAUCAAUCUGGUAAUUCCAUAUGAAUUACCUCAUAUCCAGUUAACCUCUUUGUUAACCAAUAAACCGGGUAAUUCUCUUAAUUACCCAAGAAAUUCGGGUAACCCAUUUUGGUUGCCAAAAUCAAUCCGGUAAUUCCAUAUGAAUUACCCAGCAUCCGACUAACCUUUUUUGUUAGCCAAUUAAUAAUUCCGGUAAUUUCACAUAAAUUACCAAUAAUUCUCAUUUGUAAUAAUCACUCAAUUUAUUCAUGUGCUUCAUUCUUUUAACAUCAAUUAAAUAAACAAAUAUGUGGUUGUAUGUGAAAUGAUGAUGUUAUGUUUGAGAAUGACUUUUUAUCUGAAUGAAUUAAAAAACAUUACAUGCUUUGCAUUUCGGCACAUAAGAAAAAUAUUAAUGAACUAAUGAUAUAAUGACAUUUGAUUGAUUUAGGAGUUGUGUCUGGAGCUGGUUAUCAGAUAAGAGGAGUUGGGUUAUCACGAGCAGAAGGUAGGUGAUUUGUCACCUUAUUUUAUAAUUAUUAGUUUUCCUUAAAGAUUUAUGUUGUUUAUUUAAUUAAUGUUAAAAGAAUAAGCAAAUGAAUAAAUUGAGUGAUUAUUACCAAUAAAAAUUAUUGGUAAUUUAUGUGAAAUUACUAGAAUUAUGUAAAAGAUCGCUUCAACUUUUUUAACUUGGUUGCUCUUUCUCAACUAGACAACCACUUCAACUAAUUUCUAGAAAUCAGUUUCGAUAUUUUCACUAUCUUUCCCUUACAACCGAAGGAAGCAUAUCUUGGAAUAUCUCAUGGAUUUGGACUGGAUUGGGUGUUUUGGUUUCUGAUGAGAUGCUCCAUGAAAAAUAUCAGGCUCGCUGGAUGUCGUUGUUUGUGGUAUUGACAGUUGAUGACUUUUUUUUUUUACUUUUCAAAGUUAAUGAUUCUGACAUUUCGAAGGAGGUGGGAAAUUAUCUUCGUCUGUGAAGUAGUGUUGAAUGUUGGAUCAAUAACUCACUGUCUGCUUUGCUACUAUUCCUAUCCGAUGACUCUGACAUUUCAAAGGACGACCAGGUAGGGGUGUUCUCCUUCACCUUUCAUUGCAUUAUCAGUAGCUUCCACUCCGAAAUUCAAUAGUUUUUGUUGGAGAAAAAAGAAAAGGAAAAAAGAAGAAUAGUUUAUGCAAAAUUGCGUAUACACUGUGUAUCACUUCAGCCUUCCCCAUGUUUAGAGGAAUGAACGUCCUUUUUGCUUGCUACAUAGCUUUUCUUUUACAGCUAUUAGUCUUCCAAACUUGCCAUUCUAGCAACUUCACUGCUCAUUGUGCUCCUUCUUCAUGCGGCAAUAUCCAAAACAUAAGCUUCCCUUUCAGACUAGACACUGAUCCACAAAGCUGCGGAAACAAUAAUUAUACUCUGAUUUGCGAGAACAAUAUUGCUACAGUAUUAUAUUUGUAUUCAGGUAAAUACUACGUGCAGGCAAUCGACUACGGUAACUUCACAAUCCGAGUGGUAGAUGCUGGUGUACAUGAUAAUUCCUGCUCCAUCCCUCGUUAUUCUUUGGCACCUGAUGACUUCAGUGACGGAGAUCCAUACACAUGGUAUAACUACAAGCAGGUGCCGCCAGGAGUGAGUGAAAGUUUCGUGUACUACUGGGGCCACUGGUUCUUACCUCCACUAUCACAGCCUAUGAUUUUCAUGAGCUGUGAAAAUACGGUGAAUUCUCCUCUUUAUGUGGACACGGCUCCCUACGGCCUUAAGUAUGGAUCAGGAAAUUAUUCCAACUCUUCUCUUGUGAGUCAUUCGAAUUAUGUGGCUCUUGGGGGCAUGACUGCCUCGGAUUUGAUGGAACUGUGCAGCAUAGAGAAAAUAUUUUUGCUUCCAAAGAAGAGCUACACAUACAAGUCCUUUGAAGAAAUACACAGUGACCUGGCAUACGGGUUUGAGCUUUCAUGGUACAACAUCUACUGUGAAAAUUGCACAAGGGGUUGCUACAUCGACAGCUCAGACCGUCGUCAAUGCAUUAGCAGCUGUAUGUAACACUUGAUGAUUAAGUUGCAUCACUUUGAUUCAUAAGACCAUAUAUAACUUGUGAUUUGAGGUGGUUUCAUAUAUUUUCUCUGGCUUACUUUUCAAUUUUCCUUUUUUUCGGGCAUUAGCACAAUAUUGCACUGUCCCCAGAUCGAUGUUCAUGUACAAAUUCUGUGCAUCCAUUACCUGUGAAUUCUACUAUAGUGGACUGAUUAUGAGAUUCAUUCAUGUUCAUAUUGUAAAAUAUUCUGACUAUAAUGUGGUUGAAGGUAGUUGGACAGAUUCAUUGGUCUUUUGCAAUUUCAGGAUUGACACAGUGAAACGUUUGGUUCAUCUUAACUUGACCAUGGAUACACAUUAAUUAGUUCAAGGCACAUUAUUAAUUAAAUUGUGUGUGCUCUUAUCUAUUUUCUUUCGCAUUUACUGUUGCGUAUACCAUUAGAACUCUUUGUAAACCUAAAUUCUCGACAGAUUUUGGUGAAAGCUUCUGGGAAACACUACUCCUCGCAGUGAUAGGUGCGAAUUCUCUUUCUGCAUCUCACCUUGUUUGUGUAUUCUUAAGUGUUUCUUCAAACGACUUAUUUGUGAAAUAAGGAUUGUUGUUUCUUGAAUAGUAAUUGUAAUUUUGUUCACCAUUUUCUGCAGAUCCCCUAUAUAUCCAUUUUAUUUGGUAAGAGAUUCCAUCAUUUCUUUAGUUUCGCAACAAAUUUCUAGUGGAGACAACAAAUAAGAUCACAAAACUUGAUUGUUUUCUGGAAAUUUCCUACACAGCACUGCUUCAUGGGCCAAAAGUUGUUUGUGGGACUCCAUGUGUGAUUAUAUUUUUGAUCUACAAAUUGCGAAGGAGACAUUUAUCAGCAUAUGAUAUAGUUGAACAAUUCCUACAGGGUCAGAAUAACCUUAUGCCAGUAAGGUAUUCCUACUCAGAUAUCAAGAAGAUUACUAGAGGUUUCAAGGAGAAAUUAGGUGAAGGAGGCUUUGGUACAGUUUACAAAGGAAAGCUUCGCAGUGGACAUUUUGCAGCAGUAAAAUUGUUGGGAAAAUCAAAAGCUAAUGGACAGGAUUUCAUAAAUGAAGUUGCUACCAUAGGAAGGAUUCACCAUACUAACGUGGUGCAGCUAAUUGGUUUUUGCGCUGAAGGAUCAAAGCGAGCUCUUGUAUAUGAUUUCAUGCCUAAUGGAUCUCUUGAUAAACACUUGUUUACUUGAGAAGGAUCAAUCUCUUUAAGCUGGCAAAAACUGCAUCAGAUUUCCCUUGGAGUGGCUCGUGGUAUCGACUAUCUUCAUUUAGACUGUGACAUGCAAAUACUUCAUUUUGAUAUUAAGCCUCACAACAUUCUUCUUGACGAAAAUUUCAGUCCAAAAGUUUCUGACUUCGGGCUCGCUAGGUUGUACCCCACUAAUGGCAGCAUAACAUCUCUUACUGCAGCAAGGGGCACCAUAGGAUACAUGGCUCCUGAACUGUUCUACAAAAACAUUGGACGUGUCUCCUAUAAAGCUGAUGUAUAUAGCUUUGGAAUGCUGCUAUUGGAAAUGGCAGGCAAAAGGAAGAAUGUAAACGCAUUGGCAGAAAAUUCAAGUCAAAUCUACUGGCCAUAUUGGGUUCAUGACCAAGUAUCUGAUGGAAAGGCCAUAGAAAUCGGAGACGAUGCCACGGAGGAAGAACGUAAGAUCGUCAAGAAGAUGAUUAUGGUUGGAUUGUGGUGUAUACAAAUGAAACCCAUGGAGCGGCCUACAAUGAAGAAUGUUGUGGAGAUGCUUGAAGGAGAUUUGGAAAACUUGCAAUUGCCUCCUAAGCCUGUCUUCAAUCUAGAUGUGACGCCACCAAACAUUGAAGGAGAGUCAUCAUCGUUGUCAGGUGAUUCUACCGCAUCAACCAGUUUGAUUGAAAAUGCAUACUAAGUUAUAUGAUGUGGAAUGCUCUGCUUACAUGCAGGGAAAAUGAUAGAAUAAUGGUGCUUUCGGACUUGGUUGUGAUGAUUUAGUCUGCAACACAUUAUGAUAAUUUGCAAUACUUCCUUUUAUCUGAUUUGUGUUUAGCUAAUUUAGAGUUCAAGCUGCGGCUUGUUUCUUCGGUGUGGUCUAUAUAAUCAUCAUACAAAGAUGUUCUGUAUUGUGUUUAACUAUCAGAUUUCCACUCUGUUUGGCAAUCAUAGCAGUUGGCGAGGAUGGAACAUCCUCCAUGAUAACUGUUCCAUGUUCUACAUAUUAAUUAUCCUAUAUUUUUCUCCAACAGAAUAAUAUUUUGGCUACAAAUUAACAAGAGACUAUCACAGGGAUUAUAUAAACAAGUUUAUGCAUGAAAAGACGAGUCUCUAUUUAUAGGUAGCCACUACAAGUAGCUUCGGAGACCACAAAUACAAGUCAAGUCUCUCUAGUAAUCCUUCCACUAUAAGUAGCUUCGGAGAUAGAAAAUAGCGAUUUAUUUGCUAUCAUAGGGAUGAUUCUGAACAGAGGGGCUUAAUUUCAUUUUCUUCCACCAACAAUGCCUUCGUGUCAAUGUUCAGCCCCAUGAUAAUCGAUCUAGCGUCACCAUUUGCACAUUACCAUAUCUUGCAUAAGCCACGAGGAACCAAUCACAACAAAACAGGAUUGAAAACCAUGACCAUAACGGGUGCUGUGAAAUGAAUAUUGAAACAGAUGGGUGAAUUUGAUGCAGAAAAGUAGAGAGGAGACAAUGAAGCUUGCUUACCGGUCAUGGCAUUUCACCAGGGAGCUCUGCUUCUUCAAAAAUGCUCAACUGUGCUCAACAACCUUUCAGGAUCUGCUUCAAUUUUCUCAAGAGAAUGGGAAACAGUGAACGGGAUCCUCGUUAGCUGCGGGCAAUCACCCACAGUAAUUUCCUCAAGAGAAUUGCAUAGAAGACUUCCAGAAUAAAUGCUAUUCAAAUUAUGACAUUUGUUCUGCGAGAUAUUCCCACUUUAUCAGGAUGAAAAUCAUCCCACAAAUCAUCAAGAAUGAUGACAUGGUUUUGUAUCACACUCAAUGCUGUCCAUAGCUCCCCAGCUCUACUCGUCACAUCUUUUCCUCUCGGAAGACAUAAACCAAAAGCUUCGGCAAUGAGAUCCUGCGAGGCAUGAAUGCUAAAUUUCUGUUCAUAUGCUGUGUGAUGAAGGUGUUGCUUUCUGUGACAUAGUAAUCCAACAAACAUGAAAAAAAAAAAUGUCUGGUUUCUCUUGAAGCUGAUUAUGGAUAUGUGCAGCCAAAGUUGUCUUUCCCACUCCCCCAUCCCGUACAUGCCAAUGCAUGAGACCUCACCAUUCAACAACAAGACCAGACAUCCUUCAUAUUUCUUUCAAUAGCUUGACCCACUAGCUUCGUUGUCGGGACUACAUAUCUUUUAGUCCUACGUCGCUUAUGUACAGGCCUUUUAGAAUAGCUUACCGUGUCAAUUCUCAAGUCAUGUUCUCUAUAUAAACUCUUAACAAAACAUCCCUCGUUGAUGAGGAUGAGAUGUUAUUCAAGAUCAUUUCAAAUGCCUGACAUGUUUUCUCUGUUCUCUGUCCAGGCUCGGGUUCAUCUGGCACAAGUACAACAUGAGCUCUAGGUUCCUCAACAAUCUCGGUCUCCCCCGUCAAGAACUGCUCUGUUGAUCACCCCAUCUUCAUCACUUUCAAAAGAAACAUGCAAUAAUUUUGCUAACUUUGAGUUUCUAUCGUCAAAAUUCACUACAAAUCACUUCUUUUCAUUGCACCAUUGGCUUCCCAGCUGCAAAUUCAAGUACCCUUUUUAUAUAUAUAAAAUCAUCAUUUUUUUGGGCUAAAAACAACAAGUUAAUAACAGGUUUAUGUAUAUCGACAACGUCAAUUUAUUUUAUUUAUUUAUUUAAAAUUAAUACUUUUUGGUAUUUAAUUUUUUUUAUCUAUUUAUUUGCUUAAAAAUAAAAAAUUUGUGUUUUUAAAUUAUUUUAAUGUGAUGAUAUCUAAAAUAAUUUUUAAAAAAUAAAAUAAAUAUUAUUUAAUAUAUUUUUGAAUAAAAAAACACUUUAAAAAAUAACCACAACCAUACUUUCAAAUACACCGUUAAUUAUUUUGACAUUUAAAAAUUACAAUCUAAACUGAACUUGUUUGUCAUUCAAAUUUAAAAUUUUUAUUUUGUUUGGAAUUAAUAUAUUAAUAAUAAAAAUAAUUUUUUAAAAAUAAAAUAAAAAAAAUCAUUUUAAUAUAUUUUUAAAUUAAAAAAAUUCUGAAAUAUUAAUUUUUAUCAAACUCACAAGCACUCCUUACAUAUUUACUAUUAGGUAAAGGUUCCGAUACCAAAAUACAAAACAGUCCCUAGAAAUCAUAAAAUCCUAAUUUCAUCCCCGGAAUGAUAGCAAAUGGUUUUGAUAGCUUUGCCAAACCUUAAAUAUUAAAAAUAUUUCACACCGUAUAAGAUUCCUUACAUUUACUAUUAGGAAAAUACACGCUGCAAUUACAACUGAAGAUGCAUGGAUUUUGGAGAGAGGGUACGAACGCCUUCUUGUCAAUGUGCAGCCCCAUGAUCAUCGAUCUAGCGUCACCAUUUACACAUUACCAUACCUUGCAGAAGCCACGAGGAAACAAUCACAACCAAACAGGAUUGGAAACCGUGACCAUAAUGGGUGCUGUGAAAUGAAUAUUGAAACAGAGGAGAAAAUGAAGCUUGCUUACCGGUCAUGGCAUUUCACCAGAGAGCUCUGCUUCUAACUGUGAAAUGCGUCUUCUUGUGGGUAAGAGGCAAGGUCUUCAAACAUGCUCAACUGUGUUCAACAAACUUUCAGAAUCUACUUCAAUUUUCUUAAGAGAAUGGGAAAUAGCGAACGGGAUCCUCGUUAGCUGCGGGCAAUUACCCACUGUAAUUUCUUCGAGAGAAGUGCAUUGAAGUCUUCGAGAAUAAAUGCUUUUCAAAUUUGGUAAUUUCUUCAAUUUAUCAAAACUACGAAAAGGAGAGGAAUGCUCCUCUCCAGGCACCAAAACUUCACAACUUCCCAUUAUCUCUCGCAUGUUGUAACAAUCUUCGACUACAAUCACUUCCAAUCGGAGUGUAGACAAAAACCGUGGGAGCAGCACCUUUAUCCUAUGACACUUAUGUAUCACCAUCUCUCUGAGAUCGAAAAAGACACCAACAGUACCUAGCUUUGAAGGUACUUCAAAAGGGGUUUCUAAGAUUAUCAAACCAUCAAGGUGUAGAAUCUCAAGCCCAUAUGAUGGACAUAAGCUUCUCAUGUUUUGACAACUAACAAAAACUACUUUUGCCCAUAUCAAACCACCUGUUGUUUUGCCCCUCACUACUUCCACCAUUUGUGCUCCACUGGAUCAGUCUGCAAUUCCAUUGCCUGCCUCUGCCCCAACUCCGCUGAUUUCCAAUCACCAUCCUAUGACUACUCGUGCAAAGUAUGGCAUCAGUAAGCCUCGUGCUCUUUGUGCCAGUAAUUAUCCCUUGCCUCAAAAAUAUGUUGCACUACUUAUCUCCUCCAUCCCUCGUGAACCUUCAUCUUUCAAAGCUGCCAGCCUUGAUUCACAUUGGAUUUCUGCAAUGACAGAUGAGUAUCGUGCACUCCUUGAUAAUCAGACGUGGUCUUUAGUGCCUCGUACAUCCUCUAUGAACGUUGUCGGCUGCCGUUGGGUUUACAAAAUCAAAGAACAUGCUGAUGGUUCCAUUGAACGCUAUAAAGCGCGUCUUGUCGCUAAAGGCUUCAAUCAAGAGUAGGGUGUUGAUUUUACAAACACUUUCAGUCCAGUUGCUAAAGCAACAAUAGUUCGUCUACUUCUCUCAAUUGGUCUCUCUCGUUAAUGGAGUAUUCGGCAGCUUGACGUUAAAAACGCUUUUCUACAUGGUGCUUUAACUGAAGAGGUUUUUAUGUCUCAACCUCUGGUUUUAUCCACUCUUCUUUUCCUAACCAUUUGCAACUUCACCGCUCCAUUUAUGGUUUAUGUCAAGCACCGCGUGUGUGGUUCCAGAGUUUUAGUAAUGCCUUAAUUUCUCUUGGCUUUAAAUCUAGCAAGGCUGAUCAUUCUCUUUUUACAUAUCAUUCAUCUACUGGUACAGUGUUGCUGCUUGUCUACAUCGACGAUAUUAUUAUUAUGGGUUCUACAGAUUCUCUUAUUAAUCACUUGUCACUAAGCUCUCUCAACGCUUCCAUAUGAAAGAUCUUGGUGACCUUCAUUAUUUCCUUGGUCUUGAAGUUCAUCGUACCCCCACUCAUUUUCGACUCACGCAAACUAAGUAUCUGCUGUCUAUAUUUAAGUCUUCCAGCAUGCUUGACUAUAAACCUCAAUCUACUCUUGUCGUCUCUGGACGCAAACUUUCCAUGUCUGAUGGCCUUUUAUUAUCUGAUCCUCAUGAAUAUCGUCGUCUUGUGGGAGCUCUUCAAUACCUUACAUUUACACGACCGAAUAUAUCUUAUUAUGUUCAACAAGUUUGCCAAUUCAUGCACUCUCCACGUGAUGCUCAUCUCCAAGCUGUUAAACGAAUUUUACGAUACCUAAGAGGUACAAUUGGUUCUGGUAUUUGCUUCUCUGCCAACUUGUAUCCCACUUUAUCCUGCUUUCUUGAUGCCGAUUGGGCAGGAUGUCCUGAUACUCAUCGCUCCACCAUGGGCCACUGUGUUUUUCUUGGCUCUCAUUUAAUCUCCUGGAGUGCCAAGAAACAAUUAACCGUUGCACUCUCUAGCACAGAAUCUGAAUAUAAAGCUCUUACUCAUGCUUCUGCAGAUCUCUUGUGGAUUUCUUAUGUUCUUCGGGACAUUGGUUUUCACAACCUCCCUGCCUUGCACACUCUACUCUGACAACAUGGGUGCUACUCAAUUGGCCCACAAUCCUGUUUUCCAUGCCCGCACCAAACACAUUGAGCUUUCUUAUCAUUUCACACGUGAACUUGUCUCCACUGGUUUCCUUAAAGUCUCCUUUGUUCGCUCAACGAAUCAACUUGCUGAUCUCUUUAACAAAGGAUUAUCCUUGACUACAUUUUGCUUCUUUCGUGACAAGUUAUUGUGGCAUCCUCUCCAUCAACUUGCGGGGGCAUUAUAGAAUACAAGAUAUUGACAGAUAUUGUAACAGAUUGCAUAGCUAUAAUCAAGGCUUUUGAAUACAUUCUUAGCUAAUGUUGAGGCUAUAAAGUAGGCAAGUGAUAUGCUAUUGUAUAACUAAUUGCAUAUUUACAGGGCUUUGUAAAAUAACUAUAAAUACAUAGAAUCAACUAUUAAAGGUUGAGCCAUUCUUCUACAAUUUUUUCGCAUUCUUUCUUUAUUGAUCAGAAAGAUCUAGAAUUUGAACUGCCAUGGUUUAUAAUUAUUUUUGGAGAUCUGAAAGUAUGAAUCCUUACCAGUUGCGGUGACAAACUACUGUUUAUUGGGAGAAAUGGCCAAUUAGAGCUAGCCAUAUUUACUUGAAUGAUUCUUGAACUUUUCUUGGGCCAUCUGACAGCCUAUGAUAGAUUUCCUAAAAUUUAUUUAUGCGGCCUUCUGUCUCAAAGAAUUUGGCAAGAAACGAUCGGUAGAAAUUUAUAAAAAAUUUACUUUUUAAAAUUUGAUUUAUAGUUUAAAUAGAUGGUAUUAAACUUGGCUAGCUGGAUUCAUCAACUUAGAAUCUAGUUAAAUUCAACAAUUUAUAAAAAAUCUAGUUAUCGUCUAAAACUUGGCUUAAACUAGGUUAAAAAAAUUAAAUAAAAAUUGAUUUAAUCAAAUUAAAAAUCAAGUAAAUUAACUCGCAAUUCAAUCAUCUUAAUUAAAAUUUAAUUUAAUUAUUAAAGUUGUUUUUCUUAAAGUAAUGACAUUUCUUUUUUUUUAAAAUUAUGAAAUAAUUCACCCGAGUAAACUUUGUUUUUCUUAAAACAAUGACAUUAUAUUUUCGUUUAAUUUUUUUUAAAUAGUGAAAUAAUUCACUCGAGUAAACUUUGAUUUAAAAUUGAAAAUCUUGAAAUAAUUAACUUGAAAUUAAUUAUUAGUACUCUCAUUCAAUUCUCAAUUAUAAUCAUGGCACAUGUAACUGUUUUUAUUAUAUAAAGGCUUAUUUAUUUUUAUGUUUUAAAAGGAUUUUUUUUUAAAAAAAAUUAUUUUUAAUUAAUUUUUUUUUGAUAAUUUUAAAUUGUUUUAAUGUGUUAAUAUCAAAACUAAAUUUUAAAAACUAAAAAAUAUUAUUUCGAUACAACACAGUUAGCAUACUCUCAAACAUACAAAGUAUUUUGUCAAAAAACUUCACAUAAAAUCAGGACAACACACAAGCAAUUCAUUCCAUCAAUCUGGAAUUGCAUUACAAAAACGUGAAAAAAAAUAAAAUCUGGAGUUAACUCAGAAUCUACUAUUAUAAGUAAUUAAGUAUACAUGCAUCAGCCAGCGUUAAUUUGAUUCCAAUCACACCUUAGAAUCCAACCUCUGUGCUUCUUUUCCUGCGCAAUCCUUCAGCACAGCUCGGGGUGGAAGGACUUUCUUGAAGAUGGAUAAGAAACAGUUCACUUCGAGAUCAAGCUCGUCAUCGUCAUCGUCAUCCAUCUUAGCCUUCUCCUCUUCCAUUCUCUUCAAUUUAUCGUUGUGUAAUCUUCUCAGAACAUAUGCUUCAGCUAGACAGUACCCAUGAGUUGCCAUGGCCCAAAAACAUGUUCCAGGUGUCUUUGUUGAGAGACCAGUGGAAAUGAACUAGGGUUGAUGAUGAGCUGAGAGGCUCUGUUUAGGUCAUUUUAUAAGGGUCUGUCGGCUUGGGGAGGAAGGAAGUCGUGUGAUGUUCAGUGGUCCAAAUGGAACUUGAGAGUGAAAUAUUUGUAAUUUUUUGGUGGACAAUGUCAUGGCAGCGUAGAAACUUUGUGGAAAUGGACAAUUAAAAAAACAGGGGAUGUAAGAAACCCUUGUUUUUAGUUAUUAGUGAUUAUGUGUGCAACAUCCGGAAUUUUGCAUUGAAAGAAAGGAAGAAAUUAUGUAGAGGAAACACACCCUUGGACUUGUAAAUGUUAUACAUACUUAAUACAUGAACUCCUAACCAGUUACCGAAGGUAACCUCAACUUAUAAUUACUCUGUUUUAGAGAAAGCUGCCAACUCUUGUUGAAGCCAUUGCAUGCAUUCUUAUGAACUUGGACUGGGCUUUCCACUAUUGCAAUCUUGGGCUGCAAGCUCUAGGAUGCUUCUAACAGACACACAAUAAUGGGAGAAAUGAGUAUGUAGCUCUUGAAGACAAAAUGUCAAAUCUUUCAUGUGGUAAGGGUGAUCGAUGUUUGUUCUUCGAAGAUCAUGCAGUUAUUGAUCCUGUCUUGCAUCUUAAACUUUUUCGACGACGAGCUUGCGUGCGAGAUUCAGAGGAAGAUUGAUGAAGUUGGACCGGGCUUUCCACGAUUGCAAUCUUGGGCUUCUUCUAGGUUUGUAAUUCCAUUGUAAUCGUUCAAGUUGGCCAGGACAAAGACACAAUCAUUGAAGAAAUAAGUGUGUAGCACUUGAAGAUUAAAUGAAGAAUCUUUCAUUUUGUAGGGGUGAUCGUAGUUUGUUCUUUGAAGAUGAUGCAAUUAUUGAUUUGGUCUUGCAUCUUGAUGUCGGUAAAUGAUUUUUUUGUUUUUCCAACCAAUAUAACGAUAAAAUUUGGAAUCACCGACAAAAAAAAAGCCGACGCACAUAUUCCGUCAAUAAUAUAGUCGGUAAAUAAUUUACCGAUGAACUCCUAAUCACACACCGACAUAAUAUUUUCAUCGGUAAAACUUCGAAAUCUUGUAGUGUGAAUAUGACUUGCUAAGAAAUGCUGUUUAUAACGAGAGAGACUCUUUCAGAGAGUUGGAGAAUGAGUUUUCUCAUGAGCUAGAUGUUGUGUUUUUCAUAAAGAAAGUGAAAAAAUCCGAAGCUAUUGUUGUAUUGAUACAACACCAUUGUUGAGCACUUUCACCUUAUAAAUUAUUUAUUAGAGAUUUUGAGCAGUUGGAGUAUUGGGAGAUUUGUUAUUAUCUCAUGUUCUGAAGUUUCAAGUCGUUAUCCAUUAAAAGAAUUUUUGGUGACUCUUACUAGCUUUCCACUAAUAAAGUCAAGAAAACUUCAUGGUUGAAUUAAGCUUUUUGAAACUUCGAUCUUGGAUCGGUGGAGUGAUAGGCUUUGUGAGAGCGAGCCCGUUUAUAGGAUUUGUAAAUACGUGUUGUUACUUUCAAUAUAUAUAUAUAUAUAUAUAUAUAUAUAUAUAUAUAUAUAUAUAUAUAUAAGUUACAUUUAUGAAAUGAUUAUUUUAUAUUUAUAGUAAUGUUAGAUCUUAACUUGUAUUGGUGUAAAUAUUUUAUAUGACAUAUAAUUGGUUAAUUAUUGAUUUUAUUCUUAAAUAUAUUUGGAUAAAUGAUUUAAUAACUAAAUAAAUCUUAAUUUCAUUAUAUUAUCUUCUUAGCCAUAAGUUUUUUUUUUUUUUUUUUAUGAUGAGUAUAAUAAAUACUCAUAUAAAAUAAUUAUAUUAUCAUUUUUUUUUUACCUUAAAAACACCUAAAAAAGAUCUAAAAAAGAUCUGAGCUUUGGUAGAAUUUUUGUUUUGGUUGGAUUUUAGGUUUUGGGGUGUUUUAUUGGGUUUUUGGUGGCAAUGGAUUGACUUAACAAGGUCUCUAGAGUUUUUUCUAGGUGUCUUGGGUAAAAAAUAAGUUGAAAAUUGAUUUUUAGGUAAAAAAAUAAAGGACCAUAUUUUUCCGGCCAUCAUAAUAGCCGAAUUCUAGGUUGCGCAAACGACGCAUCAUUGUUUUAUAUACUCGAGGCAUUAUAAUUUUUUUUCUAAAUAAAUGCUCGCGCAUUAGCCGUUGUUUUAUUGGGUCAGAUGUUAGGUGUAGCUUGCUUGGCCCAACAGUGCCUAUCCUGAUUUUUUUUUUUUUUUAGUUUUGUGUGUAUUUUAUCAAAUAAAUUUUUGGUUUAUAUUUUAAUUAGAUUGUGAUUAAUUUUAAAUGAUAUUGAGUAUAUUUAAUUUUUAAAGAGGUAAGUAUGAUUCAUCUGUGAUUUUUUCUUAAUUUUAUAUAGAUUAAAUUUGUUUUUUAAUAUUGUUUUUUUAAUAAGAUUUUUUAUAUGUGCAACCUUACAUUGUUUUUUUAAUUAUUAUUCAAAAAUUUUUAUGUGUGUAUCAGUUUCUAUUACAAAUUUAGUUUAAUAGAGAGGUUCAUUAAACACAAUCAUAUAAAUUACCCAUAUUGCAAUUACCCAAAUUUAUGUAUAGUGCUUUUGUUCCUAUAACCUAGGUCAUUGUUUAAAAAGUUAGUCUUAUUUUUUUAUAUUUAUUUUUUUCUAUAUAAUUAUUCUAUUUUCUUUUAAUUUUUACUUUAUUAACAAAUAAAAUUAUUGAGAUGAUUUGAAAAUAUUAUAAAGAUAUAGUUAUAUAAUAUUGACAAAUAUUUAUCUUUUGUAUUGAGUCAUUGUUUUUUUUCUCGCUUUAUUUACUGUCAACAUCAUUAAAUUAACUAAUUUUAUUAAAUUUAUUAGAGCAAAUUACCUAUAUAUUAUUUUAAAAAUAAUAUUUUUAUAGUAAUUGGUACUUGUGGUGCGACCCGCCUAACUAGUCUUACCUGUAAACAUAUCAUGUUAUGCCAUCCAUGUCACAAACUCAUUUAAAGCUUGACGCAUUGGUCAAUUAUUUUAUAUUUCAGUGUUUUGUGGCAUUAACAAUGAAGUUAGUGAUUGAAGCAUUAGUCCACACUCUUAGUGUCUUUCAUGGCGAAGACUUCCCCCCCAUGCGCACUCAGGUCAAUGAUGAACAAUUGUAGGGUUCUUGGUUAUUACGCAAUAUUUUUUUUUGGUCACCAAACCUGACCUUCGAAGAUGUCAUUAAAAGUGCCGCCACAUCUUUUUCUUUAUGGUAUGGGUGGCGUGAUGACUUAUGAUCGUUGGAUUUUGGUGGAUUGUUCUCAUAAUUUUUUAUAUCUUUUUUUUAUUUCAGUUUUUAUUCUAUUAAUUUUUUAUUUGAUACUUUUAUUUAAAAUUUUAAUCGCUUUCAAUAAAGCUUGUCGGUGGUAAAACACACUCCGAAGCAACCUGUGGUUCAAACUUCAACGACAAAAAUAUGAGCUCUUUCUUUUCUGUUCGUUUCUGUGGUCCACCACCUUUAAUUUCUUUCAUGGCAAGACUUUUCCCCUAUGAGCAAGCAGGUCAAUGACGAAGAAUUGUAGGGUUCUUGGUUAUUUCUUCUGGUCCAGAAGUCUCUGCCGUGUAACAAUCUAUGGGUAGAAAUUAAUGGCAAAGGGAAGAGAUGAAAGAAGAAGGACCUUCAAAAUCCUUCUUUCCUCCCUGCAAUUCCUUCACAAUUAUGUGUUACAUUGAUUUUCUUCGCAUUUGAAGUGAGUUAGAGUACUGGAUGUUAAAUAAUAUUUAUGUAGUCUUAUUUAUUAAGGAUAGAAUAAUACUUUAAGUUUAAUUUAUAUAUAUUUUAAUUGUAUUUAGGUUAUAACUAUACAAUCAUAAUAUACAAAUUAUUCAAAAUUUUAAUAUUUUUUUAUGUGUUUGAUUUUAAUUAUUUCAACACUAAAUUGCUUAAAUAUGAUGAAUAAAGGGUUGGAUUUGUAAAAUUAUUUACACAUUUUCUGCUGUAUCAUCGACGUUCUUCCUUCCUCCAACCAUUUCCAGCACUAACAUACCAAAGCUGUAAACAUCUGAUUUACAGGAAACGUUCCCGAAGUUCCUCGAGAACACUUGUAUCCUUGGAACACAACUUAGCCAUCCCAAAAUCGGCGAUUUUGGGAAUGAUUUAGUUGUCAAGCAGGAUAUUCUGUGGUUUGAUAUCAAAAUGGAGGAUUCUUUGAUCACACCCCUGGUGAAGAUAUUCAAUCCCCUUGGCUAUGCCUAUAGCAAUUAUUCUUUAUAUAUAUAUAUAUAUAUAUAUAUAUAUAUAUAGAGUAAUUGGCUUUUUUUGUUUCAUUGUUUUUAUAUUCAUUUUUUUUUCUUUUUAUACAAUUAUUAUAUUCGUAUUUAAUUUUUAUUUUACUAACAAAUAAGAUCAAUGAGAUAUUUUAAAAAUAUUAUAAAGAUAUUGUUUUAUAAUAUUGACAAACAUUUAUUUUUUAUAUUGAAUCAUUAUUUUUUCCCGUUUUAUUUAUUAUAAAAAUAAAAUAUACUUCCAUAAUAUUUAUAAUUAUUCUAUUAUCAUUGAAUCAUGCUAAAAAUAAUUGGCCCGGGACGGCGCGGCAUCCUAACUAGUCUUAUCUAUAAACCUAUCAUGUUAUGCCACAUACUCAUUUAAAGCUUGAUACAUUGGUCAAUUAUUUUAUACUGAUUGGGACGUUAAAGAGCCGGUCAAUUAUUUUAUAUUUCAGUGUUUUGUGACAUUAGCAAUGAAGUUACUUAUUGUAUUUUAAAAAUAUUUUUAAAAUUUUUAAAAUUUGUUAAAUUUAUUUAUUAAAAAAAUUAAUAUAUUUAGAUUAUUUUAAUAUAUUGAUAUAAAAAAUAAUUUUUAAAAAUUAAAACAAAAUUAUUAUUUUAAAAUAUUUUUAAAUAAAAAUAUUUUAAAAAAUAACUAUAAUUAUACUUUCAAAUAAAUUCUUGCUUUCAUGACGAAGACAUUUCCCCGUGCGCACCCAAGUUAAUAAUGAUGAAGAAUUGUAGGGCUCUGGGUUAUUACGCGUUAACGAGUUGUUGGUGUCCCCAACAUGGGAGAUGCCACCAUAUCUUUUUCUUUUUCUCUUUUAAAGUUGUGAGCGUGAUAACAUGUGAUUAUUGAAUUGUCGCUUAUUAUUUUUUAUAUUUUAUUUUUAAUUUUAUUUUUAUAUUUUAUAUCAACAUUUUAUUUAUUUUCAAAUUUAUUUUUCAAUUAUAUAUUUUUUUAUUUUUUUAUUUCAGUUUUUAUUCUAUUAAUUUUAAAUUUUUUUAUUUGAUACUUUUAUUUGAAACUUUAAUAACUUUUAAUAAAGUUUGUCGGUGGUCAGAGACACUCCGACGCAACCUGUGGUUCAACGACAAAAUAUAUGGUCUUUCUUUCCUAUUCUUUUCCGUGGUCCGCUACCUUUAAUUUCUUUCAUAGUUGAUCUAUCCCCAUGCUCACUCAGGUCCAUAAAGUUUGGCUUUUCCCUUUUUCAUAAAAAUACAUAUUUCAUCUUAGAAAAAGAUAAAAAAUAAAUAAAGCAUGCAUUCGGGGUAUUUUUUUUCCUUUUACGCUGAUCUUUUGUAAUUAUCAUGAUAAUGAGGGAUAUUUAUGUACUUUUACGUUGAAUUUUUGGUUUUUUAAUUAAGACCAUGUUUGUUUCCCGGAAAAUAGUUUCCGGGAAACCAUUUUUUAAAUCUUCUUGUGUUUGUUUGUCAUUAGAAAAGUUGAUCAACGGAAAAUACUUUCUAAUUAAUGGAAAGCACUUUCCAGUCAAAGAAAAAUUUGGCUUGGUUUUUAGAAAAGUGUUUUCCCUUUAACUGUGUUUGUUUUCUGGAAAGUGGUUUCCAGGAAAUCACUUUCCAAACUUUCUUGUGUUUAUUUACCAUUAGGAAAGUUGGUCAAUGAAAAACACUUUUUAGUAAAAGAAAAAUUUGACUUGGUUUUCAGGAAAGUGUUUUCCUGAAAAAUUUGGGCGGAAAACACUUUCCGGAAGUUGUGAAAAAUUUAAAAAUAUCAUUAUUUGCUGAUUAUAUCAAAUUUGAUCCUCAAACUUUUGAUUGCUAUAUAUAUUUUGUUCUGAAUGUUUAUUUUUCAAUUUCAUCUCUUAAAAUUUUAUUUUUAUAUUAACUUUGGUCUUUAUUUUUAUAAUUGUUAUUUGCUUUUUUCUUAUCAUUUUUUUAUUGAAAUUUUUUAUCUAUCAAAUUUGGUCCUCAUUCUUUUGAUUGUUACUUAUUUUAUUUGAAAUAAUUUAUGAAAUAUUGAUUAUUAUUAUUUUAAUUUCUUCAUCUUUCAUUUGUUUUUAAUUUUUUAGAUUUGAUCUCUAUUAUUUUGAUUAUUAUUUAUUUUAUUUGAGAUAAUUUAUAAAAUUAUAUAUUUUUUUCAAUUUUAUUCUCACUCAACUUUUUAAUUUGUAAGAUUUGUUCCUCAUUAUUUUAAUAAACUUGAGAAAAAUAAAAUAUUAAUACGUUAUUUUCCAGCUUAUUUUCCAUGACAUAACCAAACACUGGAAAAUGUUUUCCAACUUAUUUUCCAUUACACUACAAAAUAUCAGAAAAUACUUUCUCGGAAUUCACUUUCCAAAAAAAAACUACUUUCCAGCAAACAAACGAGGCAUAAAGAAAGUUGAUGGUAUGUGUUCAUUAUGCACUAAUAAAUUGAUAGGGUCCGCGCCAUUUUGAAUAACGUGUGUGAUAUUUUUUGGUAGCUAAACUUGACCUUCCAACGUGUCUUUGAAAGUGGCAUCAUGUCCUAUUUUUUAUGGUGUGGCGGGUGAUAACAUAUAGUUGUUAGAUUGUUGUCGAUUGUCCUCUUUGUUAUGUAUUUUAGUUUUAGUUCUUAUUCUUUUGAUUUUUUAUUUCGUUUUUAUUUUUUAUAUAAAUAUUUUAUUUAUUUUCAAUUUAAUAUUUUAAUUAUAAUUUGUUAUAUGUAUUUCUUUUAUUUCAAUCCCUUUUUUUAUUUUUUUAUUUUUUUAUUAAAAUGUUUUUUGAUUUCAAAACUUUUUUUAAGAGCUAAGACAUACUCCGCAGCAAGCCAGCAACCCGUGCUUCAACGACAAAAAUAUGAGCUCUUUUUUUUUUUUUUUGUGUCAUUGGUUCUCGAGCCACAAAACAAAGAAUCUUUGUCCUUAUUGAAGCAUUGGUCCACCACUCUUAAAGUUUUUCACAGCAAGACUUUUCCCGCAUGCACCCUCAGGUUAAAGAUGAAGAAUAUUUGUAGGGUUCUUGGUUAUUCCUUCUUGUCGAGAAGCUUGUGCCUUGUAGCAAUCUAUCACGGUAUUACAAGGAUGAAAGAAGAAGGAUUAAUGCCAACCUUUUCAUCUCGUUGUUGAUCAACAAGGAAGGAACUUGAUAGAAAUAGACCCUUGAGAUUACUAUCCUAUUCAUCAAAAUCCUUCUAUCCUCCCUGCAAUUCCUUCAAAAUUAUGAGUUACAUUGAUUUUCUUCGCAAUUGAAGUAAGUUAGACUGGAUUGCCUAAAUAUGAUUAAUAAAGGGUUGGAUUUGCACAAUUAUUUACACAGUUUAAUUUGUUGAUUUGAUACAUCAUAAACUGUGAAUUGACAGAAAAGAAGAAGAAGCUAUCUCACAGGUCACAACAAUUUCCUUCAUUAUUGCUCACUAAUAUGUUAUUACUGAAAAGAGUAAAUUUCAGAUCACUCUAUUUCUGAGAUGGCUGCCAACUCUUGGUGAAGACGUCUCGCUGGCAUGCGGCCUGCGCUGGUUCUCUUAGAGACAGAGGAGCUAAAAGGAUCAGGAGGCUUUGUUAAGUUUUCUCCUUCCCCUUCAAGCAUCUGGACAACAGUUUUCAUGGAAGGACGCUCUGCUGGGUUCCACUGAAUGCACCAUAGCCCCACAAUUGCUAGUUUCUUCGCAAUUCUAGCAUCUUCUUCUCCAUCGAUAUGAAACCGCAGGUCUUCUUCCUUUUCUAAGAGAUUAUAAAUCCAUUCCGGGAAGUAUAUCUGGUCGCCAUUUUCUGCUGUAUCAUCGACGUUCUUCCUUCCUCCAACCAUUUCCAACACUAACAUGCCAAAGCUGUAAACAUCUGAUUUAUAGGAAACACUCCCGAAGUUCCUCGAGAACACUUCUGGGGCAAUGUAGCCAACAGUCCCCCUAGCAGUCGUCAUGGAAAUAGCACUUUUAUCCUUGGAACACAACUUAGCCAUCCCAAAAUCGGCGAUUUUGGGAUUGAAUUCGUUGUCAAGCAGGAUAUUCUGUGGUUUGAUAUCAAAAUGGAGGAUUCUUUGAUCGCACCCCUGGUGAAGAUAUUCAAUCCCCUUGGCUAUGCCUAGAGCAACACGAUUCAACCUUUCCCAGCCAAGGAAAUGGUUCCUUGAGUCUGCUGAGGUUAUGAACUUCUGUAAUGAACCAUUUGGCAAGUACUCAUAAACCAGAGCUCGUCUAAAUCCAUCAGCACAGAAACCGAUCAAGCGAACAACAUUGACAUGGUGGAUCCUUGCCAUUGUUCCCACUUCAUUGAUGAAUUCCUCCCCUUUUCCUAUGGAAUUAUUGAGGAGCUUCACAGCUACAGCAAUUUCAUUGGUCAGCUUUCCUUUGAACACGGUUCCAUAAGCUCCUUGGCCCAAUUCAUCACUGAAUUGAUUUGUGAUCCUCUUGAGAUCAGCGUAGGAGUACCUAGUGGGAUUCAGUGAUCUGUAAUCAUCCAAAAACAUUUCAACCCUGGCUUGAUAUUCUCUUUGUGUUUUAUCGUUGCUAUAGGCGCGGUAGAGUGCAGUAAUCACUAUAGCAAAAAGGAAGAAUCCUAAAAUCACACCUGCAUAUCAACAUUCUGAGUCAGGAAACUCUGUUUUUUGGGAAGUGAUGUAUUGAACCAAGUGUAAAAUUGAGAUGGAGAUUUGAGCAGACUACUAACCAGUAAUCAGUAGCUUUCGCCGCACAUCUGUAAGGGAUUGAAUACUUAUUAGCUUCUCCCUUUGAUGCAAUUGGUAAAAUCAUGAAAGCAACAAAGACGAAAAGAGUUUAAUUUGAAAAAAAGGAAGAAAGAUAGAAAGGCGUACCUUUAGUGUGCUGAAGGUAGCAUUCAGUUUCAGAAGAUCCACAAGUUAGAUUGGACCAAGACAUAGUAAGAACAUAAUUUUCUGCAUGCAACAUACUAUGUGGAAUUCCAUAAAUGUUGUACAUCUUGGUACAAGAUAACAAAUCAGUGUCACUGAUGGUGGUACUUGAUUCAACGGCAUAAACUUCAUGGUUAAAAGCACUCAGACAUGGGAUUUUAUGUGUGAGCCCAGACCUUUUCUCAUUAGAAGAACAGUUGAACAAGGUCCCAUCAUACAGCCAAUCGUUCUUAAUUUGGAAGUGAGAAGCCCCUAAACUGAGGUUUAAACGUUGCCUUAGAAAGCAACCUUGAGGAUCCCUUGCAUAAAUAAGUCGAUGUCUAUAGUCAAUUCUUUCGACGUGGAGACUCAAUCCAGUUGGCAGCUUAAGCAGUGUGUUGUUGUCCUCCGAGCAGGAUAGAUCAAAACCACAGUGGUCUGGUUGUUUGUCCAUGAUGCGGAAAGGAAAUCGGAUGUUAGGGCCACGGUUUCCACAUGAUCCUGUGCAGUUCAAGCUUGCUCCAUGGCCUGCAAGGAAGACAAUGAAAAAGAAGAACAAACACGUAACCAUUUCUGAUGAAUAAUUCAUCAUCUCCACACUCCACCUAAGAUUUUAUCUGCAUGUGCUGAUAUAGUUUUGGCCUUUCAGAAAACUCAUGGAGUCCUUAGAUGGGCGAGUCCUUCACACUAGUACACGCAUCCCUUCGACACUAAAAAAAAUUAAAAAAGAGUACUGUCUGGUUCAGGUAAUUUUGGGCGGUUUUUAUGAUUAAUUUGCUCAUCCCUAAUGAUAGUAAUAAUCUCUCUAUUUACAUAGUAUUCACAAUGCAUAUGGUAACAUGUUGGAAACCUAGAAUUAGCAGAAAAAUAGAUUCUAUCAAGUGAAUUUUAAUUACAUGGUCGCACUCUUAACGCUUAAUGCCAGAAGGGACUAGGGGUUGUGAUGGAUGCGAGAUUCUCAACAAGAAAUAACGAAGAAGCGUAUAAAUCUUCGUCAUUGACUCCAGGGUGGCUGAGGGCAAAAGUCUUGCUAUGUGAAACUUCGAGUGACAGACCAAUGUUUCAAUCAUUGACUUAAGUGUCAGUACAAUUUGUCCACACACUAUUUGAGAAGGAAAGUAAAGGGCUCUCUGUCCUGUUGUGUUGCUUGAGAUACAAUGAAUCAAGAAAGAAAAGGUCCAUAUUUUUGUCAGUAGCUUCCACUACGAAAUUCAAUAGUUUGUGCAAAAAUUAUGUAUACACUGUGUAUCACUUCAGCCUUCCCCAUGUUUAGAGGAAUGAACGUCCUUUUUGCUUGCUACAUAGCUUUUCUUUUACAGCUAUUAGUCUUCCAAACUUGCCAUUCUAGCACCAUCACUGCUCAUUGUGCUCCUUCUUCAUGCGGCAAUAUCCAAAACAUAAGCUUCCCUUUCAGACUAAACACUGAUCCACAAAGCUGCGGAAACUAUAAUUAUACUCUGAUUUGCGAGAACAAUAUUUCUACAGUAUUAUAUUUGUAUUCAGGUAAAUACUACGUGCAGGCAAUCGACUACGGCAACUUCACAAUCCGAGUGGUAGAUGCUGGUGUACAAGAUAAUUGCUGCUCCAUCCCUCGUUAUUCUUUGGCAUUUGAUAACUUCAGUGACGGAGAUCCAUACACAUCGUAUAACUACAAGCAGGUGCCGCCGCCGGGAGUGAGUGAGGGUUUCGUGUACUAUUGGGACCCUUACUUACCUCCACUAUCACAGCCUAUGAUUUUCAUGAGCUGUGAAAAUACGGUGAAUUCUCCUCUCUAUGUGGACACGGCUCCCUACGGCCUUAACUAUGGAUCAGUAAAUUAUUCGAAUUAUGUGACUCUUGGUAGCAUGACUGCCUCGGAUUUGAUGGAACUGUGCAGCAUAGAGAAAAUAUUUUUGCUUCCAAAGAAGAGCUACACAGACAAUUACUCCUUUGAAGAAAUACACAGUGACCUGGCAUAUGGGUUUGAGCUUUCAUGGUACAACAUAAACUGUGGAAAAUGCAGAAGUGGUUGCUACCUCGACAGUGCAGACCGUCGUUGGUGCUUUGGUAUGUAACACUUGAUGAUUAAGUUGCAUCACUUUGAUUCAUAAGACCAUAUAUAACUUGUGAUUUGAGGUGGUUUCAUAUAUUUUCUCUGGCUUACUUUUCAAUUUUCAUUUUUUUCUGCGCAUUAGCACAAUAUUGCACUGUCCCCAGAUCGAUGUUCAUGUACAAAUUCUGUGCAUCCAUUACCUGUGAAUUCUACUAUAGUGGACUGAUCAUGAGAUUCAUUCAUGUUAAUAUUGUAAAAUAUUCUGACUAUAAUGUGGUUUAAGGUAGUUGGACAGAUUCAUUGGUCUUUUGCAAUUUCAGGAUUGACACAGUGAACCGUUUGGUUCAUCUUAACUUGACCAUGGAUACACAUUAAUUAGUUCAAGUCACAUUAUUAAUUAAAUUGUGUGUGCUCUUAUCUAUUUUCUUUAGCAUUUACUGUUGCGUAUACCAUUAGAACUCGUUUUUAAACCUAAAUUCUCGACAGAUUUUGGUGAAAGCUACUGGGAAAGACUACUCUACGCAGUGAUAGGUGCGAAUUCUCUUUCUGCAUCUCACCUUGUUUGUGUAUUCUUAAGUGUUUCUUCAAACGACUUAUUUGUGAAAUAAGGAUUGUUGUUUCUUGAAUAGUAAUUGUAAUUUUGUUCACCAUUUUCUGCAGCUCCCUCUCUAUAUAUCCAUUUUAUUUGGUAAGAGAUUCCAUCAUUUCUUUAGUUUCGCAACAAAUUUCUAGUGGAGACAACAAAUAAGAUCACAAAACUUGAUUGUUUUCUGGAAAUUUCCUACACAGCACUGCUUCAUGGGCCAAAAGUUGUUUGUGGGACUCCAUGUGUGAUUAUAUUUUUGAUCUACAAAUGCGAAGGAGACAUUUAUCAGCAUACGAUAAAGUUGAACAAUUCCUACAGGGUCAGAAUAACCUAUGCCAGUAAGGUAUUCCUACUCAGAUAUCAAGAAGAUUACUAGAGGUUUCAAGGAGAAAUUAGGUGAAGGAGGCUUUGGUACAGUUUACAAAGGAAAGCUUCGCAGUGGGCGUUUUGCAGCAGUAAAAUUGUUGGGAAAAUCAAAAGCUAAUGGACAGGAUUUCAUAAAUGAAGUUGCUACCAUAGGAAGGAUUCACCAUACUAACGUGGUGCAGCUAAUUGGUUUUUGCGCUGAAGGAUCAAAGCGAGCUCUUGUAUAUGAUUUCAUGGCUAAUGGAUCUCUUGAUAGACACUUUUUCUCGAGAAGGAUCAAUCUCUUUAAGCUGGCAAAAACUGCAUCAGAUUUCCCUUGGAGUGGCUCGUGGUAUCGACUAUCUUCAUUUAGGCUGUGACAUGCAAAUACUUCAUUUUGAUAUCAAACCUCACAACAUUCUUCUCGACGAAAAUUUCACUCCAAAAGUCUCUGACUUCGGGCUCGCUAGGUUGUACCCAACGAAUGGCAGCAUAACAUCUCUUACUGCAGCAAGGGGCACCAUAGGAUACAUGGCUCCUGAAUUGUUCUACAAAAACAUUGGACGUGUCUCCUAUAAAGCUGAUGUUUAUAGCUUCGGAAUGCUGCUAUUGGAAAUGGCAGGCAAAAGGAAGAAUGUAAACGCAUUGGCAGAAAAUUCAAGUCAAAUCUACUGGCCAUAUUGGGUUCAUGACCAAGUAUCUGAUGGAAAGGCCAUAGAAAUCGGAGACGAUGCCACGGAGGAAGAACGUAAGAUCGUCAAGAAGAUGAUUAUGGUUGGAUUGUGGUGUAUACAAAUGAAACCCAUGGAUCGGCCUACAAUGAAGAAUGUUGUGGAGAUGCUUGAAGGAGAUUUGGAAAACUUGCAAUUGCCUCCUAAGCCUGUCUUCAAUCUAGAUGUGACGCCACCAAACAUUGAAGGAGAGUCAUCAUCGUUGUCAGGUGAUUCUACCGAAUCAACCAGUGUUGUUGAAAAUGCAUACUAAGUGAUAUGAUGUGGAAUGCUCUGCUUACAUGCAGGGAAAAUGCUAGAAUAAUGGUGCUUUCGGACUUGGUUAUGAUAAUUUAGUCUGCAAACAUUAUGAUAAUUUGCAAUACUUGCUUUUAUCUGAUCUGUGUUUAGCUAAUUUAGAGUUCAAGCUGCAGCUUGUUUCUUCGGUUUGGUCUAUAUAAUGAUCAUACAAAGAUGUUCUGUAUUGUGUUUAACUAUCAGAUUUCCACUAUCUAUGGCAAUCAUAGCAGUUAGCGAGGAUGGUACAUCCUCCAUGAUAACUGCUACAUGUUCUACAUAUUAAUUAUCGUAUUUGUCUCCAGCAAGAGUAAUAUUUUGGCUACAAAUCAACAAGAGACUGUCAUAGGCAUUAUAUAAACAAGUUGAUGCAUGAAAAGACGAGUCUCUAUUUAUAGGUAGCCACUACAAGUAACUUCGGAGACCACAAAUACAAGGCAAGUCUCUCUAGUAAUCCUUCCACUACAAGUAGCUUCGGAGAUAGAAAAUAGCGAUUUAUUUGCUGUCAUAGGGAUGAUUCUGAACAGAGGGGCUUAAUUUGAUUUUCUUCCACCAACAAUGCCUUCUUGUCAAUGUUCAGCCCCAUGAUAAUCGAUCUAGCGUCACCAUUUGCACAUUACCAUAUCUUGCAUAAGCCACGAGGAACCAAACACAACAAAACCGGAUUGAAAACCAUGACCAUAACGGGUGCUGUGAAAUGAAUAUUGAAACAGAUGGGUGAAUUUGAUGCAGAAAAGUAGAGAGGAGACAAUGAAGCUUGCUUACCGGUCAUGGCAUUUCACCAGGGAGCUCUGCUUCUUCAAAAAUGCUCAACUGUGUUCAACAACCUUUCAGGAUCUGCUUCAAUUUUCUUAAGAGAAUGGGAAAUAGUGAACGGGAUCCUCGUUAGCUGCGGGCAAUCACCCACAGUAAUUUUCUCAAGAGAAAUGCAUAGAAGACUUCCAGAAUAAAUGCUAUUCAAAUUAUGACAUUUGUUCUACGAGAUAUUCCCACUUUCUCAGGAUGAAAAUCAUCCCACAAAUCAUCAAGAAAGAUAACAUGGUUUUGUAUCGCACUCAAUGCUGUCCUUAGCUCCCCAGCUGUACUCAUCACAUCUUUUCCUUUCGGAAGACAUAAACCAAAAGCUUCGGCAAUGACAUCCUGCAAUGCAUGAAUGCUAAAUUCUUGUGACAUUGUUGUGACAAACAUGAAAAAAAAUGUCUGGUUUCUCUUGAAGCUGGUUAUGGAUAUGUGCAGCCAAAGUUGUCUUUCCCACUCCCCCAUCCCGUAAAUGCUAAUGCAUGAGACCUCACCACUCAACAACCAAGACCAGACAUCCUUCAUAUUUCUUUCAAUAGCUUGGCCCACUAGCUUCGUUGGAUUGUGGUGUAUACAAAUGAAACCCAUGGAUCGGCCUACAAUGAAGAAUGUUGUGGAGAUGCUUGAAGGAGAUUUGGAAAACUUGCAAUUGCCUCCUAGGCCUGUCUUCAAUCUUGAUGUGACGCCACCAAACAUUGAAGGAGAGUCAUCAUCGUUGUCAGGUGAUUAUACCGAAUCAACCAGUUUGGUUGAAAAUGCAUACUGAGUGAUAUGAUGUUGAAUGCUCUGCUUACAUGCAGGGAAAAUGAUAGAAUAAUAGCGCUUUCGGACGUGGUUAUGAUCGUUUAGUCUGCAAACAUUAUGAUAAUUUGCAGUCCUUGCUUUUAUCUGAUUUGUGUUUAGCUAAUUUAGAGUUCAAGCUGCGGCUUGUUUCUUCGGUGUGGUCUAUAUAAUAAUCAUACAAAGAUGUUCUGUAUUGUGUUUAACAAUCAGAUUACUGUUACAAAAGUAUGAAGUAUAAAGUAUUAUCCUUAUUCUGUUAUUUAGGCUGACUAGCAGCCCCUUCCCCUUAUACUAAUAUUAUUUAACUCAAGACUUUUUAAAUUCUCUAGAUUGUCAUCAAUUAGGGUUGUUGAUGGUGGUUGAUUGUUGAACUGCUGAGAAAAAAAAACUAAGAGAGGCUAGGGUAAAUGCUGUAUGUGGCAAGUGGUUAGUGUUGAGAGAGACAAAGAACAUUUAUCUUUACACUAACACUCAUCUCUCCGGAACACAAAAGGGACUUGCCUCUUUAUUUGGAGGACGCUAAAGAACAUUGAGAGAACCCUUAUUUUUACACUACACACAACGUGCAAAACACCUCUUUCAUCUUCUUCAUCUUUUUACCUACUUAUUUAUUUAGAAAUCAAACUAAAAAAACUAACUUGAGCAUUAAUAGAGGACUUCCAAAAUGAAAUAGUUGGGGACUAGAUAAUUGGCUUGCAAUUAUUUAAACAUUGCUAAUGCUUUUUUUAGUUACAUUUUAAACUAUGUGAGGUUGACUUGAGAUGAGCUGAUCUACUUGAUAGGUCUAAAAACAACUUAGACGGUUAAUAAAAAUAUAAUUUAACUCAAAAUAAAUAUUCAAGAUGAUUUAUUAAGAUAUCGAUAUAUUGGAUUGGUUUUGGUCAAUUUAAAUUAACAUGUUUAUCUGGUCAUGAGACCAUAAUAACUUCAUAGAAAGAAAAUCAAAACAAAUUAUGAAGUGUAAGUUCCAAUAAAUUCAAUGUUAAAUAAUAAAAUUAAAAAUUAAAUGAAUAAUAAAAAAAAAAAUUGAAAAAUUCAUCGGGGAGGAUGCGCUUUCUCUAAAAAAAAGAAUGAAUUUCAAACAGAUCAAAAGAAUGCGCUUUCUGUCAAGAAGUAUAAAACAUAUUGAAAUUUUAUCUCUACAAUAAUAGAACUUGAUGCAAGAGGAAGGAAAUGACAGGAGUAAAGCAAGAUGAGAAAGCGAAAUGAAGUCUCUCAACCCCUAUUUAUAUAGGAGGCCAAUGGGUGCGAAAUUAAUUUGAAUUAAUUCCUAACAAUUCAUUGUAAUCGCAGAAUCAAUGAAUUUGAAAAGAUUUAAUGAAACUAAUCAAACAUUAAAGAAAUAAUUUAAUAGAUAUAAUAAAAAUAGUUGUAUCAAUUUUUUAUUCGUCCAUGAUUGAUUUUAAACAUGUUAACAUUCAAGAUAUACAAAGAUGUAAAUAAAUUGAUUGAUCACUAAAUUAGUACAAGUAGAUUUUGGUUUUGGACAUUUUAUAAUAAAAUAAUAUCAAAUUUAUUUGGCUAAUUAAUGAUUUCAAUGUUUUAAACUAAUCCACUUUUCAUCUAUGUCAUAAUUUAAUUUUUGAUUUUUAUCUUUAUAAAAUAAAAAAAAUGAAGUGGGAAAAUUGGAAUGAAUGAAGAAAAAUUAAGAUUUAGAUCAAAACAAUACAAAUGAGAAGUUUUUGAGUAUCAAUCAGGGAGGAAUUGUAAAUUUGGGGUUUAAUUUUGCUUGAAAUUGAAAGAAUUGAUGAGUUUGAAGACUUAAUUAAGCUUAAAAUUAGUUUAAUUAACAAAAUCAUUAGCUUAAUUGAAGAAAUAUUAAAAAUAACUGAUUUAGGUCUAAAUUGCAAGAAAUAAAGUCCAAGGACCGUUGUGCAAAAGGCACCGCAAUGCAGGGGUCUACUUAAAAUUUAGCCCAGGGGUCCGUUUGAAACAUGUUAAAACCUCGAGGACUAAAUUGAAAAAUGGCCGCCCCAAUCUAGAAACGGCGCUGUUUUUCAAUUCCAUUCAUCGUCUUCUUCCUCUGGAAGCAGAGGAGACCCCCUGCAAAGGAAAAUAUCAAUCGCCGCACACAUGCCAAAUUCAAGACCGCGUUGUCUACCCACGGAACCCAUGGCAUUUGGUUGGUCUCCCUCACCCUCAUAACUCUCCCCUGACGCGAGGAUAAGCACCACCAAGAAUCCAGCAACGGCAGGACUGUUGGUGUUUCCAUUCUACCCAAACACGGAGCCAAUUCACUCUACACAAGAUGACGAUCCCAGGGAAUAUAAGGAUAAGAAUCCCUCUCAAGGUCUGACUCUAUAAAAGUGGGAGAGAAGGAAGAACAGGGGAUCGAAAAAGAGAGACGAUACAGAGAUAAAAACCAAAAAAUAAAAUAAAAAGAAUAGAGAGCAGAAGGGAGGAGAGGACUAGGUCUUGAGAAAGCAAAAACAUAAAGACAAAAAAGAGAAGCCGGGGAAAAGAAAGGGCGUCCGAGGAGUGCUUCAUCCAGCACCUGCAUUUUGCCGCUCAAGGUCGCUGCAAAAACAGGCAAGUCACUUUCAAUUCUCCCUCUCUCUGCAAUUUAAUUACUCUGAUUCUCUCUGCAAUUUAGUCACUUUGAAUUCUCUGAACAGUUCACGCACGCAUGCAAGUAAAAAAAAAGAGAGGAAAGAAAAGGGAGCCGGGUUACUGAUUUAGCUACGUCUGGCAUAGCCUGUACGGCUGGGUCUGAUCCCAGACCUAAUCAGUCCAAACUUUUUUUGCUAAGGGUAUAUUUGAUAAAAUAGACUCUCAUGCCUUGUUCAUGUAUUUUCAUUCCCCUUUUAUUUUGAGAGGCAUAGAAAAUUUAUUUCUUCUUAUUAAAAAUUUAAAAUUUUGUGAAUUUAUUUAGUGAUAUCAAAGACAGGAAUAUUAUAUUUUUUUGGAUUGUAUAAUAUUUAUAAAUAUCAGAGUUGAAAAUAUUCGUAGUUACUAUUUAUUGACGGUAGAGUCAGGAACAUAAUAUGAAAAAUUAAAAAAAAAAACAAAUUUUUAUCAAUUUUAAACAAAGCUAGCAAUACAACCUGUAUUAGGUAUAACGUUCAAGGAAUGAUAGUAUCUUUUAUUUGACAUAACCAAUUUCCUAUCAUAGAAUUUUUAUUGAUUAGUUAGAGUUUUUAAUAAUCAUAAUACUUAGUGGUAAUUAUUUAAACAUAGAUUUUUUUCUUUAAAAAAUAAGAUGCCAUAUACAUGUUUUUUUCAUUGAAAAUUUUUAUUGAUGGACGGCAAAAGUCAAGAGUGACAAUAUAAAUCAAAACAAUAUAAUACUUACAUAGUUACCUUUCUGUAAAAAGUAUUGAAUAUUAAUAUUAAUUUUUUUUAAUCAUGUUUCGAAGGCAAGUGUGCAAGCUUUACAUGUGAUAGCAAUCUCAAUGACUUCACUGCUACAUGCCUUCAUUAUCCUUGUAUUUGUUUUAGGUAAUAGAGGCAGUCGGCCUCUCCAUCAAUCUCUCUGUAUUUAUUGUAUCAGAUAAGAUAUUCCUGUUUUAGGAAUUUGUUUCUGUCAGAUUAUAUGUAUUAUUUUUGAAUUCCUUGUAACUUGAUAUCGAUGAAUGAAUGAAAGAAGAAUGUGGCCUUUACUCGAUCUAUUCUUCGUCCUGUUCUCAUCACAUGGUAUCAAAGCAAUUAAAUUUGCUGCUGCUGUUCUUCUCUAGGCACAACAACCAUGACAACAGACAACAACACUCUGCUUCCCUUCAUCAUCCAGAUUAUAGUCAAAAUGAUCAACUUCCUCCUCGUCUCUAUCUUGGCCACUGCCAAAUUUGUAGGAUUUAGGGACAUAACUAAAACCAAGAAGUGUCCAUCAUUUCGUUUUGUUUCAGUGCAGACACCCACCACCACAAAUGCUCCAAUGAUCACCUCUCCAACACCAUGGCAUCCUAGCUCGGGCACACUUCGCUGUCAACACCUCUUCUAUCACUCCAACGUUGCUGCUGGAAAAUGGUGCUUCUGAUCAUGUCAUUGCCGACUUAAGCAUUUUAUCAUUUCAUGCGUCCUACGAUGGUUUUGACGAAAUCAUGAUCGAUGAUUUUGUUGGGUUAUUUCCAGAACUCAAACACGCACAAUUUACGUGGUUCGGCAACUUGCCUACUCCACGGAGUUACUGGUUGUAUUAAUCAAGCUUACAAAGAAACAAUACAACAACAAGAGGAGGAGAAUCUUCUCAACUCAACUCUACACUCAAGCUCUCUCUCUGUGUUUCUCUCUUUCUCUUCUUCUCACUGUGUUCUUCGUGCUCUCUCAGUUCUUCACAUACACACACACACACACACACAGCUAUACAUAUACAAAUAAUGGGAGUGGGGGGUGUCCUCCACCAUGUGCUAAGUGGGAGAUUAUUCCCACUAGCACAUGGUGGGGCAAUUGUUGUCUCCAUAAUGCUAACAAUCUCCCACUUGGAGACAAACAAUGAAAUCCUUUUUUAUCCUUGAAGGCCAACUGAAGUUUUGCACAACUUCAGUUUCUCAAGUGUAACUCCUUUGGUUAACAUGUCAGCUGGAUUCUUGCUUCCACAGAUCUUUUCUAGCAUUAGUUGCUCGUCGUCCAGCAGUUGUCGGAUGAAGUGAUAUUUGAUCUGAAUAUGCUUCGUCCUGGAGUGAAAUGCUGGAUUCUUGGCAAGGAAGAUUGCACUCUGACUGUCGCUAUACAAAGUACCUUUUCCAUUCAACUUGCCCAAUUCUUUCAAGAAACUCUGCAACCAUACUAUCUCUUUUGCAAAUUCUGAGACUGCAACAUAUUCAGCUUCUGUUGUUGAAAGAGCAACGAUCUUUUGCAAGGUAGAACUCCAGGAAACAGCAGUACCUCCUAGAGUAUAAACAUAUCCUGUAGUGCUCUUUCUGCUAUCAACAUCUCCUGCUAGAUCAGCAUCUACAAAACCUUCAAGUUUCAAACCACCAGCUGUGAAACUGAGACAAGUUUCCGAUGAACCUUUUAAGUACCUCAUGAUCCAUUUCACCGCCUCCCAAUGCUGCUUUCCAGGAUUGCUCAUAUAUCGGCUUACAACUCCCACUGCAUGGGCAAUGUCUGGUCUGGUACAGACCAUAGCAUACAUCAAAGAGCCGAUAGCUGAGGCGUAUGGAAUCUUAUCCAUGUAUCCACUUUCUAGCUCAGUUUUUGGUGACUGAUCUUUGCUGAGCUUGAAAUGAUUCCCCAGUGGUGUACUUACUGGUUUAGCAUUAUCCAUACUAAACCUGCUGAGAACCUUCUUGACAUACUCUGUUUGUGAGAGCUUUAGUAUGCCUUUGUCUUUAUCUCUGAUGAUUCUCAUGCCAAGUAUUUGUUUAGCAGCUCCCAGAUCCUUCAUUUCAAACUGUUUCGACAACUGCUGUUUCAGCUUAUCAAUCUCCUCAAUGCUGGAUCCUGCAAUCAACAUAUCAUCUACAUAUAAUAGUAGAAUGAUGUAGGAGUUGUCAAAAUGUUUGACAUAGCAACAAUGAUCAGCUUGGCAUCUUGUAUACCCGGAACUGCACAUGAAGUUGUCAAACUUCUUGUACCACUGUCUUGGAGCUUGCUUCAAACCGUAUAGGCUUUUCUGUAGCUUGCAGACUUGAUUCUCCUUUCCUUGCAUUGCAAACCCCUCUGGCUGUUGCAUGUAAAUAUCUUCCUCCAAGUCACCAUGAAGGAAUGCUGUUUUUACAUCUAACUGUUCAAGAUGUAAAUUUUCUGCAGCUACUAUCCCCAGAACAACUCUGAUUGUUGUGAGCUUCACAACUGGAGAAAAAAUCUCAGAGUAGUCAAUGCCUUUCUUCUGUUGAAACCCUUUGACAACAAGUCUUGCCUUGAACCGUUUGCUUCCGUCAUGCUCAGUCUUCACUCUGUAAACCCACUUAUUUUGCAAGGCCUUCUUUCCUUCAGGUAAUGUUGUUAGCUCCCAAGUCUUGUUCUUCAACAACGAACUCAUCUCAUCCUUCAUGGCUAACUCCCACUUGCUUGAGUUUCCAUCUUGUAAGGAUUCUUCAUAAGAUAACGGUUCACCACCAUCUGUCAGCAAAAUAUAAUUCAGUAAAAGUGUGAACCGUUGCGGGGGCUUUAUCGUCCUCGAAGACCUGCGAACAGCUGGUUCAAGUUGCUCCGCAUCUUCUUGUGUGGAAGUGGGCACAGAUGUGCUUGAAUCUUCUUGUAAAGACUCUUGAUUGUUGUUCUGCUUAGUAACAUCGGGAAGCCCUUCUAAUCUUAUGAAUUCAGAUCUUUGUGGACUUGUAUCUGAAUCAGCCAUCUCUGUUUCUCCACUUGAUCUGUCUUUGUACAUAACUUUCUCAUUGAAGAUCACGUUCCUGCUUCUGAUAAUCUUUCUAUUCUGAUCAUCCCAGAACCGAAAUCCAAAUUCUUCAUCUCCAUAGCCAAUGAAGAAACAUUUCUUGGAUUUGGCAUCUAACUUGUUGCGAGCAUCAGAAUCUAUGUGAACAUAGGAAACACACCCAAAGACCUUCAAAUGAGAGAGUCGUACCUCUUUUCCUCUCCAUACUUCCUCGGGCAAUCUGAAUUCCAAAGGAACUGAUGGUCCACGGUUGAUCAAGUAAACUGCGGUAUGAACUGCGUCAGCCCAGAAUGUUUGAGGUAACCCUGAAUGCAACCUCAUGCUUCUAGCUCGUUCAUUGAUGGUCCUGUUCAUCCGUUCAGCAACGCCAUUCUGUUGCGGUGUGCCUGGAACGGUCUUUUCCAUUCUGAUACCAUUGACAGCACAAUACUCCUUGAAACCUCCAUCAAUGUAUUCUCCUCCAUUAUCAGAUCUCAAGCAUUUCAACUUUAGACCUGAUUCAGUCUCAACCAUAGCCUUCCAUUUCUUGAAUGUUUCAAACACAUCAGAUUUAUUUUUCAGAAAGUAACCCAUACCUUCCUGCUGAAGUCAUCAAUGAAAGUCACAUAAUACCGAGAACCUCCAAGAGAUGCUACUGGAGACGGUCCCCAUAAAUCUGUGUGUACCAGUUCUAGCUUUCUUGGUCUUAAGGUCCUGCCAACCUUCAAGAAACUGACCUUCUUCUGUUUUCCAAGAACACAGCUUUCACAAAUGUCUAGAUCGACAUUUUUUAACUCUGGCAGCUUUCCCUUCGACUGAAGUAUCUUCAUCCCCUUUUGACUCAUAUGGCCAAGUCUACAAUGCCAUAGCUGUGCUUGAUUUUCUGCUUCAGUUGAGGCAAUGAUGUCUGCAAAUCUUGUGGUCAUAUACAGGGUGCCGGUUUUCUUUCCACGAGCUAAAACCAUUGCUCCCUUUGAUACUUUCCACAUUCCUCCAGCAAAAAGUAUUGAAUGACCACUAUCAUCAAGUUGUCCGACAGAGAUCAACUUCUUCUUUAAUUCAGGAACAUGCCUUACAUUCUGCAAGGUCCAUAUAGAUCCAUUCAUUGUCUUGAUUUGCACAUCUCCUAUACCCACAAUAUUCAGUGGUGUUCCAUCGGCCAGAUAGACUACACCAUGAUCUCCUCCAACAUAAUUUUGCAGCAUUUCAUUGUGUGGCGUACAGUGGAAUGAAGCACCAGAAUCAAGAAUCCACUCAUCAAUUUGACUUUGUACAGCAAGAAUUAAAGCAUCUUGUACCUCAUCUGUGGUAGCGUUUGCAGAGUCAGCUUCAGGUUUCUUCGGUUUUGUGCAAUUCCUACUGAAAUGACCAGGUUUGCCACAAUUCCAACAUUCAACCUGCUUUCUGGAUCCAAACUUGCUUUUACUUCUGUAUCUGGAUUUUGAUCUGCCUCUGGAUGAGCCUCUAUCGUGUCUCCUCCCUCGAGUGUUGAUGUUGAGAGCUGAUCCUGAGCUUGAACUUUCACCCGAGUCUUUCCUUCGCACUUCUUCAGCCAAAAUCAAGUCUCGAAUGUCAUCAUACUUCAGUUUGGAUUUUCCAGCUGAAUUGCUCACGGCUGUCCUCAUGCCUUCCCAACUGCUUGGAAGUGAAGCUAGCAAGAUGAGUGCACGAAUCUCAUCAUCAAACUCAAUCGCAACAGAUGAUAAUUGAUUUGUGAUGGUAUUAAAGUUGUUGAGGUGUUGUGUCACAGAAGUUUUCGACCAUCUUCAAGUUGAACAACUUUUUCAUCAGGUGCACUUUAUUAUUUGCUGAUGGCUUCUCAUACAUCCCAGACAAGGCUUCCAUCAAUUUUGCAGUGGAUUUUUCUUUCGUAACAUUGUGAGCAACUCUUCUUGAUAACGAUAGCCGGAUAAUGCCCAGAACUUGUCUAUCAAGAAGUUGCCAUUCUUCUUCUUCCAUCUUUUCUGGUUUGCUUCCCAAUAAGGGAAGAUGAAGUUUCUUCCCAUAUAAAUAAUCUUCAAUUUGCAUUUUCCAGUAUCCAAAAUCUGUUCCGUCAAAUUUUUCAAUUCCAGCAGCCUUUAUUUCAUCUGCCAUUUUUACUUCUCCGAUUCGAAUUUCCCAAAUCUGACCUUACAGAUGUGUCCAGAACGGCCAAAAACCUUGGAAAUGACACUGAGAUCACCCCAAUCGGACUUCGGAUGGCUCAGAUUUUAGCAAUCAAAGUUUUGGAUUAACGGACGGUGCAGAUGCAGCCGCGUGUCAGCCAGAGUACCGCCUGCGUCACACCGGAUAAAAACUCAGUAGCGGUUCUGAUGAAGACACGUGUCAGCAGAUUACAGCCUGCGUCGCACCGGAUCAAAACUCAGUAACGGUGCAGAUUAAGCCACGUGUCCGCAGAUUAGAGCCUGCGUCACACCUGAUCAAACUCAGUAACGGUGCAGAUUCAGCCACGUGUCACAAGAUUAGAGCCUGAGUCGCACCGGAUCAAAACUCAGAAGCGGUCUAGAUUCAGCCACGUGUCAGCUGAUUAGCUCCUGCGUCGCACCAGAUUAAAACCCCUCAACGGUGAUGAUGUAGCCACGUGUCACACGAUUACCGUUUGCGGUGCACUGGAUCAAAACCCAGGUGGAUGACAUGUCAGGUGACGUGGACGUUGACCGUGCGACUUGCUGACGUGGCGGGUCAGACCCGACCCGUUUUGCAGAAACCGGGCGAAGAAGAAGCGUGGCGCGCGUGCGGCGCGUUGGUGCGCGUGGGCAGUGCUAGCGUCGGCGCGUGCGGGCAUGCAGGACGUCGAUUCUUCGCCGGGGUUUCAACAGUGGAUUCGUCCGGUUGUCCUCUACACGAUGGUAUGUUCAAAAACACAUUUUGAGAACUUUGAUUUUUGAGUUUGGAUCAAACACCCUCUUUGUCAAGAACAAGCUCUGAUACCAGUUGUUGGGUUAUUUCCAGAACUCAAACACGCACAAUUUACGUGGUUCGGCAACUUGCCUACUCCACGGAGCUACUGGUUGUAUUAAUCAAGCUUACAAAGAAACAAUACAACAACAAGAGGAGGAGAAUCUUCUCAACUCAACUCUACACUCAAGCUCUCUCUCUGUGUUUCUCUCUUUCUCUUCUUCUCACUGUGUUCUUCGUGCUCUCUGUGUUCUUCAUACAUAACACAGCACACACACACACAACUAUACAUAUACAAAUAAUGGGAGUGGGGGGUGUCCUCCACCAUGUGCUAAGUGGGAGAUUAUUCCCACUAGCACAUGGUGGGGCAAUUGUUGUCUCCAUAAUGCUAACAGAUUUCACCUUUCUUACAACUCACACUGAUUCCACCUUUCUUACAACUCCUAAGAACAUUUAAACACUGUACCAAACAUGAAGAAAAAUUUAAUAAUUUUACUUAUCAAAUAAUGCAUUCAUUGAAUUCUUACCCUUUUCCUUUCUUACGAAGGAAGUUCGUACAAGGGAGAUUCUUUUGAAGGGCAAAAUGAAGGAUGGGAUGCAUGAAUGGUAUGUUGAAAAAGAAGAGUAGGCUGUGGUAGUUAAUUUAUAAGAACAUAGCUAAAGAAUAAAGUUAAAAAACAAGAAGAAUAAUGAGAUGAAUGAUAUUUUAUUAAGAGUUUUCUUAAAAUAUAUAUAUUUUUAGCUUUUUUUUAUAUCUCUAUAUAAUGCUUAAGAUUACAUGACUUAUUAUAGACCUCAAGUUCUAUAUAAUAAUAAAAAUUAAACUAUUUUAAAAAAAAUUCUAAUCUAAUAAGAAAUUUAAUAUUCUAAUUAAAUACAGAUUCUAAUACACUAAUCUAUUACAAAUCUACAAAUCCUUUUUAAAUCGAGGGUUCUAAAUUGAAAUGGUUUAUUUUUUUGGUGGAAACUUUUGGUGAAUGUAUUGUUUGUUUUGGAUGAUCUUGUUGUCUAGAUUGAGUUUCCUGGUAGAGAACAGAAGGGGUUUCUUGCUGAUGUAAUGGCACUUGCAUUUAUCUAAAGUCAUAUGCACUCAUAUGCACAGGCCCUUCAAAGACUAAAGUUGAGUUUUCAGAGCUUCAGGUUCAGGACAAGUCAUAUGCACUCAUUGCACAGGCCCUUCAAAGACAGGCUAGGAAGUUCAAGACUAUAGUAGCCGUGGUGGAUGCUAGUGGCUUAGCAGGUAUUAGGAAACAUUGGAACACUCCUGUUCCUCCAGAAGUGAAGGAUUUGGUUGGGAAGCUUGUCACUGAUUGUGAAAGUGACGGAGAAGUUCCCAAUCAUGAUGAAAAGAGACGGCUACUUUCAAACAAACCUAUGGUGGCAGUUGGAGCUGGGGCAACAGCAAUUUUUGGAGCUUCGUCUCUUUCCAAAGUUGUUCAUGCAUCGACAUUCAUGAAGGUUGUUACAUUUAAAUUUCCUACUGCCCUUAAGCUUUUGCUGAUCCAAACUCAAAAGAUAAUGGCAAUAUCUAUGGGCAAGACUCUUGGUCCAACAAAACUGCUGGCCCCUGGACUGGCCAAUUCUGGAGCCAUGCAACAUCUGCGUUGAAAGCAGCUGUUUCUGCUGAGAAAAUCCGGACAGUGGUCCACAGUGUUAUAGCCUCUGCUGAGAAAACCAGUUUUUCAACUAUGAGAACAGCUUUCUAUGAAAUAAUGAGAAAACGGCAGGUUCAACCUAUUGGUGUCCUACCUUGGGCAGCAUUUGGUUGCAGUGUUGCAACUUGCUCAGCAUUGCUCAUGUAUGGAGAUGGGAUUGAAUGUGCUGUUGAGUCUCUUCCUGCAGCCCCGUCAAUCGCCAGUUUGGGUCGUGGGAUUCAAAGCUUGCACCAGGCAUCUCAAGUAGUUGGGCAGACAGAUGGCACCAGAAUACAAAAAUCUAUAGUCUUUGAUGAACAGGUUGAGGAAAGUAAAGAUGCAAUAAAGUAGGACUCGCAUCUUUUAUUUUGUUGUAUACAAGCUGAUACUGCUCAAAAGUUAUUAGUACUGGAAUUUAGAGAAAUCUUCUGUAUAUAAAUAGAAAGCAGGAGGGGUGAUUUGUAUUGUCAUGGGUGUUGAUCUUUUUUUGAAGUCAAUUUUCUAAAGGGUUCUUUACAAUGCUGCCUGGUAAACAUAUUACAAUUGUUUCCUCUCCCUGCUUCCCUCUCCCUUUAUCUCUAUGUUUAACUCCAUUUGACAAUUUCGCAUAGGUAUUACUUGAGAUUGCAUUGUUAAUUCUGACGCAGUCGAGAUUGGCUUUCUUUGCUCUCAAGCAAGGCUGCCAUUGUUAUGAAUAGCAGGCUGCUUGCCAGAAGCUCUUCUCCGGUUUCACAGUCCUUGAUUCGAUCUACUCUCCAUUACUAAAUUGUUUGUGUAAUUUAAAUCAUAACUGAAAGUUUUCGAAUCCUAUGAUGAAGCCAAGCACAUUAACUAUAAACCAAAAGAGGAGAUGGUUUUAGUGCAUCCCUCCUCACACAUCACUAUUUAUUAGAAUAUUAUUUUUGUUUUGUUUUUUAUUUCUUUGAUUUCUUUUUCAACUCCUCACACAUCACUAUUUAUUAGAAUAUUAUUUUAUUUUAUUUUAUUUUUAUUUCUUUUUCAAUUAUUUUUUUAUCCUUUAGUUUUUUUUUUUUUGCUAUUGUUUUUUUUCUUUUUUUUACAUGUUUUUUUUUCUUUUCUUUUUUCGCUGUUGUUUCUUCUUCUGUUUUUUUUUUACAUGUUUUUUUUCUUUUUUUUUUACCCAAAAUUGACUUUUUCUUCUUCUUUUUUUUUCAAAAUUAUCUUUGCUAAUUUUUUAAAAUAUUGAGCUGGUUGAAAAUUUAACUAUAUAGUUUUUUAAAAAAAACAUUGUGGAUUGCUAUAAUAUUCUCAUACAUUGUUUUUUUUUCUUUUUUAUGAUUUUUUUUAAAUGAUCUUUGUAGAUUUUAUUUUUUUUAUAUUAAGUUGGUUGAGAAUUUAGCUUUGUAGUUUUUUUUGUUAUUUUUUAAAAAACAAUAUGGAUUGCUACAGUGUUUCCCCUACAUAGUUUUUGUUUUGCUGCAGUGUUUUCCAACAUAUAUUUUUUAAAAAGUUAUCUUUAUUGAAUUUAUUUUUUCAAUAUUGAGCUGCUUGAUAAUCUAGCUUUAGCUUUUCCCACAUGUUUUUUUAUUUGUUUUUCUUUUUUUUCCAAAAUUGUCAUUUUUUACAUAUUUUCUUCUUCUUUUUUUCAAAAUUAUUUUUGUUGAUUUUUUUUCUUACUAUUGAGCUGGUUGAAAAUUUAGUUUUUUUGUUUUUUCUUAAAAUAUUGUAUCUUUCUCCACGUGUUUUUUUUUCUGCUUUUGUUUCCUUUUUUUUACAUGUUUUUUUUUCAUUUCUUUUACCCAAAAUUGACAUUUUUUUUUUAAAAUAGUCUUUGUCGGUUUUUUUUAUAUAUUGAGCUAGUUGAGAACUUAACUUUGUAGCUUUUUUUUUUUUUAAAAAAAAAAACACUAUGACAUUAAUGUUCACAAUAUCAGUGCUGGUACUAGCAGUUUGAUGGGGUUAUCUUGAUCUUAUGACCCGGGUUGCAAGUUUGACAUGUUAACUCAGGUUAUUUUUUUAAUUAUUUUUUUUCAAUUUCAUCCUUCAAUUUUGGGUUGAUUGAGAAUUAAAUUCAUAAUUUAUUUUGAUUUGUUUUCUAUAAGGUUAUCAUAAUCUCAUAACUCAGGUCAUGAAUUUGACUUGUUAAGCUGGAUUGUCCCAAGUCAAUCUAAUAUGUUGUUAUUUUAAUAUUAAAAAAGAUAUUAUCUUGAAAUUUUGUUUAGUCAAAUAUUAUUUUUACAGGUUAUAUGGGUUGUUUUUGAAUCAAUAAAGUUAACCGGGUUGAAUCAAUAAAGUUAACCGGGUUAUAUCAAGAAAAUUCUGACUUUGUCAGAAUUUAAUUUUUUUCAUGCUAGAAAAAAAAUAUUAACAUUUAAAUAUUUGUUUUAUAUUCAAGAAAAAUUUGACUUUGUCCAUAACGUAACACAAUUAAAGUUUAUUACUAGUUAUUUUGGGAGGCUAGAAAAUUCUGCUAGAUGUGCAGACUAUUUCCUUAAUAUUAAUUAUUGAUGACAAAUAUAACUUUAUGUCCAGUUAUAAGCUGCUAGAAUUUGAACUGCCUUGGUUUAUAAUUUUUUUUUUUUGUGGAGAUGUGAAAGUAUGAAUCCUCACCAGUUGAGUGACAAACUACUGUUUAUUGGGAGAAAUGAUUCUUGAACUUUUCUUGGCCAUCUGGCAGCCUAUGAUAGAUUUCCUAAAAUUUAUUUAUGCGGCCUUCUAUCUUAAAGAAUUUGACAAGAAACGAUCGGUAGAAAUUUAUAAAAAAUUUACUUUUUAAAAUUUGAUUUAUAGUUAAAUAGAUGUUAUUAAACUUGGCUGGAUACAUCAACUUAGAAUCUAGUUAAAUUCAUCCAUUUAUAAAAAAAUCUACUUCUCAUCUAAAACUUGGCUUAAACCUGAUUAAAAAAAUUAGGUAAAAAUUAAUCUAGUUAAAUAAGAGAUCCGGUAAAUUAACUUGCAAUCCAAUCAUCUUAGUUAAAAUUUAAUUUGAUUAUUAAAGUUGUUUUCCUUAAAGCAAUGACAUUUUUUUUUUAAAUUGUGAAAUAAUUCACCCGAGUAAACUUUGUUUUUCUUAAAGCAAAAACAUUUUUUUUAAAUAGUGAAAUAAUUCACCAGAGUAAACUUUGAUUUAAACUUGAAAAUCUUGAAAUAAUUAAUUUGAAGUUAAUUAUUAGUACUCUCAUCCAAUUCUCAAUUAUAAUCAUGACACAUGUAAUUGUUUUUAUUGUUUAAGGGCUAAUUAUUUUUAUGUUUUAAAAAUAUUUUAAAAAAAUAAUUUUUUUAAAUUUUUUUGUUUCAAAUUAAUUGGUAUUUGAUAAUUUCAUAUUGUUUUAAUGUGUUGAUGUCAAAAAUAAAUUUUAAAAAAUAAAAAAUAUUAUUUCGAUACAACACAGUUAUCAUAUUCUAAAACAUACAAAGUAUUUUGUCAAAAAACUUCACAUGAAAUCAAGACAACACACAAGCAAUUCAUUCUAUCAAUCUGGAAUUGCAUUACAAAAACGUGAAAAAAUAAAAUAAAAUUCUGGAGUUAACUCAGAAUCUAGUAUUAUAAGUAAUUAAUUAUACAUGCAUCAGCUAGCGUUAAUUUGAUUCCAAUCACACCUUAGAAUCCAACCUCCGUGCUUCUUUUCGUGCGAGAUGGAUAAGAAACAGUUCACUUCGAGAUCAAGCACAUAUGCUUCAGCUAGACAGUACCCAUGAGUUGCCAUGGCCUGAAAACAUGUUCCAGGUGUCUUUGUUGAGAGACCAGUGGAAAUGAACUAGGGUUGAUGAUGAGCUGAGAGGCUCUGUUUAGGUCAUUUUAUAAGGGUCUGUUGGCUUGGGGAGGAAGGACGUCGUGUGAUGUUUAGUGGUCCAAAUGGAACUUGAAAGUGAAGUAUUUGUAAUUUUUUAGUGGACAAUGUCAUGGCAGCGUAGAAACUUUGUGGAAAUGGACAAUUAAAAAAACAGGGGAUGUAAGAAACCCUUGUUUUUAGUUAUUAGUGAUUAUGUGUGCAACAUCCGGAAUUUUGCAUUGAAAGAAAGGAAGAAAUUAUGUAGAGGAAACACACCCUUGGACUUGUAAAUGUUAUACAUACUUAAUACAUGAACUCCUAACCAGUUACCGAAGGUAACCUCAACUUAUAAUUACUCUGUUUAGAGAAAGCUGCCAACUCUUGUUGAAGCCAUUGCAUGCAUUCUGAUGAACUUGGACUGGGCUUUCCACUAUUGCAAUCUUGGGCUACAAGCUCUGGGAUGCUUCUAACAGAGACACAAUAAUGGGAGAAAUGAGUGUGUAGCUCUUGAAGACAAAAUGUCAAAUCUUUCAUUUGGUAAGGGUGAUCGAUGUUUGUUCUUUGAAGAUCAUGCAGUUAUUGAUCCUGUCUUGCAUCUUAAACUCUUUUGACGAGGAGCUUGCGUGCGAGAUUCAGAGGAAGAUUGAUGAAGAUGGACCGGGCUUUCCACGAUUGCAAUCUUGGGCUUCUUCUAGGUUUGUAAUUCCAUUGUAAUCGUUCAAGUUGGCCAUGACAAAGACACAAUCAUUGAAGAAAUAAGUGUGUAGCACUGGAAGAUUGAAUGAAGAAUCUUUCAUUUUGUAGGGGUGAUCGUAGUUUUAUUUAUUGAUCGGGUCUUGCAUCUUGAUGUCGGCAAAUGCUUUUUUUGUUUUUCCGACCUAUAUAGCAAUAAAAUUUGAAAUCACCGACAAAAAAAAAACUGACGGACAUAUUCUAUCAGUAAAUAAUUUACCGAUGAACUCUUAAUCAUACACCGAUAGAAUAUUUUCAUCGGUAAAACUCCGAAAUCUUGUAGUGUGAAUAUGACUUGCUAAGGAAUGUUGUUUAUAACGAGAGAGACUCCUUCAGAGAGUUGGAGAAUGAGUUUUCUCAUGUCUGCUAGCUUGCACGUUGUUUUAUCCUGUUUCUUAAAGGAACUGAAGUUGUUUUUGUACACAUAAUAGAGCUAGAUGUUAUGUUUUUCAUAAAGAGAGUGAAAAAGUUCGAAGCUAUUGUUAUAUUGAUACAACACCAUUGUUGAGCACUUUCACCUGAUAUAUGAUUUACUGGAGAUUUUGAGCAGUUGGAAUAUUGAGAGAUUUGUUAUUAUUUCAUGUUCUGAAGUUUCAAAUCGUUAUCCAUUAAAAGAAUUUUUGGUUACUCUUACUAGCUUUCCACUAAUAAAGUCAAGAAAACUUCAUGGUUGAAUUAAGCUUUUUGAGACUUCAAUCUUGGAUCGGUGGAGUGAUAAGCUUUGUGAGGGCGAGCCCGUUUAUAGGAUUUGUACAUAUGUUUUGUUAACCCAGGUACUUUCAAUUUUAAUAUAUAUAUAUAUAUAUAUAUAUAUAUAUAUAUAUAUAUAAAAGUUACAUUUAAUUUAUGAAAUUAUUAUUUUAUAUUUAUAGUAAUGUUAGAUCUUAACUUGUAUUGGUGUAAAUAUUUUAUAUGACAUAUGAUUGGUUAAUUAUUGAUUUUAUUCUUAAACAUAUUUGGAUAAAUGAUUUAAUAACUAAAUAAAUCUUAAUUUAAUUAUAUUAUCUUCUUAGCCAUAAGUUUUUUUUUUUAUGAUAUAUAUAUAUAUAUAUAUAUAUAUAUAUAUAUAUAGACACACACACAUUUAUCAUUUUUGAUAGGUGUAGAAGUUGCUAUUUUAAAUUAUUUAAAAUAAAAAUUUUAAUACUCAUAUAAAAUAAUUAUAUUAUCAUUUUUCCUUAAAAAGAUCUAAAAAAGAUAUGAGCUUUGGUAGAAUUUUUGUUUUGGUAGGAUUUUAGGUUUUGGGGCGUUUUAUUGGGUUUUUGGUGGCCAUGGAUUGACUUAACAAGGUCUCUAGGGUCUUUUCUAGGUGUCUUGGAUAAAAUAUAAGUUGAAAAUUGAUUUUUGGGUAAAAAAAAUAAAAGACCUUGUUUUCCCGGCCAUCAUAAUAGCUGAAUUCUAGGUUGCGCAAACGACGCAUCAUUGUUUCGAGGCAAUAUAAUUUUUUUUUUAAAUAAAGACCUGCGCAUUAGCCGUUGCUUUAUUGGGUCAGAUGUUAGGUGUGGCUUGCCUGGCCCAACAGUGCCUGGCCUGAUUUUUUUUUUUUUAAUUUUUAGUUUUGUGUGUAAUUAAUCAAAUAAAUAUUAGGUUUAUGUUUUAAUUAGAUUGUGAUUAAUUUUAAAUGAUAUUGAUUAUGUUUAAUUUUUAAAGAGGUAAGUAUGAUUCAUUUGUGAUUUUUUUCUUAAUUUUAUAUAGAUUAAAUUUGUUUUUUUAAUAAGAAUUUUUAUAUGUGCAGCCUUACAUUGUUUUUUUUAAUUAUUAUUCAAAAAUUUUUAUGUGAGUGUUAGUUUCUAUUACAAAUUUAGUUUGAUAGAGGGGUUCAUUAAACACAAUCAUGUAAAUUACCCAUAUUGUAAUUUUAACACUCAUUAUUUUUAUUGUAGUUUCUUGAUUUUUUAUUUUUGUGUUGUUUUUCCUGUGAUUUUAACCCUCAUAUUUUUUCUAUGUAUAAUGCUUUUUUCCUAUAACCUAGUUCAUUGUUUAAAAAGUUAACAUGAAUUGACUUUUUUUGUCUUAUUUUUUUUAUAUUUAUUUAUUUUUCUUUUUAUAUAAUUAUUUUAUUCUCUUUUAAUUUUUAUUUUAUUAACAAAUAAGAUUAUUGAGAUGUUUUGAAAAUAUUAUGAAGAUAUAGUUAUAUAAUAUUGACAAACGUUCGCAUUGAAUUAUUUUUUUUUUCUUAUUUUAUUUGUUGUCAACAUCAUUAAAUUAACUAAUUUUAUUAAAUUUAUUAGAGCAAAUUACCUAUAUAUUAUUUUUAAAAAAAUAAUUUUUAAUAUUUUUAUAGUAAUUGGUACUUGUGGCUGGACCCGCCUAACUAGUCUUAGCUGUAAACAUAUCAUGUUAUGCCAUCCAUGUCACAAACUCAUUUAAAGCUUGACGCAUUGGUCAAUUAUUUUAUAUUUCAGUGUUUUGUGACAUUAACAAUGAAGUUAUUGAUUGAAGCAUUGGUCCACACUCUUAGUGUCUUUCAUGGCGAAGACCCCCCCCCCCCCUCCAUGUGCACUCAGGUCAAUGAUGAACAAUUGUAGGGUUCUUGGUUAUUACGCAAUAUUUUUUUUGGGCGCCAAACCUGACCUUUGAAGAUGUCAUUGACAGUGCCGCCCCAUCUUUUAUUUUUUUGUUUUUUUAUUGUGUGGGUGGCGCAAUAAUUUAAUAUAUGUUUAUUUUUAUAUUUCAAAAAUAUUUUUUAAAAAUUUAAAAAUUAAUAUAUUUUUAGUGUUUUUAAAUUAUUUUGAUAUGUUAGUAUUAAAAAUAAUUUUUAAAAAAUAAUAAAAAAUUAUUAAUAUAUAUUUUGACACGAAAAAUUAUUUGUAAAACAAUCACACUACUAAAUAAUAUCAAAUAAUUGUUGGAUUGUAGAGGAUUGUUCUCAUAAUUUUUUUUAUAUUUGUUUUUAUUUCAGUUUUUAUUCUAUUAAUUUUUUAUUUUUUUAUUUGAUACUUUUAUUUAAAAUUUUAAUCGCUUUCAAUAAAGCUUGUCGGUGGUAAGACACACUCCGAAGCAACCUGUGGUUCCACGACAAAAAUAUGAGCUCUUUCUUUUCCGUGGUCCACCACCUUUAAUUUCUUUCAUGGCAAGACUUUUGCCCCCAUGAGUAAGCAGGUCAAUGACGAAGAAUUGUAGGGUUCUUGGUUAUUUCUCCCUGCAAUUCCUUCACAAUUAUGUGAUAUAUUGAUUUUUUUCGCAUUUGAAAUGAGUUAGAGUAUUAGAUGUUAAAUAAUAUUUAUAUAGUUUUAUUUAAUAAAAAUAAAAUAAUACUUUCAGUUUGAAUCUAUAUAUAUUUUAUUUAUAUUUAGGUUAGGAUUAUACACUCAUAAUAUAUAAAUUAUUCAAAAUUUUAGUAUUUUUUAUAUAUUUGAUUUUAAUUAUUUUAACACUAAAUUACUUAAAUAUGAUGAAUAAAGGGUUGGAUUUGUAAAAUUAUUUACACAUUUUAAUUUGUCGAUCGUCAUUUUCUGCUGUAUCAUCGACGUUCUUCCUUCCUCCAACCAUUUCGAACACUAAUAUCCCAAAGCUGUAAACAUCUGAUUUAUAGGAAACACUCCCGAAGUUCCUCGAGAACACUUCUGGGGCAAUGUAGCCAACAGUCCCCCUAGCAGUCGUCAUGGAAAUGGCACUUUUAUCCUUGGAACACAACUUACCAUCCCAAAAUCGGCGAUUUUGGGAUUGAAUUCGUUGUCAAGCAGGAUAUUCUGUGGUUUGAUAUCAAAAUGGAGGAUUCUUUGAUCACACCCCUGGUGAAGAUAUUCAAUCCCCUUGGCUAUGCCUAUAGCAAUUAUUCUUUAUAUAUAUAUAUAUAUAUAUAGAGUAAUUGACUUUUUUUUUUCAUUUUUUUUCUUUCUAUACAAUUAUUAUAUUUUUUUUAAUUUUUAUUUUACUAACAAAUAAGAUCAAUGAGAUAUUUUAAAAAUAUUAUAAAGAUAUUGUUUUAUAAUAUUGACAAACAUUUAUUUUUUAUAUUGAAUCAUUAUUUUUUUCUCAUUUUAUUUAUUAUAAAAAUAAAAUAUACUUCCAUAAUAUUUAUAAUUAUUCUAUUCUCAUUAAUCAUGGUAAAAAUAAUUGGCCCGUGGCGCGACAUCCUAACUAGUCUUAUCUAUAAACAUAUCAUGUUAUGCCACAUACUCAUUACACAUUGGUCAAUUAUUUUAUACUGAUUGGAACGUUAAAGAGCCGGUCAAUUAUUUUAUAUUUCAGUGUUUUGUGACAUUAGCAAUGAAGUUACUGAUUGAAACAUUAUUCGUAAUUUAUUUUUGUGUUUUAAAAAUAUUUUUAAAAUUUUAAAAUUUAUUUAAUUUUUUAAAAAAUUAAUAUAUAUUUUUAAUAUUUUUAGAUUAUUUUAAUACAUUAAUAUCAAAAAUAAUUUUUAAAAAAUAAUAUAUAUAUAUAUAUAUAUUUUUAAAUAAAAAUAUUUUAAUAAAUAACUAUAAUUAUACUUUCAAACAAAUUCAGUUGCUUUCCUGACGAAGACAUUUCCCCGUGCGCACUCAAGUUAAUAAUGAUGAAGAAUUGUAGGGCUCUGGGUUAUUACGCGUUAACGAGUUGUUGGUGUCCCCAACAUUGGAGAUGCCACCAUAUCUUUUUCUUUUUCUCUUUUAAAGCUGUGAGCGUGAUAACAUGUGAUUAUUGAAUUGUCGCUUAUUGUUUCCUUAUUAUUUUUGAUAUUUUAUUUUUAAUUUUUAAUUUUUAAUUUUUAAUUUUUAAUUUUAUUCUUAUAUUUUAUAUCAAAAUUUUAUUUAUUUUUCAAUUAUAAUUUUAUUUAUUUCAGUUUUUAUUCUAUUAAUUUUUAAUUUUUUUAUUUGAUACUUUUAUUUAAAACUUUAAUCGCUUUCAAUAAAGCUUGUCGGUGGUAAAACACACUCCGAAGCAACCUGAGGUUCAACGACAAAAAUAUGAGCUCUUUCUUUUCUGUGGUCCACCACCUUUAAUUUCUUUCAUGGCAAGACUUUUGCCCCCAUGCGCAAGCAGGUCAAUGACGAAGAAUUGUAGGGUUCUUGCUUAUUUCUUCUGGUCCAGAAGUCUCUGCCGUGUAACAAUCUAUGGGUAGAAAUUAAUGGCAAAGGGAAGAGAUGAAAGAAGAAGGUCCAUCAAAAUCCUUCUAUCCUCCCUGCAAUUCCUUCAGAAUUCUAGGACUUGUUUAUUUUUGUAUUUUUAAAAUAUUUUAAAAAAAAUUAAUUUUUUUUAUUUGUUUAAAAUUAAAACACGUCAAUUACAAGAUAUUAAAUAAUCAAAGAAAACAUCCAAGUUUAACAUCAUAAAAUAAUAAUAAAUUAGUUCAUUGUAUAGAGAACAAUAAAUUUGUCUUAAUAAAAAAUUAAAUGAAAUCAAUCGUAUGAAAGUGAAAUAAAACAAUAAGUGAUGCCUAAUCCUUUGAUCUCCCACCAACAAUCUUUUAGCAAUAUUUUGUUGAAAACGUGUACCUCUGAUCUUACAGUUUUGUUCUUAGUUUUAUUGUCUUCAUUUGUAUUCUAUCAUUUGAAUUUUCAGACUAGUAGGUAAACAUAAAUGCAUCUAGCAACAAUUUCUCCAAGUUUUUUUUAUUGAAUCUAUGAAGAGAAUUUCAAGAAGUUAAUUAUAAAUUUAUAUAAACUCUUGUAUUAAAACAAUCAAAUUAUAUUAUAAAAUUAAUUUUGUUAUUAAUACUGUGUUGAAUUCAGAAUUUGUGAUCUAAAUAGUUAAUUUGAUCAUAGUUUGGCGAGUUUUUUUUAUCUUUUUUGAUCUGAAAAAUAUUUAUCUUGAAAUUUUGUUAGAAAAGAAUAUCAUUGCAUUGACAUGGUCUUGAUGAUGACUUACCAAAAUAAUUUUGAAUUGUCGAUGCUCCAUAGAGUGUUUAAGGCACAAGCCACUCUCUCCCAGGGAAGCAAUGAUUUUUAGUCCAAGUUAUCAUGUGCGUGCUUGAAAGUUUUUUUGUCCCGUAAUUGCAGCAAAAUUUGAAUUUUGCACCUAAAACGAUCGAUAGCAAAAACAAUCUGUAAUUUUUCUUGUAAAGAUCUGUAAAGUAAUUAUAAGAUCUGGACUUGGAUUUAGAACUUGAAAAAUCUUCUAAAUGAAUAAUAGAAAAGAAAAGAGAAGAGAAGAAAAGAAAGAAAGCUAAGCUUUACAACUGGAAAAAACAUUAUCAGCACUGGAUAAAUAUGAGAUGUUUAAGUUAAGUUGAUGCUGAAAUUCUGAAAUGUUUAUUUCUAUCACCCUCCCGAUCACUCCUUACAUAAAUAGCAUGACGUCAUAGCUUCACUAUGAGGUAAAGGUUCCAAUACCAAAAUACAAAACAAUCCCUAGAAAUAAUAAAAUCCUAAUUUCAUCCCCGGAAUAAUAGCAUAUGGCUAGAAAUCAUGGAACAUUGUCAACUGUGCUCAGCAAACUUUCAGGAUCUACUUCAAUUUUCUUAAGAGAAGGGGAAAUAGCGAUCGGGAUCCUCGUUAGCUGCGGGCAAUCACGCACAGUAAUUUCUUCGAGAGAAUCGCAUUGAAGUCUUCGAGAACAAAUGCUAUUCAAAUUUGGUAAUUUCUUCAAUACCAAAACCCUCAAUUUAUCAAUGGGAGUGCAUGUCGUCGGAACAGAACGACCCAAAAGAGUAAUGGGCAUGGAGCCACUUCCCAUUAUCUCCUGCAUGUUGUGACAAUCUUCGACUACAAUCACUUUCAAUCGGACUGUAGACAACAACCAAUGAGGGAGCAGCACCUUCAUCCUAUGACAUUUAUGUAUCACCAUCUCUCUGAGUCGGCGAAAGACACCAGCAUUACGUAGCUCUGAAGGUGCUUCAAAAAGGGUUUCUAAGAUUAUCAAACGAUCAAGGUGUAGAAUCUCAAGACCUGCACUUUCAUGUGAUCGAAAUAAGCUUCUCAUGUUUUGACAACUCACAAAAACUGCUUUUGUAGUGAAGUACAAAGAAGUUGCAUUUUCACUCAUGAGGUCAUAAAACCAAGCCUCUUUAAUUAACGUUGACUUCGAUCUUGUAUAAUUUAGAUCUUCGAGUGAAGAGAAAGAAGGUCGUCCUACAGUAACCUUGAAUGCAAUUUCUGAAAAUUUCUCUCCAGAUUGGAAAACUCUGAAAUCGUCUAGAUCACGGAAGUUGCAUUCCAAAGUUUCCAAACCAUAUAAUCUGGAAACUUCAUCUCCUCUAACUGAGAGAACAACUUCAUAUUUCUGAUGAAGCUUGAGGAACUUUAAUUUUAAGAGUUGGGGUAAAAUACCCGACCGUAAAACACGCACCCCGCGCUUCCAUCAAGAUUAAGAUACCUGAGAUCCUCCAGCCUUUCCAUUCCCUCGGGCAAAUCUUCAAGUCCAGUGUAACUGAGAUCCAACUUCUCCAAUGCCUUAAGCUUUGCUAAUGAUGGUACAUAACUCAGCUUUGCACACCAUCCCAGCAACAAUGCAGUGAGACUCGUCAGAUGAGAAAUAGAAUCCGGCAACUUCUCUAUAUCUGUGUCGGAAAGAUCAAGAACCUUGAGUCCGAUAAGGUGUUGGAAAAAAGAAUCCUCAACCAAAUUCAAUUUGUAGUUUCUGCAUAACAAUAAUGUUGAGAGACGGGGGCACAUUGGUGAAAAGCCUUUUGGAAUAUUCUCGAUUCUAUUUUCCAUUAGUGAAACUCUUAACAGUUUCUCUCUCCACCUUCUUACAGCGGGUAAUUCUGUUAGUUGUGCACCUGCUUGAACCAUAGCCCCCCCACUUUCGUUCAAUAUUUUCCAAGCCAUAUCCCAAAUCAAAUCAUGCAUCUUGACAUAUCUGUAAUCUUCAUCGUCCCUGGAACCUUCUAAUAAGCUGGCAUUUUCAAGUUGAUUAAGCAUGGUAUGGCCCCGAUCAAAUUGUGCUUGCCUACUCCACAUAUCUUGGACUAUACCCUCAACAAUCAAAUACUCUAUCAACUCCUCUCUCCUGAUCUUCUUGCCUUUUGGAAACAAUGCACAAUAUAAGAAGCAAUCUUUAAUCGCUUUAUGUUUUAACUGAACAUAGCUAAAUUUCAAUAUCUGAAAUACAUCAGUUUCCGUGUCACAUGUUCCAAUUUCUGAACUUGCCGGUUCCCGCAAUGCAUCUCUCCACUGAGAUACAUCAUCCACUCCCCUCAUGCUUCCAGCCUUGUCAUGAUUCCGAGAGGCAAACCAGAACACUUCUUCACAAUAGACACUGCAGUUUUUUUCAUUUCAGGACUAAGUGUAACACCAUGCCCUAAUCUGUCUAUAAACAAAUCCCAAGCCUCACUCUCAGAAAGAGGCUCCACUUUGAUUAUCCUUUGGCAAUCCAUUUUUCGACAUGUGUCCAAUGAUCUAGUUGUAAGAAUCAGCUUACACCCAUCUGUUUUAAGAGGUAUUCCCACUUUAUCAAGAGGAAAAUGAUUCCACAAAUUAUCAAUAAUUAAAACACAUUUUGUCACACUCAAUGUAGUCCAUAGCUUCCCGGCUCUAUUCACCUCAUCUUUUCCAUUCCCAAGAUGCAAACCAAAAGCUUCGGCAAUGAGAUCCUGCAAUACGUGAACGCUAAAUUCUUGAGGCACAGAAAUCCAACAAACACGAAGGAAAAUGUCUGGUUUCUCUUGAAGCUGAUUGUGGAUAUGUGUAGCCAAAGUUGUCUUUCCAAUUCCCCCCAUCCCGUAAAUGCCAAUGCAUAAGACCUCAUCAUUCAACAACCAAGAGCAGGCACCCUUCAUAUUUCUUUCAAACGCUUGGCCCACCACUAGCUUUGUUGUCGGCAAUACAUAUCUUCCAGUCCUACGUUUCUUUUGUACAGGCCUUCUAGAAGAGGGUCGUCUCUCAACAGCAGACUGCAUCAAUUCCGGACUCAUGGUCAGUCUACCAGUUCUUAACUCAAACUCCCUCAUUGAUGAGGAUGAGAUGUUAUUCAAGUUCAUUUCAAAUGACUGAUGUGCUUGCUCAGUUCUUUGUCUAGUCUCGGGUUCAUCUGGCAUAAGAACGACAGGAGCUCUAGGUUCCUCGACAAGCUCAGUCUCCCCCCCAUUCAGAAAACUCUUCCAUCCUUGUUCAUCCGAAAGAGGUUGUUCUUCUUGUUCCAUUUCAAAGCCCCGCAAAGCAGUUGAAGCUGCAUUAAUUCCCUCGUUAUUGCUUGAACUUGGCACACUCUUAUCUACAGGCAUUUUAGAACAGCUUCCUCUCUCGGUAACAGCCUGCAUCAAUUCCCGACUCCCUAUACCACUGCUUAACUCAACAUCCCUCGUCAAUGAAGAUGUGAUGUUAUUCAUAUCCAUUUCAAAUGGUUGAUCUGCUGUCUCUAUUCCCAAUCCAGUCUCAGGUGCAUCAGGCAUAAGCAUGCCAGGGGCUCUGGUUUCCUCAGUAAGCAAAAUCUCUCCCCCAAUCAAGCUAUCCAUCCAUGACAGUCCAUCAUCCAAAAGAGAUUGUCCUUGUUGCAUUUCUAAAUCUUGCGCAGGAUCUGAAUCUGCAGUAACUAUUAUAUUAUUGUUUGAAGUCGGCAUACUCCCACGCAUUCUGUCAGGAAGCUUAUCAAACGCUGCUCGUUGAACAUCUGGAGUUACUUUUUCACAAAUUUUAACACCACCACCUCCAACUCUUGCUAGAUGAUAUUUCAUCCUUGUACUGGAAGUACUUCCAGCCAAUAUCUUCUUGAAAAGGAGAAGAAGCUAAGUUUAAGAUAAAAAGAAAAAUUAAUUACAGGUGUUUCACUGUCUAAACCAAAGUCAAGUUAAACCACUCCAAAGAUCGUAGUGUUCUUUUCUCUUUACUUCCCCAAUAAUUCUACAACUGGUCAUAUCAGUAAUUUAAUAACCAGUAUGUUUCCUUUUGCUUAGAAGAAUCAAACUACAUGAGUUGGAAAAGAAAUGGUAUGAAAUUAUGCUAAAAUUAAUCAAACUUAAUUACCUGAGCAGCAGAAGCAGCAAAAUGUUAUCCAAUGCUUUGAUUAAAUCAGAAGAAAGAAGAUGGACGGGAAAGUGUGAGUGUGUUGGAGACGAGUGAUAGAGCUUAACGGCUUGCGUGGUUGUGGAUAAGGAUAGAUUCAGACAGUCAGAGAAGCAGAUGACAGUGAAAAAAGUAAAAUGGACUUCUGUCGUUCAUGGAUGUCAUAUGGACAUGUUGUUGGUCUUCCAGGAAGCGGAUCCGGCGAGGGGUGCUCUAGUGAAGGCGGUGGCUGAUGAUAGUCUCCUCGUGUGGUGGACAGCACGCCAGCUUUGCAAACGAUGAGAAAGAGCACGAUCCACCACAAAACAGCAGAAGAGAAAGCAGUAGGCCGAGGGAAGAAAAGGGAGCAGAGUCGACCGAGAGAGAAGUAGAGCUGACCUAGAGAGCGGUAUCUUCACAAAUGGAGAGGUUUGUGUUUUCUGUAGCUGGUAGAAAAAAGACACAGAGGAUGAUAGACAACUGAGAUGGAGAGCACCUGUUUGUUUGCUGGUUUAAAACAAAAAGAACUUAUUUUCUAGAAAAUAAAUUAUUUAUAUAUAUAUAUAUAUAUAUAUAUAUAUAUUCAAGAAAAAUUAUUUAUAAAAUAUUUUUCAAUACUAGGUUAUAUCAUAAAAAAUAGUAAAAAAUAGUUUAUUUAUUUAUAUUUUAAUAAUUUUUUAAGUUGAUUAAAAAAAUAAAAAUUACUAAAAAAAAUAGAAAAUAAAUUUGAUAAAUAAAAAAAAUUAAAAUAAUAAUUUCAUUAAUUAUUUUAAAUAAGAUAAAUAUCAAUUAAAUUAAUAAAAAUCAAAUCUAAUAAAUUAAAAAUUUCAAUUAAAAGAUAACAAUCAAAAGAAAAUAAAGACUAAAUUUAAUAUAAAAAUCGAAUUUUAAAUGAUAAAAUUAAAAAAAUUAAAAUAAAAUAUAUAGAAGCUUAAACAUUAAGGAUCAAAUUUGAUAUAAUUAAUAAAUAACAAGAUAUUUUUUAAAUUUAGUCAACUUUUUAUAUAUUAAUGUCAAAAAUUAAAAAUUAAUACUAAAAAACUAAUAAUUGAUUUAAUAUAUUUCAAAUAAAAAUUAUUUUAAAAAAUACCAUUUAUUUGAAUUCCAAGCACUUUUGUCAUUUUAGGUUUUAUUUCAAUCAUACCUCAACAAUAUUUAUUUACAACGCAUACAAUUAAUUUAGUUAUUUUAAUAUAUUUUAUUAUUUAAUUUAUUGAUAUGAAAAAUAAAUUUUUUAAAAUAAAAAUUUUAAAAAUUAAUUAUUACCUCUAUGUGAAACACCAUUAAUUUUCUCUUCUUUCCGUUGCAUCAUUGGCUUCUACGCCUGCAAAUCUAGGUACCUUUUUUAUAUAUAAAAAAAAAUUCAUUACUUUCUGCUAAAAACAACCAAGUUAGUGACAGUUUAUGCAUGCCUUGAAAUGAGAAUGAAUUUGGCGUGCGUUAGUGAGUGGUUUGUGACAUUGUUAAAACUUCAUAUGUUUAGAGGUUGGUUUCUUGGGGAGAGGUUCAUUCUAAAGAUUGAUUUAGCUUUCUCUUCUCUUCUCUUCUCUCCUGUUUUUUUAUCAGAGUUAUCUUUGCAUAGACAAUGAACUUCGGGUGAGCCCCACAGGUUACAGCCAAGUAAACAACGAGAAUGCAUGCUCCCGCCAGCCUGCAAAAUCUAGCACAAAGCAAUCGUUUGGGUCAUAGUCUAAGGCCUUAGCCCACAGCCAAUCUCGAAAUGGAAUGAUUCUUUUAUUUAUUUUUUGUUUUUUGCAUUUAGGACUCUCAUUUCUUCGUAUGUUUACUUUGUUUAAUUUUCUAAUCAAAGCUAAAGCUCGGUUGACUUGAUCAUGAUGAUCGGAUUCACAGUCUAAAAGUCCUCAUCAAUAUAAAUUAUCAUUUUAAAUUUGUUUUUUUAUAUAUAUUUAUUUUUUUAUAAGAUUUUUCAUAUGUGUAGCCUUGCAUUGUUUUUUUUAAUUAUUAUUCAAUAAAUUUUAUGUGUGUCAAUUUCUAUUAUAAAUAUUAUGUGUUUUUCUAUUACAAAUUUAUUUUGAUAAAAAAGUUCAUUAAACAUAAUUAGAUAAAUUAUCCGUGUUGCGAUGUUAGAUAUCUUGAUCUUCAUUUUUUGCUUGGUUUUCUCAAUUUCAUUUUUGUUUAUUGUUGAUGAAUCUUUUUUUCAUUGCUUUACACAAAUGGUUAUUGAUUUAUUUAAUUAGAUGCGUGCAUAAGCUUUUCGAUUAACAUCUAAGAGUUUUUUUUAGUGUAAAAAAACAUGUUGAAUAAUUUUAUAUAUUCAUUUUUUUAUAUUAUGUUUUGAUGUUUAAGAUUUGAUGCUUAUUCUUAUGAAUUUUUUUUUUAAUAUUUUUUCCCUUGAAUCUUUUAUAAAAGUUUUAUUGUUUUUAGUUUCACCCUUCAAUUCAAGUCUAUAGUGUAUUUUUUUUUAUGUCUUUGUUCUUUUGAUUUUUGUCAUUUUGUUAAUGUUUUUAUUUUUUUCAAUUCAACUCUCAAAUUUAAAAUUUAUUGUUGCCGUUUGAUUUAUUUUUUAUUGCAAUUUUAACACUCAUUAUUUUUAUUGUAUUUUCUUGAUUUUGGAUUUUUUCUGUGAUUUUAACCCUCACACUUUUUUCAUGUAUAGUGCUUUCGAUUUUAUAACCUGGGUCACGGUUUAAAAAGUCAACAAUAAUUGAUUUUUUUAUCUUUUUUUUUUAUUUCUCUUUCUACGCAAUUAUCUUAUUUUCAUUAGUUUUUUUUACUUUAUUAACAAAUAAGAUCAUUGAGAUAUUUUAAGAAUAUUAUGAAGAUAUAGUUCCAUAAUAUUGGCAAACUCAUCUUUUACAUUGAAUCGUUGUUUUUUUUUUUUUCGUUUUAUUUGUUGUCGAUAUUUUAUUUUCUAAUGAUAUUAUUAAAUUAACCGAGUCAAUUGAACUCAUUAGAGCCAAUUACCUUAAGGCUUUAUUGUUCUUCACUUGUGCAACUAGGAUGUUUAUAAUAUGUUUUUUAAGAUUCUAACAGCACCACCAUAAUUUAAAUGCACUUCUAAAUAAAGUACUCAAAUAUAAAAAAAUAUAGAGUUGUUAACUAAUGUUUUAAAUGAAGUAAAAAUACAUGUUUGACCUUAGAAAAUACAAAAACAUAUGGUAUGCAUCCGAGGAUUUUUUUUUUCCUUUCACACAUCUUUUUUGUAAUUAUCAAGGUCAUGGGGAACAUUUAGGUAUUUUUAUAUUGAAUUUUUAAUUUUUUUUUAAAGAAAGUUGUUGCCAUGUGCUCAUUACGGGCUAAUGAGUUGUUGGCAUCUGUGUCAUUUGGAUGGUGUGUGUGGCACCUCCUGGUGGUCAAACCUGACUUUCCGACAUGUUUUUGGAGGUGCCACCAUGUCCUUUUUUAUGGUGUGGCGCGUGAUGGCAUAUGGUUGUCGGAUUAUUGCUGACUGUCCUUUUUGUUUUUGAUAUUUUAAUUUUCAUCUUUAUUUUUUUAAUUUUUUAUUUCGUUUUUAUUUUUUAUAUAAAGAUUUAAUUUGUUUUUAAUUUAAAUAUUUAAUUAUAAUUUUUUAUAUGUUUUUUCAUUUUAGAUGUCUUUAUUCUUUUAAAUUUUAAUUUUUUUUUAUUAAAAUUCUAUUUGCUUUCAAUAAAGUUUGUCAAGGUAAGAGACACUCCGAAGCAACCUGUGGUUCAACGACAAAAAUAUUAAAUCACAUCGCUUUUAAAAUAUUUUAUAUUUCAGUCUUUUGCGGCAUUAGCAAUGAAGUUACUGAUUGAAACAUUGGUCCACCACCCUCAUGUCAAUGAUGAAGAAUUGUAGGGUUCUUGGUUAUUUCUUCUGGUCGAGAAGUCUGUGCCUUGUACAAAUCUAUCGCGGCAUGAAAGAUGUACGUAUUAUAGCGUAGAAAUUAAUGGCAAAGAGAAGAGAUGAAAGAAGAAGGACCUUCAAAAUAAUAUUAUUACAUUUGGUGUUAUAAAUAAUAUGAUUUUUAUAAUAAUUCAAAUUAAUGGCGAAGGGAAGAGAUGAAAGAAGAAGGAUGAAUGCAAACCUAUCCAUCAAAAUCCUUCUAUCCUCCCUGCAAUUCCUUCCAAAUUAUGUGCUACAAUGAUUUUCUUCGCGAUUGAAGUAAGUUAGACUGGAUUGCCUAAAUAUGAUGAAUAAAGAGUUGGAUUGGUAAAAUUAUUUACACACUUUAAUUUGUUGAUUUGAUACAUCUCAAUCUGUGAAUUAACAGAGAAGAAGAAGAAGAAGCUAGUACUAAACCAAUAAGUUUACACAUAAUCCAUGAACGUAUCUCACAGGUCACAACAUUUUCCUUCAUUAUUGUUCCCGCAAUCCAUCUCUCCACUGAGAUACAUCAUCCACUCCCCUCAUGCUUCCAGCCAUUGUCAUGAUUCCGAGAGGCAAACCAGAACACUUCUUCACAAUAGACACUGCAGUUUUUUUCAUUUCAGGACAAAGUGUAACACCAUGCCCUAAUCCGUCUAUGAACAAAUCCCAAGCCUCACCCUCAGAAAGAGGCUCCACUUUGAUUAUCCUUUGGCAAUCCAUUUUUCGACAUGUGUCCAAUGAUCUAGUUGUAAGAAUCAGCGUACACCCAUCUGUUUUAAGAGGUAUUCCCACUUUAUCAAGAGGAAAAUGAUUCCACAAAUUAUCAAUAAUUAAAACACAUUUUGUCACACUCAAUGUAGUCCAUAGCUCCCCGGCUCUAUUCACCACAUCUUUUUUAUUCCCAAGAUGUAAACCAAAAGCUUCGGCAAUGAGAUCCUGCAAUGCGUGAACGCUAAAUUCUGGAGGCACAGAAAUCCAACAAACACGAGGGAAAAUGUCUGGUUUCUCUUGAAGCUGAUUGUGGAUAUGUGUAGCCAAAGUUGUCUUUCCAUGUCACUUGGUCCAACUUUUGAUCCAACUUGGCUUCCAUGUCACUUGGUCCAACCUUUGAUCUUCUCAGUUCUAGCAAUGCAUCUCUCCAACGAUAUUCAGCAACCACUCCCUUCAUGCUUUGAGCCAUUGUCAUGAUUCCAAGAGGCAAACCAGCACACUUCUUCACAAUAGACUUUGCGAUCUUUUUCGUUUUAGGAUGAAGUGUAACACCAUGCCCUGAUCUGUCUAUGAACAGACCCCAAGCCUCACCCUUAGAAAGAGGCUCCACUUUGAUUAUCCUUUGGCAAUCCAUUUUUCGACAUGUGUCCAAUGAUCUAGUUGUAAGAAUCAGCUUACACCCAUCUGUUUUAAGAGGUAUUCCCACUUUAUCAAGAGGAAAAUGAUUCCACAAAUUAUCAAUAAUUAAAACACAUUUUGUCACACUCAAUGUAGUCCAUAGCUCCCCGGCUCUAUUCACCACAUCUUUUUUAUUCCCAAGAUGUAAACCAAAAGCUUCGGCAAUGAGAUCCUGCAAUGCGUGAACGCUAAAUUCUUGAGGCACAGAAAUCCAACAAACACGAGGGAAAAUGUCUGGUUUCUCUUGAAGCUGAUUGUGGAUAUGCGUAGCCAAAGUUGUCUUUCCAAUUCCCCCCACCCCGUAAAUGCCAAUGCAUAAAACCUCAUCAUUCAACAACAAAGAGCAGGCACCCUUCAUAUUUCUUUCAAACGCUUGGCCCGCCACUGGCUUCGUUGUCGGCAAUACAUAUCUUCCUGUCCUACGUUUCUUAUGCACAGGACUUUUAGAAGAGGGUUGUAUCUCAACAUCAGACUGCCUCAAUUCCGGACUCGUGGUCAGUCUACCAAUUCUUAACCCAAAAUCCCUCAUUGAUGAUGAUGAGAUGUUAUUCAAGUUCAUUUCAAAUGACUGAUGUGCUUGCUCUGUUCUUUGUCUAGUCUCGGGUUCAUCUGGCAUAAGAACGACAGGAGCUCUAGGUUCCUCGACAAGCUCAGUCUCCCCCCCAUUCAGAAAACUCUUCCAUCCUUGUUCAUCCGAAAGAGGUUGUUCUUCUUGUUCCAUUUCAAAGCCCCGCAAAGCAGUUGAAGCUGCAUUAAUUCCCUCGUUAUUGCUUGAACUUGGCACACUCUUAUCUACAGGCAUUUUAGAACAGCUUCCUCUCUCGGUAACAGCCUGCAUCAAUUCCCGACUCCCUAUACCACUGCUUAACUCAACAUCCCUCGUCAAUGAAGAUGCGAUGUUAUUCAUAUCCGUUUCCAAUGGUUGAUCUGCUGGCUCUAUUCCCAAUCCGGUCGCAGGUGCAUCGGGCAUAUGCAUGCUAGGAAUCAUGGUCUCCUCAGUAAGCACAAUCUCUUCCCAAGUCAAGCUACCUAUCCAUGAAAAAUCAUCCAAAAGAGGUUGUCCCUGUUGUUGCAUUUCUAAAUCUUGCGCGGGAUCUGAAUCUGCAGUAACUAUUAUAUUAUUGCUUGAACUUGGCAUACUCCCACGCAUUCUUUCAGGAAGCUUAUCAAACGCUGCUCGUUGAACAUCUGGAGUUACUUUUUCACAAAUUUUAACACCAACCUUUUCAACUCUUGCCAGAUGACAUUUCAUCCUUGUAGCGGAAGUACCUCCAGCCAAUUUCUUCUCACAAAAAAUGCACUUCAAUAAAUCACCAUCCAUUUUCUCAAAAUAACACCGAAAUGGAUCACUUCCUCCAACCAUUUUUUUUCUUCGGUGUCCCUACCUACAGACAUAACAAAGAACUUUCAGAUUAUUGAAUUAAAAUGGAACUUAAACUAAUUGAAAAAAAGAAGAAGCUAAGUUUAACAUAAAAAAAAAUUGAUUACAAGUGCUUCACUGCCUAAAGUUAAACCACUCCAAAGAUCAAAGUGUUCUUUUCUCUUUACUUCCCCAAUAAUUCUACAACUGGUCAUAUCAGUAAUUUAAUAACCAGGAUGUUUCCUUUUGCUUAGAAGAAUCAAACUACAUGAGUUGGAAAAGAAAUGGUAUGAAAUUAGAGCUAAAAUUAAUCAAACUUCAUUACCUGAGCAGCAGAAGCAGCAAAAUGUUAUCCAACGCUUUGAUUAAAUCAGAAGAAAGAAGAUGGACGGGAUAGUGUAAGUGUGUUGGAGACGAGUGAUAGAGCUUAACGGCUUGCGUGGUUGUGGAUAAGGAUAGAUUCAGACAGUCAGAGAAGCAGAUGACAGUGAAAAAAGUUAAAUGGACUUUUUUAAUAAAUAACAAGAUAUUUUUUAAAUUUAAUCAAUUUUUUUAUUUAUUAAUAUCAAAAAUUAAAAAUUAAAACUAAAAACCUAAUAAUUUAAUAUAUUUCAAACAAAAAUUAUUUUAAAAAAUAUCAUAUAUUUGAUUUCCACGCACUUUUGUCAUGUUAGGUUUUAUUUCAAUCAUACCUCAACAAUAUUUAUUUACAAACCAUAUAAUUAAUUUAGUUAUUUUAAUAUAUUUUAUUAUUUUAAUAUAUUAAUAUCAAAAAUAAAAAUUUAAAAAUAAAAAUUUUAAAAAUUAACUAUUACCUCUGUGUGAAACACCAUUAAUUUUCUCUUCUUUCCGCUGCAUCAUUGGCUUCUACGCCUGCAAAUCUAGGUACCUUUUUUAUAUAUAAAAAAAAUUCGUUACUUUUUGCUAAAAACAACCAAGUUAGUGACAGUUUAUGCAUGCGUUGACAUGUCUUGCAGAGGAAACAGAAGCACCCUACUUUGCAUUCAGCUGGUUAAACGACAACAACACGUUCCAAACAGAAGAUGCUUCAACUAAACUGACCUAAGAGAGCUUAGGCAAACAUCUCGAUAGACUUUUUUUUUUUUUUUUCAGCACCUCGAUUUUGCUUACUGUAGCUCCUGUUGUUGCCCCUUUUUUUUUAUUUUAAUAUAGCUGGUUUUUUCAAACUUGGAUGCAAUUUUUAAUUUUUGCUUUUCCCAGGAUCGAAUUAGGUUGCUCGCUAUCUUGCACGCCCUUUCUUUUCCUAUGCUUGUUUUCCUGCAGAUUGGUUGUUUUGCAGCAACGGUAUUUCACCUCCAUUUUGUUAGUCUCAACAAAAAAUAUAUUAAAAUAAUAUUUUUUAUAUAAUUUUUAAAAAUUAUUUUUAAUAUUAAUAUAUUAAAAAAAUAUUUAUUAUUAUUAAUUGUGAUGUCUUAUCAUAUCAUUGGAGAGAUGUGUGUUUCCUUUUAGGUGACAUGUGGGAAAAAAAUAACCAUGGCGAGAAAUGAGGUGCCUUGCUCUACAUAUAGAGAACGAAUUUGGCGUGCGUUAGUGGGUGGUUUGUGUCAUUGUUAAGACUUCAUAUGUUUAGAGGAUGGUAUUGUUGAGCGGAAUCCGGGACCGGUGAUGUACUGAUCUUUGCUCAUAGGAGGGCUAAGCAUACUGAGACAAUAUUUAACGUGGUUCGGCAAAUUACCUACAUCCACGGGAGAGAUCAAUAUUAUUAGAGAUAGAGAAAGAAUACAACACACGGAGGAGGAUCACAUUCACUCAACUCCCAUCUCUCAUUGCUACAUAGGGCAGUAGCUGCAUAAGGCAGCAGGUCUGCUGGUGGCAGCCCUUCUCUUUCUUUCUCUCUUCUUCUCUCUUUUGUAGCUCUCCUACAAGGCUCUCUCUCUCAUUUUGUGUUGCACUCUUGGUGUCUAUUUAUAGGCUUCAAUGACAGCUCCUCUUACUUCUUUGUCAACAAUGGUGGCUGUCAAACUCAUCUCUUCUUCAACAAUGAUGGUUGUCAAAGUCAAGGUUGGUGGCUGUCACCAACAAGCCACCAUUGUAGCCUCUUUCUUUGACUCUCACAUGGCAGCCAUCUUCUUUGACAAGACAACCAUAUAAUUGGCAAUAUUCCAACAAGUAUGGGGUCGAGACCCAAAAAUAUUCCAAAUGGUGGAAAACACAUUUGGGCUUUGUCUACAGUCAUUCAAGGUAACAGGGUGGAAAACCCAUUUGGGCUUUGUCUGCAGUCAUUCAAGGUAGCAGGGGAAUCUCUAUGUGCUUCAUGGCGGGAUUUUUUAGUUCAGAAGCUUUUUGUUAACUCAGAGUUGUCAUCUUCAAUAUAGAAGCUUUUAAAUUGCUCAGACACUUCAAAUGAAGAUGGAAGUGCGGAGGAAACUUCAUGGAUAGAUUGCAGGUAUGGAGACAUUUACAGCUGAGAAUUGAAGCUCGAGGGGAACUACUUGCAGUUAGUGUUGAAGAAAGCGCAAGAAACACUGCCUACACACUUCAAAAGACAGUAGGCUUAAAGGAUGCUAGAUGUUAUCUAAUUGAUUUUUACUAGAGAUUUUCAGGAUUGAUUCGCUUAAUGGAAGAACUUGCUUGCACUGUCCUGCUUAUUAUGGCCAUUUUGAUUACCUUCAAGCUACUCUUUCUGCUGCCAUCAAUCCAACCUGUUACUGUUUCUUGGUAACUAUAUCUUCAUUCUAAAGAUUGAUUUCGUUUCUUGGUAACUAUAUCUUAAUUGUAAAGAUUGAUUUCGCUUUCUCUUCUCUUCUGUUUUUUAUCAGAGUUAUCUUUGCAUAGACAAUGAACUUCGGGUGAGCCCCACAGGUUACAGCCAAGUAAACAACGAGAAUGCAUGCUCCCGCCAGCCUGCAAAAUCUAGCACAAAGCAAUCGUUUGGGUCAUAGUCUAAGGCCUUAGCCCACAGCCAAUCUCGAAAUGGAAUGAUUCUUUUAUUUAUUUUUGGUUUCUUGCAUUUAGGACUCUCAUUUCUUCGUAUGUUUACUUUGUUUAAUUUUUUAAUCAAAGCUAAAGCUCGGUUGACUUGAUCAAGAUGAUCGGAUUCACAGUCUAAAAGCCCUCAUCAACAUAAAUUAUCAUUUUAAAAAUUUUUUUUAAUAUUUUUUUUAUCAGAUUUUUUAUAUAUGUAGCCUUGCAUUGUUUUUUUUUUUUUAAUUAUUAUUCAAUAAAUUUUAUGUGUGUUAGUUUCUAUUAUAAAUAUUAUGUUUUUUUCUAUUACAAAUUUAUUUUGAUAAAGAGGUUCAUUAAACAUAAUUAGAUAAAUUAUCCGUGUUGCGAUAUUAGAUAUCCUGAUUUUUAUUUUUUGUUUGGUUUUUUUAAUUUUUUUUUUAUUACUGAUGAAUCUUUUUUUUCAUUGCUUUACACAAAUGAUUAUUGAUUUGUUUAAUUAGAUGCGUGCAUAAGUUUUUCAAUUGACAUCUAAGAGUUUUUUUUAGUGUAAAAAAACAUGUUGAAUAAUUUUGUAAAUUCAUUUUUUUUUUAUUAUGUUUUGAUGUUUAAGAUUUGAUGCUUAUUUUUAUGAUUUUUAUUUUUAUUUUUUCCCUUGAAUCUCUUAUGAAAGUUUCAUUGUUUUUAGUUUCACCCUUCAAUUCAAGUUUAUAGUGUAUUGUUUUUUUUUUUUUUUUAUCUUUGUUCUUUUGAUUUUUUUAAUUUUGUUAAUGUUUUUAUUCUUUUCAUUUUAACUCUCAAAUUUAAAAUUUAUUGUUGCCGUUUGAUUUAUUUUUUAUUGCAAUUUUAACACUCAUUAUUUUUAUUGCAUUUUCUUGUUUUUGGAUUUUUUGUGUUGUUUUUAUGUGAUUUUAACCCUCAUGCUUUUUUCAUGUAUAAUAAUUUUCGAUCUUAUAACCUCGGUCACGAUUUAAAAAGUUAACAGUAAUUGAUUUUUUUAUCUUAUUUUUUUGUAUUUUUCUUUCUACUCAAUUAUCUUAUUCUCUUUUUUUUUUUUUUUCUUUGUUAACAAAUAAGAUCAUUGUGAUGUUUUGAGAAUAUUAUGAAGAUAAUAUUGGCAAACAUUCAUCUUUUGUAUUGAAUGAUUGUUUUUUUUUCGUUUUAUUUUUUAUCGAUAUUUUAUUUUUUAAUGAUAUUAUUAAAUUAACCAAGUCAAUUGAACUCAUUAGAGCCAAUUACCUGUAUAUUAUAUUGUUUUAAAAUAUUUUUAUGCUAAAAAAAAAUCUUAGCAUAUCAUAGCCACCUAUCUAGUAUUAUCUACAAACAUAUCAUCUUAUCCCAUCCCAUGUCAAAUACUCAUUAAAAGCUUGACACGUGUAAGAUACACUGUGAAGCAACCUGUGGUACAACGACAAAGAUAUUUUAUACUGAUUGAAAGGUUAAGGUUAAGUAGCCGGUCAAUAUUUUAUAUUUCAGUCUUUUGUGGCAUUAAUAAUGAUAGAAACAUUGGUCCACAGUACUCUUAGUUUCUUUCAUGGCAAAGACUUUUCCCUCGGGUCGAUGAUGAAGAAUAUUUGUAGGGUUAUUCCUUCUUGUCGAGAAGCUUGUGCCUUGUAGCAAUCUAUCACGGUGUGCUUGUCAAGAAAGAUGUCCAUAUUAUAAGGUAGAAGUGGUAAAUAAAAGAGAUGACAGAAGGAGGAUGAAAGCACAUGAAUAUCUGCCUAGGAAUUCUAUUUACAAUGCUCGAUCAUCAUAGGAGUAUAAACAUAUACCUUUGCAAGCCAUAUAGCUUGAAAAUGCAGAGCCAGAAUAAACGUUAAUUAAUUAGGAUGAAAAUUGUUUUUGAAAGGAAUUUAAUGAGAUUAAUUUAUUAAGAAUGUUUUAAAGAAGACCUAGUGUCUAUACAAGUUUAAAUCUAUAAGCAUGCGUACUAAGCAUAUAUUUAGACUUGCAAUUGACAUAAAAUCAAAGUCUUAGAAUGUAUAUUACUAAUAAAAUUAAAUAUACUUAAAUCAAAACAAAAAAGGAUACAAGUUUACUUGUGGAAGAACUUUAAGAUAAUGAGUUUUUUUGUUAUUGUCAAGAAUAAAUCCAUUGCCCUUAAGGCUUUACUGUUUUUCACUUGUGCAAUUAGGAUGUUUAUAAUAUGUCUUUUAAGAUUCUAACAGCACCAUCAUAAUUUAAAUGCACUUCUAAAUAAGGUAUUCGAAUAGAAAAAAAUAUAGAAUUGUUAACUAAUGUUUUUUUUUUUUUUUUGCUUUUCCUUUCUUCGUAUAUAGUAAAAAUACAUGUUUGACCUUAGAAAAUACAAAAACAUAAGGCAUGCAUCUAGGGAUAUUUGUUUUCCUUUCAUACAUAUCUUUUUUCCUUUGACACAUAUCUUUUUUGUAAUUAUCAAGGUCAUGGGGACAUUUAGGUAUUUUUACGUUGAAUUUUAAUUUUUUUUUUAACAGAAAGUUGCUGACAUGUGCUCAUUACGGGCUAAUGAGUUGUUGGCGUCUGUGUCAUUUGGAUGGUGUGUGUGGCACCUCCCGGUGGUCAAACCUGACUUUCUAACAUUUUUUUGGAGGUGCCACCAUGUCCUUCUUUAUGGUGUGGCGCGUGACGGCAUAUGGUUGUCGGAUUAUCGCUGAUUGUUCUCUUUGUUUUUGAUAUUUCAAUUUUCGUCUUUAUUUUUUUGAUUUUUUAUUUCGUUUUUAUUUCUUAUAUAAAGAUUUAAUUUGUUUUUAAUUUAAAUAUUUAAUUAUAAUUUUUUAUAUGUUUUUUCAUUUUAGAUGUCCUUAUUCUUUUAAAUUUUAAUUUUUUUUUAUUAAAAUUCUAUUUGCUUUCAAUAAAGUUUGUCAAGGUAAGAGACACUCCGAAGCAACCUGUGGUUCAACGACAAAAAUAUUAAAUCACAUUGCUUUUAAAAUAUUUUAUAUUUCAGUCGUUUGCGGCAUUAACAAUGAAGUUACUGAUUGAAACAUUGGUCCACCACCCUCAUGUCAAUGAUGAAGAAUUGUAGGGUUCUUGGUUAUUUCUUCUGGUCGAGAAGUCUGUGCCUUGUACAAAUCUAUCGCGGCAUGAAAGAUGUACGUAUUAUAGCGUAGAAAUUAAUGGCAAAGAGAAGAGAUGAAAGAAGAAGGACCUUCAAAAUAAUAUUAUUACAUUUGGUGUUAUAAAUAAUAUGAUUUUUAUAAUAAUUCAAAUUAAUGGCGAAGGGAAGAGAUGAAAGAAGAAGGAUGAAUGCAAACCUAUCCAUCAAAAUCCUUCUAUCCUCCCUGCAAUUCCUUCCAAAUUAUGUGCUACAAUGAUUUUCUUCGCGAUUGAAGUAAGUUAGACUGGAUUGCCUAAAUAUGAUGAAUAAAGGGUUGGAUUUGCAAAAUUAUUUACACAGUUUAAUUUGUUGAUUUGAUACAUCUCAAUCUGUGAAUUAACAGAAAAGAAGAAGAAGAAGAAGCUAGUACUAAACCAAUAAGUUCACACAUAAUCCAUGAACAUAUCUCAUAGGUCACAACAUUUUCCUUCAUUACUGCUCACUAAUAUGCUACUACUGAAAACAGUAACUUAACAAUGGUCUAUAGGGUCUUUUCUAGGUGUUUUAGGGUGAUUUGUAGGGGUUUUUGGUGGCCAUGAAUUAACUUAACAAGGUCUCUAGGGUCUUUUCUAGAUGUUUUGGGUAAAAAAUAGAUUGAAAAUUAGUUUUUAGAUAAAAAAACAAAAGACCGUACUUUUUCAAUCACCACAAUGGCUGAAUUCUGGGUUGCGUAGAGGAUGCGUUAUUUUUCCAGCCCCUUACGUACAAUUUUUUUAAAAAAUAAAGUCUCGCGCACUAACCAUUGCUUUAUUGGGUAAGACGUUGGCCUUCGCUUGCUAGGCCUAACAACACCUGGCCUGAUUUUUUUUUUUAAUUUUUUUAAUUUUUAAUUUUCCUUUUUAAAUAAAUCAUUAUUUGUGUGUAUUUUAUAAAAUAAAUUUUGGGUUUAUAUUUUAAUUAUAUUGUGAUUAUUUUUAAAUGAUAUUUGAUGUGUUUAAUUUUUAAAGGGAUAGAUAUAAUUCAUGUUAUUAUUUAAAUUAACCAAAGUGAAUUGAACUCAAUAGAGCCAAUUCCCUAUAUAUUAUAUAUUUUAAGUAUUUAUUUUUUUUUCAAUAUUUUUAUGCUAAAACAAAUAAACCUUAGCGUUUAGCGUUAUAGCAUAUCGCAGCUAGUAUUACCUGUACACAUAUCAUCUUAUCCCAUCCCAUGUCAUAUACUCAUUAAAAUAAUUUGUUGUCAAUUAUUUUAUAUUUCAGUGUUUUGUUGCUGAUUGAAACAUCGGUCCACACUCUUAGUUUCUUUCAUGGCAAAGACUUUUCCCCCAUGCGCCCUCAGGUCAACGAUUAAGAAUAUUUGUAGGGUUAUUUCUUCUUGUCGAGAAGCUUGUGCCUUGUAGCAAUCUAUCACGGGGUGCUUGUCAAGAAAGAUGUCCAUAUUAAAGGGUAGAAGUGGUAAAUAAAAGAGAUGACAGAAGGAGGAUGGACGCACAUGAUAUCUCUAGGAAUUCUAUUUACAAUGCUUGAUAGUCAACUUCUUUUCACGGUUAAAAAGAUUAAAGAAUUCUUAUUAUUAAUAAUUUUUUACUCUUUAAAUAAAAAAAUAAAAAAUUAUUUUAGAUUAAUUUCUUAUUUAUUCAUAAUUUGUUUAAAUUAUAUUAAAGAAAACAAAUUUGAACAAAACACCUUUUCAUUUAUGCAAGAUACAUAAAAAAAACUCAUCUAUAAAAAAUGACUGCCGAGUUUAUGUGUACUGUCAAGUUCAAGUAUAUUAAAUAAAUAAAUAAACAAAUAAAAUAACUUCUCAGUUACAUUGAUUUUCUUCGUAAUUGAAGGAGGUUAGGCUGGAUUGCCUGAAUAUGAUGAAUAAUGGGUUGGAUUUGGAAAAUUAUCUAUAAAAAAUGACUGCCAAGCUUAAUUUGUUGAUCUGAUACAUCUCAAUCUGUGAAUUGACACUGCUUUAGUAAUUACGAACUUAGAAGGUAAAUUGACAGAAAAGAAGAAGAAGAAGAAGCUGAAUCCAUGAACCUAACUCACAACAAUUUCCUUCAUUAUUGCUCACUAAUAUGUUAUUACUGAAAAGAGUAAAUUUCUGAUCACUCUAUUUCUGAGAUGGCUGCCAACUCUUGGUGAAGACGUCUCGCUGGCAUGCGGCCUGCGCUGGUUCUCUUAGGGGCAGAGGAGCUAAAAGGAUCAGGAGGCUUUGUUAAGUUUUCUCCUUCCCCUUCAAGCAUCUGGACAACAGUUUUCAUGGAAGGACGCUCUGCUGGGUUCCACUGAAUGCACCAUAGCCCCACAAUUGCUAGUUUCUUCGCAAUUUUAGCAUCUUCUUCUCCAUCGAUAUGAAACCGCAGGUCUUCUUCCUUUUCUAAGAGAUUAUAAAUCCAUUCCGGGAAGUAUAUCUGGUCGCCAUUUUCUGCUGUAUCAUCGACGUUCUUCCUUCCUCCAACCAUUUCCAACACUAACAUCCCAAAGCUGUAAACAUCUGAUUUAUAGGAAACAUUCCCGAAGUUCCUUGAGAACACUUCCGGGGCAAUGUAGCCAACAGUCCCCCUAGCAGUCGUCAUGGAAAUAGCACUUUUAUCCUUGGAACACAGCUUUGCCAUUCCAAAAUCGGCGAUUUUGGGAUUGAAUUCGUUGUCAAGCAGGAUAUUCUGUGGUUUGAUAUCAAAAUGGAGGAUUCUUUGAUCACACCCCUGGUGAAGAUAUUCAAUCCCCUUGGCUAUGCCUAGAGCAACACGAUUCAACCUUUCCCAGCCAAGGAAAUGGUUCCUUGAGUCUGCUGAGGUUAUGAACUUCUGUAAUGAACCAUUUGGCAAGUACUCAUAAACCAGAGCUCGUCUAAAUCCAUCAGCACAGAAACCGAUCAAGCGAACAACAUUGACAUGGUGGAUCCUUGCCAUUGUUCCCACUUCAUUGAUGAAUUCCUCCCCUUUACCUAUGGAAUUAUUGAGGAGCUUCACAGCUACAGCAAUUUCAUUGGUUAGCUUUCCUUUGAACACGGUUCCAUAAGCUCCUUGGCCCAAUUCAUCACCGAAUUGAUUUGUGAUCCUCUUGAGAUCAGCGUAGGAGUACCUAGUGGGAUUCAGUGAUCUGUAAUCAUCCAAAAACAUUUCAACCCUGGCUUGAUAUUCUCUUUGUAUUUUAUCGUUGCUAUAGGCGCGGUAGAGUGCAAUAAUCACUAUUGCAAAAAGGAAGAAUCCUAAAAUCACACCUGCAUAUCAACAUUCUGAGUCAGGAAACUCUUUUUUUUUUUUUUGGGAAGUGAUGUAUUGAACCAAGUGUAAAAUUGAGAUGGAGAUUUGAGCAGACUACUAACCAGCAAUCCGUAGCUUUCGCCGCACAUCAACAUUCUGAUGGAGAUCUGUAAGGGAUUGAAUACUUAUUAGUUAGGCAAUUGGUAAAAUCAUGAAAGCAACAAAAACGAAAAGAGUUUCUAGUGUUUUGUUAUUUACAUAUUCAAAUGCCAAUUAUUAAUUUGAAAAAAGGAAGAAAGAUAGAAAAGCAUACCUUUAGUGUGCGGAAGAAUGCUGUAGCAUUCAGUUUCAGAAGAUCCACAAGUUGGAUUAGACCAAGACAUAGUAAGAACAUAAUUUUCUGCAUGCAACAUCCUAUGUGGAAUUCCAUAAAUGUUGUGCAUCUUGGUACAAGAUAAGAAACCAGAGUAACUGGUGGGAAUACUUGAGUCAACGGCAUAAACUUCAUGGUUAAAAAUACUCAGACAUGGGAUUUUACGUGUGAACGGAGACCGCCCCUCUCUAGAAGGUGAACAAUUGAACAAGGUCCAAUCACCCUCUUCAUUGGUUAGCUUUCCUUUGAACACGGUUCCAUAAGCUCCUUGGCCCAAUUCAUCACCGAAUUGAUUUGUGAUCCUCUUGAGAUCAGCGUAGGAGUACCUAGUGGGAUUCAGUGAUCUGUAAUCAUCCAAAAACAUUUCAACCCUGGCUUGAUAUUCUCUGUGUGUUUUAUCGUUGCUAUACGCGCGGUAGAGUGCAGUAAUCACUAUUGCAAAAAGGAAGAAUCCUAAAAUCACACCUGAAUAUAAACAUUCUGAGUCAGGAAACUCUUUUUUUUUUUGGGGAAGUAAUGUAUGGAACCAAGUGUAAAAUUGAGAGGAGAUUUGAGCAGACUACAAACCAGCAAUCAGUAGCUUUCGCCGCACAUCUGUAAAGGAUUGAAUGCUUAUUAGCUUCUCCCUUUUAGGCAAUUAGUAAAAUCAUGAAAGCAACAAAAACGGAAAGAGUUUCUUUAUUAAUUUGAAAAACCCUUAUUGUUUUUUUAUUUACGUAUUCAAAUGCCAAUUAUUAAUUUGAAAAAAGGAAGAAAGAUAGAAAAGCAUACCUUUAGUGUGCGGAAGAAUGCUGUAGCAUUCAGCUUCAGAAGAUCCACAAGUUGGAUUGGACCAAGACAUAGUAAGAACAGAAUUUUCUGCAAGCAACACACUAUGUGGAAUUUCAUAAAUGUUGUACAUCUUGGUACAAGAUAACAAAUCAGAGUAACUGAUGGGAAUACUUAAGUCAACGGCAUAAACUUCAUGCUUAAAAGUACUCAGACAUGGGAUUUUAUCCAUGUACGAAGGAGACCUUUUCUUACUAGAAAGUGAACAAUUGAACAAGGUCCAAUCAUACAGCCAAUCGUUCAUAAUUUCGAAGUGAGAAGCCCCUAAACUGAACUUUAAACUUUGCCUUGGAAAGCAACCUUGAGGAUCCCUUGCAUAAAUGAGUUGAUGUCCAUAGUCAAUUCCUUCGAUGUGGAGACUCAAUCCAGUUGGCAGAUUAAGCACUGUGCUGUUGUCCUCUGAGCAGGAUAGAUCAAACCCAGGAUAGCCACAGUGGUCUGGUUGUUUGUCCUUGAUUCGGAAAGGAAAUCGGAUGUCAGGGCCAGGGUUUCCACAUGAUCCUGUGCAGUUCAAGCUUGCUCCAUGGCCUGCAAGGAAGACAAUGAAAAAGAAGAACAAAAACGUAACCAUUUCUGAUGAAUAAUUCAUCAUCUCGACACUCCUCCACGAUUUUAUCUGCAUGUGCUGAUAUAGUUUAGGCCUUUCAGAAAACUCAUGUAGUCCUUAGAUGGGCGAGUACUGUAGUACACGCGUCCUUGCAUGAGAAUUUAUUUACUCCAUCGAUCUAGUGUGAUGCUCCUCCCUUUGACAUUCCUCCAAUCACAAACAUGUGGGAUCCAAUUAUUCCGUUUUAUUUAGGGGUGAGCAUUAUUUCAAACGGUUUGGUUUGGAUAAAAAAAUGUAUAUAACCGAAGUUUUUUUAAAAAAAAUAUUUAGUUCAAACGGUUUGGUUUGGAUAAAAAAAUAUAUAACAGAACCAAUUUUUGUUAAUUGUUUUUUGAAUUGAAUCAAAUAAAAGAACCAAAUUAAUUGGUAUUUUUUUUUUUUUUGAGUUAAUGGACCUUUAGUUGUGCAAUUUUGACAAGUUCUAGGGGCACUUGUUUAUAAGUUUGUCAUAACUAAAUAAGAAUCUACUCCAAACAAAUUAAAUAGAUGAUUGUUUUUUUUUGUAAAAUAUUUAGUUCAAACGGUUUGGUUUUUUGAAUUGAAUCAAAUAAAAGAACUAAAUUAAUUGGUAAAUGUUUUUUUUUUUUAGUUAAUGGACCUUUGGUUGAGCAAUUUUUACAAGUUUUAGGGGCACUUGUUUACACCGCCUCAUCAUAUUUUAUAAAAAAAAUAUUUUUUUAAAAUUAAGUUUUUGUGUUUCUUGAUUGUUUUAAUUUGUUAAUAUUACAAAUAAAUUUAAAAAAAUAAAAAAAUUAUUUUGAUACAUUUCUAAGUAAAAAACACUUUGAAAAACAAUCACUACCACAAUACUAAACACUACCUAAUUUAAUGAGUUUUGAGCUUAUAACAUACCUUUAGUUUCUAAUAAUUUUUUUUUUAUUUGGUUUGGAUUGAUUUUUAAAAAAGCUUUAAAAUUGAAUUACUCAACUGAAACGUUUUUAAUUUUUCUAACAAAAAAAAUUAAAAAUUCAAAAAACUCGUCCAAAAACACUUUAAUUCCGUUCAUUCUCACUCGUCAUUGAAAGGAGGGUGGUUGAAAGUCUUGCUAUGUGAAACUUCGAGUGACGGACCAAUGUUUCCAACAAUGACUCAAGUGUCUAUGAAGGAAACGAAAAUAAUGGGGCUUUGACAAGUUCUUUAACCUCUCAAGCAGUUUGUCUACUUGGCCAACUCGCUAUCAGUUGAGAAGGGAGGAAAGAAAAGUGAAGGGCUCUUUCCUGUUGUCUUGCUCGAGAUACCAACGAAAUGGUCCAUAUAUAUUUUUGUCAUUAGACUAGAGGAGGUUACACGAGAUUGUAGCUCUCCUACGCGAAACUUCGCAUGAGGACCCAUUCAUUUAUUUUAUGUUAUUGGGACAAUUGUAUAUUUAUAAGACGCGACACUAGAGUUGACUUGGCUAAAAGUAUGUGUUAAUACAAUUUUAAAAUAAAAUGUAUUAUUUUUUUAUAUUUUUUAGAUCUGAUUUAUAUUAUUUUAAUUAUUAUUUAUUUUAUCUGAAAUAAUUUAUGAAAUUAUAUUUUUUUUCAAUUUCAUUCUCAUUUAAAUUUUUAAUAAACCUGAGAAAAAUAAAAUAUUAAUAAGUUAAUUUUCAAUUCAUUUUCCAUGACAUAACCAAAACUGGAAAGUGUUUUCUAACUUAUUUUCUAUUACACUAUCAAACAUCAAAAAAUAAUUCACUUUCCAGAAAAAAAACUACUUUCCAGCAAACAAACGAAGCCUAAAUGAAUACAAUAUUAAGAUUAAGAGUCAUAUUGUCUUAAAACAUCUAAUGUAUUCUACAUUUUAUAUUAUAAACUUAUCUUAUAAUUUUGAAAAUGAUUUAGCCAUAAUAACAUCUAUACAUAUAUAUAAUACCUCCAUUACAUACUACACAUCUUCUAUUUGAUUUUUACACCACAAAGGUUUUCAAAGAAAAUAAAGACAUAUAAAUGUUACAUUUUAAAAUGAUAAUUCAUAAACAAAAAAAUCCUACAUCUAACAAUCUGCAUCACCUCGUGGUGUACGUAUUUCAACAAUAACCACAUUAAUUAAUUUACUCAAUAUCUUAGUCAUAUAUUAAUUAUUUUAAUCUUAACCUUUAAAAUUUAAUAUUUCUAACUUCAAUCAAUUAGUCUACAUAAUCUUUUCAAAACUUAAAUAUCCAGCUAACUCAUCUCGAUUACCAAUAAUUCUAACACUUUCAUAUAAUUACCCAUAAAUUUGGUUAUUCUUCCUCGGUUACCAAUAAAUCCGAUAAUUCCAUCUAAAUUACCCAUCAUCUAGCAAACCAGUUUUGUUAGCCAAUCAAUCUGGUAAUUCCAUAUGAAUUACCCCAUAUUCGGUUAACCUCUUUGUUAACCAAUAAACCGGGUAAUUCUCUUACUUAUCCAAGAAAUUCGGGUAACUUAUUUUGGUUGCCAAAAUCAAUCUGAUAAUUCCAUAUGAAUUACCCAGCAUCCGACUAACUUUUUUGUUAGCCAAUCAAUAAUUCCGGUACUUUCACAUAAAUUACAAAUAAUCACUCAAUUUAUUCAUUUGCUUCAUUCUUUUAACACCAAUUAAAUAAACAAUAUGUGGUUGUAUGUGAAAUGAUGAUGUUAUGUUUGAGAAUGACUUUUUAUCAGAACGAAUAAAAAAAAAAUUACAUGCUUUGCAUUUCGGCACGUAAGAAAAAUAUUAAUGAACUAAUGAUAUAAUGACAUUUGAUUGAUUUAAGAGUUGUGUCUGGAGCUGCUUAUCAGACAAAAGGAGCUGGGUCAUCACGAGCAGAAGGUAGGCGAUUCGUCACCUUAUUUUGUAAUUAUUAGUUUUCCUUAAAUAUUUAUGUUGUUUAUUUAAUUAAUGUUAAAAGAAUGAAGCAAAUGAAUAAAUUGAGUGAUUAUUACUAAUGAGAAUUAUUGGAAAUUUAUAUGAAAUUACCGGAAUUAUGUGAAAGACCGCUUCAACUUUUUUAACCUGGUUGCUCUGUUUCAACUAAUCGACCUGUUCAACUAAUUUCUAGAACUCAGUUUACUUUCAACAUUUUCACUAUCUUUCCCUUACAACCGAAGGAAGCAUACCUUGGAAUAUCUCAUGGAUUUGGACUGGAUUGGGUGUUUUGUUUUUCGAAGAGAUGCUCCAAGAAAAAUAUCAGGCUCGCUGGAUGUCGUUAUUUGUGGUAUUGACAGUUGAUGACUUUUUUUUUUUUUUACUUUUCAAAGUUAAUGAUUCUGACAUUUCGAAGGAGGUGGGAAAUUAUCUUCGUCUGUGAAGUAGUGCUGAAUACUGGAUCAAUAACUCACUGUCUGCUUUGCUACUAUUCCUAUCCGAUGACUCUGACAUUUUCAUUGCAUUAUCAGUAGCUUCCACUCCGAAAUUCAAUAGUUUUUGUUGGAGAAAAAAGAAAAGGAAAAAAGAAGAAUAGUUUAUGCAAAAUUGCGUAUACACUGUGUAUCACUUCAGCCUUCCCCAUGUUUAGAGGAAUGAACGUCCUUUUUGCUUGCUACAUAGCUUUUCUUUUACAGCUAUUAGUCUUCCAAACUUGCCAUUCUAUCAGCAGUUUGUGCAAAAAUUGCGUAUACACUGCUCCUUGUGCUCCUUCUUCAUGCGGAAACACUGAUCCACAAAGCUGCGGAAACAAUAACUAUUCUCUGACUUGCGAGAACAAUAUUUCUACAGUAUUAUAUUUGUAUUCAGGUAAAUACUACGUGCAGGCAAUCAACUAUGGUAACUACACAAUCCGAGUGGUAGAUGCUGGUGUACAAGAUUAUUGCUGCUCCAUCCCUCGUUAUUCUUUGGCACCUGAUGACUUCAGUGACGGAGAUCCAUACACAUGGUAUAACUACAAGCAGGUGCCGCCGCCGGUAGUGAGUGAAGGUUUCGUGGAUUAUUGGGGGCACCGGUACUUACCUCCACUAUCACAGCCUAUGAUUUUCAUGAGCUGUGAAAAUACGGUGAAUUCUCCUUUUUAUGUGGACACGGCUCCCUACGGCCUUAACUAUGGAUCAGGAAAUUAUUCCAACUCUUCUCUUGUGACUCAUUCGAAUUAUGUGACUCUUCGGGGCAUGACUGCCUCGGAUUUGAUGGAACUGUGCACCAUAGAGAAAAUAUUUUUUCUUCCAAAGAAGAACUACACAGACAAUUACUCCUUUGAAGAAAUACACAGUGACCUGGCAUAUGGGUUUGAGCUUUCAUGGUACAACAUCAACUGUGAAAAUUGCACAAGGGGUUGCUACAUCAACAGCUCAGACCAUCGUCAAUGCAUUGACACAAUAUCUCAUGGUACAACAUCUACUGCAUGUAACACUUGAUGAUUAAGUUGCGUCAGAUUUGAUUCAUAAGACUAUAAAUAACUUGUGAUUUGAGGUGGUUUCAUAUAUUUUCUCUGGCUUACUUUUCAAUUUUCAUUUUUUUCUGCGCAUUAGCACAAUAUUGCACUGUCCCCAGAAGUUGUGCAUCCAUUACCUGUGGAUUCUACUAUAGUGGACUGAUCAUAAGAUUCAUUCAUGUUCAUAUUGUAAAAUAUUCUGACUAUAAUGUGGUUUAAGGUAGUUGGACAGAUUCAUUGGUCUUUUGCAAUUUCAGGAUUGACACAGUGAAACGUUUGGUUCAUCUUAACUUGAACAUGGAUACACAUUAAUUAGUUCAAGUCACAUUAUUAAAUUGUGUGCGCUCUUUUCUUUUUCUUUUGCAUUUACUAUUGCGUAUACCAUUAGAACUCGUUUCUUAACCUGAAGCUUCAACAGAUAAUUUUGACACAGUGAAACGUUUGGUUCAUCUUAACUUGACCAUGGAUACACAUUAAUUAGUUCAAGUCACUAUUAAUUAAUUGUUGUGUGCUCUUAUCUUUUCUUUCGCAUUAACUGUUGCGUAUACCAUUAGAACUCUUUUAAACCUAAAUUCUCGACAGAUUUGGUGAAAGCUUCUGGAAAACACACUCGACGCCAGUGAUAGGUGCGAAUUCUCUUUCUGCAUCUCACCUUGUUUGUGUAUUCUUAAGUGUUUCUUCAAACGACUUAUUUGUGAAAUAAGGAUUGUUGUUUCUUGAAUAGUAAUUGUAAUUUGUUCACCAUUUUCUGCAGCUCCCCUCCUCCAUAUAUCAUUUUAUUUGGUAAAGAUUCCAUCAUUUCUUUAGUUCGCAACAAAUUUCUAGUGGAGACAACAAAUAAGAUCACAAAACUUGAUUGUUUUCUGGAAAUUUCCUACACAGCACUGCUUCAUGGGCUAAAGUGUGUGGGACUCCAUGUGUGAUUAUAUUUUUGAUCUACAAAUGGCGAAGGAGACAUUUAUCAGCAUACGAUACAGUUGAACAAUUCCUACAGGUCAGAAUAACCUCAUGCCAGUAAGGUAUUCCUACUCAGAUAUCAAGAGUUACUAGAGGUUUCAAGGAGAAAUUAGGUGAAGGAGGCUUUGGUACAGUUUACAAAGGAAAGCUUCGCAAUGGCGUUUUGCAGCAGUAAAAUGUUGGAAAAUCAAAAGCUAAUGGACAGGAUUUCAUAAAUGAAGUUGCUACCAUAGGAAGGAUUCACCAUACUAACGUGGUGCAGCUAAUCGGUUUUUGCGCUGAAGGAUCAAAGCGAGCUCUUGUAUAUGAUUUCAUGCCUAAUGGAUCUCUUGAUAGAUACUUGUUUUCUCGAGAAGGAUCAAUCUCUUUAAGCUGGCAAAAACUGCAUCAGAUUUCCCUUGGAGUGGCUCGUGGUAUCGACUAUCUUCAUUUAGGUUGUGACAUGCAAAUACUUCAUUUUGAUAUCAAACCUCACAACAUUCUUCUCGACGAAAAUUUCACUCCAAAAGUUUCUGACUUCGGGCUCGCUAGGUUGUACCCCACUAAUGGCAGCAUAACAUCUCUUACUGCAGCAAGGGGCACCAUAGGAUACAUGGCUCUUGAACUGUUCUACAAAAACAUUGGACGUGUCUCCUAUAAAGCUGAUGUUUAUAGCUUUGGAAUGCUGCUAUUGGAAAUGGCAGGCAAAAGGAAGAAUGUAAACGCAUUGGCAGAAAAUUCAAGUCAAAUCUACUGGCCAUAUUGGGUUCAUGACCAAGUAUCUGAUGGAAAGGCCAUAGAAAUCGGAGAUGAUGCCACGGAUGAAGAACGUAAGAUCGUCAAGAAGAUGAUUAUGGUUGGAUUGUGGUGUAUACAAAUGAAACCCAUGGAGCGGCCUACAAUGAAGAAUGUUGUGGAGAUGCUUGAAGGAGAUUUGGAAAACUUGCAAUUGCCACCUAAGCCUGUCUUCAAUCUAGAUGUGACGCCACCAAACAUUGAAGGAGAGUCAUCAUCGUUGUCAGGGGAUUCUACCGAAUCAACCAGUUUGGUUGAAAAUGCAUACUAAGUGAUAUGAUGUGGAAUGCUCUGCUUACAUGCAGGGAAAGUGAUAGAAUAAUGGUGCUUUCGGACUUGGUUGUGAUGAUUUAGUCCGCAAACAUUAUGAUAAUUUGCAAUACUUGCUUUUAUCUGAUUUGUGUUUAGCUAAUUUAGAGUUCAAGCUGCGGCUUGUUUCUUCGGUGUGGUCUAUAUAUUAAUCAUGAUACAAAGAUGUUCUGUAUUGUGUUUAACUAUCAGAUUUCCACUCUCUAUGGCAAUCAUAGCAGUUAGCGAGGAUGGUACAUCCUCCAUGAUAACUGUUAAUUACAUGUUCUACAUAUUAAUUAUCGUAUUUGUCUCCAGCAGAGUAAUAUUUUGGCUGCAAAUUAACAAGAGACUGUCAUAGGGAUUAUAUAAACAAGUUGAUGCAUGAAAAGACGAGUCUCUAUUUAUAGGUAGCCACUACAAGUAGCUUCGGAGAUAGAAAAUAGCGAUUUAUUUGCUAUCAUAGGGAUGAUUCUGAACAGAAGGGCUUAAUUUCAUUUUCUUCCACCAACAAUGCCUUCUUGUCAAUGUUCAGCCCCAUGAUAAUCGAUCAUGCAUAAGCCACGAGGAACCAAUCACAACAAAACAGGAUUGAAAACCAUGACCAUAACGGGUGCUGUGAAAUGAAUAUUGAAACAGAUGGGUGAAUUUGAUGCAGAAAAGUAGAGAGGAGACAAUGAAGCUUAAUUACCGGUCUUGGCAUUUCACCAGAGAGCUCUGCUUCUAACUGUGAAAUGCGUCUCCUGUGUUCAACAAACUUUCAGGAUCUACUUCAAUUUUCUUAAGAGAAUGGGAAAUAGUGACAAUCAAUUUACACCCAUUUGUUCUACGAGAUAUUCCCACUUUCUCAGGAUGAAAAUCAUCCCACAAAUCAUCAAGAAUGAUGACACGGUUUUGUAUCACACUCAAUGCUGUCCAUAGCUCCCCAGCUCUACUCGUCACAUCUUUUCCUUUCGGAAGACAUAAACCAAAAGCUUCGGCAAUGAGAUCCUGCGAUGCAUGAAUGCUAAAUUCUUGUGACAUAGCAAUCCAACAACAAACAUGAAAAAAAGUUGUGUUUCCCACUCCUCCCAUCCUGUAAAUGCCAACGCAUGAGACCUCACCACUCAACAACCAAGACCAGACAUCCUUCAUGUUUCUUUCAAUAGCUUGACCCUCUAGCUUCGUUGUCGGGAAUACAUAUCUUUUAGUCCUACGUCGCUUAUGUACAGGCCUUUAGAAUAGCUUACCGUGCCAAUUCUCAAGUCACGUUCUCUAUAUAAACUCUUAACAAAACAUCCCUCGUUGAUGAGGAUGAGAUGUUAUUCAAGAUCAUUUCAAAUGCCUGACAUGUUUUCUCUGUUCUCUGUCUAGUCUCGGGUUCAUCUGGCAUAAGUACAGCAUGAGCUCUAGGUUCCUCAACAAUCCCAGUCUCCCCCCUGAUCCAGAUAUCCAUCCAUCUUAGGCUCUCAUCAAAAAGAGGAGGUUCUUCUUGUUCCAUUUCUAAAGCUGCAUUAAUUGCCUCGUUAUUGCUUGAACUUGGCACGCUCCUAUCCACAGGCCUGUUAGAAGAGCUUCCUCUCUCAGCAACAGACUGCAUCAAUUCCCAAGUCAUGUUCUCUAUACCAUUGCUCGACUCAACAAUAUCCUUCAUCAAGGAAGAUGAGAUGUUAUUCACAUCCAUUUCAAAUGCUUGACCUGCCAGCUCUGUUCCCAAUCCAGUCUCAGGUGCAUCAGGCAUAAGUAUGCUAGGAACCAUGGUCUCUUCAGUAAACACAAUCUCUCCCCCAAUCAUCCUAUCCAUCCGCGCCAAUCCAUCAUCCAAUAGAGGUUGUCCUUCUUUACUGUGGACAGCACGCCAACAUUGCAAACGAUGAGAAAGAGCACGAUCCACAGAUGGAGAGAAAGCAAUAGGCCAAGAAAAGAGAAAGCAGUAGAGUUGACCUGGAGAGCAGUAUGUUCACAGAUGGAGACGGUUGAGAAUGAGACUAACGAACAACCUUUAAGUUAAAUUUUUUUUAUAUAUGUAUAGUAUUCAUUAUCGGUUCUUUUAAUUAUACUCAAAUCCGACUCGAACAAUAACUGUUUAUAAAACAUUUAAUUCAUUCGGAUUGGUUUUGUAGAGUAUUUAUCAGUUGAGGUGAAACUGUAAUCUGUACCUUCAGAUGUUAGAAAGAUAUGUCGUUUUCAGCAGGAAAUGUUUGUUGGGUUAUUUCCAGAACUCAAUCACACAUAAUUUACGUGGUUCGGCAACUUGCCUACUCCACGGAGCUACUGGUUUGUAUUAAUGAAGCUUUACAAACAAUACAAACAACAAUACAAGGAGGAGGAGAAAAUCUUCUCAACUCAACUCAACUCUCCUUAGCUCUCUCUCUGUUUUCUCUCUGUGUUUCUCUCUGUAUUCGUAUUACACAGGCUCUCCUUGGCAGCCUCUUCUUAUAGCAGAGGUAGGAGAUAAUUAUCUCCAACUUUGGUCAAAUAUGGCAACCACCGAUAUUGCCACCUUGCAGCCACUGCCCACCGUCCUUGCCGCCAUCUUUGACGCCGCCAGCAGCCAUUGUUGACGCCGUCAUGCAGCCAGCUUGUGUCCAUACAUAACAAUCUCCCACUUGGACACAAAUGGCUUUAUAUCCAUCUUUUAGUCUUGGAGGCCUACUGAAGCUUUACACAGCUUCAGUUUAUCAAGAGUAACACCUUUGGUUAACAUAUCAGCUGGAUUCUUGCUUCCACAGAUCUUCUCUAGCAUUAGUUGCUCGUCGUCUAGCAAUUGUCGGAUGAAGUGAUAUUUGAUCUGAAUAUGCUUCGUCCUGGAGUGAAAUGCUGGAUUCUUGGCAAGGAAGAUUGCACUCUGACUAUCGCUAUACAAAGUACCUUUUCCAUUCAACUUGCCCAAUUCCUUUAGGAAACUCUGCAACCAUACUAUCUCUUUUGCAGAUUCCGAGACUGCAACAUAUUCAGCUUCUGUUGUUGAAAGAGCACGAUCUUUUGCAAGGUAGAACUCCAGGAAACAGCAGUACCUCCUAGAGUGUAUACAUAUCCUGUAGUGCUCUUUCUGCUAUCAAUAUCUCCUGCUAGAUCAGCAUCUACAAAACCUUCAAGUUUCAAACCACCAGCUGUGAAACUGAGACAAGUUUCCGAUGAACCUUUUAAGUACCUCAUGAUCCAUUUCACCGCCUCCCAAUGCUGCUUUCCAGGAUUGCUCAUAUAUCGGCUUACAACUCCCACUGCAUGGGCAAUGUCUGGUCUGGUACAGACCAUAGCAUACAUCAAAGAGCCGAUAGCUGAGGCGUAUGGAAUCUUAUCCAUGUAUCCACUUUCUAGCUCAGUUUUGGUGACUGAUCUUUGCUGAGCUUGAAAUGAUUCCCCAGUGGUGUACUUACUGGUUUAGCAUUAUCCAUACUAAACCUGCUGAGAACCUUCUUGACAUACUCUGUUUGUGAGAGCUUUAGUAUGCCUUUGUCUUUAUCUCUGAUGAUUCUCAUUCCAAGUAUUUGUUUAGCAGCUCCCAGAUCCUUCAUUUCAAACUGUUUCGACAACUGCUGUUUCAGCUUAUCAAUCUCCUCAAUGCUGGAUCCUGCAAUCAACAUAUCAUCUACAUAUAAUAGUAGAAUGAUGUAGGAGUUGUCAAAAUGUUUGACAUAGCAACAAUGAUCAGCUUGACAUCUUGUAUACCCGGAACUGCACAUGAAGUUGUCAAACUUCUUGUACCACUGUCUUGGAGCUUGCUUCAAACCGUAUAGGCUUUUCUGUAGCUUGCAGACUUGAUUCUCCUUUCCUUGCAUUGCAAACCCCUCUGGUGUUGCAUGUAAAUAUCUUCCUCCAAGUCACCAUGAAGGAAUGCUGUUUUUACAUCUAACUGUUCAAGAUGUAAAUUUUCUGCAGCUACUAUCCCCAGAACAACUCUGAUUGUUGUGAGCUUCACAACUGGAGAAAAAAUCUCAGAGUAGUCAAUGCCUUUCUUUUGUUGAAACCCUUUGACAACAAGUCUUGCCUUGAACCGUUUGCUUCCGUCAUGCUCAGUCUUCACUCUGUAAACCCACUUAUUUGCAAGGCCUUCUUUCCUUCAGGUAAUGUUGUUAGCUCCCAAGUCUUGUUCUUCAGCAACGAACUCAUCUCAUCCUUCAUGGCUAACUCCCACUUGCUUGAGUUUCCAUCUUGUAAGGAUUCUUCAUAAGUUAGCGGUUCACCACCAUCUGUCAGCAAAAUAUAAUUCAGUAAAAGUGUGAACCGUUGCGGGGGCUUUAUCGUCCUCGAAGACCUGCGAACAGCUGGUUCAAUUGCUCCGCAUCUUCUUGUGUGGUAGUGGGCACAGAUGUGCUUGAAUCUUCUUGUAAAGACUCUUGAUUGUUGUUCUGCUUAGUAACAUCGGGAAGCCCUUCUAAUCUUAUGAAUUCAGAUCUUUGUGGACUUGUAUCUGAAUCAGCCAUCUCUGUUUCUCCACUUGAUCUGUCUUUGUACAUAACUUUCUCAUUGAAGAUCACGUUCCUGCUUCUGAUAAUCUUUCUAUUCUGAUCAUCCCAGAACCGAAAUCCAAAUUCUUCAUCUCCAUAGCCAAUGAAGAAACAUUUCUUGGAUUUGGCUUCUAACUUGUUGCGAGCAUCAGAAUCUAUAUGAACAUAGGAAACACACCAAAGACCUUCAAAUGAGAGAUUCGUACCUCUUUUCCUCUCCAUACUUCCUCGGGCAGUCUGAAUUCCAAAGGAACUGAUGGUCCACGGUUGAUCAAGUAAACUGCGGUAUGAACUGCGUCAGCCCAGAAUGUUUGAGGUAACCCUGAAUGCAACCUCAUGCUUCUAGCUCGUUCAUUGAUGGUCCUGUUCAUCCGUUCAGCAACGCCAUUCUGUUGCGGUGUGCCUGGAACGGUCUUUUCCAUUCUGAUACCAUUGACAGCACAAUACUCCUUGAAACCUCCAUCAAUGUAUUCUCCUCCAUUAUCAGAUCUCAAGCAUUUCAACUUUAGACCUGAUUCAGUCUCAACCAUAGCCUUCCAUUUCUUGAAUGUUUCAAACACAUCAGAUUUAUUUUUCAGAAAGUAAACCCAUACCUUCCUGCUGAAAUCAUCAAUGAAAGUCACAUAAUACCGAGAACCUCCAAGAGAUGCUACUGGAGACGGUCCCCAUAAAUCUGUGUGUACCAGUUCUAGCUUUCUUGGUCGUAAGGUCCUGCCAACCUUCAAGAAACUGACCUUCUUCUGUUUUCCAAGAACACAGCUUUCACAAAUGUCUAGAUCGACAUUUUUUAACUCUGGCAGCUUUCCCUUCGACUGAAGUAUCUUCAUCCCCUUUUGACUCAUAUGGCCAAGUCUACAAUGCCAUAGCUGUGCUUGAUUUUCUGCUUCAGUUGAGGCAAUGAUGUCUGCAAAUCUUGUGGUCAUAUACAGGGUGCCGGUUUUCUUUCCACGAGCUAAAACCAUUGCUCCCUUUGAUACUUUCCACAUUCCUCCAGCAAAAAGUAUUGAAUGACCACUAUCAUCAAGUUGUCCGACAGAGAUCAACUUCUUCUUUAAUUCAGGAACAUGCCUUACAUUCUGCAAGGUCCAUAUAGAUCCAUUCAUUGUCUUGAUUUGCACAUCUCCUAUACCCACAAUAUUCAGUGGUGUUCCAUCGGCCAGAUAGACUACACCAUGAUCUCCUCCAACAUAAUUUUGCAGCAUUUCAUUGUGUGGCGUACAGUGGAAUGAAGCACCAGAAUCAAGAAUCCACUCAUCAAUUUGACUAUGUACAGCAAGAAUUAAAGCAUCUUGUACCUCAUCUGUGGUAGCAUUUGCAGAGUCAGCUUCAGGUUUCUUCGGUUUUGUGCAAUUCCUACUGAAAUGACCAGGUUUGCCACAAUUCCAACAUUCAACCUGCUUUCUGGAUCCAAACUUGCUUUUACUUCUGUAUCUGGAUUUUGAUCUGCCUCUGGAUGAGCCUCUAUCGUGUCUCCUCCCUCGAGUGUUGAUGUUGAGAGCUGAUCCUGAGCUUGAACUUUCACCCGAGUCUUUCCUUCGCACUUCUUCAGCCAAAAUCAAGUCUCGAAUGUCAUCAUACUUCAGUUUGGAUUUUCCAGCUGAAUUGCUCACGGCUGUCCUCAUGCCUUCCCAACUGCUUGGAAGUGAAGCUAGCAAGAUGAGUGCACGAAUCUCAUCAUCAAACUCAAUCGCAACAGAUGAUAAUUGAUUUGUGAUGGUAUUAAAGUUGUUGAGGUGUUGUGUCACAGAAGCGUUUUCGACCAUCUUCAAGUUGAACAACUUUUUCAUCAGGUGCACUUUAUUAUUUGCUGAUGGCUUCUCAUACAUCCCAGACAAGGCUUCCAUCAAUUUUGCAGUGGAUUUUUCUUUCGUAACAUUGUGAGCAACUCUUCUUGAUAACGAUAGCCGGAUAAUGCCCAGAACUUGUCUAUCAAGAAGUUGCCAUUCUUCUUCUUCCAUCUUUUCUGGUUUGCUUCCCAAUAAGGGAAGAUGAAGUUUCUUCCCAUAUAAAUAAUCUUCAAUUUGCAUUUUCCAGUAUCCAAAAUCUGUUCCGUCAAAUUUUUCAAUUCCAGCAGCCUUUAUUUCAUCUGCCAUUUUUACUACUUCUCCGAUUCGAAUUUCCCAAAUCUGACCUUACAGAUGUGUCCGGAACGGCCAAAAACCUUGGAAAUGACACUGAGAUCACCCCAAUCGGACUUCGGAUGGCUCAGAUUUUAGCAAUCAAAGUUUUGGAUUAACGGACGGUUCAGAUGCAGCCGCGUGUCAGCCAGAGUACCGCCUGCGUCGCACCGGAUAAAAACUCAGCGCGGUGUAGAUUAAGCCGUGUCAGCAGAUUAGGCCUGAGUCGCACUGGAUCAAACUCCUAACGGUCCUGAUUAAGCCACGUGUCAGCCGAUUAGUAACUGCGUCGCACCGGAUCAAAACUCAACGGUGAUGAUUAGCCACGUGUCAGACGAUUAGACUGUGUCGCACCGGAUCAAAACCCUAAACGGUGAUGAUGUAGCCACGUGUCAGACGAUUAGCGUCUGCGGUGCACUGGAUCAAAACCAGAUGGAUGACGUGGCAGUGACGUGGCAGGAUAACGUGGCCGUUACCGUGACUUGCUGACGUGGCGGGUCAGACCCGACCCGUUUUGCAGAAACCGGGCGAAGAAGGAGCGUGGCGCGCGUACGGCGCGUUGGUGCGCGUGGGCAGUGCUGCGUCGGCGCGUGUGGGCGCGUGCGGGCAUGCAGGACGUCGGUUCUUCGCCGGGUUUUCAACAGUGGAUUCGUCCGGUUGUCCUCUACACGAUGGUAUGUUCAAAAACACGUUUUGAGAACUUUGAUUUUUGAGUUUGGAUCAAACACCCUCUUUUUCAAGAACAAGCUCUGAUACCAGUUGUUGGGUUAUUUCCAGAACUCAAACACACACAAUUUACGUGGUUCGGCAACUUGCCUACUCCACGGAGCUACUGGUUUGUAUUAAUGAAGCUUUACAAACAAUACAAACAACAAUACAAGGAGGAGGAGAAAAUCUUCUCAACUCAACUCAACUCUCCUUAGCUCUCUCUCUGUUUUCUCUCUGUGUUUCUCUCUGUAUUCGUAUUACACAGGCUCUCCUUGGCAGCCUCUUCUUAUAGCAGAGGUAGGAGAUAAUUAUCUCCAACUUUGGUCAAAUAUGGCAACCACCGAUAUUGCCACCUUGCAGCCACUGCCCACCGUCCUUGCCGCCAUCUUUGACGCCGCCAGCAGCCAUUGUUGACGCCGUCAUGCAGCCAGCUUGUGUCCAUACAUAACAAUGUUGUUCAAGUCAUUUUCCCAACCGUCAGAAACUGCUCUGUUGAUCACCCCAUCUUCAUCACUUUCAAAAGAAACAUGAAAUAAUUUAGCCAACUUUGAGUUUCUAUCGUCAAAAUUCACUACAAAGCACUCUUUCCUCUUCUUUUUAUGGCACCAUUGGCUUCCCAGCUGCAAAUUCAAGUUCCCAUUUUUUUUUUAUAUAAAAAAAAAAUCAUUAUUUUUGGCUAAAAACAACAACGUUAAUGACAAUUUAUGUAUAGCUUGACAUAUCUUGCGGAGCAUACAUAAGGACCCUACUUUGCAUUCAGUUGGCUAGACGACAACAGCACAUUACAAGUUAAGAUAAUGCAGCGGCCUCUUAGAAACAAAAGGUUAUGAGCGCGUGAGGGUUUGAUCUUUUAUGUAGACGGCUUCACAAAUUUUGGAUGGAUCUGUAGGACACGCAUAGAUAUAAAAGCAGUCAAGGUUAGUAUUUUAAAAUUAAGAUAUCAAAAGACUUAAUUGUUGAAUUGAAUUCAAUGUUUUUUUAAGUGAUUAAAAAGACAAUUUUCCUCCAAGAAGCGAUUGUGUCCCUUUUUGCACCGUUUGAUCUUUCAAAAUCAGGUUUAAAGCCUUCGUGCUCUUAUUUAUUUAGAUCAAUUCUGUUAUUUUCUCUAGAAUGUUUUAUUUUUUUUAUAAAAAAAAUUGGACUUUGAGUUGUUUCCUACAAAAGGUAGAUUAAAAAGGCAAUUCUCCUAGGCGCUUAGACUUUGCAAUGCAUCAAAUUUAAAAUAACAUGGGUUUGACAUAUAUUUCAAAUCCAAGACACUUGAACUUAGCAAUCAAUCAAGUCUAAGGUAACAUGUGUAGAUAGCGUGGAUCUGGUAUGCAUGCUAGACCCAAGAUAGCAUGAGUCUGGCACGCAUAUCAGGUCCAAGGUGCUUGGACUUAGUAGUUAUCUAUGUCUAAGAUAACGAUUAUCCUCUCUUGGCAUGUCCAGAGAAAUGAGUCGAAUGACCAACCUCCCUCUGUCUAACCUUAAGGAAGAACUCAGUCUUUAUAGGUUUAGCUGCAUUUGACGUCUUAAACUCUAAUAUUCUUAUAUUAAAUCGAUAGCAAAAACAAUUUGUAAUUUUUCCUGUAAAGAUCUAUAAGGUAAUUAUAAGAUCUGGACUUGGAUUUAGAACUAGAAAAAUCUUCUAAAUGAAUAAUAGAAAAGAAGAGAAAAGAGAAGAGAAGAAAGAAAGCUAAGCUUUACAACUGGAAAAAACAUUAUCAGCACUGGAUAAAUAUGAAAUGUUUAUUUCUAUCACCCUCCCGAGCACUCCUUAAAUAAAUAGCAUGACGUCAUACCUUUACUAUGAGGUAAAGGUUCCAAUACCAAAAUACAAAACAACCCCUAGAAAUCAUAAAAUCCUAAUUUCAUCCCCGGAAUAAUAGCAUAUGGCUAGAAAUCAUGAAACAUUGUCAACUGUGUUCAGCAAACUUUCAGGAUCUACUUCAAUUUUCUUAAGAGAAGGGGAAAUAACGAUCGGGAUCCUCGUUAGCUGCGGGCAAUCACCCACAGUAAUUUCUUCGAGAGAAUCGCAUUUAAGUCUUCCAGAAUAAAUGCUUUUCAAAUUUGGUAAUUUCUUCAAUACCAAAACCCUCAAUUUAUCAAAUGUACGAAAAGGAGAGGAAUGCUCAUCACUUCCCAUUAUCUCCUGCAUGUGGUAACAUUCUUCGACUACAAUCACUUCCAAUGGGAGUGCAGACGACAACCAAGGGAGCAGCACCUUUAUCCUAUGACACUUAUGUAUUACGAUCUCUCUGAGUUUGAGAAAGACACCAACAGUACGUAGCUUUGAAGGUACUACUUCAAAAAGGGUUUCUAAGAUUAUCAAACCAUCAAGGUGUAGAAUCUCAAGCCCUUCAAGCCAUCCAAAUACAUAUGAUCGACAUAAGCUUCUCAUGUUUUGACAACUCACAAAAACUACUUUUGUAAUGAAGGGCGGGAUCAGACGAUUUGCAUUGUCAAGCUUGAGGUCAUAAAACCAAGCCUCUUUAAUUAACCCUGACUUCGAUCUUGUAUAAUUUAGAUCUUCAAGUGAAGAGAAACAAGGUCGUCCUACAGUAAACUUGCAUGCAAUUAGUAAAAAUCUCCGUCCACGACAGAAAUAUCCGAAAUCGUCUAGAUCACGGAAGUUGCAUUCCAAAGUUUCCAAAUCAUAUAAUCUGGAAACUUCGUCUCCACUAACUAAGAGAACAACUCCAAAUCCCUGAAGAAGCUUGAGGAACUGUAAUUUUGAGAGUUGGGGUAAAAUACCCGGCCGUAAAAAACGCACCACACUUUGAUCAAGAUUAAGAUACCUGAGAUCCUUCAGCCCUUCCAUUCCCUCGGGCAAAUCUUCAAGUCCAGUGUAACUGAGAUCCAACUUCUCCAAUGCCUUAAGCUUUGCCAAUGAUGGUACAUAACUCAUCUUUGCACACCAUCCCAGCAACAAUGCAGUGAGUCUCGUCAGAUGAGAAAUAGAAUCCGGCAACUUCUCUAUAUCUGUGUCGGAAAGAUCAAGAACCUUGAGCCCGAUGAAGUGCUGGAAAAAAGACCCCUGGACAAAAUUCAAUUUGUAGUUUCUGCAUAACAAUAAUGUUGAGAGACGGGGGCACAUUGGUGAAAAGUCUGUUGGAAUAUUCUCGAUUCUAUUUUCCACGAGUGAAACUCUUGACAGAUUAUCUCUCCACCAUCUUACAUCGGGUAAUUCUGUUAGUUGUGCACCUGCUUGAACCAUAUCACUCCCACUUUCGUUCAUUAUUUUCACAGCCAUAUCCCAAAUCAAAUCAUGCAUCUUGACAUAUCUGUAAUUUUCAUCGUCCCUGGAACCUUCUAAUAAGCUGGCAUUUUCAAGGUGAUUAAGCAUGGUAUGGCCCCGAUCAAAUUGUGCUUGCCUACUCUCCAUUUCUUUGACUAUACCCUCAUCAAUCAAAUACUCUAUCAAGUCCUCUCUCCUGAUCUUCUUGCCUUUUGGAAACAAUGCACAAUAUAAGAAGCAAUCUUUAAUCGCUUUAUGUUUUAACUGAACAUAGCUAAAUUUCAAUAUCUGAAAUACAUCAGUUUCCGUGUCACAUGUUCCAAUUUCUGAACUUGCCGGUUCCCGCAAUGCAUCUCUCCACUGAGAUACAUCAUCCACUCCCCUCAUGCUUCCAGCCAUUGUCAUGAUUCCGAGAGGCAAACCAGAACACUUCUUCACAAUAGACACUGCAGUUUUUUUAAUUUCAGGACGAAGUGUAACACCAUGCCCUAAUCUGUCUAUGAACAAAUCCCAAGCCUCACUCUCAGAAAGAGGCUCCACUUUGAUUAUGCUUUGGCAAUCCAUUUUUCGACAUGUGUCCAAUGAUCUAGUUGUAAGAAUCAGCUUACACCCAUCUGUUUUAAGAGGUAUUCCCACUUUAUCAAGAGGAAAUUGAUUCCACAAAUUAUCAAUAAUUAAAACACAUUUUGUCACACUCAAUGUAGUCCAUAGCUCCCCGGCUCUAUUCACCACAUCUUUUUUAUUCCCAAGAUGUAAACCAAAAGCUUCGGCAAUGAGAUCCUGCAAUGCGUAAACGCUAAAUUCUUGAGGCACAGAAACCCAACAAACACGAGGGAAAAUGUCUGGUUUCUCUUGAAGCUGAUUGUGGAUAUGUGUAGCCAAAGUUGUCUUUCCAAUUCCCCCCAUCCCGUAAAUGCCAAUGCAUGAGACCUCAUCAUUCAACAACCAGGACCAGACAUCAUUCAUGUUUCUUUCCAUAGCUUGGCCCACUAGCUUUGUUGUCGGAAAUACAUAUCUUCCAGUCCUACGUUUCUUAUGUACAGGCCUUUUAGAAGAGGGUCGUCUCUCAACAACAGACUGCAUCAAUUCCGGUCUCAUGAUCAGUCUAGCAAUUCUUAACUCAAAAUCCCUCAUUGAUGAGGAUGAGAUGUUAUUCAAGUUCAUUUCAAAUGACUGAUGUGCUUGCUCUGUUCUUUGUCUAGUCUCGGGUUCAUCUGGCAUAAGAACGACAGGAGCUCUAGGUUCCUGGACAAGCUCAGUCUCCCCCCCAAUCAGAAAACCCUUCCGUCCUCGUUCAUCCGAAAGAGGUUGUUCUUCUUGUUCCAUUUCUAAGCCCCGCAAAGCAGUUGAAGCUGCAUUAAUUCCCUCGUUAUUGCUUG